AUUUGUACUGAUCCAUGGUAUAUAUGCUGAUCAGCUUAUUACAUAUAUGUAGUACUUGCUUAGAGGUAGUUUCAUAAUGUUUAAUAAGGCCGCUGUCCCACAUAGUUGCCCGGUGGAUCGUAGUUGCAUGUGACGAACCACCACCCAUUGUUGCACUGAACCCUAGCGCACCCAAGACGCACCGAGUUGCGCCACACAACCUGAGUAUAGUGCCCACACUCUCCACCAACGCAUGAGUUGGAGUUGUAGUCAUAAUAAGGCUUCUCCCCCACCCACAAGUUCACCGCAUCGGUGCCUGUCAAUGAACCGCUGCCUUUGGCCAGGUUCUCACCGUAAGGCCCACCUGAGUGCACUAGAUUGCAGUCGCUAAUCCUCUGGUUAGCAUAGUUCUGGGCGUAGGCAGCUACAGUGUCGUUCCAUGUUAUAGACCCAACGCCAACUUGGGCCCGCGCUGCAUUGUGAGCAUCGACGUAGUCCUGUGGAGAGUUCUGGGCACAGCAGGUGUGAGCUAGGGCUAACCCCAUGAGACCAACAAGGAGCGCCAUUGAAAUCUUACACAACCCCAUCUUUUAGUUUCUUUGAUGACAAGUGAGGGCUGGGUUGAAGGGUAUUUAUAGGGGAAAUAGAAGCAUCAUAAUCUCCAAGUCUUGCUCCCCCUAACUUCCCCCUUUGAUACAGUCUGUGUGGCGGCCUUCACACGUAAAGAUCAACAACUGAUAAAAUAGUUGGCACUAAGAUCAAAAUGACUUCCAUGCAUGUUCAAUUUUUUCCUAAGAAGCAAUCAACAAUACAUGAAAACGACUUCCAUGCAUGUUCUUUCUUUUAUUCAAAAUAAAACAGCUCUUUGAAAUCACAGUUUUGCAGUUCAAAAAAUCGGUUUUUAUUAAUAUUUAUUUUUAAAAAUUUACCCUAAACGCUUCAAUUAGAAAAUGCGAGCUUUAUAAAAUUCAAAAGACAAAAACACCUUAAAAUCCAUAUUUUUCUAAAUGGGAUUUGAGAGUAGUUGUAAAAAUAUAAAAAAAUUUAAAAUUACAUCAGCCCCUAUUUUUAUACAAAUAAGCAAUUUUAAAGUGCUUUUUUUUUUCUUUUCUUUUGUUUGAAAAUGUCAACUUAAUUAGUCUAUUUUAUAUAUAUAAACCUUUGAUCACGGACGAAUUUACACGUGCUUCUUCAAAUUCUGCAAAUACGUACAAAGUAUCCUAACUUAAACCUCUGAUGAAGGACGAGCUUACAUGUGCUUCUUCAACUUCUGCAAAUACAUACAAAUUAUCCUAACCGGUUUGCUUACUUGACUGAACUAAGUGUUUGGUCUUUUAAUGUUAGAUUUCGAGAUUUCGUGGAAAAGUGGUUAAGACAGAGUUUUGGGACGGUCAUCAAAGUUGAAUAAUUUAUCAUGUGACACAUUAUUUGAGCAAACAAGUUGAUAGCGUAUGUGAUUUUUUAUGCUCGUUGUCAACCUCAAAUCCAAAAUAAAUAUAUGACUUUGAAAUGGUAAAAUAUUCAGUAUGAUUUUCUUCUUUACCCUUAUGCUAGGCUAUUAUCGUGGGUUGAUGGCGCGAGGUACUAGGGUCAUUGUAAUUUCCUGAUGUACUCGCCUCCUCAACUGAAAAUGAUGCUUCCUUCCUUCGCCCUACAAAAGAUGUCUGGACAGGGGGUCCGGACACACUCUCUAAAGCCUUUGUUAGUUUGAUAAUCCAGCAAAUUGAUAUUCUUGGGCCCUUUUCUUUUAGGAAUGCUUAACCUUUUUUUUUUUUCGACUGGGUCGUCGGGGGCCUUUUAUAGUGCUUGGAGCCUCGUCACUUCGAAGGUGUGAAGACUCUUUGACUUUUGCGAUCAUGAUGGUAUUCAGAGGGUGACAGAGCCAUCAUUAUCCUGCAGGCGGCUGACAGAGAUCGUUGGGGGGAUGAUUUGUCAUCACCCUUGUCUUUUCACUCUGUAGGCGGUGUAGGGCAGGUCGUGGCAGGUCGCCUGAAGAGACCCAAGAAGGUCCAUCGAGUAUGCUUUUGGCGAAAUGAGUAAUGAUUGCCCACAAAAUACGGCCAGGAAUUUUGUUUGGGACGCCAGCUAUUAGGUCCGGACUGGACAUCCACAUAGGGGGUGGGGAGGCCACAUGUCAGUCCAUGUGAUCGUCCGGACAGGGGGUGAGACAUGCCAGGUGUCCAAUGGAGGAGUGCCUUGUGAGGCCGUCACGUGUACGCUUAGGCAGUCCCUACAGGUAUCACUAGUGGUUUCGACUAAUGGUAGCAAAAGAAGAACAAAGGUACUUGAUAGGAUGCUUAUUCCAACAAGUUAAUAUAUAUAUAUAUUUUAAUCAAAUGAACGUUAUUAGAAACAUUUUCAAAACUUUAAUUUAUUUAUUUUUUUAUUUUUUAUUUUUAAAUUUACAUUUAAACAAUAUUGGAUUCUCUAUGAAAGGGUUUAAAAGUACAUUUGAAAGUGAUUUUGAUAAGUGUUUUUAGUCUUUCUAAUACUUAAAAAAUAAAAAAUUUCAAGUGUUAGAAAAACUAAAAGCACUUUCUAGAAUCAUUGCUAAAUGCACUCUAAAUACAAUUAAAAGUGUUUUUACAAGAAUUACUCCAAAUCACAUUAAUAAAAUUGUGAUGAUUUUUGGUGAAAAUUUAUAUGAUGUUAGAUGUAAUUCUUUUUUCAUCUAAGGUUCUAGAUAUUAUACUGUUUGAUUGGAUAAGAUAUGACAAAAAGAUAUCAUGAUUUCUAAUGAGAUAUGACUUUGGAUAUUUUAUCAAAUGAAAAUGGUAUCUUAAGACAUUAUAUUAAAUAAGAUUUGUUAUGAUCAUAUUUAAUUUAUAAAAUAAAUAAAUGGAAUGUAUAAUAUAUUGCAUUUUAAUGUUCAAUAUUUUUUCUAAAAUAAAAAUUAUAUUGAUUCCUAAUGUUUGUUUUUAAAUAAAUAUGAGAUUGUUGUAAAAUAAAAAAAUGAGAAGAAAAAAAGAGGAUGGAAUAAAUAUGAAUACUCAGAGAAAAAUAGAAUAUUAUUUCAUUAGCAAGUCUCCUCAUUUUAUAGAGAGUUAGGAAGAGAUUUGUAUCAAUAUGGAUAAUCAUCCAUAAGUUGUCACAAUCAGAAAAAUUCUCAUAUUUUAUAACACUCCUCUGUAGAUGAUCAUAAGAAUAAUAUACCUCCUUAAACCUUCCUAGAAAAAAUCUUAUGAGAAAAACCUUUGUAAAGUAAAAAAAGUACAAAAUUCUUUAGAAUUAUUACGAUUGCCUUAUUAAAAACCUUGCCAAGAAAACCUAGUGAGAUAAAAUCUGGAUGAAGGGAAAAAACAUAUAAUGUAGUGAUAUCCUUAUCAAUUUGUUUCCACUCAUGUUGGUAUGAUUAUAUUUUCUCUUGUAACUCAAUAUCGAGAUCUUUGAGUUGGCGUAUUUCAAUGUUAUAUAUGAGUUUCUUGAGUGUUGCAGUUGACAAUGCGUUUGUGAAUAGGUCUACUAAAUUGUCAUUAGAUCUUACUCAUUGAACAAUCAUUUCACCACUCUUCUAGAGCUUAGAAGUGUAAAUGAAUUUGAGUGUUAUAAACUUAGUUCCAUCACCUUGAAUGCAUCAUUCUUUAAUUUGUGCAAUGCAUGCAAUAUUAAUAUCAUGUAACAUUGUUGAAUUGUCUUUAAUGGAAGAUAGUCCGUAUGAUUCUUGAGUAUAUUGGAUUACAAAUCUCAACCACACACUUCUUGACUUUCUUCAUGGAUUGCACGUAUUUCUAAAUGAUUUGAAUAACAACUAUUAUAAGUUUUAUUGAUCACCAUGAUAUUGCAGUAUUACCAUAGGUAAACAAAUAUCCUAUUUGAGACCUUGCCUUGUAAGGCAAUCACCUUGGGGGAUGGGAGGGAUGAAGAGGAUGAUGGUCACUUUUUGAAAAAAAUUAAACUAUAUGAAAGCAAGUGACAAGUAUAUCCAAUUAAAUAAUAAAUACAAUGAAAAGUAAUUGCAUAUAAAGUAAAAAGAUAAGGAAAAGAGAUUGCAAACUUAAGAGUUUUAUAGUGGUUUGGAGUAACUCGACCUAUGUCCGCUCUCCUUAAUGUCAUGGACUUAGUCUUUUUCUAAGCUCGUGCGGCACUUAGACAAGUCAAGACACUUGAUCUUGCUAAGUCAGCCUUACUCCCAAUGCUUAGCUUUCUAGGCUAAGAUGCCUACGACUCGGAAGCUUUAAAAGGUGUAGUAGGCGAUGCUUAAAGAAUGAAAGCUUUUGUUACUCAAAGGAAGCUUUACAAGUGCUUUGGGAACUCACUUGCUUGGUUGGUUAGGUUCUUGGGUGGUGCCUUGGCCAAAUGAGGGCCUCACCUAUUUACAGGCAUCAGUGAAACUCUCUGGAACCUUGGAGGGUUCCUUACAACUUAAGAAUAAUCUAGAACUUCCUACACAAUUCUAUGUACAAACCUAUGUAUAAGAAUAUACAAGAGAUUCCUAGAAUUCUCUAGAAAGCCUUAGACUCCUCUCAUACCUUCCACCAUAGUGUAGAGAUGUGUGGACAUCUCUAGGCGUCUCUAGAACCUUCCAUACUCUUCUCACCAAUGGCUUAGUGUAGAUGGCUCCAGGAGUCUCCAAAAGCUUUCUGUCCUCUAUAUAACCCCUAUGGGGAGGGUCAUUUGAAACAUCUUAUGACACUCCCCCCCACCUAUGCCGUCGACGUCCUCAUUGUUGCCACUUCUUGAAACUUCUCGAUGAGUUUCCAGAACCUUCUAAAGGAAUCCGCAUGUUCCCAGCUUACCUGCCUCUUAGGUAGUCCUUUCCGUAGGACUAGAUACUCUAUCACAAGAGAGACCCCUUGUCUCCUGGUAACCCAUUGAACCAAGAUAUUUUUCACCUCCUUUUCCCGUGAGACCUCGGAUGGAUGCAGACCCUUUCACUUUUGAUGCUUGGAGUGCUGCUUCCUCUUACCCAUCGAAUUCACCUUUCCCUUGUUGACCUUGUCCAUGUGUGUGUGAGCUACCUCAACUCGCUCUCCUUUUGCCUCAUUUACUUGCACCCCUGAUAGUAAGGAGAUCUUAGGUGUACUAGGCUUUGGGUUGACUUAGAGGGCACCUAGUAGCUGCACCAAGCCCAUAUGUGCUUCGUGUUCCUACUCCCUCUCCUCGAUCAUACCAUUGAACGCCUUCUUCUUUGGAUAAUCCCAUGCCCAAUGUGGACCAUCACAUAGGAAGCAUUUGAUUUUAGGUGUAAACUCUUUCCUUUCCUCCUUACCCCUUCCUUCCUGGACGUUAAGUGUCUUGCUUGAUCCCAUUCUAGGAGCAUUGUGGUCCCUUGAAACCUCAUCUCUCCCACCUAUGGCGUGGCUAUCCUCCAAAGACUCAACCUUGAAGGAGUCUCCCCUCUUGUAAUCCGUUAAAGACUCUGCUAUUGCCAUAGCAAUGGCUAAGUCUUGAACGCCUUGGCGCCUUAAUUCCUACUCAGCCCACCCUUGCAGGUUAUCCAUGAAGUUGAAUAGCAACUCCUCCUUAGUCAUGUUAGGAAUCUUAAGCAUGAGCGAAGAGAAUUCCUUGACAUAGUCGCGUAUUGAGCCUGUGUACUUAAGACACCUCAUGUUUUUCCUAGCUAGGUAAGCCACAUCUUCGGGGUAGAACUGCCUCUUGAAGUUCUCCCACGUCUCUAUGGUACAAAUGCCUUUCUCCAUAUUGGCGAACCUCCGACGCCACCAUAGAGUAAUUAUGUGAGUAAGGUAGAGGGUUGCAGUCCUUACCUUAACUGCCUCAUUAGUCAAUGCGAUAGCCUCAAAGUAUCGCUCCAUAUGCCAUAAGAAGUUGUCCAACUCCUUGGCAUCCCGUUUGCCACUAAACCCUUAUGGCUUCGACACCUCCAUCCUAAAUGCCUCUUGUGUGGCCAUCACUCGUGCCAACAUAGCAGCCUUGUAGAUGGCUAACUCCUACCUAACCUCCUGGUCUGGAGACUCAAUUCGAGUGGCCAAGGCCUCUAUCCUUGACUCCAUGCUAGCAAGCAUGCUCAAGACCUUUUCUUGGAAGGACACAAACUCCUCAUGUGACACUGGCUGAACCUAUGAGACUAGCACCCCCUCACGAAGGUCUUGGAUCUGCUCCCUUAAAUCCUCUAAGCCCUUCUCCAUGCCUUGCUCGAUCAAGUCCAACCUCUCCUGAGUGUCUGCCAUGGCUAGCUCUAUCUUAGCUAACCUUACCUCCAUGUUGCCAACAACAUAACGAGAUUUAUCCUUCUUGCCCCUGCCACGUGCAUCAGGUUCGAUCUCCCUCCCAUGGGUUUGCUCACUAGUCUCAUCCAAGUUGGAGCCUGACAUGCUUCAUUUACUAUGCCCGCUUUGUAGCAGCGCUUUGAUAUCACUUGUCACGGACUUAGUCUUUUCCUAAGCUUGUGCAAUACUUAGACAAGUCAAGACACUUGAUCGUGCUAAGUCAACUCUCAAUUCUUAGCUUUCUAGGCUAAGAUGCUCAUGAAUCGAAAGCUUUACAAGUGCUUUGGGAACUCACUUGUUUGGUUGGUUAGGUUCUUGGGUGGUGCCUUGGCCAAAUGAGGGCCUCACCUAUUUAUAGGCACCAAUGGAACUCUCUAAAACCUUGGAGAGUUCCUUACAACUCAAGAAUAAUCUAGAACCUCCUACACAAUUCUAUGUACAAACCUAUGUACAAGAAUAUACAAGAGAUUCCUAGUAUUCUCUAGAAAGCCUUGGACUCUUCUCAUGCCUUCCACCAUAGUGUAGAGAUAUGUGGACAUCUCUAGGCGUUUCUAGAACCUUCCAUACUCUUCUCAUCAAUGGCUUAGUGUAGAUGGCUCCAGGAGUCUCCAGAAGCUUCAUGCCUUCUAUAUAACCCCUAUGGGAAGGGUCAUUUGAAGCAUUUUGUGACAUUAAGUUCCUAAUUGAAUGAGGGUUCCACUAUUUCAAGACUUUCAACACAAGCCUCCAAGCAUUACAAUUGGAUUAUGGUUCCAAUCAACCUUCUUGGAUUUAUGACUCCAAGUACUUUCUUGUAUUAUGGUUCUAAGCACCCAUAACAAUCCUUAAGAGAUACCUUACUUUUAAUAAUCUCUCAAGUGAUACUCCACACUUGAGAUACCUCACACUUAGAUUUUUUUUCUUCUCAAAGGUUUACAAGAAAUGAUAGGAAAUAUUUUCACAAAAUACUGAUAUAAAAUUUAGGUGUAAAUGAUACAAAAUAAACAAAGAUUAGGUGUAUUCAUGGAUAUGCAAGUUUAAAAACAAAGUGUACUCAAUUUAUAAAUCUUACUCACCAAAUCAAAGAAAGAUGGAGCCUUUAAAUAGAGUUUGGAAGCCCAAACUAGCUGUUAGACAAGUUUAGGGGUUGGCUAGUCGAGUAACCGACUUGAUCGAUUCACUAACUAUUAGCAUUUAAUAUUCUAGAAAAUGAUAAUUGGAGUUUAAGCCCUUAAUUGGUUGGGCAACCGGUUCAACUAAACUAGUUUGGCCUCAAUUGGUUGCACCUUAGCUAUUGGAAAUCAAAGGUGCACAAAAUGCCCCUUGAUCAAUUGGGUCCAAUUGGCUCAAUUGUUGCCUUAAACCCUCGAUUGGUUGCACUAGAAUGCUUAAAACUCAUUUUUGAGAUCUAGAACCUCCAAAACCUUUUGUAGAAAUUUAAAAACCUUUUAAAGAUAUUUUAGAAAUCAUUUGGUUCAAGGUUUUGAUUGAAAAUGUGAAAUCAUCCCAUUAUAAAAGAAUUUAAAACAAUUUAUUACUUGGAUGAUUUCAUUUGGUUCAAGGUUUUGAUUGAAAAUGUGAAAUCAUCCCAUUAUAAAAAAAUUUAAAACAAUUUAUUACUUGGAUGAUUUUUGGUGCUUAAGUAAAAGUGAAAUGAAUGAAAAACCUAGCGCACUCAUAACCUUACAAAGAGAUCUUAGACAAUCUUUCUCUUUGAGAUUUUUUUUUCUUAAUUUCCCUUGUAUAUAAUAUAUCUGUAGACCCUCAAUUUUGUCCCUCGACACUGGCAUUUAUCCUUCAAGUGUCACAUCCACCCAUCGUUCGCAUAUGGCACCACUAGGGCCCCUUUUGGGCUUAGUCGGUGUCCGAGACUCGUGUGGGUUUGUCUGUGGUCCAUUGUGGUGCAUAUGUGGUUCAUUUUGGAGGGUCACCACGGCCAUUUUCCUAGUCGUUCACAUCACGCUAUAGGAAGGAAGUGGGGUCAUCCUGAUGUUUUAGCUUAGUUGGAGUUUAUAGGGGCAUGUUGAGGUUCGAAGCACUCGGGCUUGUUUUGAUCGUAUCUCCCUCAUCCAAACUCGGAAUCAAGAACCGUUUCUUUUUAUGGAUUCCUUAUUCUUCCAGGAACAUUCUGUAAAAUUUUCAAAAUUUUUUGCAACCGUUCGGCUGGUUGGCAACCGGUUCAGCCGGUUCGGCCGGUUCAUCAAGUCAGCCGGUGUAGAACACUGAUUUUUGGUAAUUGUUUUGAUCAUAUCUCCCUCUUCCGAACUUGGAAUCAAGCACCAUUUUUUUUAAUGGAUUCCUCACUCUACUAGGAACAUUCUGUCAAAUUUUCAUAUUUUUUUUCCAUCGGGUCGACCAGUUGGCAUCCGGUUCGGCCGGUUCAGCCGGUUCAUUGAGUCAGCUGAGGUAAAACACUAAUUCUAGUAAUUUUGAGGCCCAAAUCCUACAUGGCCUAGGCCCGUAAGCUCCAGAUCGGUUUUGGGCAAUGUUGUGGGUCCAUUUUGGGCCUUGGUUUGGGUUCCUUGCAGCCCACCACGAAUCCAUAUGGAUUCUUGGUGGUGAAGCAAGCUGAAAACUGAAGGAGUGAGCUGGCCUUGUAAGUUUAAGAGAAGUAAUGAGGGGUGUGGUUCCCAUGCUGAUGAAGGGGAUUUUGGUGCUGAAGGGGAUGAAGGGGAUUUUGGUGCUGAAGGGGAAGGAAUCCAGGAGGCUCAAAUGUUAAGAGGGGAUGAGUAUAAAAGGUGCAAUGAUAGGAGAGCAAAGGAGAUGAGGGGACAUUUUGGAGAGGGGAAAUUUUGCUGGUGAGAAAAACAAAAGGUCAGUAGCAUCUUCUGAGUUGAGAGCGUGGGGGAAAGCUUCAGCACUAUGGUUUUUUAAAGAGGAGAGUGACAGCAUCUCAGUUUUGGAAGUCAUCAUCUGCAUACACAGAUCAUAUUUGGUGGAGAUUCUAAGGUAAGCAUGCUGAAUUUUCUUUACUUACAGUUUAUCUUCCUCGUCUUCAUAUACUUUUUCUCCUUCCUCAUCAUCUUUUCUUCCCUUUGAUAUGAAGAUUGUAUUGCUUGGGUGUGGAUAAUAAAGGUCACACAUGAUUGUUGUUGUUUGCUUCCUUAAUCACUUAGGAACUUUCUGACCGAAUUUGGGAUUUUUUACCAACCGACUGAACCGGUUCAACCGGUUCAGCACCAUAGCUGGCAGCCUCUGUCAGCCAUGAAGAACAUUUGUCUUUCUUUGUCUAGUUCUCACUCAUCCGGGCUCGGAAUUGAGAACCGUUUCUUUUGUUUGCUUCCUUAAUCACUUAGGAACUUUCUGACCGAAUUUGGGAUUUUUUACCAACUGGCUGAACCGGUUUGGAACCAGUUCAACCGGUUUGGAACCGGUUCAACCGGUUCAGCACCAUAGCUGGCAGCCUCUGUCAGCCAUGAGGAACACUUGCCUUUCUUUGUCUGGUUCUCACUCAUCCAGGCUCGGAAUUGAGAACCGUUUCUUUUGUUUGCUUCCUUAAUCACUUAGGAACUUUCUGACCGAAUUUGGGAUUUUUUAACAACCGGCUGAACUGGUUUGGAACCGGUUCAACCGGUUCAGCACCAUAGCUAGCAACCUCUGUCAGCCAUGAGGAACACUUGCCUUUCUUUGUCUGGUUCUCACUCAUCCGGGCUCGGAAUUGAGAACCGUUUCUUUUGUUUGCUUCCUUAAUCACUUAGGAACUUUUUGACUGAAUUUGGGAUUUUUUACCAACUGGCUAAACCGGUUCAGCACCAUAGCUGGCAGCCUCUGUCAGCCAUGAGGAACACUUGCCUUUCUUUGUCUGGUUCUCACUCAUCUGGGCUCGGAAUUGAGAAUCGUUUCUUUUGUUUGCUUCCUUAAUCACUUAGGAACUUUCUGACCGAAUUUGGGAUUUUUUAUCAACCGGAUGAACUGGUUGGGAACCAGUUCAAUAGGUUCAGCACCGUAGCUGGCUGCCUCUGUCAGUCAUGAGGAACACCUGCCUUUCUUUGUCUGGUUCUCACUCAUCCGGGCUCAGGAUUGAGUGUCGUUUCUUUUGUUUGAAUCCUCACUCAUUUAGGAGUUUUCUAGAAAAAUUUGGGAAUUCUUCUCAAUAGGUUGUACCAGUUGAGAACUAGUUCAACCUGUUCUGUUGGAGGACUUUAGGAAGCCCUCGAUUUUGGCAUUUUUCGAGCCCUUAUCCAUGGGGGCUCAAACCCUUUUGCUAUAGGGCACUUGUGAGCCAUCUUGAAGGUUUAAGUCAGUGUUUGAUUUCAGUUAGUAUGGGCAAUUUUGAAGUUAUGGGUGGUGUGGUCUAGAUGAGUCUAGUUUGAUUUGUAUGACAUUUGGGGAGUCCCUUACCUCAUUUCAACCAACUAUCUUCCUUUUUUGGCACAAGCUUUGAUGCUUGAUUUUGAAUGCAUGUUGCAUGACUGACUCACCCUCUGCUGCAGCGCUUGGCUAGGGACCACAGGUACGCAUCGUUGGCUUUGGUUGUCGAAUUCAUAUGCAUGCAUGGUGCUUAAUCUUGAAUGUUUGUUAUGUGUUUAUCUGUGUUUGGCUGACCUUUUAUGCAGCGCUUGGCUAGGGACCACAGGUACGCACCCAUUGUUUUGUUUGGUUGAAUUCAUAUGCAUGCCAAAUACCAAUUAGGAUUGUGUGAUUCAUGACAUCUAUUUAGCCUAGGGUUUCAUUUGACCUUUGACCCAUAUGCUCCCACAUACCCAAUUCAUUAGUAAAAACCGAGUUUCGGGCCUAGAGGGGUGCUACCUCGCAUGAGGUACCUUCCCAACGGGUAACCUGAUCCCCGGACCCAGAAUCUAGUUUUCGUAGACCACUUUUUCCAUACUGGGGUCAUUAGGGGUUUUUGUUCUUACUUAAUUUUCCCCAUUUUAAAAACAAAAAUAAAAAGUAAGUGGCGACUCCAAGCAACACCGUUCCUCACCGGGGGCGGGUUUUUCAAAACUGGAAAACACCAACUUUUUCAUUUCUUUCUUUUCUUUUAAAAGCGAGUCGCGUCGGUCCGGUGGAUCGGGUGAGGGUCCACAAUAUCUUUAAUUGCUACUUUGAAAAUCUUUUGACCUAAACACACUUAACAUAAAACAUUAAUUCCAAACCUUAUUUUGUUAUCAUCAAAAUUGAAAUUAACCAAACUUUGGUUUCACACCUAUUUUAAUUUCCUCAUUUAUUAUCCACUUUUUUUUAAAAAAAAAAUAUUUUAAGAAUAUUAUAAUAUAUAUAUAGAUAUAUAAACUUAGGUUUAUUCAUACAAAUUGAUAUAAAAAUAUCAUUUAAAAUCAAUAAACUUUUUAUAUUUAGAUAAAUAUCUAAAAAUAAAAUUUAACUUAAAAAAGAAAUGAUGUAAAAAGAUUGUAAAUAAUCAAAAAUAAAAAAAAGCAGGGCCUUGUAAAACUAUUUUUAAUUGAAAUUUUUUUAAGCAUUUAACUUCCCAUAAAAUGAAAAAUUUUUAGAUCUAAAUUUCUUAGUUUUAAAAAUAUUUAACAUAAUAUUAUAUCCAGUUACCAGAAAAUGGCUAGAAGGAAAAAUAAAUAAAAUAGAAAAAGUCUAACUAUUUUUUUUAUGUUUAAAUAAUAUGGACAAAAAUAAGAAAAAAAAGGUAAAAUAUUAAAAUAUUUUCCUCCUUAUUUUUCUAAGAAAAGCUGAAAUAAGUACAGAAAAAAAUUAUAAUUUUCUUUAAUUUUGCGUUUUUUUCUUCAAACUUUCCACAACCAGCCACAUGGUCUAAGUGAAAGCAUAAAUUAUAAAAAUUUUAUCUGUCUACGCAGUUUAAAAGCUUUGCCAAAUUGGGUCUUGGUAGACUUUAAAAAUACAAAAUAAAUUGAUCAGAUGGUUACAUAUAUAUAUAAGUCUUGAUAGCGCCCUGAUAAUGAGGCUACAACUUAGGAAUUACGUGUCCAAUUGCCAUGCUUGGAAAAAUCAAAAUGAUGGCUUUGUUGGAUGAAUCUAGAUGAAGUUUGGCCUACAUAUAAGGAAGAAUAACAUCAUGGUCGCUGGUGGUAGGCAUCAAUUCCGGGACAACCAUGAGCUUGUGCUGGAAAAUUCAGUAGACCCUCCAUUAGUGUAAUCUCUUAAUUGCCUUAACUUCUCUCCAUUUAAAGGCAAAGACUGGACUCAGUGGUAUGGCAUUGGGAUAGACCCAGAGUUCAGCUCAGUCCUAGGGCCCAAUUAAAGUUCUAGAUUGGGUUGAGUCUUAUAUAAAAGUGACAAUCUCUAUUUGUUAAUCUUUGUGUCAACUUAAUUUAUACUAUUAUUACUCAUGUAACCUAAUUCAUAUUUUAAAUCUAAUCUAUAUCACAAUUUAUUCUAAUAUUUUUGGAUGAUGCACAUCAAUUUGAAAAUUUUUGGUGUGUAUCAUAGCUCUUAAUAGCUCAAAUUUAUGUUACAUCCCUAUUCAAGACUUUCUCACAAUUUUCAAGUUUUGUAGUGCUUUUAUUAAAAGUGUGAUGAGCUUAGUGAGCGCAAGUAGGGGUUAUAAGGGUCAUUUUGAGCAUUUUUAGUAACUUCUAUGAAUUUUGGAAGGACAGGGGAGCCCAAAAGCAAGAGUAAAUUAGCAAGCUAAGCAAAACACAAUUAGCAUCUCCACAAGCUCGAUUCCAACUAGUUUUGAGUUUGGAGUUAUUUGAAAGGGUUAUAUGCAUCUUAAUAGAGUGGUAAAUUUUAUCAAGUUCUAGACUCUAAUAGGGAAGAAAAGGGGAGUUAGAGAUUUUAUUUUUAAAACAAAGAAAAUACCAUUGCAAGAUAGUAGCAUAAACUUCAACUUAAAUAUAAAAAACAGAACAAAAAAUAGCUAAUCUAAUAUUUGCUUUUUAAUUACAUCAAUUUACUAACUUUCCUAUAAGUGAGCCAACUUUAUUAUUAUUAGAUCAUCUAGUGAAAUAUCUCUCUUUUAUUUUGAUAACUUAGUUUUAGAUCAAGUUUUGAUAAUCUCAUCUAAAAAUUAAUUGGUAUCUUGAGGUUGGACUAAGUCUUUUAUAACAUUCAACCACCAUCAUCUGGGUGACCCAUCCAUUGAGCUUAAAGAGUGAAGUUGUUACACCCCAACAAUCUCUCCACUAACAUGAUGCUUCCCCGGCUUUAACUCAAGACAUUGACUUUGAUACCAAUUCGUGGAUCAAACUUUGAUCAUCUUAUUUGAAGACCAAUUGAUUUUUAGAUGAGAUGAUUAAAACUUAAUUCAAGACUUAGAAAGGUAUUUAUCAGUUCCUUCCCCUUAAAAAAACCUUGUCCUCAAGGUUGGAAGUAAGGAAAAUGACUAAUAAGCUUAUGCCAAUCUCCCUAGCUAGCAUCUUUUAGGGAAGAAUUAAAAUAAUGAACAAGAAUUGGAUCUUUGAAUUGUUCCCAUGUUUGAUAGCAUGUUGAUCAAGAAUUCUGAUUAGUUCAAACAACAUCUGUCCUUUAUCAUUAAUGGCUGGUAGCUCAAGUUUUGCAGUGUUUUUUCUAGCCAAUGGAUCUUUUUCUUUAAACCAGAUAGUGAAUUUUUGAAUGGGAAAGCAAUUCCAAAUAAUAAGCAACUACUCCUAUAUGGAAAUUCACCCUAAAAGGCCUAUAAAACCUUAGAGACAGCUAAUUGAUGCAUGGAAAGGCCACAUAGGCUUAUUAGUCUGGUUAUAGGUACAAUUACACCAUACCUCUCACAUCAAAAGACCUUUCUAUAUGAUGUUGAUUAGCUUGCUGAUUCAUAUGGCGUUGAGCCUUCUCCAAAUUUUCUUUCAAUAGUAGUAAGAUGGCAUGCAUUUCGAUCCGUAAGCGCUUGGCCUAUUGAUACUGCCUUGGUGUCACCUCGUGCAUACAUGGGCAGAGAUGACGAACUCUGACCAUAAUCCAUUUUAUGUAGAAUGAGCCUGAUGGCAGUGUGGAAGGAAGUAUUGAACCACCAUUCAACAAAUGGUAACUAAGGAGACCACUUUUUAGGAUGAUUGCCCAUGACACAAUAAAGAGAAUUUUUCAAACAAUGAUAAAGGCUCUUUUUAGGAAUUGUUUUUUAAAACACUUUUUGGUUCUUCAGAAAAAAAAAAAAAAAAAUUGAAAACAAUAUUUGACAACUGGAAAAUAGAAUUUUUUUUUUGGGACUAUUUUAACUUGUUUUAAAAAAUAAUUAUAUAAUAAAUACAUAAAAUUUAUUUUUAAAACAUAUUUAAAAAAAAUAGAAAACAUAUAUGUUAAGAAUAUUUCAUAUUCCAAAUUGACUUUUGUUAUACAACUUAAUGAAUUAAUAUGAUUUAAUGAUUUAAUUUAAGCCAUUGAGUAAAUUAAAUAUCUUUGGUAAAAUAAUUUAAUAUUACAAUUUAAAAUUACUUUUAACAUUAAAUAUUAAAUCAAAAAAAUUAACUCAUUUUUAAUUUUAAAUCUUUUUUGUUUUAUUUAACCCUAAAGUAUAUUUUAACAUUAUGAUUUUACAUCUAUGAUUCUUUUUUAAAAUAAAUAUUUUAUGGUUAUCAUACCCAUCUACAAUAUUUUAAAUAUGAAUAUUGUCUAAAUAAAAAUUACUUAAAAUUAUUGAAAAUAAAUAUGAGUUGAAAUCAAGGAAGAUAAAUAUUCAUUAAAAUUAAUAAGGGUAAAUAUGUUAAUUUGAUAAUUUAAAAUAAACUUUAAGUUAACUUUAUCAAAUACCUUAAGUAAAAUAAGUAAUAAAUUUUAAGUCAAUCACUUAAAAAUAAUUUAAUUUAAAGUUAACUUAAGUAAUUAAGUAAUAAAUAUCAAAUUUUAUCAAACACUUGAAACUCUAUAUCUUAUGAAAAAUUGUUUUUUUAGAACUACUUUUAAAAACGCUUUCUAAACAAAGCAUAAUCCUUAGUUUUUCCAUGAGAUUGUAGAUGAUAUGAUGAACUCAUAUAAAGUUGAGUGCUGCUCAAAGAGAGCUUGCCAGAAUAUGCUAGUAUAUAUGGGAUCUCUGUUGCUAACAAUGGUAGUGGGCAUGUCCAACAAGUGAACAACAUGUUGGAUAAAAAUCUUAGUAACUUCCUUGGCUGAAUAUCGAUGUCUUAAAGCAAUAAAGUAAUGGUAUUUUCUUAAUAUAUCCUUCAUGAGGAAAAUGGCAUCUUUCCCAUGUGAGCGAGGAAGUCAUCCAUUGAUAAAAUUCAUGGUUGUCAUGUAAUAUUGCAGCCUAGAGAGAAAAAUGUACAACUCAAGACCAGGGAACCCUUGUACUGUAGUUGAUUUUGCAAUAUCGCCAAGAAUACCCCCAUUUGGCAUUUGGCAUUUGGGUCAACAAUAUUAAGUCUUUGUAUUAGUUAUUGUAGUUAAGGGUCUUGCUGCUAUUUUUCCUUGGAAGUAUAUCAAGCCAAUUAAUAGUAGACAAGGAUAGGGUCAUGACUUUCAAUAUUGAACAUACUCUAUAACGGACAAAGCCAGAGAGAAAUAAGAGAAUUGUAUGAGGGUUUAAAUGUUUAUUAAAGAUAUUUGGUGGUAGAAAUUAUCCUUUUAUUCUCACAAUCACUUGAAGUUGGAGCAUGUGACACGGCAUGGAUCGAUGUGUUAGGCAUGGCCCCCACGUGCCUUCGAUGGGAGAUAUCCCUUCCAUACCUUCUCAGGUUAUAAAUGAGGAAAAAUGUCUCUUCCCAUAUGCUUUUCUGUAUCUCAAAUAUAUCAAUUCUAGAAGGAUUGAAACUCAACCAAGCCUUUCAAAUAGGUGAUCAUCCAAUGAACCAGAUUUAAGGCCAUUAGUCCACCCAGUACUUGUUCCUGCAAUGAUAUCCCACAAUGAUGUCUUCAAAGUUGGCCAUAUCCCACUACUUGAUCUAGACUCUCAGAUUUAUUGUGCUGUGAUAUUAGAUCAUAGGGGAGCUAGCUAAUCAAAUUUGAAUCCUUUUCCAUAUCCUAAUUUUUUUGUCAAUUCCUUUGUAUUGACUUUUAAUUAAUAGGGUUAAUUUAUAGUCCCGAUUUCCUUGAACAAUGAAUGUUAAUGAAAAUUAUUACCUACAUAUACAACAAAUAAUCAUAUUUCUUAUAAUACUACUAUGUCCCUUUUUUCAUAAGAUCAGCAGGAUAACCCUGGAAAUUAAGACAAAGAAAACAAGGAGCCGACAUGCUUUGAAGUACUACUAUGAAUUUAUUAUACUUGGAAAUUAAGCAUCUCUCUUGAGUAUUUUUGAGUACAGAAGGAGAAUAAAACAAGAUCUUACUGAAAAACUACCUCAAUUAUAUCUUCCUUGGUCAGCUAAAAGCACAAAGUUGAUCUUAUUUGCACUGACCCAUGGUAUAUAUGCUGAUCAGCUUAUUACAUAUAUGUAGUACUUGCUUAGAGGUCGUUUCAUAAUGUUUAAUAAGGCCGUUGUCCCACAUAGUUGCCCGGUGGAUCGUAGUUGCAUGUGACGAACCACCACCCAUUGUUGCACUGAACCCUGGCGCACCCAAGGCGAACUGAGUUGCUCCAAACAACCUGAGUAUAGUGCAGGCACUCCCCACCAACGCAUGAGUUGGAGUUGUAGUCAUAAUUAGGCUUCUCCCCCACCCACAAGUUCACCGCAUCGGUGCCUGUCAAUGAACCACUGCCCUUGGCCAGGUUCUCACCAUAAGGCCCACCUGAGUGCACUAGAUUGCAGUCGCUAAUCCUCUUGUUAGCAUAGUUCUGGGCGUAGGCAGCUACAGUGUCGUUCCAUGUCAUAGACCCAACGCCAACUUGUGCCCGUGCUGCAUUGUGAGCAUUGACGUAGUCCUGUGGAGAGUUCUGGGCACAACAGACGUGAGCUAGGGCUAAUCCCAUGAGACCAACAAGAAGUGGCAAUGAAAUCUUACACAACCCCAUCCUUUUUAGUUUCUUUGAUGAGAAGUGAGGUUAUUGAUGAGAAAUGAGGCUUGGUUUGAAGGGUAUUUAUAGGGGAGACAGAAGCAUCAUAAUCUCUAAGUCAUGCCCUCCCAAACUUCCCCCUUGGACACAGUCUUUGUGGUCGCCUUCACACGUAAAGAUCAACGACUGAAAAAAUAGUUAGCACUAAGAUCAAAAUGACUUCCAUGCAUGUUCAAUUUUUUCUUAAGGAGUAAUCAACAAUAUUGAAAAUUCUUUGUGUUUUGGAUAUCUUCUAGGGUUUACCCCUGGCGGCCAGACCAGUUUGAUCAAGACUCGUGAACUUCCUUCUAAAAGAACAUGUAUAAAGAAUUAAAAGGGAAAAACAAGUGUUGAUGUUAAAUCAAAAUUAUUUUAACAAUCUUAGAUGCUGAAAUUCUUGACAUUGAUCAGCUAGUAUUUUUUUUUUUUUGAUUCAAAAUAAAACAGCACAAUGGAAUCACAUUUUUUCAGUUCAAAAAAUGGGUAUUUAAAUAUAAUUUAAAAUCAAUAAACUUUUUAUAUCCAGAUAAAUAUCUAAAAAUAAAAAUUUAACUUAAAAAGUAAAUGAUGUUAAAAAGAUUGUAAAUAGAUACAAAUAAAAACUAGUAGGGCCUUGUAAAACUAUUUUUAAUUGAAUUUCUUUUAAGCAUUUUAACUUCCCAUAAUAUGAAAAACUUCUAGAUCCAAAUUUCUCAGUAUUAAAAAUAUUUAACAUGUGAUAUUAUAUUUGGUUCCUAGGAAAUGCAAGAAGGAAAAAAACAAAAAGUCUAAUUAUUUUUUUAUUUUUAAAUAAUGUGGACAAAAAUAAGCAAAAUACAAAAUAAGUUGAUCAAAUGGUUAUAGAUAUAGAAGUCUUGAGAGCGCCCUGAUAAUGAGGCUACAACUUAGGAAUUACGUUUCCAAUUGCCAUGCUUGGAAAAGUCAAAUGAUGGCUUUGUUGGAUGAAUCUAGAUGAAGUUUGGCCUACAUAUAAGGAAGAAUGACAUCAUGGUCACUGGUUGUAGGCGUCAAUUCCGGGACAGCCAUGAGCUUGUGAUGGAAAAUUCACCAGACCCUCCGUUAGUGUAAUCUCUUAACUACCUCAACUUACUCAACCGCUCUCCAUAUAAAGGCAAAGACUGGAGUCAGUAGUAAGGGAUUGGGGUAGACCCAGAGUUCAGCUCAGUCUAGGGCCCAUUUAAAGUUCUGGAUUGGGUUGAGUCUUACAUAAAAGCGGAUAAGCUCUAUUUGUUAAUCUGUGUCAACUUAAUUUAUACUAUUGUUACUCAUUUAACCUAAUUCAUAUCUUAAAUCUAAUCUAAAUUACAAUUUAUUCUAAUAUUUUUGGAUGAUGCACAUCAAAAAAUGUUUCAUACUGUAUAUAUUUUCUAUCAUUUGAAAAUUUUUGGAGUGUAUCAUAGCCCCUAAUAGCUCAAAUUUAUGUUACAUUCCUAUUCAAGACUUUCUCACAAUUUUCAUGUCUGUAGUGUUUAUUAAAAGUAUGAUGAGCUUUGUGAGCACAAGUACAGGUUAUAAGGGUCAUUUUGAGCAAUUUUAGUAACCUCUAUGGGUUUUGGAAGGAGAGGGGAGGCCAAAAGUAAGAGUAAAUAUGCAAGAUAAGUAAAACUCAAUUAGCAUCUCCACAAGCUCGAUUCUAACUAGUUUUGAGUUUGGAGUUGUUUGAAAGGGUUAUAUGCAUCCAAAUAGAGUAAGGUAAAUUUUAUCAAGUUCUAGACUCUAAUAGGGAAGAAAAGGGGGGUUAGGAGAUUUUAUUUUUGAAACAAAGAAAAUACCAUUGCAAGAUAACAACAUAAAGUUCCACUUAAAUAUGAAAAAGGGAAUAAAAAAUAGCUAAUCUACUAUUGCUUUGUAAUUACAUCAAUUUGCUGACACUUCCUAUAAGUGAGCCAACUAUAUUAUUAUUGGAUCAUCUCCUGAAAUUUCUCUCUUUUAUUUUGAUAACUAAGUCUUAGAUCAAGUUUUGACCAUCUCAUUUAAAAAUUAAUUGGUUCUAAGUUUUUUAUGACAUCAUUGUUAUUUGGGUAACCCAUUCAUUAGAAAGUGAUAUGAUUAGACCCCAAAAAUCCCUCCACCAAUAGAAGGCUUUCAUGGCUCUAAUCCAUGACAUUGACUUUGAUAUCAAUUUUAGAUUGAACUUUGAUCAUUUCAUCUUAAAACCAAUUGAUUUUUAGAUGAGAUAAUCAAAACUCGAUUUAAAACUUAGGAAAUUACUUAACCGUUCAUUCUUCUUGAAAAAGCCUUAUUCUCAAGGUUUGAAGUGAGUAAAACAACUAAUAAGCCUAUGCUAAUCUUCCUAUCUAGCAACUUUUGGGAAAUAAUUAAAAUAAUGACAAAAUGCCACAGCCUUAUUAUUAGGGCUACAAGUGCCGUUACCCCAUAUCUGCCACAUCAAAAGACCUUUCCAUAUGAUGUUGAUUAGCUUGCCUACUUAUAUGGUGUUGAGUCUUCUCUAAAUUUUCUUUCAAUAGAAGUAAGAUGGCAUGCAUUUCAAUCAUCAAGCGCUUGCCCUAUUGAUAUCACCUUGGUGUCACCUCCCCCAUACAUAGGCAAAGAAGAUGAACUCUGACGAUAAUCUAUUUUAUAUAGAAUGAGCUCGAUGGCAGUGUGGAAGGAAGUUUUGAAGUUUUUAGGAUGAUUGCCCAUUACACAAUAAAGAGAAUUUUUUAAACAAUGAUUAAGGCUGUAUUUGGAAAUUGUUUUUUAAAACACUUUUUAGGUAUUCAAAAUAAAAAAAAAUAGAAAAACAUAUUUUACAAUGGGAAAGUAGAAAAUAUUUUUUAAUUAUUUUUACAUAUUUUUUAAUGAUUAUUUUAAAAAUAACAUGAAAAGUGAGUUUUAACUUACUAAUUUAAAACCCCAAAUUUUAUAAAUUAUAUUUAGUUUUUAUUCAUUUAAAAAUAUUUUAAAAUACAUACAUUUUUCCAUUUGUCAAAUAAUUAGUUUCUAAAAUGACCCUUUUAUUUAUUAGGUUAAUAAUACCAAUUGAUGAAUUUUUUUUUUUACAAGAAUUGUUCUGACCUCAAUAAAAUAAAAAAUUUUAAAAUUUAAAAUUAAAACUAAAAAAACUUUAAAACUAAAGACAUAAAAUAAAAUAUUAACUUUCAUUUUGAAUUGUGACAAGUAUGCUUGAUACGAGAUAAGUCUUGUGGACAACAGAAUGACCUCCAAUGGGGCUAUCAUGGUUGUCAUGUAAUAUUUCAGCCUUGUACUGUAGUUGAUUAUGCAUUAGCCAAUAUACCCCCUUUUGGCAUUUGGGUCAACAAUAUUAAGUUUUUGUAUUAGUCGUUGUUGUUAAGGGUCUUGCUGCCAUUUUUCCUUGGAGGUAUCGAGCCAAUUAAUAAUAGACAAGGAUAGGGUCUUGACUUUCUAUAAUAAACAUAUUCUAUGACGGACAAAGAGAGAGAGAAAUAAGAGAAUUGUAUGGGUGACUUUCUAUUAUAAAUCUUUAUUAAAGAUAUUUGGUGGUAGAAGAAAGUUUUAAGUAAUUUUUUUAAUAAUUAGUCUUUUAUUCUCACGAUCACCUGAAGUUGGAGAAUGUGACACGGCAUGAAUCAAUGUGUUAGGCAUGACUUCCACGUGCCUUGGAUGGGAGAUAUCCCUUCCAUAAGGAAAAAUAUCUCUUCCCAUAUGCAUUUUGGUGUCUCAAGUACAUCGAGUCUAGGAGGAUUGAGGGAAACUCAACCAAGCCUUUCAUUUGGGUGACCAUCCACUGAACCAGAUUUAGGCGCAUUAGUCCACCCACUACUUGUUCCUGCAAUGAUAUCCCCCAAUGACGUGUCAAAGUUGGCCAUGUCCCACUACUUGAUCUAGACGCUCAGCUUUGUUGUGCUGUGAUAUUAGAUCAUAGAGGAACUAGCUAAUCAAAUUUGAAUCCUUUUCCAUAUAUAUAUAUAUAUAUAUAUAUCCUAAAUUCUUUGUCAGUUCCUUGUAUUAACUUUAAUUAAUAGGGUUUAUAGUCCCAAUUUCCUUGAAAUUUCUUAUAAUACUACUGUGUCCUUUUUUCAUAAGAUCAGCAGGAUAACCCUGGAAAUUAAGACAAAGAAAAAAGAGAAGCCAACAUGCUUUGAAGUAUAACUAUGAAUUUAUUGUACUUGGAAAUUAAGCAUCUCUCUUGAGUACAGGAGGAGAAUAAAGCAAGAUCUUACUGAAAAGCCACCUUAAUUAUGUCUUCCUUAGUCAACUAAACGCACAAAGUUUUAUUUGUACUGACCUAUGGUAUAUAUCCUGAUCAGUAUAUUACAUAAAUGUAGUACUUUGCUUAGAGGUAGUUCCAAGAAGUUUAAUAAGGAUGUUGUCCCUGAUAGUUGCCCGGUGGAUCGUAGUUGCAUGUGACGAACCACCCUCCACUGUUGCAUUGAACCCUAGCGCACCCAAGACGCACUGAGUUGCUCCAAACAACCUGAGUAUAGUGUCGGCAUUCCCCACCCACGCAUGAGUUGGAGUUGUAGUCAUAAUAAGGCUUCUCGGCCACCCACAUGUUCACUGCAUCGGUGCCUGUCAAUGAAGGGCUGCCCCAGGCAAGGUUCUCACCGUAAGGCCCACCUGAAUGCACUAGAUUGCAGUCGCCAAUCCUCUGGUUAGCAUAGUUCUGGGCGUAGGUAGCCACAGUGUCGUCCCAUGUCAUAGACCCAACACCAACUUGUGCCCGCGCUGUAUUGUGAGCAUUGACGUAGUCCUGUGGAGAGUUCUGGGCAUAGCAGGUGUGAGCUAGAGCUAACCCCAUGAGACCAACAAGGAGUGGCAAUGAAAUCUUACACAACCCCAUCUUUUUUAGUUUCUAUGAUGAGAAGUGAGGUUAUUGAUGAGAAAUGAGGCUUGGUUUGAAGGGUAUUUAUAGGGGAGAUAUAUAGAAGCAUCAUAAUCUCUAAGUCAUGCCCUCCCAAACUUACCCCUUGCAAUUGGACACUGUCGUUGUGGUCGCCUUCACACUUAAAAGAUCAACAACUGAAAAAAUAGUUAAUUAGCACUAAGAUCGAAAUGACUUCCAUUCAUGUUCAAUUUUUUCCUAAGGAAUAAUCAACAAUAUUGAAAAUUCUUCUAUGUUUUGGAAAUCUUCUAGGGUUAAACCUGGCGGCCAGACCAGUUUGAUCAAGACUAGCGAACUUUCUUCUAAAAGGACAUGUACAAAGAAUUAAAAGGGAAAAUAGUGCUGAUGUGAAAUCAAAACUAAUACCACUGAUGUUUAACUCCAAAGUAGAUAGAUUUCAGUGAAUUUCAUUAAUAUGCAUAUGGGAUCUGAUCAAAUUUUUUAGGAGGAUAUUUAUCUCAAUUACAACCCAAAAAAAAAAUGAUUUUUUUUUUUUUUUUGGAGAUAAUAUUGGGGUGAUUCUUUCAUUCAAUCAGUUUUUAGUGGAGAUUUUUGGAAAUUUUUUUGUUAAAUGGAGGCCUAGAAGUCAGAAGAGAGAUUUGCCUUUAAUGAUGGCCCAAUUUAUCAAAUCAAAUUUGAAUUGAAGGGAAAGAAAAGAAGGAACUAAUACCAUGUUUGGAAGGUAUUUUCUAAAAGAAUUUUGAAAAAUAAUUUUUUAAUAUUUUGUAAAGCAAAAGUUCAUUUAAAAAUCUACCAUUUUUUAACUUAUUUUUUAUAUUUUAGAAAUAAUUUUUACAUUUAGUGUUUUAUUUUUAAUCAUUUUUUAUAUUUAUAUAUUUAAUUUUUAAAACUGUAUUAUUUUUUUAUUUUUAAAAAUAGAAAAAUGUUUCCUAUUUUUUAUUCCCAUAUGAAUUUAUUAUUUUUGAAAACCCUUACCAAACAUGCAUUGUGAGGAGUACUUCAUGGAGAGUUGAUCUAAAUUCAAAGAAAAAUGUAGGGCUCCUCCCAGAACAAUCAUUUUAACUAGGUCGUCAAGUAGCAUCUGCAUCAACCCCCCAUAUUAAUAAAAAGGCAGUGAAUGCAUGCAUUCAAAUUGUUCAUGUCUUUAGAUGCUGAAAUUCUUGACACUGAUCAGCCAAUAUUUUUCUUAUAUUAAAAAACAAGAAAAAAACAGCCCUUUUAAAACCUUUGAUCACGGACGAAUUUACACGUGGUUCUUCAGAUUCUGCAAAUACAUGAUACAAAUUAUCCUAACCGGUUUGAAUGCUUGACUAAAACAAGGUGUUUGGUCUUUUAAUGUUAGAUUUCGAGAUUCCGUGGAAAGUUGGUUACGACUUAAGAGACACUUGUGGGUAGGCCAUGAAAGUUGAAUAAUUUAUCGUGUAACACAUUAUUUGAGCAAGCAAGUAAUGUGUUACACAUUAUGUGAUUUAAUUUUUAUGAGUUUGAAAUGGUGAUACAAUAUGAUUUUAUUCCUUAUUCUUAUUCUUGGCUAUUAUCGUGACAUCACGAUUGGCGGACUAAUGGUAGCAAAGGAAGACAAAAGUUACAAGGACUUUUAGCUCCUAAUUUAACAAAAAUUAUUGAGGAUGUAGAGUUAUUCUUGAAAGACUAGAAACAUUUUUUAACAUUUAGAAAUUUUUUCUUUAUAGAAAUUAAGUAUUUGAUAAGCAUUAAAAAUUUAAGAAAUUUGGAAUUAUCACUUGAUAUGAUAUUUAUUCCAAAAAUUAUUAUUAUUUUUUGUUAUGUAUUCCAUUCCAUUACUAGAAAUGUUUUCAAAUUUAUCUUUUAAAUUAGAUUCAAACAUUAACUAAAUCUCGAUUAAGUUUUUAUGAUAGAAGUAUUAUCAACAAAAAUUUAAAAGUGCUUUUACAAGAAUUGCCCCCGAGCACAUUGACAAAAUCAUGAUGAUUUUGAGUGAAAAUUUCCAUGGUAUUAGACUUAGUUCUUUUCUAUUGUAAGGUUAUAUAUGUUAUGCUAGAAUAGGAGAAUAUCAUGACUUCUAAUGAAAUAUAACAUCUUUGAAUAUUAUAUUUAUAUCUAAUUAGAUAUUAAAUCAUGCUCAUGUUUGAUUUAUAGAAUGAAUAAAUGAACUGAAAAAUAUACUACAUUUUAAAGUUAAUUAUUUUUUUCUAAAAUAAAAAUAUAUUGCAUUUAAUUGCUUGUUUUUAAACAAAUAUAAAAUCGUUUAUUUGUUUAUUAUUACUAUUUGAAAAUCAUUCUAUAAUUUAUUAUUUGUGUAAUUAUUUUUAUUUAUUUGUUAUAACAUUUAUGAAUAAAAUUAAUAUUUAAAUAUCACAUAAUGUCUACUAUUAGUAUAUUUAAGUUGUAGUAUCCAUAUUUUUUAAUUAUUUUUUCAAAAUAAAAUUUUAAUUUUUCUAAUUUAAUUUAAUUUAAUUUUAUAAAAUACGAUAUAUAAAGAAAUUUUAAAAAUAAAAAAAUGUAUGACAUGAAUAAAUUGACGAAACAUGGAAUCUGUAUAUAUCAUGUCUCAACUUAGAAUUAUUAUAUCUCAUGAUAUAAAUAUGAGGUUGGAUGAGUUAUCCUAUUGUAUGUAUGAUUAAAUAUGAGAUACAAAGAGCAUUGAGAUAAUUAAUUCUAUUCAUCCCUAAUCAAAUAUGAAAUAAAACAUGUUUUUCUAUUCUUUAUCCAAUUAUAAUAACUAACCAACAUAAUUUAAGUCUAAACGAAAAACUCUGUGGUAUUUAUUUAAUUUGAUUUUGUUUUUAUUUAUACAAUUCUUGAUAGAAAUUAAUAUAAAAAUAUCAUUUAAAAUUCAAAUAAAAGUUAAACUCUUUUUAUUUAGAUAAAAUAUCUAAAAAUAAAAUUUAACUUAAAAAAUAAAUUAUAUUGAAAAGAUUGAAAAUAAAUAAAAAUAAAAAUAGUAGGGCUUUGUAAAACUACUUUUAAAUUUAAAAAUAUUGUAAGCAUUUAACUUCCCAUAAUACCAAAAACCUCAAAAUCCUAAACUUCUUUGUUUUAAAAAUAUUAAGAUGGGAUAUUAGAAGUGUGUUUGGGAUUGUUUCUUCUUAGAUGUGUUUUUAGUGGAAGUGUUUUAUUUCUAAAAAAACAUUACAAAUAAUAUUUUAAUGCUACAAGUGAUUUUUCAAAUUUUAAAAAAAUAUUUCAUAAAUUUUAUCAAAUAACUAAUGUUGUUUUAAAAACACUUUUUAGGUUAAAAAUAUUUUCUAGAAUUAUUAUCAAGCGGAUUUUUUAUUUGGUUAAGAAGUUUAGAAGGAGGAAAACAAAAACUCAAUAUAUAUAUAUAUAUAUUUUCCUAUGUUUAAAUAAUAUGGAAAAAAACGUGUGAAAAAUAUCAAGGAAUCCAAGAACAAAAUAAAUUAUAAUUUUCUUUAUCUUUGUCUUUUCUUUUUCUUUUUUUCCUUCAAACUUUUCACAACCAGCCAUAUGCUCAAAGUUAACGUAUAUAUUAUAACAAUCUAAGUUGUCUAGACGGAUUAAAAGCUUUGCCAAAUUAAUUGGGUCUUGGUAGACUUUAAGAAAAAUACAAAACAAAUUGGUCAAAUGGUUAUGUAGAAGUCUUGAGAGAGCCCAACUUGGGAAUUACGUAUCCAAUUAUAAUGCUUGGAAAAGUCAAUAUGAUGAAUUUCUUGGAUGAAUCUAGAUGAAGUUUGGCCUACAUAUAAGGAAAAAUGACAUUAUGGUCACUGGUGGUAGGCGUCAAUCACGGGACAAACAUAAGCUUGUGAUGGAAAAUUCACUUGACCGGAGAUUAAUGCUGUAGGAAUAAUAUCAUUGGACUAAGGAUUUUGCUAAAGAAUUUUCAGAGCUCACAUGGUGUGGAGUAGUUUUCUAAUUUGUGACUCCGCUUGAUUGGACAGCUUAGAAAAAUUGUUUAGUUUUAGUUUCUAAUCUCUUCGAUCUAUUGUGCCAGCUUGGGAGUAGCUUAUAAGUUAUAACUUUGAAAAUUUGAUGUUAAACAGUAGUCAAUUUUGUCUUUUUUUUUUCCAUAUGUCAAAAAUAAAAAAGUAUUUCACUGUUCAAUAAAAAGUGUGUAGGAGUAAUUUUAGUAAAACUAGAUGAGAUUUUUAAGGUUUAAAAAUGUUUGUAUUGCAAUAAUUAAGAGUGUGUUUGGUACUUAUUCUAUAAAACGUUUCUAGUUUUUAUAAUACUUGGAUGAUAACAUUUUUCAAGUGUUAAAAAUAUUAGAAAUGCUUUCUAAAAUUAUUGCCAAAUGAGCUCUAAAGAUUUGACAAUUCCUUGAAAUGAUUUUUGAAUGGAUGCUUGAGAAAUAUUUUUAUAAGGGGUAAAUAAUAGAUAAAGAUUAUUGGAUUGUAAAAUUUGAAUCAAUUUUGUUAUGCUUUUUAUAGGAUCCUCACUAAGUUUGUAGAGAUUGAACCACCCUGUCAGCUCACUGAGGUUGAAAGAGACAACAUCUCCUAGAAAUUUUUUUUUUAUGUGAUGAAUGAUGAAUUUAUCUUUAUUGUAUAUUUAACCUUAUUAUGAUUUAGAGAUUUUUUAGACAAUGUGAUUACAAUUGAAAGGUGUGUGGAAGUUUUAUCGUUGUAACUUUUCUUUUUUAUUUAAUUAGUGGAUUUUUUUAGUGUUGAUACAUUUUAUGAACGUAGGAUCACAUUGAUCGUUAAACCACAUUAAAACUCUAGUGUUUUUCAUUUAUUUUUCUACUUAUUUGUGUGGUUUGAUUUAUAAAUAAUAACUCAAUAAAAUAGGAAUAGUUAACACAUAUGACCCCACCGAAAAAAUUUCUUUCACUUCAAUAAAAAAGAGUGAAGAGAUUUAAUAAUGAAACUUUCCCAAAAAGAUUGAUGAAGGAACUCUCACAUUCACAACCCUAGAAUAAUCCUAGAAAAACAACCCUUAUUGUUUUCUCCAUUUUUUUUCCAUAUCAUAUGACACUUCUCAGUUUUUUGGGCAUCCACAAAAGAAACCCUACUUGCACCUUAUAUUUUAGCUUAAAAAAAAGAGUCUAAAUAUGGGCUUGAAAAACUUUUCAUGACAGAAUAAACCUAACCUAUCAAUUUCUUCCAAAAUAAUUACUUUUUAUUACGGAACACAUUAUCAAAACACUCUAGUUAGAGUUUUUGUAAUGUAGGCACCCUUUCUACUAUGAUUAAGGUUUAAAUUAUGAGGUGUUAGAUUAGUUUCAUCAGGAGUAUAUAGUAAUUCAUUAUUGUUGAUGGUUUCGAUUUUACUUGGAAGUUACUCCAUUGUAAUAGUUCAUAUAGAAAUGAGACUUUUUUCUUACCCAUAAAGGAUUGUGCUCGGAUCAAUUAAGACCCUUUUACAAAUGUCAACCAUUAUUUCUAUUUGGAGCGCAAUUGGUUGAGUUGUGUUGGGUUUUCUAUUAAUGGGUAUACAUUCAAAUAAAACUAAUUCUCGAGUUUUAGAAUGCGUUGAUUUUAAAUAUAGUUUUUAGCAUUUUUAAAACUUGAAAGAUAAAAUUCAUAAAAAAAAUUAAAAACUAAAAAUAUUUCUUAAACUUACUACCAAACAGACCCUUAAAAUGCUUUAUUUAAGCUUCAUACUACCUUAUUUUUUGUAAAGAUCAAAUUUGAAUUAAGUGACAUUAGAUUGAAUUCAAACCAUUUAUAAUGGUUUCUCUUACUUCAAUUUUUAUAGAUUUGUAAGAGGAUCUAAAUAAUAAAUGUGAUGAUAUUUUUAAAAUAUUAAUAGUAUCUUUUGGACAAAAUGAAAUAGUACAUAGUAUAACAAUUAUAAUAUGAAGCCAUUUUUCUUAAAAUUGUUUUAGAAAUAUAUAAAUUAAAUUAAUUAAAUUGGGUUUGAAUUAAAUUUCCUAAAAAUCAUCAAAACUUUAGCUUGAGGCCAAUUUAAACUUAAUUUAUAUUAUAAAUUACAUAAUAAUAUGAAUUAUAAAUAUUAAUUUAGGUUUGGAUUAAGUUUUUGGACAAUUACCAAAACAAGGUAAGGUGAACUCCAACUUAAUUCAUGUUAAAAAAAAAAACUCAAUCAAUUAACUAGAAAACAAAACAAUGAAUGCAUAGCGAAAGAACUGAACUCAACCGCUCCUAACUAGGGUCAAGGCUUGGUUUAAUAGGUGUGAAGAAAAAUAAAACAUUUUUAUCCUUUACUAAUUAUAUAAACAUAUAUUAUGUAUAAAAUAUGGAUGAAUUUAAAACUCAAAAAAGUCAUUUUCAUGCAUUAAAGUAUUAACUUUUGCGCAUGUUUUAAAUAUUACCCUCCAACCAACUAAACCCUCCAUAUGUAUGGAAGGAAAUUAGCUUCCCUCCAAAUAUCACUCGAAAAUCCCAACAAAUCCGAAAUUAUUAAAAAAAAAUUCAACAAAUCGUGAAAAUUGAUUGAAAGGGCAUCGUGGAUAUUUCUCCAUGUGUUGUGUUUGCUACCUUUGACAAACCAAAUUUCAUCAAAAUUUUUGGAUAUUUUCAUCAUUGCUUAAAACAAAACUCUUGUGGCUGAGCCCAAACAAGAAAAAAAGUAUUUAUAUUAAUACUUAAUUUACAAAUCUACCGAGAUCUUAGGUUGGUAUUCACUGUGAUUAUGGACAUUAAAUUUUUUCCUUAUAUGUAUCAAAAGAAAUUUUAGAAAAAAAAAAAAUUCAUAUUUCAAUUGUUACUUUGCACGUAUAAGUUUCAAUAGAAAUACGAAGACGUGGUACAUUUUCUCCUCCGGUGGACAAAAGAUAUGAAGUACAAAAUUGUGGUUGCUUGGGUGGGGCUUGUUACACAACUCAAACAAAAUGAUCUACCGUAUAAAAGCAUAAACAUUUCACUUUAUUUCAUUAUAAUCUUCUAAUACAGAAGUGAUUUUAUUAGGGACCACUCCAACAAGUCUUUAAUCAAAGUUCAUGUAGAACCUUUCUUAAUAUAAGGACGUUCUCCAAAAUAGUUGCCUGGUGGGUCUUAGUUGCAGCAAACAAUCCACCAUUCCCCAUUCUUGCACAACAAUCUUGCACACCCCACAUUCACUGAAGUGUUCUACACAACCUGAGUGUAGUGUCCACACUCUCCUCCAACGCAUGAGUUAGAGUCGUAGUUAUAAUAAGGCUUCUCAGACACCCACAUCUUCACUGCAUCAGCGCCAUCAAAGUCAGUAGCACCCCCUGCAGCCAGGUUCUCACCAUAAGGCCCUCCUGAGUGUUCAAGAUUGCAGUCACCAAUCAGCUUCUCACUAACAUAUUGCGAUGCGUAGUUAGCUAACUUUUUGUCCCAUGUCAUGGGCUGGACUCCAACCUCUGCCCGCGCGGCGUUGUGGGCGGUAAGGUAGUCUUGUGGGGUGUUUUGGGCAUGGGAGAGAUGCGCUAGGGCUAAGCCAAGGAGGCAUAGAAGGGCCAGUGAUGUCUUGCCCAUUUUGGCUUGGAUUCUAUGAUGGAGGACAAGAGCCUUUGAUGGUUAAGAGUAUUGACUUGUUGCAGAGAAUUUAAUGGUGCAAGGUGUUCUUUCUUGAUAUAGCUUUUAAUCAUUAUGAUAGAUAAUCCAAAGAAAUCAAUAAAAAGUGCUCAGCAAUUAAUUGUAGUGCAAUUAUAAAAUAUUAACUUAAUAGAAAAAAAAAAAGGUGGGGUGGGGGGGAAUUUACACGAGUAGGAGAUAAGGAUUGAUAUUAAUUCUCUUGAAGAUGACUACAGCAUGUUAAGAAGGGAUGAUAGUCAUCUUCACAUCUAUUUUAUUCCUUAGGCACGAUUUUUUUUUUUAAUACUGUGGUUGAUGAAUUUUGAGGAGCUCUUCAAUUUGUGAAGUUCUCAUACCCGAAUUAAUGCAUAAAUAUUUUGUUUUGAUUGUUGAUGUAAGAAAACUGGCAACAUCAACCACAAAAUAAAUUUUCAGCUGUAAUUAAUAGUUACAUUAUGUUUGUUUCCUACGGGAAGAAAAAAAUGUUUGUUAUUUUUGUAACCCUGAAAUAACUAAAAAAAAAAUACAAAUAAUAAUAAUUUUCUCAUGAUUUGUUUGUACAAAAUAAAAAAAAUAAAAAAUAAAAAAUGGUUAAACUUAUUUGUUUUUAAAUUAUUUAAUUUUUAUAUAAGAUAAGAAAAAUAGGUGAAACGAGUUUGAAGAAAUGUAUAAAAUUAAUUUAUUAACUUUAAUUUUUUUUUCUUAUUUUUUUCUUCCCAUUUUCACCUUAUUUUAUUUUUAUAUUUUUCUUAUUACAAACCAAACAAAACCUUAAGCUAGUUGAGAUGAUGGAAACUUUUAAGAAUUUACUGUGGGGUAUAUUUUUGGAAAGUAAAGCUGAAAGUCAAAUAUAAUUAAAACUACUAGAAAAAAAUUAUAAAGAUGCAAAUGACCCUCUACAUAAUAAUAAUAAUAAUAAUAAACCAAACAAAACCUUAAGCUAGUUGAGAUGAUGGAAACUUUUAAGAAUUGACUGUAGGGUAUAUUUUUGGAAAGUAAAGGUAAAAGUCAAAUAUAAUUAAAACUAUAUAAUGAAAAAGGUAAAAAAAAAUUAUAAAAUUUUUUCUUGGUUGUUUAUGGGAAUUUGAAAGAGAAGAAAAUUAAAAUGUAAGGAAUAUCCAUGAUAAGAUAAUAGGUUUAUAGUCAUUGCCAAACCACAUUUAUUCUGCAAUUAAAAGGAUUAGUAGUUGAGGUUGGUAAGGGUUUAUAGUCGUGGAUUUUUUUCUGAUAUUUUGGGUGGUUAAUGCAGGUUAAUAGGCGGUCAACGUGGGGUCGGGGCAGUCAAUAUGAUGCUAUAGUGACCGCUAUAGUGAAAGCUCAAAAAUGCCUUUUAAUUGAUGGUGUUUAUUUUUUUGGCUUUUUGCUGAAAGCAAUUUACUUUCAGAAUUUAGGUUUUUUUAAAAAAAAAUUUUAAUGACUUAUUACUGUUUUUUUAAAUUUUUGGCUAAAUGUAAAAAACUAAAAUAUUUGGCUUUUUUUAAAUAGAAAAAUGCAGUUUUUGAAACCUCCCCACAUACGAUUUUCAACCCAACGCCUGACCCUAGCCCACCCAUCCCUUGUAGCUUUCUGCAAUUGGCAUCCUCAACCCUCACCUCAUCCCCAAAGCGGUAAUUUCUUCAUUCUCAUCCUCCAUCCGAGACUACAUAGUUGGAAAGACGCUCCACUUUCAUUCGACAUUGUUGAUCUAAUCGAAGGUAACCCUCAACCCAAAUUUAUUUUGGGUUUUAGGAUUUUAAUAGAGUAACCGAGUCUCAUUUCUCAGUACUUCUCUCUCUAAAACUCUCAUUCUCUAUUUUGGUUCACAAAUGCAAGUGCUCUGUUUAGGGUUUUUGAGUUCACAUGUUGCGGGUCCUAAGAUAAUUUUAGGAUUUCUAGGCUCUAUUAAAAGAGCUAUGUGGGUGUUUUUUUUUGUUUGAGUUCAUUUUUAAGAAAAAAUUUCUAGGCUACUGAUUUUGUUUGAGAUUACAAAGAAUGUGGGUAUCGGGUAUUUGGGUUUUUUGUCUCAAUGAGACCAAAUCAGGAGUAUUCAAUGGGUGGUUGGGAGUUUAAUUUCUAUCUUUUGCAACCCUUCCCCUUUUGCAGGAAUCAACUAAAGCAUAAAAUAAUUCAUGACUUCUUGUCUGUUUAUUGAAAUAUAAGAGAUUAGGUAGAUGGAAUUCUAGGGUGGUUUUGAAACAUUACCAUGCUUUGAGUCUGCUUUGCGUGUGUCAAUGUUAUCUAACUUGGUCCUUGCCCUUCAAACGUUUGAAGGUUAAAUUUUAUCUUGGACCUUUUCUUUUCCUCCUUAAACAAUACAAACUUUGAUGUGCUUCUUGGUCCAAAUAAGAAUAUUGUGUUGGUUGAAUUUGUGUAACAUCUUUCUCUGUUCCUUUGAUGACUAUAAAAUUUCUGGAUUUUGGUUGAAUCAGUAGCUAUGCGGCUAUGCCAUGUUACAUAACCUAUUUUAUUUGGCUUGAGUUUGGACACAUGAAUUGCCCUGUUUCGGUGAUUCUAAAGAAGAAAGUUAGGGAAUUGUCUCUGCGGAGAUUGUAGUUUUAUGCCAUGGAUUUUGAUGCACAAAGGGUUGUUAUUUUGAUUGUUGAAGUUCUAUUUUGUGUUUCAUUUAGUACUUUGGAGUCCCUGGAGUACUGUUUGAAAGCUAUCUUCUGCAAUUAUCCGAUCAUUUAGUGCUUUGGAAGGGAAAGUAAUUCAUGUUCCCACAUGAGAACAAUGAAUUCUAGCUGCAUGAGAGGCCAUUUGCAUCAUGGCUGGAGUACUUCACUCCUAAGAUAGUUUUCUAGGGUGCCUUUUAAUGUUCUUUUGUGUUUUUCAUUGAUUUCAAUACAAUGGAUUCUGCUGGAAGAAAAUUUGUUUUAUCGGAUUCCAGUGGGCAUAGUUUAAUGACCAACAAUUCUGUAAUGACUGUACAUUUACACAAUGAGACUAGAGUAGUUUAGUAGCAAUUCAAUGCAUCUUGUGAGAAGUUUAGUAGCAAUUUAGUGUAGUUUGUAAUUAUUGAUUCGGAACUAAGAAGCAAUAACCCUUUUCAUAGGUUCCCUUAAGAUUUAACAACUAGACUAGAGUAGUUUGUAAUUAUUGAUUCAGAACUAAGAAGCAAGAACCCCAAACAGAGGUGGAAGUUCCAAACAUAAAAUUCUAUAUAAUUCAUCAACCAUAGCAUCUGAUGGGGUCAGUGCAACCCUUUUCAGCAAACUGGCAUAAGCCUUUACCUCCACCAUUUUCCAAAUAUUGCUGAUGGUACUCCUCUGUUCUGUAAAACCUCUUUGCUGGAAGAAUUUCAGUUACAAUGUUCUUAUCAUUCAAAGGUCCCUUAGUCCUAUGAAAAUAUUCUUAGUUAUAAAGCCAUACCCUACUAAAAACCUGAAAUCUCAGGAACACUUUCGCCAGCAUGAAUUAAGUCUGAAGCAUUUUGAUCCAAAGGGAAGUGUUCUGAUGUUAUUUGGGAAGCAACUUUCAACAGAAAAUCAAUCAAAAUGCAUAUUUACUAUAGCAACUCUUUAAACAGAGUCAUCAAGCACUAGACAUGAUUGCAAGAGUCUUUAACUCAAGAAAGCAUGAUCCUAAAACUCAAAAUCCAUUGGAACCCAAUAUGUUGGCAAAACUGCAAUCAACAGAGAUAUCUCGCUCAUCAAUCUUAAAUUCUCAACACAUUUUCCAACAACCAAACAGUUAAAACCAAACCCUUUUCUUUAAUCAAGAAAAUAAAAACACCCUUUUUUUUAUAAGUAAUUUCAUCGUUUUUUUACAUUUCACCUUUUUUAUUCUCUAUUUAUUGUUGGGUCUUGCACUCAUCCUUUAUUGUCAAAUGUGGUUUUGUUCCUCGGCAGCGUGAUUGAGCUGCGUGGUUGGCACAUCCGAAGGAUUCUUUAGUUGACACAGUUGCUAAGAAUCUUUUGGAUCGAUUGGAGGUACUAGUUUACUUUGGAAUUCAAGUUUUUUAGUGCCCAUCUACACUAAAUUGCUACUAAACUUCUCACAAGAUGCAUUGAAUUGCUUAGUAUCAUUUUUUUUUCCUGUAUCAAAAGGAAAAAAGACAUAAAAGAAGCUGCAUAGGUAUUAUGGAAACUGCAUAUUGCUAACAUUUUCAGUUUUUUUUUUUUUUUUUUUUUAAGGAAAAGUAUAUCUUGAGAAUGGAACCAGUGGCUUUGAGCACUACUUUGAUGAUAUAUUUUAAGCAAAUGGAGAUUAAUGUUUUCUAGAACUUUUUUUUUUAUAGGCAAUGCUUUUCAGAACACAAAUUAUAUUAUUGUCCAAUUUGAUGAACGGUUGUCUUCCACUGUUAUACUUUGAGAUAUCACUUCCUAGGAAACACUUCAUCCAUCUCUUGCUCUUUUUGAUGUACAGAAAUGCACGUGCACAUGUAUGUGAGCAUUCAUGUAGACAUGUGUUGGCAUAAAAAGUAGUGAAUAGGCUGGGUGUAAAUGAAUAUGCUAAAAUAAGAAAUAAGAGCCAAUGAGAUAUAAUCAAUGAAAUGUAAAUAGAGUUUAGCCUCAAAUUCACAUAAGAAGGUUACACUAAGUAUAAAGCAAGCCAUACUCAAACUUUAUAUUCAUGAAGAUUUUUAUUUUAUUUUAUUUUAUUGUCUCUAAUUGAAAAUUGAAAAUUAAUCAUUAAUGUUGGUUGGUUUUUUGUAGAGUAAUGAGUCAAAAUGUUGAGAUUAGUAGGGCAAAUUGAACUGACCCCAUCGAAAGAAAACACUUUAUUGAUCUUUGUCUUCAAGAGGCAAACAAAGGCUUUAGAUCAGGUGGAGGUUUAAAGUCUAGUGUUUGGCCUCGAAUUGUUGAAGAGUUGGAGAAGUUACUUGGAAAACGUUAUACUUUAAAACAACUUAAAAAUGGGUGGGAUUACAUGAAAAGACAAUAUCUCAUUUGGAGUAAAAUGAUGACUAUGACAGGACAUGGUUACAACUCUAUAACCAAAACUUUUGAUUGGCCAGCUAAAAAAUGGGAAAAAUAUCUACAGGUAGUUUUUUUAUGGAUUUGAGUGAAUUUUAAAAAUAAUUGUCUUAUAUAUGUAUACAUGACUAAUUUGUUGUUUAUCUUAUAAAAUAUAGAUAUCCAGAAGCUAAACAAUUCUAUUUUAAACCAUUAGCAAAUGUGGAAGAAUUAGAGGCAUUGUUUGGAGGAGUGUUAGCUACUAGGUCUAAAAAUUGGAGCUCUGGAGGAGUGAUAGCUUCUGGGGCUGAGGAAUCAUCAACACAUUCUACAUCUAUGCCUAGCGAAACUUCAAUUAGUUUAGAAGAAGAUGAGGAUUUGCCAAGAAAUACUAAUGAUGAAGCAGAAGGUUCUAAGAAAAAACAAAAGAAAGGAAAGAAAGAGCAAACUCAAGAAGAAAUGAAUAGAAUAAUGAAUGUGUUGGAGAAUUUUGAAGGACCCUAAGUCAAAGAAUUUUGAAGAGGCUCUUGACUUAUGAGGAUCCAUUAUACUAUGUAGCAAUUAAUUCAUUUUGCAAGAAGAAAGAGUAUAGAGAGGUGUGGAUGGAGAUGGAAAGUGACGAAGAGCGAAUGGGAUGGAUUCAAAGCUUGCGAAAAUAACUUUUUGAAUAUUUGUUUUAGAUUUGUGGAAUGCAUAGGGUAUAUGACUUAUAUGAUGAUUUUAAUUUGGUACAUUUGGUUUGUUUGUUUUGGAUAUUUGAUACAUUUAAACUUUUCCAAUUAUAAAGACUUUCUCUCUACAUUUUAUUGAUAUUUGUUUUGGAUAUUUGUUACUCAUACAUUGUUAUAACUAUUUGAUUAUAUUGUUAUGCUUUUAUUUCAUAACUAUUGUUUUUUUAUAAUAGAUAUUCUUAUGGAGAAUCCUUCACAUCACUCAAAUAGUUCAAGUUCAUCAUCAUCAAGUGAAGAUGAAGAUACAAAGUUAGAAGUGACAAGAAUUUUUUUUAAAAAAAAGAUUGGUUGUGUUGUUGCUCAAAUUAUUAAGUGACUCAUCCAUUAAUAAGGAACGAGUCUCUACUUCAUCAUUUAUAGGUUCACUUUUCAUUCAAGAGCUUUUAAAUGGUUCAUCUAGCACAUGUUAUGAACUAAUGCGGAUGGAAAAACAUGGAUUUAUUUCUUUAUGUCACAUGUUUCGAGAAAAAGGAUGGCUUGUUGACAGUAAACAUUUGAAUGUUGAAGAAAAAAUGGUCAUGUUUCUUAUGACUAUUAGUCAUAAUCUUCGGAAUCGAUUGAUUAAGAAUAGAUUCCAACACUCAAGUCAAACAAUUCACAAAUACUUCCAUGAGGUUUUAGUGGCCAUGGUGAAUUUCUCAAAAGAGAUGAUUACUCUUCCAUUAUUCAAUGAUAGUUCAAAUGGUAUCUCCAAUCGUCGGCUAAGACAAAUUUUUAAGGUAUAUUAUUUUUAUUUCUAAUUAUUCAUAUCAUAUUUGUAUUAUUCUCAUAUAAAAAUAAUUAUUUAUAUUUUAAGGAAUUAUUACCAUGUAGAAUGUUGUUGGUGCAAUUGAUGGAACUCUUAUCCAUGCAUGUAUUCCUACUAAUCAACAAGUACCUUAUCGAGGUCGUGGGAAAGGAGAAUGUUUUCAAAAUGUUAUGGCAGUUUGUGAUUUUGACAUUAUAUUUAGGUUUGUUGUUGUUGGAUGGGAAGGAACAACUCAUGAUUCAAGAGUCUUGACAGAAACUAUCCAUUACCCGCAACAUAAUUUUCCAAUGGCCCCAUCAGGUAAAUAUUUUAUUUUCAUUUUAUUUAAUAUAAUUUGUAUUUAUUCAUUAUAAUAAUAAACUCAAUCCUUUUUUUCUUCAGAAAAAUAUUAUUUAGUAGAUGCAGCAUACACACACACUCGAGGUUUUAUGGCACCAUAUCGUAAUGUGCGCUAAUAAUUGGUUGAGUGAUUUUCGUAGUGGUGGUAAAGCUGUAGGAAAAAAGGAGAUAUUCAACCAAUGCCAUACAAGAUUAAGAAAUGCCAUUGAAUGUGCUUUUGGUAUUGGGCGCAUUUCCCAGUAUUGAAGAGAAUGACACCUUAUUCGUUUACUACUCAAACAAAAAUUGUCAUGACAUGCUUCUCCAUUCACAAUUUUCUUCGACAAAUCUCAGUUGUGGAUAGAUUAUUUUCUAAAUAUGGCAAUGAAGUGGAAUUGGAAAGUGUUUAUGCAAAUCAAAAUCAAAACUCAACUACAAGCAGUUUUUUUGCAGCAUCUAAUCAAGAAUUCAUGCAACAAUUCUGAGACCAAAUCGCAAAUGAACUCUUUCAAGUGUUUAGUUAACUUGUCAUUUUUAGCUUUUUACCAUUGUAAGAAAUGCAAUGUUUAGAUAUUAGCAUAAAAUGUGAUGUCUUCGAAUAUUUGAAAAUAUGUACUUGAAUUGUUAUGUUUUUUCUUUAAUUUGAUUUAGGUUUUGUCAAUUCAUUAUUUUUCAUAUUAUUAAGUUUAAAUAUUUUAUUUUAAUUAUAUAAAAAAUAAAUAUAUUAAUUAUUUUUUGUAAGAAUGAUAAUGAUAUAUUAUUUAUUAUAACAAUUUUAUUAUUUUGAACUAUUUAGAAAUAAGUUAAAUUAUAUUUUUUUAAUACAUUAAAAUAUUAAGAUUUAGUUUUUAGUAUAUAAAAAAACAAACAACUUAAUACUUAAUAGAAAUAAAAUAUUAAAAAAAACAAACAACUUAAUACUUAAUACUAUUAAGUAUUAUUUAGUAUUAAGUUAAAAAUAAGUUCUAUUUAGAAUUAAGCAAAAAAAAAACAAACGCCACCUUAGUCUAAAGCUUAAAGAUAUUGCACCAAACAUAUAUAUAUUCAAAGUCAUCAUAUAAAUAAAAUAUUAAAAGGAUAUAUGAUUAAAUGAAAAAGUUUCAUUUAAUUGAUUACCAAAAAUGUAAAAACUAUUAUAAUAAAUUUCUUCAUAGUGUUUUUAAUAUCAUUAAUAGAUUAAUUAAAUAUUAAAAAAUUGUUCAUAUAUCACAAUUUAUUUUAUAUCAUUUAAUACAAUUGAAUUAAAUGGAUCAUAAUUUUAAUAUUAAAUAUAUUUUAAAAUUAGGUAUAUUAUAAUCAAAUAUCACAAUAUUAUUAUGAAAUAAUAUUUUAUGUAAUUUAAUAAUAAAUGUGCACUUAUAAAAUUCAUAUUUUUUAUUGACACAUACAAUAUUAUUAUCAAAUAUGAUAAAUCAUAUUAUAUAUAUAUAUAUAUAUAUAUAUAUCAAAAUCUUCAACAAAACAAUUUUUAAAUGUUUAUUAUACUUUUAAUUACAUUUUUAUGAAGUUUUCUUACAUUUCCAUGAAUUUUCAUCAAUUUUAGGCCCACCGAUAUUUUUUUUCAAAAUAUCCACCAAUAUAUCUCCGAUAUAUCCGUAAAAUUGAAGUACCAAUAUAUCCGUGAUUAUUGAUAUUUUCAUCCUUAGUGAUGAGUGCUACUAAAAGUUCUUUUAGCCAAUGGUAGAUUUUGACCCCUACUAAAAGUUGAGAUAAAAAUAAGGGAGUUUGAUAAGUUGUUUUGAAAAACAAUUUAAAAGUCAAAGAUAAAAAAAAAUAAAAAAACUUGUUAAAUAAAUUGUUUUUGAGAGUAACUUUUCUAUUUUGAUUUUAUAAAAAUAUUGUAAAUAUAAUUUAUUAAUAUUAAUUAAAUUUAAUUCAAGUCUUUCUAAAAAUGAAAUUAGUUUUUUUAAUUAUAAAUAGAUUUAAAAAGAAAUAAUUUUUAGAAAAACAUGAACAAUAAUAAUAUUAUAAUAAAAUAAAAAUAUUUUUAUUAAAAAAAACUAUUUUCGUAUAUGUUAAAAAAUUAUAGAUAUUAACAUCUUCACGAAAAUAUAAUUGAUUUCUUUUCUAUUAAAAAUGAAUAAUAAUAAUAAUUGUUAAUAAUUAUAAGUUUAUAUAGUAAAUUUAGUUGACACAUGCACUUCCAUUCAUCACUUAUUAUGAAGAAAAGUCAUAAACAACCUAAAAAAACUCCAAAUAUUACAAUUUCUAAAUGAGCCUGAUACAAUUCAAAUUUGAUUGAAGCAUUUAGAACUUGUUUUGAUGUGUUUUGAAGGUUAAAACUCGAUCACCAAUGGCUGAGUUUGAAACUAGAGUGAGUUUAAAAUCAAUUUCAAACUCGUAAGUGUGGGAAAAUGCUUAAUUUUGAAAUAAAAAAAGUUGUGAGUCCAAUGCUUUAAAUGAUGUGCAAACCAUAUCUAAAACGAGGAAGUUACUUGCAUUUGAAGUGAACUAGGUAGAAAAGAAUGUUGAGUUCUUGAUACCUUGAAUUUGAAAUAAUUUUUGGCCAUUUAGAACUCAGAGGAAUGCAAGGAUGCUUUGGCAAAGGCUAAGUUCAAACCCCUUUACCUAUUUCAAACAAAAGACGCGCAUUUUAGACCCGAAAACAUGGUGAAAUGGCUUGGGCAAUAAGUGAGUUAGAAAUUCAUAAUGAAUUUCGAACUCGCUUGAAUUUUGAAUUGAGCUUUUCCUAUACUUAUGAGUUCAAAAUUAACUUUGAACUUGCUCGAAAUACAAACUCAGUCAUUGAUGAUUGAGUUUUGAGCUCCAAAACACGUUAAAACGAGUUUUAAAUGCCUUCAUCCAAGUCAAAAUGCAUGAUACUCAUUUAGAACUCAUAAUAUUUGGAGUCUUUUAAGUUGUUGAUGACUUUUAUUUGUAAUAAGUGGCCAAUGGAAGUGUGCCACAUGUUAGGUUAUUGAAUUUAUUAUAUAAACUCUUUUAGUUUUAAGAAUGGAGGAUGAGAGAGGGAACAUAGAGAGGGAUUGAUCUCUCUUGUUGAAAGUCUUUAAUAAAGUUUGAGGUUUUUUUUUCUUUCUUUUUCCAUCUUUUUAUUUUAUUUCUUAGUAGCCAAACAUGGGUUGUGAGGAGAAAUCCUCCACCAUAUUUGGCUAACUUGAUUGAUCCAGAGAUGCUAGCAUGAAGGUGAAAAAUCCAAAGAAGAGUAGUAAGAAACGAUAAUGUAUGAAAUGGUUUGAUUAUGCUUACAAGUUUUAAUUGGUAGAAAUAAAUCUUCUAUGUUAGUUCCCCUAGAUAAAUUACAAAGCAUUCUUAUCAAGAGACUAGUGAUUCUUGGGAAUACCUUGAUCACUAAUUACUAUAACUUAAUCUUAUUAUUAGCGAAUUUAAUGAUCAAAUCUACAGAGAUAGAUAUAGGCUUUUUGAUUGAAUAAAAUUGAAAAUCAAAAUUAACCAUCAUUUUUUAAUUAGUUUAAGAGAUUUGUGUUUCAAAAAUAAAAAUUUAAUGAGAUUAAUGAAUGGUUUGCAUUACAAUUUAUGCAUCUUUGGUCCUAUCAUUGUGAGUUGUUUUAGGAAAUGAUAUCGUAGAUUAUUACCCGAUACUAGUGAUUCUUUGUAACUCCUGAUCAUUAAUUAUUUUUAUCUAUCCUAUCAUUAUCUGCCUCAAAAUAAAGCUAAAAGGAGUAAUAAGGGUUUAAAAACCUAACCUUGAACUAGUAAUCAAUCUCAUUCACUUGAUGGUUUUAGAAAUCUAUUUCAAAAAGGAAAAAUCUAAGUUUUGGAUGCUAUAUUGAUCUUACAAUUAAAUUUAGCCAUGGAUUCACUUUGAUCCUAAAACUUAGGUUUUGUAAUGCUCUCUCUCUAAGGAUUUGACACUAGAUUGUGAAACUCUCUAGGACAUUCUUUCUUUUGUUUUAUUUUAUUUUAUUUUAUUUCACUAAAUAUUUUAAGAAAUCCUUAUUCAUAUUUUAUCAUUAUUUAUUUAAUUUGAUGUUUCAUUAACUUUAGUAAAUAAUUAACCAUUCUAACCUAAAAACAAUCGAACACAUUAGAGUUGAUCCUAGAAGAUGAUAACAUAAAUACUAUAAAACUGUGGUAACUAUAUCUAGCUUUUCUUGGGCAAAGUUACCACAUAUUUACACUUAAGUAUUUUUUUUACAAUAGAAAUUUUCAGUUAGUUAUCUAGGGAGAAAGCUCCCCCUCAAUAGGUGCAUUGAAUAUUAAGUUAAUUAGACUCAAAACUAACUGGACAAAAAUACUUAAAUUAAAUGAAAUGAUCAUUCCAAAAUUAGUUAAGUAUAGACCAAUGCUAGCUAAGAAGAUCAAGAAUCCCAUGAAUAGCAUGUAUAAUCCAUGAGAAUCAUAUAUAAGCCAUAUAUGCAUAUAUCAAGUAGUAGUGAAUGGAGUACAUGGAAAUGGUAAAAACAAAGCACAUCCGACAUAAUAGCAAAAUAUGAUGUCUAAAAUACAACAUCUAGAGUAACAUCAAACAUGUCCAGAAUGCCUAUAUGAGAAUAUCUCCCCGUUUGGUAACAUAAAGUAUAAAGGAGAAAUCAUUGCAACUCAAAAUCAAGGUUAGGAAUGUGGAGGUAGAAAGACCAAACGAAGAUGGUUCAUCAUCUGAUCGUAUUAAGCCUAAAGAUGAGUAGUAAAAAGUACCUGACACUAAUCUAACUGAAUAGUUAAAGUCGUCUCAUACUGAUCCAUAUGGUCCUUAAUCAAAUAGAAACAAGUACUAUUCAUGAGUAGCUCCUUUACCUAAGUACUGAGCGAACUAAUUUGUGCUGAUAUAUCUACCUAGAGUUACUAAUUAACUAAUGGAGAUGAGUGUGGUGUAGUAAACAUAACAACUGAAGCCGAACACAUCUUAGUGAAGACAAGAUUAGAAUGGAAUGUCUUCUUAGUAAGUAUUGUUGGCUCAUGUUGAAAGGUUUAAAAGGUUGCUUUUGGCUACUCGGUAUGGAAAGGCUCCUCAAUCUACAUCUCCUUAGUCCCAUUGCCCUAUGAGAACUCUUUACCCUUCAUAUCAAGUUCCUUGAUUUCCUCCUCAGCAUAGUCCUUACAAACCUUCUGUCCACCCCUCUUGUGAACCCAGGACCCAUCAAUAAGGUGCUCAAAGUGCAUAUGACCUAUGGAUUUCACAUUGUAAAUAUCAUAUGCUCUAAGAGGUUUAAUGUCAUUCGUAGUCCUUAAAUCCACAUUGAAUGCCUUCAAAAUCUAAGUCAAUAGGCAUCCAUAGUAAAGUAUCUUAGACUUAAUCUCACAACACUUCAUUAUGUGCUAAAGAAUAAUGAAUCCAAGAUUGAUUCUCUUAUCAACUAGGAUGGAAUCAAUCAGAAAAGCUCAUAAUAGGAUACCUCAUCUUGAUGUCCUCCUUUAAGAAUAAAUAUAUGACUAAUCAUGUGAUCUAGGACUCGACUAAUCAAUGUGAGAACAUGAACAUGAGGCUUGGUAGUUGUAGUGUCAAAUAGAAGAUUACAUAACUUUUUUUUCACAAAUCAGAGGGUUGGUCGAGUCCAUCAACUCCUCUUGUAUUUGAAUGUUGUGGUCGUUUGGGCGAAUGUACUAUAAGGCUAGGGUGUACACCUUUCCUGACAGCAAUUGCUUUUAGGAGAGCUAGUAGCAUCUGAAGUCCUAUAAGUGGUAUCAGAGUUAAGCCUCUUGUUUAAGACUUAACCGUUUAAGAGGAAACGACUAAUUUAUCAAGUUCAUCUCAUAUUGAAAGUUUUGCAACCAAUAGACCUCCAUUUUUUUUAUAGGAACUAAUUAUUCCUAUUGGAAAAAAAAUGAUUUGGUUUUUAAAAUCUACUAAUCUUGAUCUAUGGGAUAUCAUUGAAGAUGGUCCUCACAUUCCUUCAAAAUUAUAAAAUGGAGUGAUGGUUCCAAAACCUAAGCAAGAAUGAGGUGAACUUGAUAAAAAAAAAAUUCAAUUAAAUGCCAAAUAUGUUUAUAUCUUUCAUUGUGCUACUAAUAGAAAUGAAUUUAAUCAUGUUUGACAAUGUAAAUUGACUAAAGAAAUUUGGAGACUAUUGGAAAUCACUCAUGAGGGAACCAACCAAGUUAAAGAGUUUAGAAUCAACAUCAUUGUGCAUUAUUCUAUGAAGGAUUUUGAAUCUAUUAUAGAGAUGUUUUCUAGGUUCAUGGUGAUUGUGAAGGAACUUUAAGCCUUGGGAAAGACCUACACCGAAGUAGAGAAAAUCAUGAAGAACUUAAGGUCUUUACCAAAGAAAUGGAAAACAAAAGUAAUGGCUAUUCAAGAAGCGACAAGAAUGGGAAUAUAUAUAUAUAUAUAUAAUAGAGAACAUAGCUCUCAAAGCUACAACCAAGGAAGAAGAAGAAGUUGAAGAAGAAAAACAAAGUGAAGAAGGUGAAAAGUUAGCCCUCAUCACAAGAAAGUCUAACAAGUUCAUGAGGGGUGAAAGGUUUAGAGGAAGAAGGUUCACUUCCAGAAGAGACUCUUCUAAAAAGGAAUCUUCAUCCCAUGGUGACAAUGAGAGAUGGGAGGAGAAAAGAGACUUGGUAUUCUUCAUGUGCAAGAAACUGGGACACUUUAAAUAUGAUUGUCUUUUCUACAAAAGUGAAGCCAAAAGGAGAAAGAAGAAGGCAAUGAUGACCACUUGGAGUGAAAGUGAAGAUGAAUCAUUCGAAGAAAUGAGAAAAAAGUGGCAAACAUAUGUUUCAUGGCAAUAGAUGAACUUGAUGAGGUAAACUCUAACAUUAGCUAUGAGGGUAUACAUUAUGCUUUUGAAGAAAGUUCAACAACUUGAAAAAGAACUUGGAGAAGUAAACGGAAAAUUUUCAAAUGUUUAAGAUUCUAAAACUUGUCUUGAAAAAAAGAAUGAGAUUUUAAGAAAGAAAAAUGAAUGGUUGACCUCCUCUCUUUCAAUUUUUUCUUGUGGACAAGAAUAUUUUGAAAUGAUCCUAACUAACCAAAAAUGUAUUUUGACAAACAAGGGUUAUGAUUCAAAUCUUCAAAAAAUCAAAAGUGUUUUAAGAACUAUUUUGUAAAGGAAUCCACAAGUGUCAAUCCUUCCACCACUUGAAACUUUUGUGGAAAAGAAUGACACAUUAGUAGCACACGCCUUUUAAGAAAUGGUUCUCAAAAGAAUUUACAUGCAAAAGCUAAAAAGAAUUGGGUUGAAAAAUUCAAGGUCACUAACCCUCAAGGACCUAAGAAGACAUGGGUACCUAAAUCAACUUGAGUUAUGUGUUUUAGAGUUCAAAGAAGCAUAAGUGGUUCUUGGAUAGUGGAUGCUCAAGACACAUGACCGGAGAUGAAUCCAAGUUUGCUUUUCUUUCAAAGAAAAAAUGAGGAUAUGUUUGUUACCUUUGGAGACAAUGAAAAAGGAAAAAUCAUUGGUCAAGGCAACAUUGGUAAUGACACAACCUCAUUGAAAAUGUUUUACUAGUAGAUGUUUUAAAACAUAAUCUUUUAAUCAUUAGUCAACUUUGUGACAAAGGUUUUAAAGGGAUUUUUGAAGCAUCUCAUUGCAUUACAAAGGAUAUUCAAAAUGACAAUAAUCUUCAUGGGCCAUAGAUGUGAUAAUGUUUACACUAUAAAUAUUUCAAAAUAUGAUGGUCAUGAUGUUUUUCAAGCAUGCAUGAUCAAAGUUGGUUGUGACAUAGGAGAUUGGGACAUGCUAACAUGGACCUCAUUUCCCAACUCAAUAAAAAUAAAUUUGUUAGAGGUCGUCUCAAAAUUAUUUUCAAAAAGAUAAAAGCUUGUGAAGCUUGUCAACUGGGAAAACAAAUAAAAAACUCUUUUAAAAACAAAAACUUCAUUUCCAUAACUAGACAACUUGAGUUAUUGCAUAUGGAUUUAUUUGGUCCCUCUAAGACACCAAGUCUUGGAGAAAAGUCUUAUGGUUAUGUUAUUGUCAAGUGGGCACAUAGCUUGAUGGUCAUUAGUAGAGUGCUACAUCAUAUGUUAUGCUUCAUUUUCCUACCAUGGGGUGGGCACCGAGAUGAGGUUUCCUAUUACAAGGCAUUCCUUAUAGAUUCCAUUUUGACUAGGAGACAAAUCCAUUUAGGAUAUCUGAUGAUGAUGCACAUGAUUGCAUGUUGCGAGAACACAACUCGAGUAUUCCCCUAUGGUCGCUACCUUUCUUGAGUAUUCAAGGAUAAAGGCAUUAACCUUAGUAAAGAGACAGAAUUUGAGGUCCCUAAUACAUAUGAGACAUUGAUGAUCAGUUUAUGGGGGGGAUGACAUUUGAGAAGGCUCCAGAUGGUUCUUGGAUUAGAAAAGCAGAAAGAACACAACCACGGGGAUAGGGAUAGACACACUUUGGAGUUGAGGAAGAGACAGAGAUUAGAUAGAUGGAGGGUGGAGUAAACCCUCAGGGUGGCAUAGACCUUCAGAGUGGCCACCAGCAGAAAGGGCCUGAGCUUGAUAUUCCCCCACUUCAGACAGAGAUUCUUUCACAGACUGAGGGUUUUCAAUUUGAGUCCACUUUCUUUGAGCCGAUUAUGACAUAGCAUACUUUUAUAGAGGGGCCAUCUACUUAGUCAUCAUACAUCGAACCCUCCUUAUUUGGACUAGUAUUCAUCGAGCCCACCUAUAUUGAGAUACUACCUCCUCAGACACCUCCUGCUCCUAACCAUGUUCCUUAGAUAGAUUUAUCGGCUCAAAUUAACUCCCUUAGUACUCGUAUGGAGGAGCUUGUAGUGGUCAAUGAUACACAAUUUUACUUUAUGGAGGAUAUAAUGGACUAGUAUCAGAUUGGGUUCACUACUCAGUUUGAGUAUCUCUAGUAGAGGAUUGAUCACAUGGAGCAGAGGAUUGAUCACAUUGAGGAUCACAUGGAGCAUCAGCAUAAGGAGAUGAUGACCUACUUGCAUUUCGUGUUUCCACAUCCAUCUCCUCAACCUUGAUGACUAGUUGGGAACCCCCUUAUUCUUUUUUUAUGUUGCCAAAGAGUGAGAUAGUUUAGGAUCUAGGAAGAUCUAGGAAGGUAGAUAUAGAAGACUCAUAAUCAUACAUGCAUAUCAUUUUUUUGUUUGGAUCAUAUAUUGCUUAUCUCUAAUUACUUUAGCUUGUUGGACAUAUAAUGUUCUGACUGAUACAUUUGACAUGAAAUAUGAUAUGCUUAUAUAUUUGAUGACUUACAUUAGAUGUUCCUUGUUGCAAUACUUUCUAACAUGUCUUGAUCAUCGUGUUUUUAAUUUCUUAAAUAUUGAUUGUUGGUCCAUGAUUGGUUUGAGGGGAGAUUAUUUUUUUCCUAGAUAACCAAGGUUUUUCAUCACAAAAAAUAAGAGAUUGUUAGCCCAAGGAUUCUCAUAAUCAUGUUUUGAUGAUAACAAACCAUGAUUAAGUUGCUAAUUGGUUUAAAUUAUAAAGAAUUUUAGAUAUUAGUUUGAAAAUUCAUCAAAUGACCCAAUGGAUGUAAGAUCAAGGAAAUUGGAAGACCUUUAAUCAUAAAAAAAAACAUAUGUAGGAUGAAUGCAUUGUUGCACUUAGGAUUUUCAUAUUUUUUUCAUGCAUCUUUAAAAACUCAGUUUAUGCAUUAAAGUUACAUUUCCAUCAAAACUCGAGUUUUACCAAAUGAACCUUAGGCAAAUCAUUUCAAAAUUGACAUAAUAAUUAACCUAAAGACCUUGAUUAAGUGUUAGAAGAGAAAAUAAUAGAAAAAUAUAGGUUUUUGGGCCAAAAAUGGUGAACCAGUUGAGGUACUAGCCAAUCGACUCAAUUGGCUAGGGUACUGGUUGACCGGUUACACCUAUCCGGUCGAGGUCCGGUUGAGAAAUACAAAAAAUCUUUUCUCUAUUCCAGAAUGCUUGUUUAACCGGUCAAAGUUUAACCUCAAUUGGUCAAGGUUGAACCUCAACCGAUCGAGGGGCGGUCAAACGGCGAUCGAGGUCCAACGGUCACCUACCAAGCAUUAAAUGCUAACGACUAGUCAACCGGUUGAAUCGAAACUCGAUUGGACGAACCCCUAAUGACUAGUUUGGCAUUUUUCCUCUAUAAAAAGGCUCAAAUCUUCAUUAUUUCAAGAGCUUAACCUUCCUAAACAUUUCUUGAAUAUAUUUGAGCCUCAUGAGAGUGUUUUUGAGUGCACAAUUGUUCUAAAACUUGCAUAUCAUUAGUGCACCAUUCAAUCCUAAUUUUUCUUGUACAUUUGAGCCUAAAGUUUUGCAUUGGGAUUUUAUGAGAUUAUUUCUUCAUUUGUAAAUCUUUGAAAGGAAAAAUCUAAGUGUGAGGUAUCACUUAAGGGGCUAUUCAAGAGUGAGGUAUCUCUUGAAGAUUGUAAAGGGUGCUUGGAGCCUAAAGUCCAAGAGGGUGGAUUGGAACCAUAAUCCAAUUGUAUUGCUUGAAAGCUUGGUUUGGAAGCCUUGAAUUAGUGGAACCUCAAGCUUAGGAUUGAAGGUAGAGGAGAGUGGAUGUAAGCUGGGUUGCAUCGAACUACUAUAAAAUUUUGUGUUUGCAUUCUCUUUUCCCUACUCUUUUACUUUAUAUGCAAUUUGUCUUUAUAUUAUUUUAUUAUAUAUUUGAAUAUAAUUAUCUCUUGUAUUUACAUAAUUUAAAUUUGUAAAAAAAAAAACCAUCAACCUAUUCACCCCCCCUCUAAGGUGAUUAUUUUAGGUUAGAUUAGCCCAAUUUUUAUAACACCUUUGUAUAACUUUACCAACAUCAAAGUAAUCUUGGCUCAACCACCCUUUCGUCUUAAAGAGACAAUGUAGCUUUAUAUGAACUCCUUUGACUAGUGAAAUGAUUGGGCCACCCAUCUCAUAUCGCAUGUUUGAAUAUAACAUGUAUACCAAGGUCAGGCAAAAAAACUCUCAACAAGUCACCACAGAUAGCUAUCACAUCCUGGCGAAUAACUCCUCAAAUUGAAAAUAUGAUAGUUAGCCAAAAUAAAUAUUACAACUCGGAACCACCAUCUAGGCUGCAAACAAAUGAGUGUAUCAUUGGUAGUACUCCUCCAUGGAUGCUAAGCUCUAAGUGUUAAAUCAAGCUUUUCUCCUAGCCUCAACCUUAAAACUCUCUAUAUAUAGGACACUUGCCUUAGACCUUUGAUGUUGUAGUAACUUUCUGGGGAGCCAUGACACUUUAGUACAUUCACAAGAAUAAGGGGAAAAGUCCAAGAAAGUGAAAAAAAAAAAACAAAGGGAAAAGUGGAAAACGACCACAGUUCAAGAAAUGAAAGGUAAAAACAUAGAGUUCCAAGGAAAUAUCUCUCAAAAUGGCCUACAUAAGAGUUUUAGAGAAACCUUAAAGAGAGAAAUUAGUUUAGACCCUUAGGGUUCAGACCCUCUGCUGGUUGAGCAAUUGGUUCAACUGGUCCUUAAUCGAUUGAGGCUUUACCUUAACCAACUACACCACAACUAUUGUAUAUUAAGGGUGCACAAAGUGCGUCAUGAUGAGUCAAUGCCCAAUUGGCUCAACUAGUUCAUUGGGUCCUCAAUUGGUUGCAAUGUGAAGUGCUUAAGAGACUCAAUUUGAGGUAUGGAACCUUUAGAAACUUGUGUAAACCUUCUUAAAGAUAAGUUUAAAAUGAAUUUGGCUUAAGGUUUUAAUUUAAAACAAAAAUUUAUCCAAUGCUUUGGUAAAAAUGAUCAUUUUAAGUCUAAGGAAGGAUGAAAUUGAAUUUUUAAGUGCAUGAAAAUGAUUUAGACAUUUGAAAGUUGAGUUUAGGUUUGGGUAUUGAUCUUCUUCCAUUAUUCUUUGGGUUUUCUUUGAAUUUUUGUAAGUAAACCUGAAAACUUAAUUUGAUCUAAAUCAUUAGUAACUUUAGUCUUAUUUUGUAAUCGCCAAAAUUCAAUUAGAAUAACCUUUGAGCUAACACCUAUGGUGAUAGCAAAGACAAAGUUAUCUUGCUUAUGGAUAUAUAAAUGACCUUGAUAAAAGGGCAUUUGCAUGUUGUAAAAAGGUAGUAGCAACCAAGGGUCUUUGAAUGAGUCAAGGGACAAGUGACAAAUGACUAAAACUUUCAAAUAUGCUAAAGCCAUUUGAAACUAAAACUUAAGUUUCAAUUUAAAAGAGUUUGAAUUUGAAUUGAACGUUUGUUAUGAACAAACAGACAUUGUCACCAAGGUUUGUUGAAAUAGGCUUUCACUCACCCCUAAGGCAAGAUGGGUCUCCGUGCACUAGCAUUCCCACUUAGCUUGAGCGAGGUGUUAAUGAAGAUAAUCUUAGUAUUCACGAAAGAACAUGAUUGACAAAUCAUACCAACUCAAUAACCACAUUUAUCGACAAUUCAACCAAGAUUAUAAAAAACAAUUCAAUGUAGCAUGUGCUAAUUCUAUUCUCUUUACUGUUGUUAUCAUGAUAUGUAUUCAAUGUAUUUUCAUAAUUUUCCUUUUAGUACAAGAACUUGUUUGUUUAUACAAAUAAGAUUGUACAUUCUUGAUAAUAUAAUUUAGAGCUUCCAUAACCAAAUUCUGAAAAAACUUUUCAUUAUUUCGUGUUAUGAUGGAUUACUGCAAAACUAACUUAUAUUUUAAUAUUUUUUCUAGUUUUUUUUUUCCUUUUUUUUUAAUAAUUUGGUCCAUUAUGUUUUAUACUUUUAAAUUUUCAUGUUAAAAAUUGUUUUAUAACUUGUUUGAUUUAUUUUAACCAAAAAGUUAAAUUCUAAAACCCCUUUACAAAAAAUGUAUGUUUGAUUUUUUUUCCUAUUUAGAAUGUAAGAGCAUUUAAAUAUUAAAUCAUCUUUUUAAGAGCACUUAACAAAAGUAUGUUUUUUCAACUUGAAUAAAGCUUUGAUAUUCCAAUCAACUUCUAUCACAUUUUAAGAUUGGCCAUAAGGAACGUAGUGUUCUUCUAGGUAAGUUGAUUGUGUAAAAUGGUUGCAUACAUACGAGACUUUAAUUUCGUAUUGAAGAUUUUUUUUUUUUUUAAUGUGAUUUAGGUUUAUUUGGAAAUAUUUUUUAAAACAAUUUUGAAAAAAAAAUGAUUAUUGAAAAUAGUUUUCAAAAAAGGUAUAUGGUAUUUUUUUUUUUAGAAUAAAAGUACUGUAGACCUAUUUUUUUUUUUUUAGUUUUGGUUUUCUUGAUAUAUUUAUUUUUUUUAGUCUUUCCCGCCACUUUGGGGAGCACCCGGAAGAAGACAUUUGGAUUGGGGGACCGGCUUCUAAAAAACUCCAUGCAUGAGGCGCGUGGCUGUGGAGAGGACUACAGCCAUGGUGGUGGUUGGGACUACACGGAUGCUGAAUAGGGAACAGGAGAGCAGGUGCUAGCUUUCCGGAUCGGGAGAGGGAGAAAGGGCAGGAAGGAGGCUGGGGGGGAGAAAGUCUAGCGAUGGGGGGGUAUAUUUUUUUAGAGAGAAAAGCAGGAGAGAAGAGGCAUUUCAGGGAGGGGGGGAAGAGAAGAGACUUCCAGAUCAGAGCUACAUUCUUCCUGCUUCUCUUAGCGGCGGUCCAGUCGUGGGUCCCGGUGGCUGGAGUCGGACUUCCCAGAUGUCGAAAAUGUAUGUUACACUUGAUGUAUUUAUCUCAUUCAUUUUAUUAAUUUAUUGGUUUUGAUUGUAUGAUUAAUAUGUUUAUGUUUUCAGUUUUUAUGCUCUUAAUAUUUAAGCCUAUAUUUUAAUUUUUUUAGAUAUUUAAGGGGUGGGAAAAUUGGUUUUGUAAGGCCCUGUUCGGCCUAGAAGAACAGGCUGUUAUAAAAAUUCAGCCGUGGUCACUUGGGCAUUAGGAUGUGUGCGGGCUAUGGUGAGAGCUCAAGCUCAGCACGCAUGGGACAGGUCCAGAUUAUUGGAUCAUCACGUUCAAGUGGCAAGCCUUCCCAUUUCCACCACCUGUCCAUAAUGAUGGACACUCCAUCAUGAACUCUUUGACUUAACCCAGACAACAUGGAAAAUUGAUUCACCACAACCUUUUUUUUUUUACUUAUUAUUUAUUCAUUAUUUCUUUACAGCUUGAUAUCAAAAUAUUUUUUUCAACAUUCCAAUUUUCAAGAUUUAAUCCUCGAAGUUUCCAUUUUUAAACAAUUUUUUUUUUCAAAAUUCCAAUUUUCCGACUUCCCAAAUUUAGAGCCCGUUUGAUAGUGAUUCUAGUGGAAGUGUUUUUAUUUGAAGUGUUUUCUGUUAUAGUGUUUCUGUGAAAAACACUUUUAUGAUAAUCAGAAAAAAUGAUUCUAAAGUGUUUUUGAUAAUAUAUUGUAUAAAUAUAAAAACACUUUUAAUAUUAAUAAAUUACCAAAAAGGACAUACAAUUUUAAUUAAAAAAAAUGGUAUGAUAAACAAAAAAAACUUUUUAUUAAUGAAAAAACAUCUAAAUCACUAAAAAAAUAACAUUGAAUAAAAGAUAAUUUUAAAAUUAAAACAAUAUAUGAUUACCUAUUAAUUUCUAAAAAAAAAAAGAAUUUUCUAAUUAAAAAUAAUAAUUUUUUUAUCACUAUACUAAAAUUUUAAAAAAUAUUUACAAAAAACAUCUAAAUCAAUAAAAAAAAAAAGAUUGAAUAAAAGAUAAUUUUAAAAGUAAAACAAUAUAUGACCACAUAUUAAUUUCUAAAAAAAAAAAAAGAUUUUUCUAAUUGAUUUAUCACUGGGGGCAUUUUUGGAAUAUUUCAAAAAAAUUGAAGUGUUUUUUAAAAAAAAACACCUGUCAAGUGAUUCUCUAAAAAUCACUUCAAGUGUUUUUCCAGAUUUUCAAAAGUGUUUUUUUAAAUUUGCCAAACACUUUAUUUUCAUCCCAAAAACACUUAAAAGUGUUUUUAAAGGUAGAAACACUUUUAAAAAUCACUGUCAAACGGACUCUUAAUCUCCAAUUUCAAAAAUUCCACUAUUCACAUUUAUUUAUUUAAUUAAUUAUUAUUUUUAUUAUUAUUAUUAUUAUUAUUAUUCCAUUUAUUUAUUUAUUUAUUUUUAAAAUUUCAUUUUUAAACAAUUCUUUAAAAUUCCAAUUUUUAAAUUUAAUUCCAAUUUCUAAAAUUCCAAUUUUUAUAUCAAUUUAUUUAAUCAUUAUCACUUUAUUUAUUUGUUUAUUUGUUUAUUUUUAAAAAUUCAAUCUUCAAAUAACUCUUCAAAAUUCCGAUUUCUAAAUUUAAAUUUCAAUUUUCGAAAUUCUAAUUUUCACAUCAAUUUAUUUAAUCAUCAUUAUUUUAUUUCUUUGUUUUAAAAUUCCACCUUUAAACAAUUAUUCAAAAUUUUGAUUUUCAAAAUUUAUUUCCAAAAUUCCAAUUCAAAAAUUUAAUUCCCAAGACUCCAAUUAUCAGAUAAUCUUCAGGACUUCAAUUUUCAAAUAAAUUUCAAAAAACCAGUUUUCACUCGAACAGUUUUAAUUCCACUUUGGUUUUCAAAUAAUCUUCUUUUUCUCUUAAUUUUAUAUAAGCAUGAAUGUCAUUUUCAUAAUUGUGGAACAAUGGAAUUUGUGAGAUUAAUUCGUGCAAGAUCAAUCGGGCUUUGGUGGGGCCCCACAUACGUGAUUUUAUGAUUGAUUUAUUUAUUUGUUGAUUUGUUUGUCACGCGCGAUUGAUUUAUUCUGCUCUAUGACAUGCUAGAAAUUAUUCCUAAAUUGUGCACUAACCCCUCUAUUGAUAGCGCAUGGUGGAUCGUUGCCCAGGUAUGUACCCAUUUUCCCUCUAAUCAAUGUAUAUGCAUGUCCCGAUUCUCAUAUGUGCAUGAUCACUCCGAGUAUUCAUUGAUUCCAUCAUCAAUUGUCAUGAUUGCUUCAUUUUAUUAGUAGAGACCCGACUUUAGGGACUUAGAAGGGUGCUACGGUCUUUACCGUACCUUCCCGAUAAGUAACCUGACCCCCGAACCCGAUCUGCCCCGAACCCGAUCUGGUUUUUCGUAGACCACAUUUUCCAAAUAAGGAGUCACACUUAAGGUUUUUCUUUCUUAUUUUGUUUACCCUUUAAUAAAACAAAAAUAAGUGGCGACUCCAAGUCAUUUUUUUAACCAAUUAAAUCAUUUUUCAAAAUAAAAAUCGAGCUCGUCAUCGAGUGGGAAACGCAUCAGCACGAAAUGCGGGGUCCACAAGUACAUUCCAAAACUUAAAAUACUCUUAAUUUGUUUUUUUGUAUUUGGAAUUUUUUCUUAAAAAUAAUUUAAAUAGUUUUUAAAAAUAAUUAGAAUAUUCUUAUUUUCAAUCAUUCUCUAUAUUUUUCAAUUAUUUUUAAAAAUAAUCCAAAAUAAUUAAAUAUAUAUAUAUAUAUAUAUUUAAAAUACCUUAUUUUUGGAACUAGUUUUCAAAACACUAAUUUUUAUUAAAAAAAUUAUCAAACUUCUUUUUGAAUUUGAAAAAUAUUUUAUAUUUAAUAGAAUAAAAUAUUAAAAAUAGUUAUCAAAUUACUAACUUUUGUUUAUUUUUUUCAAUGUUUUUAGAUGUCAUUGAUAAUAUCGUAAAUAUAUAAUUUAUAUAUUUUUUAAAUUUUAAAAUAUAAAAGUUAGAAUUUUAAAUAUAUUUCAUCAUUUCAUCAUUAAUACUGAUAGAUUAAAUUAUGAUAAGGAUAACAUGCAUGAAGAUUUGUUAAAAUUUUAGUACUUCUAAUGUUAUUAAACAUAUUUAACUUAUAAUUAUUUUUUAAAAUAGUAUUUUAUUAUUUAAAGUUGUUUAAAUUUUAAUAGUUAUAUAUUUUAUUAUUUUCAAAACAAUUAGUUGUUUAUUUAUACUAUUUUGAUGUUUAUUAUCCUAUAAUAUUUGAUAAAUUACAAAUCUUUAUAUUUAUUUUUUAAGUUAUGAAAUUAUAUUACAUAUAUUUUAAAUACAUUUAUAUACAAAAAAGUUGAGACAUCACAGUGCGACACCCUUGUCUUUUUCCCAAUAAAGACCCAAUUAAAUCCUCAUUCCUCAUCCUUCCAUGCCUUUUAAGCAGGUUCGUCGAUUCACCCGAUUAGGUGAACCGAACCAGGUUAAGGUCCGGGAUUUAGGUUUGAUCCGAUUUUUAAAAUAUAGACUGAACAAAGAACCGUCCUUAUCCUCUUUUCCCUUUACAUACGGCAUAGACCUUUUAGGCGAAGACUUGAGUCCUUUGCCAGAUUUAAGUCGUGAAGGUCUACAGAUUCAGUCUCCUAAGAAAUUGGGCAUGAAUCGCAGCCACCAUUCUUGACUUUUUGCUUUGUUUCUCAUGAAUGCGCAUGUACUAUCUAAUCAGACUGGGGACAACACAUUUACUACCAAUUUGCCCGGGAGACUUGGAUUGUUGGGUCAACGUUGGAAUCCAAGUCUACUGCAAAAUAAUAUAAAUAUUAUAAAUAUAAAUCUGAACAAAAUAAGUACAUGGUGAUUUUUUUAUAUUUAAAAUAAAAUAUUAUAUUACAAUCAUUAAAUAAGUUUUAUUCAUUGGAUCGUUUUUAUAAGUAGAUAUAUUUUUAUAUUAAUAAGUAAUUCUUGUAUUACUUAUAAGCAUAUUAGACCGUGUUAUCGCACCAUUAUAAAAAAUAAAAAUAAAAAAUUAGACAAAAAAAAUGAAGGAAAAAAAAGGAUGAAAAAUGAAAAAAAAAAAAAAGGUGAUAUCACGUAGAAUAAAGGGUGUUUGUUAAAAUUUAAUAAGUUGACUUUAAGUUAAAUUAUAUUUAAAUUAUUAUUUAAUUCUUAUUUUAAGUAUUAAAAUUGUUUCAUAAAAUUAACUUAAAACUUAUUUUAAAUCAUCACAUUAAUAUAUUUACUCUCAUAAAUUAUAAUUAGAGUAAAGAAAAUUAAGUAACAGUGGAGAUCAUGAAAUGUUGAAGGAGAUCUUAAAGGUAAUUAAGAUAAAUGAGGGUAAAAAUAUCAAAUAAGAUGUGAAUUUAAGAAUAAGUUAAUUGUUUUUAUAUAUUAUUUGAAGUUGUGUUUUUUACUUAAAGUCAUACCAUUAAAUUAUUUUACCAAACACACUUAAUUUACUUAAUAAUUUAAAUUAAAUUAUUAAAUUACUUUAAUUAUUAAGUUGAUUUAUCAUACACCCUUUAAGUUACAAUAUGUUUAAAAUAUGACAUUAUAUAAAAUACAUUUUUAUUUUAUUUAUGAUAUCACAUGUAAAAACACUAUACAUAUAUCCUAAAAUAUAUUGUAAUAUUACCCCUUCAUACUAAUAUAUCUCAUAACAAAUGAGAUAUAUGUCAUAUAACUGUUGGUUAUAUUCUUUUUACAAAGUUUUUAAAUUUGACCAAAAACUCAAUAUCAAGCAAAUUUUUUUUAAAGAUUUUGGGUCUAUUUGGCAAUUGUUUUAUAUAACAGAAAUAUGUUCAUAAGAAUAGAAAAACAAAAAAACACAUUUGGUAAUAAAAAAUUAUUUUCUAUUUCGGAGAACAAAAACAAAAUGUUUUUAGAGAACAUCUUUUAAUUGUUUUCUAAGUGUUGUUUUUUUAAAAAAAAUUAUACAAGCAUAUAGAAUAAUUAAAAAUAAAAUAUUUGAUAUAAAAAUUAUUUUUAAAAAUAUUUAAAAAAAAGUUAAAAACAUUUUAAGUCUCAAAUAGACUUUUAUUUUACAAAACAUCUUAAAACAACUUUUAAAAAUAAUAUUUUAAAAUUAUUUGAAAAAACAAUUACCAGAACUUUAAUUUUUAAAAUAAUUUUUCUUUAACUAAAAUCUUUUUUAGGAGAGAAACUGAGGAAGAAAGGUAUGUGAUUGUAAUAAAGAGAUGAUUGAUCAUUUUGGUCAAUUAAAACACGGAAUUAUUUUGAAUAUUUGGAAAAUUGUGAUUUCUUCUAAGUUAAAAUCCCUACAUUCCUUCUCAGCAAAAACAACUGAAUGAUCAAAAACCAAUGUUAAAUCAACAUAAAUAUGAACACUUCUGUGGUAUAAAUAAAAUUUAUCUAAAAUAGUAUGAACAAAACAAAAGUUGGCAUGAGAUAUUUUUCUUCAAAAAAGAAAGAAAGAAAAAAGAAAAGUGCAUAAAAAUAAAUAUAUUACUUGUGAUGUCCACGAAUAGGGGAGAAAGUUUUUAACCAUGUAAACGUAUUACUCUCCUCAGUAAAUAGCAACUAUACAACUAUGACUGCUGUUAGAGUUCUCCGUAAAAGGACGUUGUCCAACGUAGUUGCCUGGAGGAUCAUAGUUGCAAGUGACAAACCACCCGCCACUGUUGCACUGAGCCCUAGCGCACCCAAGACGCAAUGAGUUGCGCCAAAUAACUUGAGUAUAGUGCCUGCAUUCCCCACCAACGCAGGAGUUGGAGUUGUAGUCAUAAUUAGUCUUCUCCCCCACCCACAAGUUCACUGCAUCGAUGCCUGUCAAUGAAGGGGAGCCCCAGGCAAGGUUCUCACCGUAAGGCCCACCUGAAUGCACUAGAUUGCAAUCGCCAAUCCUCUGGUUAGUAUAAUUUUGGGCGUAGGCAGCCACAGUGUUGUCCCAUGACAUAGGCCCAACACCAACUUCUGCACGCGCGACAUUGUGAGCAUCGAGGAAGUCUUGUGGAGAGUUUUGGGCAUAGGAGAUGUGAGCAAGGACUAACCCCAUGAAACCAACAACUAGUGAAGAUGAGAUCUUACACAACCCCAUCUUUUAGUUUCUUAAUCCGUGUAAUGCAAAGUGAGAGUUGAGAAAUGAGCAUAUAUGGUUUGAAGGGAAUGUGAAGAACUUGCAAUUUGGUCAGUCAAAAGCAUCAUUAAUAAAGCUUACAAGCAAUCUUUAGGCCACCAAAACUGGGCCCAUGGGCUGUUACGUGUGAAGGACGUUGAGAAAAGGAAAAUUCUACGAAGUGGGUACGUACCUCCAAAAUUCCUGGCCGUUGGAUCAAAAGAUUCCAAUCAAGACCAUCCAAAUGGAAAAUGGAUUAAAAUAAAAAAUGCAAAAGAAGGGUGCAAAAGGUUGCCAGUAGAUAUGCCCCCCUCUAUCUCCCCUCUCUCAAUUUUUGUCACACAUGUCAACAUCAAUUUCAAAAUUUUAAAUUAUUAAUUCUACAUUUGUUUUAUCUAUUUAUAACAAAUAUUACCUUAGAAAGUAAAUUUCAAUCAAUUAUUAUAUUUAAGUAAAAGUUAUUACUAUAUUUUGAUCUAUCUUACAAUGUUUCAAUAUAAUAGGAAAGUGCAAAUACAACUAUCCAAUUACAAAUGCCCUCCAAAAUUUAUUUAAAAUCUAUAGAUUUUUUUAUUUAUUUUAUUUUACUUUAAAUAUUAAUAAAAUUGUUAAUUCGUAUAAUUUCACUUAGAAUUCAUAAAAAAUAUGAGGAAAAAAUAAAAAUAAAAAAUAUUAAAAUUCUUACCCUCACUUAAUUUUAAGAAUUUUUUUUUUCAACUUCAAAUGCCAAUUAAAUUGUUUUUUCAUACUAAUUUCAAUUAGGAUUUUUGAUAAGUAGGAGGGUACAAAGAAGUGUUAUUCGUCAUUUUUAUCAAUUGUAAGUAUAAUUAAUAUUAAUAAGCACUACUAGUACUAUUUGAAGUGGACAAAAAUUGGUUAAAAUUAAAACAAAUGGAAAAUUUGGAGGUACAAAGAAUAUGGGGAAAAGUAUAGAGAAUGUGAGGAAUAAUAGUGUUUAUUCCUCCCAUUUUUUGUGCCUCUCCAAUUUUGUAAUUUUUCUACUUUUAAUUUUUUUUUUUUUUUUUUUUGUAGUAUUCAUACCCUCUCCAAUUUGGUAGUUUUUUACUUUUAAAAUUUUUUUAUUUAUAAUUUCGAUCAAAUUUAAGUAUAAUUAGUAUGAAUAAAUACUAAGAGAAAAAAAUUCUUAAAAUUAAAACAAGUGUAAAUUUGGAGGAUAUGAAGAAGGUGGGAAAAUAAUAUUCACAUUCUUCAUACCCUCCAAAAUUUUCACUUUUUUGAAUUUUAAGAUUUUUUUUCCACUUGAAAUAGUAAUGAUAUUGUAUAUUCAUACCAAUUACACUUUAAAUUUAUGGAAAUUAUACAUAGAAAUUUUAAAACUCAAAAUGCUUCAAAAUUAGGGAGGGUAUGAAGAAUAUGAGGCUCCAAAAUUUUCAAUUUUCUAAUUUUAAGAAUUUUUUCCACUUGAAAUAACAAUUAUAUUGUGUAUUCAUACUAAUUACACAAAUUUAAAACGAAAAAUACUAAAACAUUGGGGAAGGGACGAAGAAUAUGAGACCCUUUAGAUUUUUCAUUUUUUUGAAUUUUAAGAAUUUUUUUAAAAUUUAUUUUAUUUUUUAUAAUAGUUAUAAUUGUCAUUUUUUAUAUUAUUAGAAUAUAAUUCAAUUUUUCAUUAUUCAUAGCCUAAAGUUAUAUAAAAGAAAAAAGGGAUAGUAAAUUAAUAGAUGUCAAAACUCAUAUAGGUAGAAACUACAUAAUUAUUAUUCAUAACCAAAAGUUAUAUAAAUAAUAAUUGAGAAAAUAAAGGUUAAUCUUAAAUGAGAAAAACACCCAAGAGGGGGGUGAAUUGGGUUUUAAAUAUUUUUUUUUUAAACACAACAAAUUUAAACACAAGAGAAGCAAAUAAAAAGAGAUAGAGUUAAAGAGAUCAAAGUCAGAUUUUAUAGUGGUUCGACACUUCCUUGCCUACGUCCAGUCUCCUCAAGCUCCUAACUGAGUGAGGGUUCCACUAACUUGAAGCUUCAACCAAGUUUCUAAUCACCUUUACACUUGGAUUCCGGCUCUAAUGGGCUCUUACACAACCUCUUCAAGUUUCAACUCACUUGAAGGCUUUAACACUCAAUUUACAAGAAUGAAUCUCUCAACCUAUCUCAACAAUAACUGAAAUACAACUUAAGGCUAGGAUGAAUCACAAAGGUGCACUAAAAGAUAUGCAAGUGAAGAUUUAAUGCGCCAAGAAAGAAAUAAGAACUUUUAAGGCAAGAACAAGUGGGUAGAUAAAUAAAUGAAGGUGUUAUCUUGCUCAUAAAUGAAGUGGAGCUCUUUAUUUAUAGGUUUCUAACCUCGGGAGCCAAGAAAAUAAAAAAAGCAACCUCAAUCGAUUGAGCUAGGGGUCAACCAAUUCACUAGCCGUUGGAGCAUUAAAUGCUUUGGCAGGUUACCGUUGCUUCGACCGAAGGUCGACCGAGAAGGCAAAUACCUCGAUUGGAAAGGGGUGGCUAAUAGAAGAAAGAGAGUGCUUUCUGCACUCCUCGACUGGACCUCGACUAGGAAGAGGGAACCGGUCGACCGUUACCUUGGCCGAUUGAACCGGUUGGCCAAUGCCUCGACCGGUUCACCAUUUUUGGCCUGAAAACCUAUAUUUUUCUAGUCUUUUCUCUUCUAACACUUAAGCAAGGUCUUAAACUAGUAUGCCAAUUUUGAAGUAAUUUGCCUAAGGUUCAUUUGAUAAAACUUGAGUUUUAAUGAAACUGUAACUUUAAAUAAUAAAUCAAUUUUUUGAAAGAUUCAUGAAAUGAUAUGUAAAACUUAAGUGCAUCCAUACAUUCAUCUUACAUUUGUUUCCUAUGAUUAAAGGUCUUUCAAACAUCUUGAUCUUGCAUCCCUUAGGUCAUUUGAUGAAUUUCCAAAUUAAUACCUUAGAUUCUUAAUAAUUCAAACCAAUUAGUAACUUAACCAUAAUUUGUUAUCAUCAAAACUUGAUUAGGAGAGCCAUUGUGCUAACAAUAAUAUUAAUACUUUUUUUGUACAAAUUAAAAUUAUAUAUGGUCAAAAGUUAUGUAAUUAUUAUUCAUGAUUAAAAAUUAUGAAAAUAAUGAUAUUAAUAUAUUUUUGUUUUGUACUAGCCAAAAUCUCUGUCAAUUUUUUGUUCCUGAUUGAGAAGUAUUAAAUAUGAUCAUUGAUGUUUGUAACUUGAAUUAUUCUUAUUGUGAAUAUAAGUAUGGAUUUUUCAUUCGAAUUUCACAAUGCUAAAAAAUUCUAGCACAAUUGCAUCAUUAUAUGAAAUCUCUUUAUUUUUAAGAAUUUACAAUUUAUAGUUUUUAAGAUUUACUUAAAUUGUGCUUCCUUUUUAUUCUUUGUAGACACUAUAAUUCUUUUAGAGUGUGUUUGAUAGUGAUUUUACGAAACGUUUCUAAUAUUUUUAAUGCUUGAAAGAUCAAAAUUUUCAAAUGUUCAAAAAACUAAAAACACUUCCUAAAAUCCCUACCAAAAACACACUCUUAAUUAUUGAUAAAGUGAAGAGAGUGAAAAGAAAAUGUCUAUUUGAUGUUUUAAGUAUCCUUAAAAUAAAGAUAUACUAUUUAUAUAUUCUCUAUGCUAUUUACUAUUUAAUUCGAUUCUUUCUAUUUGAAACAUUGAAUUUUAUAUGUUUUAUUUACUAUUUAAUUCACUUCUUUCUAGUUGAAAUGAUGAAUUUUAUAUUUGGAUAAAAUAAUGAGAAUAAAUUAUUUUAUAAAGAUUAAAAAAACAAAAGAGAAGAAUUUGAAUAAGAUUGACUUUAGUUUUUAAACUCUACCAUAUUAUCCUUUUAUAAAAGGAAUUUAAUUCUAAUUAAACUCUUUCGAGUUAUUUCUUUUACUUUUUGAUAAUAAUUUAUUAAAAGACAUUAUUUUUCAAUUUUUUUUAAUCAACAUAUAAAAAGUGAAGGAGCCACUUCUAAUUAUAUCAAGGUUAAUAUUGUGGACCCCGCAUUUUUAAUGAUGCGUUCCCACUCGAUCGGCGAGACUCACUUUUCGUUUAUUUGGGUGAAAAAUAUGAUUUUUAGAAAAGACUUGGAGUCGCCACUUACUUUUAUUUAUUUUUAAAGGGGAAAACAAGUAAGAAUAAAACCCCUAAAUGGACUCCUGAUUUUUUUUUUGGAAAAGCUGUCUACGAAAAACCCGAGUCUGGGUUCGGGGAUCAGGUUACUUAUUGGGAAGGUACGGUAAAAACCAUAGCACCCUUCUAAGCCCCUAAAAAAUGGGUCUCUACUAAAUAAGGUGAACCAGACAUGGCAAUUAACUAGAAGAUCAAUAGAUACCAAAAUGAUCAUAGUUCAAAAAAUAAGUCAUGAUGACGAAAUGAUAAACGAAGUGAGAGUGAGAGUGUACUGUUAUGAAAAUAAGGUUAGUGUACAAUGACAAGUGUAAAAAAAUCUCAUACAAAACCAAAUCAAAAUCAAACAAAAUGGAGAGCACAACUUACUUGAAUUAUUUUUUGAAAAAAAUGUUAUGAAUGUCGGGCCCCCACCAAAGCCCAAUUAAUUUUGCUAUGAACUAAUUCUCAUAAACUCCAUCAUUUUGGAAUUAUGAAAAAUUAUUCAUUUUUAUAUAAAAAAAAAAUUUGAAAAGAGGAAUUUUGAAAAUUAAAUUUGAAAUUUCGGAAGCGUGGAAUUUUAUUUUAUAAAAAAAUGAGUUUGAAAAUUUUGGAAAUCUCUUUGAGAAUGGUAUUUCAAAAUAAAAAUAAAAAUAAAAAAAUAAAUAAUAACAAAAAAAAUAAUAAAAAUAAAUAAUUUUGGAAUUUUGGAAAAUGGGAAUUUUGAGACUGGAAUUUUGAAAAAUUAAAUUAAAAAAUUGAAAAUUUGGAAGGAUUAUUUUUGAAAAAUGAAAUUUCGGAAAAUUAAAUUUUAAAAGUUAUAAAUUUGGAAAAUUGGGACUUCGAGAAUGGAAUUUCGGAAAAUUAAACUAAAAAAAUGAAAUUUUGGAAAAUUAUUUCGAAAAUAGAAAUUUUUGGAAAAUUGGAAUUUUUGAAAAUCGAAACGUGAAGAUCAAAGUUUUGAAAAUUAUAUAUAUUUUUUUAUGUAUGAGAAUAAAAAUAAAAAUAAUAAAUAAACAGAUGGUACGUAGUCGGUGGGAAUGGGGGCCAAUCUUCACUAUUUUCCAAUAGCCUCCGAAAAUUGAAUUUGACAAAGGAUGACCAAAGUGAUAAACCGAAACCUUAGAUCUUACAAGCACUGAAACUUUAACAACAUUUAAUCUUAAGAUAAACUUAAUCAAGCACUAAAUAUUAUGUGACCUUUAAAAUAGUACAAACGAUACGUAUCAACUAAUAUUGACGAUUUGGAGUCAUAAAUUUAAUCGACUAACUAAACAAAUGAAUAAUAAAAAAACAAACACAUGAAUAAAAUUAAUCAAAAACUAAAAGGAACUAUUUUUUUAAGCACAAAAUGACAACAUCGAAUAGAUUAAACUAAUAGCAUACAAUUUGAAAGCAUAGAAUUAAUAGAAAAAUGGAAUUAAAAAAUCUUAACAUAAACUAAACAAUAUGAAACCAAUCGAAUUAAUUAAAACUCUAAAGAAUAUCAACUAAAGCAGGAUCAAUCAAAACUAAAAUAAUUCUUUUUCUUUAUUUAUUUUAAAACAUGAAUAUAUCAACGCGAAAUGGAAUAAAUUAGCCAACUUAAAUACUAAAAUUAAUAAACUAAAAGAAUGAAUCAUGAAUUAAAUUUAACAACCUUUAGAUAUGAAAAGAUGUGACAUGGAAUCAAUUGAACUAAUAAACUAAAUUUUAAUAACAUCUAAACUAAAAGAUAAAUUAAAAUUAAACUAAAAGAAAUUAUGAAUUUCCUAAUUGAGAACCAAAAUAGUGCCAAUCAAAAUUCUAAAUUUUUAACCAUUAUCACAAAUUAUCCAAACUCUAAAAAAUUCUAACUUUUCCAUUAUCAACAAAAUUGCCCAAACCAAUACUUGGAAAUAAUAAUAAUACUAAUAAUAAGUAAAUAAAUAAAAUAAAUCUAAUUUGUCGAACUAAGAAAAUAAAUUGUAACUACAUUAAACAUAAAUCAUAAUUUUCAAGCAAGAAUGAUAAAUCACUAAUAAUUAAUUUAGUUAGUUAAGAAAAAUUAAAAAUUAACAUCUAAGCUAAAUAUGAAUUUACAAUAAAAUAAAAUUUUAAAAUGCAUAGGCCGAAUGGGAAUAACACAAAACUAACUUUAACAAAUUAAAAACAUGAAUACAUUAACAUUGGGAAUGAGUACCUAAAUAUAUAUAAAAUUCUGAGAUAAUUAUGAAUGGCAUUGAAUAGUCAUGAAUCAAAAUUCAAACAGGAAGAAUUAAUUUACCUUUCUCAAAGACGCGUGGGCUACUCUCCAACAAAAGUGAUAGUAUGAUUUUUUUUUUUUUUUUUUUUUUAAAGUCAAUUCUAUGAUGUAUGUUGUGAUAGUUAUGGAUCAAUCAAGACUAAAAAAACUAAUAGUUUAAGGAACAAAAAUGAAUUAAUAUGGAUCAACCAAAAAUAAUACUAAUAAUUUUAAUGACAAUGCAAAUUAACCCGGAUCGAUCAAAAAUAAGAAUAAAAAUUUAAGGAGCAAUAUAAAUAACGUAUAUAUUUAAAUAUUAACAACAAAUGAUUUUAUGAAAAUGGAAAAAAAUACUAAUAAUAAUAAUAAUAAUAUUGAAAUAAAAUAAAAUAAACUAAAAAUAAACAAACAACAUUUCACGAAUAUUAUAAAGCUACAUGGAUAUUAGUUUUCAUUUGUUUCAUUUUAAAUUUAAAACAAUACAAACCAAAACACCAUGACCGACCACUUCCACUUUGAUUUUUAAUUAAAUGAAACAAACCACUAACAUACUUGAAACAUCUCAUGGCCGGCCAUAUAUUGUAUUCUCCUUGAUUUAUCAAUUUAAGAAAAAAUAGAAAACAUCAAAGCGCUAACUCAUGCACACAACCACAUAUCUAGAUUCCUUUGAUUUAUUCAAAAUUUAAAAACCUAAAACAUCAAAGCACUAACUCAUGCAUGCAGCCACACGUCUCAAAAUUUGAUGGUAUUCGGUGUGUCUAAAAGUGCCGUCUGUGCUUUCAAUAUGCAACAACCUGUGUGUGUAGGAGGAAUUACUAUGGUGCGUGCUGCUCGUGUAUAUAUAAAAAAAAACACCUUGCAGCCCUUACAUGUUCCUCCUGUAUUCCUAAAGGAACCCUUGCCGCCAUGCUUAAUACACCAAUAACACGCAUUUUGCAGGCAGAAAUCCGUGUUAGUGCUGUUCGGGCACCUGAAUUUCAUGCUAGGAGUGGGUUGAAGCGCCUCGGGAACAGUUGGGAUGAAAUGGCUCACAGCCCGGUGUGUCUUAGCAAUCGGGCAGUUUCCAGUUUCCACCAAUCGUUGCCCAUUGCUUCAUGUUUUGAAGCUUCAUCCAAACUAUUGCUAGCAACAUAACAGAGGCCAUGUAUCACCUCUUCGUGCCUAGGAAGUUUUGGGUUUCCCCCUUCACCUCAAACCCAAACAUAUCUCCCAGAAACAGAGAGAGGAACGAGGAUACAGUUAAUAAAACAAAACAAACCAAACCCUUCAAGCCAAGUACCAUUUCACGGAUUGUCUAUGUGCUUAAAGUGCAGGUGGAAAGAUUUAAGUGAGCUUAAUAGAAGAAUCAUAGUCAUGACUUUCAAGCACCAACAACAAAUAUGAGUCUUCUUUCAUAUUUUUUUUUUUUCAAAUUUCACUUAAAAAGAAAAGAGGAGUAACACAGUAACAAGUUUGUAACUAACUAAUGAUCAACAAAAUGAAAUGAGGCAUCCAGAAUCUAUACCAGAGCAUCAAAUAAUAUCCAUAGAUCAACAGAGAAGAAAAUAUAAACAAUAGAAAAUGAGAGGCUCGCUAACCAUACCUGUAAAACUUUCCUCAAGCACUGAUAUGCCUCUUCUAGCUCUUGGUGCUGUCACCCAAACCCAGUAGAAAUUCCCCCCUCCCUCCCCCCCCCCAACUCCCUUUUGCUUCCUAAUGCCCAGAAAAACCCUUCGAGAGCCUCAUUUUCUAGCCGAUCCUUUUCUUCUUCUUCAAGACUUCCCUUCUCUGCAUUUUCCCGUGCCAAACUCUUCGAAACUCCCCUUAACCUUUUUCCAAGCUCCUCUUCAUUCCAUGCAGCCUGCUGACCCUUCCAUUUUCUUUUCAAACCCUACUCCACCAUUUUAUUUUAUUUUUUUUAUGUGGCUACCCAACUCCCAUACCUUUCCAUUUGCUUAUUAUUAUUAUUAUUAUUAUUUCUCUUUUUUUAGUUAAUAAAAUAAGAAAAUAAAAAUAAAGAUAAAUAAAUAUAAAAAAAAUGAAGCUAAAAUAAGAUGAAUAACAUAAUGAUAAAAAGAACAUAUAAUAAAUGAAUACUAAAUAUAAUAAUUAUGAUAAUGAUACUAACAAUAAUAAUAAUAUUAAUAAUAACAAUAAUAAUACUAAUAAUACUAGUAAUAAUAAUAAUAAUAAUAUAAGAUCCCCAAUCACUUGCAAAUUUUUUUUUUUUUGAGAAUAAAUAAGUAGAUGGAUAAGUGAAUAAAGCAAGAAAAAUAAAUAAGUGCCCAAUGCACGUAACAAUAAUCUAAACAUUAAACUAUAACACAGAUAAAAAUAAAAAAUAAAAAUAGAAAUAGAAAUAGACAAGAUAUCAAAUUGACACAAUCAAAAUAAUUGAAAAUUCAUCUCAAGCAAUCAAAAAAAUAUAAAAAAUAAAAAUCAAGCCAAAUACUCGCCUAAUCUUAAAAAUAAAUCAAUCAAGAAAUUAGUCUUAAAGAAUUAAGCCUAAAGAAAACAUCUAAGUGACCCAGGUAACCUAAGUGGAAAGUGUCAAGGUGAAUUAGCUGCCCAAUGGGUCAUCAGAGAAUUAUCGUAAAGUAUCAAAUGGACACAUAAUAAAACAUGUGCUAGUAGGACAAAAUAGAGGGUCUACAAAUAUGCCUCUCUUCGGUAGAGAUCAUGAGUGUAAGGAAUAUGAGGGGAAACACAAGUAAUGAGUGGAACGAAAUGAACUAUACCGAAGAACUAAGAAAGACCAGAAAUUUUGUCCUAGCACAUGAUGCAAUAAAUCCCAAGAUAAACCAUAUGCAAGGAAAGAAAUACCCUGAAUAAGAGGUUUAUAGAAAGUGACUCUGAACGCCUAUGAAAGUGAUGGCUCUGAACGCCUAUGAAAAUGGUGGCUCUGAACGCCUAUGAAAAAAGAUGGUGGCUUUGAACGCCUAUGAAAAUGGUGGCUCUGAAUGCCUAUGAAAGUGGUGGUGGCUCUGAACGCCUAUGAAAAUGGUGGCUCUGAAUGCCCAUGAAAGUGAUGGCUCUGAACGCCUAUGAAAAUGGUGGCUCUGAACGCCUAUGAAAAUGGUGAUGGCUCUGAACGCCUAUGAAAAUGGUGAUGGCUCUGAACGCCUAUGAAAAUGGUGGCUCUGAACGCCUAUGAAAAUGGUGGCUCUGAACGCCUAUGAAAAUGGUGGCUCUGAACGCCUAUGAAAGUGAUGGCCCUGAAUGCCUAUGAAAAUGGUGGCUCUAAACGCCUAUGAAAAUGGUGAUGACUCUGAACGCUUAUGAAAGUGAUGGCUCUGAACGCCUAUGAAAAUGGUGAUGGCUCUGAACGCUUAUGAAAAUGGUGGCUCUGAACACCUAUGAAAAUGGUGAUGAAAAUUGGAUAACUUCUACUAAGGGGAUAUGCCCCAGUAUGACGACCUAAAACUAAACUAGGUAAUAACAGAUUCUAACCUAAGCUUGAUAUUUUCAAAGAAGGGGGUAUGCCCCAGUAUUACGGUUGUAUCAAGCUGGUAAAAUGUCCAAUGAAACAAGCGGCUGCAAACAUCGUAAUGAGAAAAAAACAACACCUCAUGACAAAGGUCUCGAGAAGUAUAAACAUAAAUUUCUUCAUAUUUCAAAUAAAUUCCUUGUCAACUGAUCUCACAGAUAAAGCUCAACAAAUGCGCAUCACAAAUUUACAAAAGAACGACUAUGGCGAAAAGAAAUCGUCUCAUAAACUCUUGACAAGGGAGUCCAUUGAUACUUUCUGGGUGAAAUCUGAUGGGGUCCAUCUCAGUCUCAAGCAAUGUCGUAUGUAGCCAAUCACAAUAUCACAAAUUAUAAAACUGAAGAAUGUGCUCAUAUAAGGAGAUAAACUGGCUACGAAAUCAAAAACUGAUCAUAGAGACAUCAAUCUCCCAUGUAGAGUAGAGAAUCAUAAAUACAAGGCACAAAGCCAUCAAUCUCAUCAAAACAAGAAAUAUGCUCCAGUGUAACAGAUGAUCCUCACGUGAAGUAAGUAAUUAAUGCAAACCAUCCACCCAUGCAUUACUACUCCAAUCAGUUCACCUCAGCAAGAGAGGGAUAUGCCCCAGUAUGGCAUCUGAUGAUCAAGUCUCAAGAUAAUCGAACAACAUUGAUUAUCCCCUUUAUGCACCCAACAUUCAAACAAAUCUUAGCAUCCCAAGAGAAAAAUAACACGCUCAUAUGAUGAUAACCCAAGGUACUGGGCCAAGGUGUACCAGAGUAGAUGCGUAACGUAUGACAAGGGUCUAUCAUUACCAGUUAAGCAAUCUCUACAAAUCCUGGAUGUGGGAGUCAUACAAACCAAUCACAACUAGAAAAAUCCCAUGAUAAGGGUAAUAUGCCCCAGUACAGGCAUCUGGUGUGUCAAAGAAACAAGACUGAUAUCACCAGUUAAACACUAUCUUCAUACUCAGGUUCUGCCAAACAUCAUCAGACUAAGCAUAAGAGGAACCAAAUGUCACUUGAAGCAUCUUCCAUAAGGGAAAGCAUAGCAACACCCAUAUUUCAACCAAUUGUUAAGACCUGCCCAACUGGAGACUGUCAAAGAUAACGUUUAAUCUCAUGGCCUCAGGGUGGUCUUACGACACGGACCGUAAUGUAGGCUUAGGUUAUAGGGUAAAAGAAAUGAAAGGAAACUAAGCUCAAGUAUCCAAUGAUCAAACCCAAUACCCUUAUGUGUAAGAUGUGAUGUGUAAGGUAAUCUCGUGAGCCAACUAACUCGAUAACAAACAAUGGAAGUGUCAAGGACGAACUAUAAGAGAAAAGGAAUUGGUCAGGUCUUCAAUGCGAUAUGUAAUGGCUAUGAAGAGGCUAACAAAACAAAGACAUGUAUCAAUGUAAGAAAAGAAUAAAUAUGGAAUAAUCACCACGAAAAGAGAUGAUCGAAAAUGAAUGAGAGAAGCGAGAAGAUACAAGGAUGAUGACUAACUCAAAUUAGUGCAGCCAAGGAAAAUCAUAUCACCAAAGAUGGAAUGGAAGUGAAGACAGUGAUCUGGAGAUCCUAGUGAUGGGUUACCCAAUCCUCACACCCAAUGUAUACCAACCCUGAUCCAUGAAGCGAAGGAUCUCACAAAACUCUCAUCAAACUAUUGUUACUUAGAAAACAUGAGUAACACAAGGAACAUGAUGCUCUCAGAUAGGCUCACAUACGAGCUCAAUGAUAGAUAACUCAAUGAACAACCCUCAAACAUCAAUGAAUGCCCAGUGGAAUAUGCUACCAUAAACAAACUUAUUGUCACAACUUUUUUUUUUUUUUUUUUUGGUUUUUUUUUUUUUUUUUUUUGCUUUUUGUGAACACUAGUAUCAAUAAACUGAAACCCCACUGAGCAAAGAAUAGAAAUGAAUAAACUCUCUUCAAUCCCCAAUGAAAAUAUGAAUCAUACACAAACCCCCAAAAGUAUGUCGACUCCAAUCACUGACAUGUAUAUAAAGCCCCAACCCUAAGGUCAUCUCUCAAGCUAAGGUAUCUAGAUCAAAGUCAACAGAUGGAAUGAAGGGUGUGACAUGACUAACUUGAUGCACCAAAAAAUGUGAAAAGUCAUCAACUAGAGAAAUAAAGAGAAUGAGACGAAGCAAGGAAAGACAAAACACGUAAGUAGAUGAAAAAUGAACAAUAAUGAAACAUAAUAGAAGUGGAAUAGUAAAGGAUGAUGGCAAGAAAAAUGAAAAUAGAUCAAAGAGUUGAAACUCACGAGACUAACCAAGUAAAACAUUCAUACACAACCAAGGGCCCCUACCCAGGUGAUGAAAGGUAAGCAGAGCUAUAAGAAUGAAAGGCUUUAAUGUACUCAUGGGGCUCAAGGGGCUAGCAACGGGAUGUAUGUGAAAUGGGCACGAUAAGGUAUAAGGCUAAUCGAAAUGAUGGCCACCCAUCCUUUGACCAUGAUCUUAAACGUAAUACUUCUUCAGUUGAUCCACAUUGGUUGGUUCCAAAAAUUGGUUUCCAUCUAAGUCAGUCAACCAUGCAGCCCCUUCUGGAGUCAGCUCUCGAAUAACGUAAGGUCCACUCCAAUUAGGUUUGAACUUCCUCCUAGGGUCUCCAAUCAAACCUCUGAGCAUCCUCAAAACCAAAUCCCCCUUAUAUAAUGGUCUAGGCUUGACCCUUUUCCUGAAGGCAUGAGCCAUUUUUCUUUGAUAGGCCUGAACAUGAUCCGCUGCUCUCAAUCUCCUCUCAUCUAAAAGGUUAAGCUGAUCAAAUCGAGCCUGGGCCCACUCUGUCUCUGAAAUCUGCUGCUCGAGAGCCACUCUUAAAGAACCCAUUUCUGUCUCGAUUGGCAAAACAGCCUCCAUACCAUACACCAAGGAGUAAGGUGUAGCUUCUGUAGGAGUGCGAAAAGAAGUACGAUAUGCCCAUAAGGCAAAAGGAAGCUUCUCUGACCAAUCUUGAGAAGUCUCGACCAUCUUUCUCAGAAUUCUCUUAAUGUUCUUAUUUGCAGCCUCUACAGCUCCAUUAGUUUGUGGCCUGUAUGCAGACGAUCUGUGGUGUUGGAUGCCAUACUUCUGUAACAAAGUUUCGACUUCAGCUCUAAAGUGUGCACCCCUAUCUAAAAUCAACUCGUGUGGAACUCCGUAGCGACAAAUGAUGUGUGACCUGAUGAAACUGGCAACUCUAGUAGAUGUCAACUUCGCAUAUGAUGUAGCCUCCACCCACUUGGUAAAAUAAUCAAUGGCUACUAAGAUGAACUCAUGGCCAUUGGAAGAUUUUGGCGAGAUCUUUCCAAUGAUAUCAAUACCCCAUACUGAGAAUGACCAUGGUGAUGUCAAAGCAUGCAACUCUGAGGGUGGUACAUGAAUAAGAUCCCCAUGCAUCUGACAUUCUGGGCAUCUCUGAACAAACUGGCAACAAUCUGGCAACAAACUGGCAAAUUAAUUGGGUCUUGGUAGACUUUAAGAAAAAUACAAAACAAAUUGAUCAAAUGGUUAUGUAGAAGUCUUGAGAGAGCCCAACUUGGGAAUUACGUAUCCAAUUAUAAUGCUUGGAAAAGUCAAAAUGAUGAAUUUCUUGGAUGAAUCUAGAUGAAGUUUGACCUACAUAUAAGGAAAAAUGACAUUAUGGUCACUGGUGGUAGGCGUCAAUCACGGGACAAACAUAAGCUUGUGAUGGAAAAUUCACUUGAUCGGAGAUUAAUGCUGUAGGAAUAAUAUCAUUGGACUAAGGAUUUUGCUAAAGAAUUUUCAGAGCUCGCAUGGUGUGGAGUAGUUUUCUAAUUUGUGACUCCGCUUGAUUGGACAUCUUAGAAAAAUUGUUUAGUUUUAGUUUCUAAUCUCUUCAAUCUAUUGUGUCAGCUUGGGAGUAGCUUAUAAGUUAUAACUUUGAAAUUUUGGGGUUAAACAGUAGUCAAUUUUGUCUUUUUUUGUCUUUUUUUUUUCCAUAUGUCAAAAAUAAAAAGGUAUUUCACUGUUCAAUAAAGAGUUUGUGUAGGAGUAAUUUUAGUAAAAUUAGAUGAGACUUUUAAGGUUUAAAAAUGUUUGUAUUGCAAUAAUUAAGAGUGUGUUUGGUACUUAUUUUAUAAAACGUUUCUAGUUUUUCUAAUACUUGGAUGAUAACAUUUUUCAAGUGUUAAAAAUAUUAGAAACGCUUUCUAAAAUCAUUGCCAAAUAAGCUUUAAAGAUUUGACAAUUCCUUGAAAUGAUUUUUGAAUGGAUGCUUGAGAAAUAUUUUUAUAAGGGGUAAAUAAUAGAUAAAGAAUAUUGGAUUGUGAAGUUUGAAUCAAUUUUUGUUAUUCUUUUUAUAGAAUCCUCACUAAGUUUGUAGAGAUUAAACUGCCCUGUCAGCUCACUGAGGUUGAAAGAGACAACACCUCCUAGACAAAUUUUUUUUAUGUGAUGAAUGACGAGUUUAUCUUUAUUGUAUAUUUAACCUUAUUAUGAUUUAGAGAUUUUUUAGACAAUGUGAUUACAAUUGAAAGGUGUGUGGAAGUUUUAUCAUUGUAAUUUUUCUUUUUUAUUUAAUUAGUGGAUUUUUUGAGUGUUGAUACAUUUUAUAAAUGUAGGAUCACAUUGAUCGUUGAAUCACAUUAAAACUCUAGUGUUUUUCAUUUAUUUUCUACUUAUUUGUAUGGUUUGAUUAAUAAAAAAUAACUCAAUAAAAUAGGAAUAGUUAACACAUAUGACCCCACCGAAAAAAUUUCUUUCACUUCAAUAAAAAAGAGUGAAGAGAUUUAGCAAUGAAACUUUCCCAAAAAGAUUGAUAAAGGAACUCUCACAUUCACAACCCUAGAAUAAUCCUAGAAAAACAACCCUUAUUGUUUUCUCCAUUUUUUUCCAUAUCAUCUGACACUUCUCAAUUUUUUGGGCAUCCACAAAAGAACCCUACUUGCACCUUAUAUUUUAGCUUAAAAAAAAGAGUCUAAAUAUGGGCUUGAAAAACUUUUCAUGACAAAAUAAACCUAACCUGUCAAUUUCUUCCAAAAAUAAUUACUUUUUAUUACGGAACACAUUAUCAAAACACUCUAGUUAGAGUUUUUGUAAUGUAGGCACCCUUUCUACUAUGAUUAAGGUUUAAAUUAUGAGGUGUUAGAUUAGUUUCAUUAGGAGAAUAUAGUACUUCAUUAUUGUUAAUGGUUUCGAUUUUACUUGUAAGUUACUCCAUUGUAAUAGUUCACAUAGAAAUGAGACUUUUUUUCUUACCCAUAAAGGAUUGUGCUCGGAUCAAUUAAGACCCUUUUACAAAUAUCAACCAGCAAUUGGUUGGGUUGUGUUGGGUUUUCUAUUAAUGGGUAUGCAUUCAAAUAAAACUCAUUCUGCUCGAGUUUUAGAAUGUGUUGAUUUUAAAUACAGUUUCUAGCAUUUUUAACACUUGAAAAACAAAAUUUAAAAACUAAAAAUACUUCUUAAAAUGCUUUAUUUAAGCUUCAUACUGCCUUAUUUUUUGUAAAGAUCAAAUUUGAAUUAAGUGACAUUAGAUUGAAUUCAAACCAUCUAUAACCGUUUCUCUUACUUCAAUUUUUAUAGAUUUGUAAGAGGAUCUAAAUAAUAAAUGUGAUGAUAUUUUUAAAAUAUUAAUAGUCUCUUUUGGACAAAAUGAAAUAGUACAUAGUAUAACAAUUAUAAUAUGAAGCCAUUUUUCUUAAAAUUGUUUUAGAAAUAUAUAAAUUAAAUUAAUUAAAUUGGGUUUGAAUUAAAUUUCCUAAAAAUCAUCAAAACUUUAGCUUGAGGCCAAUUUAAACUUAAUUUAUAUUAUAAAUUACAUAAUAAUAUGAAUUAUAAAUAUUAAUUUAGGUUUGGAUUAAGUUUUUGGACAAUUACCAAAACAAGGUAAGGUGAACUCCAACUUAAUUCAUGUUAAAAAAAAAAACUCAAUCAAUUAACUAGAAAACAAAACAAUGAAUGCAUAGCGAAAGAACUGAACUCAACCCCUCCUAACUAGGGUCAAGGCUUGGUUUAAUAGGUGUGAAGAAAAAUAAAACAUUUUUAUCCUUUACUAAUUAUAUAAACAUAUAUUAUGUAUAAAAUAUGGAUGAAUUUAAAACUCAAAAAAGUCAUUUUCAUGCAUUAAAGUAUUAACUUUUGCGCAUGUUUUAAAUACUACCCUCCACCCAAGUAAACCCUCCAUAUGUAUGGAAGGAAAUUAGCUUCCCUCCAAAUAUCUCUCGAAAAUCCCAACAAAUCCGAAAUUAUUAGAAAAAAAUUCAACAAAUUUCACCGAAUUUUUCAGAUAUUUUAGGAAACUUUCAUUAUUGCUUAAAACAAAACUCUUGUGGCUGAGCCCAAACAAGAAAAAAAGUAUUUAUAUUAAUACUUAAUUUACAAAUCCACCGAGAUCUUAGGUUGGUAUUCACUGUGAUUAUGGACAUUAAUUUUUUUCCUCGUAUGUACCAAAAGAAAUUUUAGAAAAAUAAAAUUUCAUAUUGCAAUUGUCACUUUGCACGUGUAAGUUUCAAUAGAAAUACGAAGACAUGGUACAUUUUCUCCAUAGGUGGACAAAAGAUAUGAAGUAAAAACUUGUGGUUGCUUGGGUGGGGCUUGUUACACAACUCAAACAAAAUGAUCUACCGUAUAAAAGCAUAAACAUUUCACUUUAUUUCAUUAUAAUCUUCUAAUACAGAAGUGAUUUUAUUAGGGACCACUCCAACAAGUCUUUAAUCAAAGUUCAUGUAGAACCUUUCUUAAUAUAAGGACGUUCUCCAAAAUAGUUGCCUGGUGGGUCGUAGUUGCAGCUAACAAUCCACCAUUCCCCAUUCUUGCACAACACUCUUGCACACCCCACAUUCACUGAAGUGUUCCACACAACCUGAGUGUAGUGUCCACACUCUCCUCCAACGCAUGAGUUAGAGUCGUAGUUAUAAUAAGGCUUCUCAGACACCCACAUCUUCACUGCAUCAGCGCCAUCAAAGUCAGUAGCACCCCUUGCAGCCAGGUUCUCACCAUAAGGCCCUCCUGAGUGUUCAAGAUUGCAGUCACCAAUCAGCUUCUCACUAACAUAUUGCGAUGCGUAGUUAGCUAACUUUUUGUCCCAUGUCAUGGGCUGGACUCCAACCUCUGCCCGCGCGGCGUUGUGGGCGGUAAGGUAGUCUUGUGGGGUGUUUUGGGCAUGGGAGAGAUGCGCUAGGGCUAAGCCAAGGAGGCAUAGAAGGGCCAGUGAUGUCUUGCCCAUUUUGGCUUGGAUUCUAUGAUGGAGGACAAGAGCCUUUGAUGGUUAAGAGUAUUGACUUGUUGCAGAGAAUUUAAUGGUGCAAGGUGUUCUUUCUUGAUAUAACUAUUAAUCAUUAUGAUAGAUAAUCCAAAGAAAUCAAUAAAAAGUGCUCAGCAAUUAAUUGUAGUGCAAUUAUAAAAUAUUAACUUAAUAGAAAAAAAAAAAAAAAAAAGGUGGGGUGGGGGGGAAUUUACACGAGUAGGAGAUAAGGAUUGAUAUUAAUUCUCUUGAAGAUGACUACAGCAUGUUAAGAAGGGAUGAUAGUCAUCUUUACAUCUAUUUUAUUCCUUAGGCACGAUUUUAUUUUAUUUUUUUAAUACUGUGGUUGAUGAAUUUUGAGGAGCUCUUCAAUUUGUGAAGUUCUCAUACCCGAAUUAAUGCAUAAAUAUUUUGCUUUGAUUGUUGAUGUAAGAGAACUGGCAACAUCAACCACAAAAUAAAUUUUCAGCUAUAAUUAAUAGUUACAUUAUGUUUGUUUCCUAAGGGAAGAAAAAAAUGUUUAUUAUUCUUGUAUCCUUGAAAUAACUAAAAAUAAAAAAUAAAAAAUAAAAAUAAUUUUCUCAUCAUUUGUUUGUAAAAAAUAAAAAAUAAAUAAAAAAUGGUUAAACUUAUUUAUUUUCAAAUUAUUUAAUUUUUAUAUAAAAUAAAAAAAAUAAGUGAAAUGAGUUUGAAGAAAUAUACAAAAUUAAUUUAUUAACUUCAAUUUUUUUUUCUUUUUUUUUUCUUCCUAUUUUUCACCUUAUUUUAUUUUUAUAUUUUUCUUACUACAAACCAAACAAAACCUUAAGCUGAAUCCAAUCGUGAUGGUUUGUAACUACUUAAUGCGAUUGAAAAAGGUCAAAAAAAUUGCAAAAUUUUUUCUUGGUUGUUCAUGGGAAAUUUGAGAGAGAAGAAAAUUAAAAUGUAAGGAAUAUCCACGAUAAGAUAAUAGGUUUAUAGUCACUGCCAAACCACAUUUAUUCUGCAACUAAAAGGAUUAGUAGUUGAGGUUGGUAAGUGAUGAGCAGGUUGGUAAGGGUUUAUAGUCGUGGAUUUUUCCUCACUAGGUGCAUUGAAUAUUAAGUUAAUUAGACUUAAAACUAACUAGGCAAAAAUACUAAAAUUAAAUGAAAUGAUCAUUCCAAAAUUAGUUAAGUAUAGACCAAUGCUAGCUAAGAAGAUCAAGAAUCCCAUGAAUAGCAUGUAUAAUCCAUGAGAAUCAUAUAUAAGCCAUAUAUGCAUAUAUCAAGUAGUAGUAAAUGGAGUACAUGGAAAUGGUAAAAACAAAACACAUCCAACAUAGUAGCAAAAUAAGAUGUCUAAAAUACAUCAUCUAGAGUAACAUCAAACAUGUCCAAAAUGCCUAUAUGAGAAUAUCUCCCCAUUUGGUAACAUAAAGUAUAAAGGAGAAAUCACUGCAACUCAAAAUCAAGGCUAGGGAUGUGGAGGUGGAAAGACCAAACGAAGAUAGUUCAUCAUCUUAUUGUAUUAAGCCUAAAGUUGAGUAGUAAAUGGUACCUGACACUAAUCUAACUAAAUAGUUAGGGUCGUCUCAUACUGAUCCAUAUGGUCCUCAAUCAAAUAGAAACAAGUACAAUUCAUGAGUAGCUCCUCUACCUAAGCACCGAGCGAACUAAUUUGUACUGAUAUAUCUACCUAGAGUCACUAAUCAACUAAUGGAGAUGAGUGUCGUGUAGUAAACAUAACAAUUGAAGCUAGACACAUCUUAGUGAAGACAAGAUUAGAAUGGAAUGUCUUCUUAGUAAGUAUUGUUGGCUCAUGUUGAAAGGUCUUAAAGGUUGUUUUUGGCUACUCGGUAUGCAAAGGCUCCUCAAUCUACAUCUUCUUAGUCCCAUUGCCCUAUGAUAACUCUCUACCCUCCAUAUCAAGGUCUUUGAUUUUCUUCUCAGCUCAGUCCUUACAAACCUUCUGUCCACCCCUCUUGUGAAUCUAGGACCCAUCAAUAAGGUGCUCAAAGUGCAUACGACCUAUGGACUUCUAUCAUAUGCUCUAAGAGGUUGAAUGUCCUUCUUAGUCCUUAAAUCCACAUUGAAUGCCUUCAAAAUCUAAGUUAGUAGGCAUUCAUAGUAAAGUAUCUUGGACUUAAUCUCACAACACUUUAUUAUGUGCUAAAAAAUAAUGAAUCCAAGAUUGAUUCUCUUAUCGUCUAGGAUGAAAUCAAUUAGAAAAGCUCAUAAUAGGAUACCUCAUCUUGAUGUCCUCCUUUAAGAAUAAAUAUAUGACUAAUCAUGUGAUACAUGACUCGACUAAUCAAUAUGAGAGCAUGAACAUGAGGCUUGGUAGUUGUGGUGUCAAACAAAAGAUUACAUAACCUUUUUUUGGCAGAUCGGAGGGUUGGCCGAGUCCAUCAACUCCUCUUGUAUUUGAAUGUUGUGGUCGCUUAAGUGAAUGUACUAUAAGGCUAGGAUAUGCACCUUUCCUGACAGCAAUUGCUUUUAGGAAAGCUUGUGGCACCUAAGGUCCUACAAGUGGUAUCAAAGUUAGGCCUCCUGUUUAAGACUUAACCGUCUAAGAGGAAACGACUGAUCCAUCAAGUUCAUCUCAUAUUGAAAGUUUUGCAACCAAUAGACCUCCAUUUUUUACAGGAACCAAUUAUUCCUAUUGGAAAAAAAAUGAGUUGGUUUUAAAAAUCUACUAAUCUUGAUCUAUGGGAUGUCAUUGAAGAUGGUUCUCACAUUCCUUCAAAAUUAGAAAAUUGAGUGAUGGUUCCAAAACCUAAGCAAGAAUUGGGUGAACUUGAUAAAAAAAAAAAAAAGUUCAAUUAAAUGCCAAAUCUGUUUAUAUCUUACAUUAUGCUAUUGAUAUAAAUGAAUUUAAUUGUGUUUAACAAUGUAAGUCGACUAAAUAAAUUUGGAAACUAUUAAAAAUCACUCAUGAGGGAACUAACCAAGUUAAACAGUUUAUAAUCAACAUCAUUGUGCAUUAUUAUGAAUUAUUUUCUAUGAAGGAUUUUGAAUCUAUUAUAGAGAUGUUUUAUAGGUUCAUGGUGAUUGUGAAUGGACUUUAAGCCUUGAAAAAGACCUACACCAAAGUAGAGAAAGUCAUGAAGAACUUAAGGUCUUUACCAAAGAAAUGGAAAACAAAAGUGAUGGCUAUUCAAGUAGCAAAGAAGCAGCAAGAAGGGGAAGAUAUAUAUAAAUAUAGAACAUAGCUCUCAAAGCUACAACCAAGGAAGAAAAAGAAGUUGAAGAAGAAAAACAAAGUGAAGAAGAUGAAGAGUUAGCCCUCAUCACAAGAAAGUCUAACAAGUUCAUGAGGGGUGAAAAGUUUAGAAGAAGAAGGUUCGCUUCCAGAAGAGACUUCUCUAAAAAGGAAUCUUCAUCCCAUCGUGACAAGAAGAGAUGAGAGGAGAAAAGAGACUUGGUAUUCUUCAUGUGCAAGAAACCGGAACACUUUAAAUAUGAUUGUCUUUUCUACAAAAGCGAAGCCAAGAGGAGAAAGAAGAAGGCAAUGAUGACCACUUAGAGUGAAAGUGAAGAUGAAUCAUUCAAAGAAAGGAGAAAAAAGUGGCAAACAUGUGCUUCAUGGCAAUAGAUGAACUUGAUGAGGUAAACUUUAACAUUAGCUAUGAAAGUAUACAUGAUGCUUUUGAAGAAUUGUAUGAGGAUUUUAAAAAACUUGGUUUGAAAAAUGCUUCUUUAAAAAACAAAGUUCAACAACUUGAAAAGGAACUUGGAGAAGUAAAAGAAAAAUUUUCAAAUGUUGAAGAUUCUAAAACUUGUCUUGAAAAAGAGAAUGAGAUUUUAAGAAAGAAAAAUGAAUGGUUGACCUCCUCUCUUUCAAUUUUUCUCGUGGACAAAAAUCUUUUGAAAUGAUCCUAGCUAACCAAAAAUGUAUUUUGACAAACAAGAGUUAUGAUUCAAAUCUUCAAAAAAUCAAAAGUAUUUUAAGAACUAUUUUGUAAAGGAAUCCACAAGUGUAAGUCUUUCCACUACUUGCAACUUUUGUGAAAAAGAAUGACACAUUAGUAGCACAUGCCCUUUAAGAAAUGGUUCUCAAAAGAAUUCAAAUGCAAAAGAUAAAAAGAAUUGGGUUGAAAAAUUCAAGGUCACUAACCCUUAAGGACCCAAAAAGAUAUGGGUACCUAAAUCAACUUGAGUUGUGUUGUAGAGUUCAAAGAAGCAUAAGUGGUUCUUGGAUAGUGGAUGCUCAAGACACAUGACAGGAAAUGAAUCCAAGUUUGCUUUUCUUUCAAAGAAAAAAGGAGGAUAUGUUACCUUUGGUGACAAUGAAAAAGAAAAAAUCAUUGGUCAAGGCAACAUUGGUAAUGACAUAUCCUCAUUGAAAAUGUUUUACUAGUAGAUGAUUUAAAACAUAAUCUUUUAAGCAUUAGUCAACUUUGUGACAAAGGUUUUAAAGUGAUUUUUGAAGCAUCUCAUUGCAUUACAAAGGAUAUUCAAAAUGAAAAUAAUCUUCAUGAGCCAUAGAUGUGAUAAUGUUUACACUAUAAAUAUUUCAAAAUAUGAUGGUCAUGAUAGAUGUUUUUCAAGUAUGCAUGAUCAAAGUUGGUUGUGGCAUAGGAGAUUGGGAUAUACUAACAUGGACCUCAUUUCCCAACUCAAUAAAAAUGAAUUUGUUAGAGGCCAUCUCAAAAUAAAUUUUCAAAAAGAUAAAAGUUUGUGAAGCUUGUCAAGUGGGAAAACAAAUAAAAAAACUCUUUUAAAAACAAAAACUUCAUUUCCAUAACUAGGCCACUUGAGUUAUUGCAUAUGGAUUUAUUUGGUCCCUCUAGGAUACCAAGUCUUGGAGGAAAGUCUUAUACUUAUGUUAUUGUGGAUGACUUCUCUAGAUACACGUGGGUCUUGUUUUUAAGUCAAAAGACUAAAACAUUUUAUAAGUUUUCAAAGUUUUGCAAUAAAGUUCAAAAUGAAAAAGGUUUUGCAAUUACCUGCAUAAGAAGUGAUCAUGGAGAGAAUUUUAAAAUGUUGAUUUUGAAAAUAAUGAGCAUGGAAUUGACCACAAUUUUUUGGCUCCUAGAACUCCUCAACAAAAUGGGGUAGUUGAAAGGAAAAAUAGAACCAUUCCAGAUAUGACAAAAACAAUGCUAAAUGAAAACAACCUACCAAAUAUUUUGGGUCAAAAUGGUUAACACCUCUUGAUAUGUUUUAAAUAAAGUUUUAUUAAGGCUCAUACUUAAGAAAACUUCCUAUGAGCUUUGGAAAAACAAGAAACCCAACAUUAACUAUUUCAAAGUUUUUGAAUGCAAAUGUAUUAUAUUAAACACCAAAGAAAAUCUUGGAAAAUUUGAUGCAAAAUCGAAUGUUGAAAUUUUUCUUGGUUACUCAACUUCAAGUAAAACUUUUAAUGUUUUCAACAAAAGAACCAUGGUUGUCGAGGAGUCCAUCCAUGUUAUUUUUUAUGAAUCUAACAAUUCUCUCCAAGAAAGAGAGAGUGUUGAUGAUGAUUUAGAUUUGGAGACUUACAUGGAAAGAUUGCAAAUUGAAGAUAGAAGAAAAUGAAGUGGAUCCUAAGGAAGAAAGAUCACCAUUGGCACUACCACCUCCUCAACAAGUGCAAGGGGAAUCAAGCCAAGACCUUUCUAAAGAAUGGAAGUUUGUCAUCAAUUACCAAUAAGAUUAAAUCAUAAGUAAUCCAUCUAGUGGGGUAAGAACUAGAUCCUCUCUUAGAAAUAUUUGCAAUAAUCUAGCUUUUAUCUUUCAAAUUGAACCUAGUAAUAUAAAUAAUGCUUUAAAUGAUGAAAAUUGGAUGAUUGCUAUACAAGAAGAAUUAAAUCAAUUUGAAAGAAUUAAAGUAAGAGAAUUAGUACCAAGACCUUCAAAUCAAAGUGCUAUCAGAACUAGAUGAGUCUUUACAAAUAAAAUUGAUGAAAAUGGCAUAAUUGUUAGAAACAAAGCAAGGUUAGUAGCCCAAGUUUGUAAUCAAGAAGAAAGAAUAGGUUAUGAAGAAACCUUUUCCCUCGUAUCUAGGUUGGAAGCCAUUAGGAUGCUACUUGUCUUUGCAUGUUUUAAAGACUUUGUUUUAUAUCAAAUAGAUGUGAAAAGUGCAUUUUUAAAUGGUUUUAUAAAUGAAGAAGUGUAUAUUGAACAACCCCUCGGAUUUGAAAGUUUUAAUUUUCCUAACCAUGUUUUUAAACUUAAAAAGACACUUUAUGGUUUGAAACAAGCACUUAGAGCAUGGUAUGAAAGAUUGAGCAAAUUUCUUUUUAAAAAAAUGAUUUUAAAAUGGGUAAAAUUGACAACUCUUUUCAUAAAAACCAAAGAAAAUAAUAUGCUUUUAGUUCAAAUAUAUGUUGAUGAUGUUAGUUUUGGUUCUACUAAUGUCUCUCUUUGUGAAGAAUUUGCUAAGUGCAUGCAUAGUGAGUUUCAAAUGAGCAUGAUAGGAAAACUCAACUUCUUUCUUGAACUUCAAAUCAAGCAACUAAAGGAAAGAAACUUCAUCAAUCAAGCAAAGUAUAUAAGAGAUCUUCUCAAAAGAUUCAACAUGGAGGAAGCCAAGAUAAUGAAGACUCUAAUGAGUUUAUCCAUCAAGCUUGAUAAGGAUGAGAAAAGUAAAUCCAUUGACUCUACUAUGUAUAGAGGCAUGAUGGGUUCUUUUCUAUACUUGAUCGCUAGUAGACCUGAUAUUAUGUAUAGUGUAUGCUUGUGUGCUAAAUUUCAAUCUUGUCUUAAAGAAUCUCACUUGAGUGUUGUAAAAAGAAUUCUUAAAUAUUUGAAAGGAACAAUGGACAUAGGCUUAUGGUAUCCUAAGGAUAAUAACUUUGAAUUAAUUGGUUUUUCAGAUACUGAUUUUUCUGGUUGUAAGGUUGAAAGAAAAAUCACUAGUGUCACAUGUCAUUUUUUAGAAAACUCACUUGUUUCAUGAUAUAGUAAGAAACAAAAUUCAAUAGCUUUGUCAACGGCGAAAGUUGAAUACAUAGUUGUCGAUUUAUGUUGUGCACAAAUUCUUUGGAUGAAACAAACACUUAGUGAUUUGGGUUUAUCUUUUGAGCAUGUAUCUAUUAAAUGUGAUAAUAUUAGUGUCAUAAGAAUAUCAAAAAAUCUCAUGCAACACUCUAGGACUAAGCAUAUAGAGAUUAGACAUCAUUUUCUUAGAGAUCAUGCACAAAAGGGUGACAUAACACUUGAAAUUGUAAGCACUAAAGAUCAACUUGCUGAUAUUUUUACAAAACCUCUAAGUGAAAAACAAUUUGUUGAGAUUAGAAGACAAUUAGGGGUGAUUUCAUUAUGAUUUAAUGUUUGCUUAUGAAUGCUUGAUGUAUAUGCCUAUUGAUUACUUGAAUUUCAUGACAUAUGCAUCAUAUAAAACAUCAUAUAGACAUAUACUUAAAAAAUGGUCAAUUUUUGACCAAAAAUCAAAAUUCCAUUAGCAUUGGGCAUAAAAAAUUGGGGAACCCAACUAAAAAAGGCAGAGAGAGGAUUAAAAAAUGAAAAAGUGUGCAAAAGUGGAAAGUCAAAUAGCAUUGACCUUUGGUGCAUUUUGAACCGAUUGACCUGAUUUUGGGGAAAAUUUGAGGGCUUUAAAGGCUAGGGUUUCGAAUUUGGGCCAUUUUUCUCUUCUUUCCAUGCGUCACAACCAGUUUCGGCAUCGAUUCCUCUCCAUUUUUAUUCGUCAAGGUUUCAAGUGUGAGCUUCUACCAGUUCCUCAUCUUCACCUUGCGCUAGCUCCAUUUUCCAUGGCUCCCAGACGAGAGUUCGUAUCUUCCAAAGCUCAAGGCAAGCGCCCAACUGAUCCGUCUUAGCCAGAGACAUGCCGAAAGGCGUGUUUUGAGACCGCCUUGUUCAGUACCGUGGAGGAGUACCAACGGUACAAGCAGCAUUUUGCUUAGAGACGAGUAGUUCCGAGGAGAAACAUCAACUUUCUACAGCUUCAACACUUUGGAUUUGAGGGAUUGUUCACUAGGAUAGGCUGGUUGUUAGCUGUUACAAUUUAUGAGCCAGUUUUUUCGACAUUGGUAUGAGCAUUCUACUCAAGGGUGACUUACAGCAUGGGUGGCCCGAUCAUAUCCACUGUUAGAGGAGUUGAGAUUCGUUUGGACUCGGAGAACAUUUGUAGUAUUUUUUAUAUUACUCAUGUUGAACUCAGAGUAUAUGAGUCCAAGAUGUGGCCCACUGUGCUAGGAUUUGAGCCUAGAAAGGUUAUUUAGAGGACUUGUGGACUGUCAGAUGCCCAUGGGAUGGGCAAGACAUCGACACACAGCUUGAUGGUCAUUAGUAGAGUGCUACAUCAUAUGCUAUGUUUCAUUUUCCUACCAUGGGGUGGACACCGAGAUGAGGUCUCCUAUUACAAGGCAUUCCUUAUAGAUUCUAUUCUAACUAGGAGAAGAAUCCAUGUGAGAUAUCUGAUGAUGAUGCACAUGAUUGCAUGUUGCGAGAACACGACUCGAGUAUUCCCCUAUGGUCGCUUCCUUUCUUGAGUAUUCAAGAAUAGAGGCCUUGACCUUAGUAGACAGACAGACUUUGAGGUCCCCAAUACAUAUGAGACAUUGAUGAUCAAUCUAUGGGGUGGAUGACAUUUGAGAAGGCUCCAAAUGGUUCUUGGAUUAGAAAAGCAGAAAGAACACAACCACAGGGAUAGAGAUAGGCACACUCUGGAGUUAAGGAAGAGACAGAGAUUAGAUAGAUGGAGGGUGGAGUAAACCCUCAAGAUGGCAUAGACCUUCAGAGUGGCCACCAGUAGAGAGGACUUGAGCUUGGUAUUCCCCCACUUUAAACAAAGAUUCUUUCACAGACCGAGGAUUUUCAAUUUGAGUCCACUUUCUUUGAGUCGAUGAUGACAUAGCCUGCUUUUAUAAAGAGAACAUCUACUCAGUCAUCAUACACUGAGCCCUCCUUAUUUGGACCAGUAUUCACCGAGCCCACCUAUAUUAAGAUACCACCUCCUCAGGCACCUCCUACUCCUGACCAUGCUUCUUGGAUGGAUUUAUCGGCUCAGAUUGACUCCCUUAGUACUCGUAUGGAGGAACUUGCAAUGGUCAAUGACACACAAUUUUACUUUAUGAAGGAUACAAUGGACUAGUAUUAGACUAGGUUCACUACUCAAUUUGAGUAUCUUUAGUAGAGGAUUGAUCGCAUGGAGUAGAGGAUUGAUCACAUUGAGGAUCACAUAGAGCGUCAACAUAAGGAGAUGAUGACCUACUUGCAUUUCGUGUUUCCAUAUCCACCUCCUCAACCUUGAUGACUAGUUGGGAACCCCUUUAUUCUUUUUUUAUGUUGCCAAAGAGUGAGAUAUUUUAGGAUCUAGGAAUAUCUAUGAGGGUAGAUAUAGAAGACUCAUACUGAUAGAUGUAUAUCAUUUUUUGUUUGGAUCAUAUAUUGCUUAUCUCUAAUUACUUUAGUUUGUUGGACAUAUGAUGCACUGACUGAUACAUUUGACAUGAUAUAUGAUAUGCUUAUAUAUUUGAUGACUUACAUUGGAUGUUCCUUGUUGCAAUACUUUCUAACAUGUCUUGAUCAUCGUGUUUUUAAUUUCUUAAAUAUUGAUUGUUGAUACAUGAUUGGUUUGAGGGGAGAUUUUUUUUUCCUAGAUAACCAAGGUUUUUUAUCAUAAAAAAUGGGAGAUUGUUAGCCCAAGGAUUCUCAUAAUCAUGUUUUGAUGAUAACAAACCAUGGUUAAGUUUCUAAUUGGUUUGAAUUAUAAAGAAUUUUAGGUAUUAGUUUGAAAAUUCAUCAAAUGACCCAAUGGAUGCAAGAUCAAGGAAAUUGGAAGACCUUUAAUCAUAAGAAACAUAUGUAAGAUGAAUGCAUGGGUGCACUUAGGAUUUUCAUAUCUUUUCAUGCAUCUUUAAAAACUCAGUUUAUGCAUUAAAGUUAUAUUUCCAUCAAAACCCGAGUUUUACCAAACGAACCUUAGGCAAAUCAUUUCAAAAUUGACACAAUAAUUUAUCUAAAGACCUUGACUAAGUGUUAGAAGAGAAAAUAAUAGAAAAAGAUAGGUUUUUCAGCCAAAAAUGGUGAACCGAUCGAGACACUAGCCAAUCAACUCAACUGACUAGGGUAUCAGUAGACCGGUUACACUAUCCGGUCGAUGUCCAGUCAAGAGAUACAAAGAAUCUUCUCUCUAUUCCAGAAUGCUUGUUUAACCAGUCAAAGUUAAACCUCAAUCGAUCGAGGUUGAACCUCAACCUAUCGAGAGGCGGUCAAGGGGCGAUCGAGGUCCAACGGUCACCUACCAAGCAUUAAAUGCUAACGACUAGUCAACCGGUGAAAUCGAAACUCGACCAGAUGAACCCCUAAUGACUAGUUUGGCAUUUUUACUAUAUAAAAAGGCUCAAAUCUUCAUUAUUUCAAGAGUUUAACCUUCCUAAAAAUUUCUUGAAUAUAUUUGAGCUUUUGUGAGAGUGUUUUUGAGUGCACAUUGUUCUAAAACUUGCAUAUCAUUAGUGCACCAUUCAAUCCUAAUUUUUCUUGUACAUUUGAGCCUAAAGUUUUGUAUUGGGAUUUUGUGAGAUUAUUUCUUCAUUUGUAAAUAUUUGAAAGGAAGAAUCUAAGUGUGAGGUAUCACUUGAGGGGUUAUUCAAGAAUGAGGUAUCUCUUGAAGAUUAUAAAGGGUGUUUGGAGCUUAAAGUUCAAGAGGGUGGAUUGAAACCAUAAUCCAAUCGUAUUGCUUGAAAGCUUGGUUUGGAAGCCUUGAAUUAGUGGAACCUCAAGCUUAAGAUUGAAGGUAGAGGAGAGUGGACGUAGGUCGGGUUGCAUCGAACCACUAUAAAAUCUUGUGUUUGCAUUCUCUUUUCCCUACUUUUUUUUACUUUAUAUGCAAUUUGUCUUUAUAUUAUUUUAUUAUAUAUUUGCAUAUAAUUAUCUUUUGCAUUUACAUAAUUUAAAUUUGUAAAAAAAAGACCAUCAACCUAUUCACCUCCCUCUAAGGUGAUUACUUUAAGUUAGAUUAGCCCGAUUUUUCUAACACCUUUGUAUAGCUCUACCAACAUCAAAGUCAUCUGGGCUUAACCACCCAUUCAUCUUAAAAAGACAAAGGCCUAUCCACUAGAUAUCUAGAAUCUAAUAAAGGUUGGAAGAAUGUAGCUCCAUAUGAACUCCUUUGACUAGUGAAAUGAUUGGGCCACCCAUCUCAUACCGCAUGUUUGAAUAUAACAUGUGUACCAAGGUUAGGCAAAAAAACUCUGAGCAAUUCACCAUAGAUAGCUAUCACAUCUUGGCGAAUAACUCCUCAAAUUGAAAAUAUGAUAAUUAGCCAAAAUAAAUAUUACAACUCGGAACCACUAUCUAGGCUGCAAACAAAUAAGUGUAUCACUGGUAGUACUCCUCCAUGGAUGCUAAGCUCUAGAUGUUAAAUCAAGCUUUUCUCUUAGCCUCAACUUUAAAACUCUCUAUAUAUAGGAUAGUUGCCUUAGACCUUUGAUGUUGUAGUAACUUUAUGGGGAGCCAUGACACUUUAGUACAUUCAUAGGAAUAAAGGGAAAAGUCCAAGAAAUUGAUAAAAUAAAAAAAAACAAAGGAAAAAGUGGAAAACGGCCACAGUUCAAGAAAUGAAAGGCAAAAACAUAGAGUUCCAAGGAAAAAUAUCUCAAAAUGGCCUACAUAAGAGUUUUGGAGAAACCCUAAAGAGAGAAAUUGGUUUAGACCCUAGGGUUCAAACCCUCUGCUGGUUGAGCAAUUGGUUCAACUAGUCCUCAAUCGGUUGAGGCUCUACCUCAACCAGCUACACCACAACUAUUGUAUGUUAAGGGUGCACAAAGUGCGUCAUGAUUAGUCAAUGCCCAAUUGGCUCAACUAGUUCCUUGGGCCCUCAAUUGGUUGCAAUGUGAAGUGCUUAAGAGACUUGAUUUGAGGUAUGGAACCUUUAGAAACUUGUGUAAACCUUCUUAAAGAUAAGUUUAAAAUAAAUUUGGCUUAAGGUUUUAAUUUAAAACAAAAAUUUAUUCAAUGCUUUGGUAAAAAUGAUCGUUUUAAGUCUAAGGAAUGAUGAAAUUGAAUUUUUAAGUGCAUGAAAAUGAUUUAGACAUUUGAAAGUUGAGUUUAGGUUUGGAUAUUGAUCUUCACGGUAUUGAUCUUCUUCCAUUAUUCUUUGGGUUUUCUUUGAAUUUUUGUAAGUAAACCUGAAAACUUAAUUUGAUCUAAAUCAUUAGUAACUUAGUCUUAUUUUGUAAUCACCAAAAUUCAAUUAGAAGAACCUUUGAGCUAACACCUAUGGUGAUAGCAAAGACAAAGUUAUCUUGCUUAUGGAUAUAUAAAUGACCUUGAUAAAAGGGCAUUUGCAUGUUGUAAAAACGUAGUAGGAACCAAGAGUCUCUGAAUGAGUCAAGGGACAAGUGACAAAUGAUUGAAACUUUCGGAUAUGCUAAAGCCAUUUGAAACUAAAACUUGAGUUUCAAUUUAAAAGAGUUUGAAUUUGAAUUGAACAUUUGUUAUGAACAAAUGGACAUUGUCACCAAGGUUUUGUUGAAAUAGGCUUUCACUCACCCUUGAGGCAAGAUGGGUCUCCAUGCACUAGCAUUCCCACUUAGCUUGAGCGAGGUGUUAAUGAAGAUAAUCUUAGUAUUCACGAAAGAACGUGAUUGACAAAUCAAACCAACUCAAUAACCACAAUAUUUAUCGACAAUUCAACCCAGAUUAUAAAAAACAAUUCAAUGCAGCAUGUGCUGAUUCUAUUCUCUUUACUGUUGUUAUCAUGAUAUGUAUUUUCAUAAUUUUCCUUUUAGUACAAGAACUUGUUUGUUUAUACAAAUAAGAUUGUAUAUUCUUGAUAAUAUAAUUUAGAUCUUCCAUAACCAAAUUCUGAAAAAACUUUUCAUUAUUUCGUGUCAUGAUCGAUUACUGCAAAACUAACUUAUAUUUUAAUAUUUUUUUCCUUUUUUUUUUUUUUAAUAAUUUGGUCCAUUAUGUUUUAUAAUUUAAAAUUUUCAUUUUAAAAAUUGUAUUGUAACUUGUUUGAUUUAAUUUAACCAAAAAGUUAAAUUCUUUAACCUCUUUACAAACAAUGUAUGUAUGAAUUUUUUUUUUUUCCUAUUUAGUAUGUAAGAGCAUUUAAAUAUUAAUUCAUCUUUUUAAGAGCACUUAACAAAAGUAAGUUUUUUCAACUUGAAUAAAGCUUUGAUAUUCCAAUCAACUACUAUAACAUUUUAAGAUUGGCCAAAAGGAACAUAGUGUUCUAGGUAAGUUGAUUGUGUGAAAGGGUUGAAUGCAUAUGAGACUUUAAUUUCGUAUUGAAGAUUUUUUUUAAAAAAAAAUCUAAUUUAGGUUUAUUUUGAAAUAUUUUUCGAAACAAUUUUGAAAAAAAUGAUUAUUGAAAAUAGUUUUCAGAAAAUGCUUAUGAUAUUUUUUAGAAUAAAAGUCUAUUUCAAAACUUAAAAUAUUCUUAAUUUGUUUUUUGUAUUUCAAAUUUUUUCUUAAAAAUAAUUAAAAUAUAUUUUAAAAAAUAAUUAGAUUAUUCUUAUUUUCAAUCAUUCUCCAUAUUUUUUCAAUUAUUUUUAAAAAUAAUCCAAAAUUAUUAAUAUAUAUAUAUAUAUAUAUAUAUAUAUAUAUAUAUAUAUAAUACCUUAUUUUUGGAACUAGUUUUCAAAACACUAAUUUUUAUUAAAAAAUUAUCAAACUUCUUUUUGAAUUUGAAAAAUAUUUUCUAUUUAAUAGAAUAAAAAAAUUAGAAAUAGUUAUCAAACUAUAAAGUUUUGUUUCUUUUUUUCAAUGUUUUUAGGUGGCAUUGAAUAAAAAUAUCAUUUUAAAUUUUAAAAUAUAAAAAUUAAAAUUUUAAACAUAUUUCAUCAUUUCAUCAUUAAUACUGAUAAAUUAAAUUAUGAUAAGGAUAACAGAAGAUUUAUUAAAAUUUCUAAUGUUAUUAAACAUGUUUAACUUAUAAUUAUUUUUUAAAAUAAUAUUUUAUUAUUUAAAGCUGUUUAAAUUUUAAUAGUUAUAUAUUUUAUCAUUUUCAAAAUUAUUAGUUGUUUAUUUAUACUAUUUUGAUGUUUAUUAUCCUAUAAUAUUUGAUAAAUUACAAAUCUUUAUAUUUAUUUUUAAGUUAUGAAAUUAUAUUACAUAUAUUUUAAAUACAUUUAUAUACACCCUUGUCUUUUUCCCAAUAAAGACCCAAUUAAAUCCUCAUUCCUCAUCCUUCCAUGCCUUUUAAGCAGGUUCGUCGAUUCACCUGAUUAGGUGAACCGAACCAGGUUAAGGUCCGGGAUUCGGGUUUGAUCCGAUUUUUAAAAUAUAGACUGAACAAAGAAUUGUCCUUAUCCUCUUUCCCCUUUUCGGCGAAGACUUGAGUCAUUUGCCAGAUUUAAGUCGUGAAGGUCUACAGAUUCAGUCUCCUAAGAAAUUGGGCAUGAAUCGCAGCCACCAUUCUUGACUUUUGCUUUGUUUCGCAUGAAUGCGCAUGUACUAUCUAAUCAGACUGGGGACAACACAUUUACCACCAUUUUUGCCCGGGAGACUCGGUUUGUUGGGUCAACGGUGGAAUCCAAGUCUACUGAGAAAUAAUAUAAAUAUUAUAAAUAUAAUCUGAACAAAAUAAGUACAUGGUGAUUUUUUAUAUUUAAAAUAAAAUAUUAUAUUACAAGCAUUAAAUAAGUUUUAUGUAUGGGAUCGUUUUUAUAAAUAGAUAUAUUUUUAAAUUUUUAUAAUAUAAAUAUUAGUUAUUUUUUAUUGUUUUUAUUUGUUUUCUAAGUAUUAUUUAAAAAAAUAUACAAAUAUAUAAAAUAAUUAAAAAUAAAAUAUUAGAUAUAAAAAUAAUUUUUAAAACAUAUCUAAAAAUAUUAAAAAUAGGUUAAAAAUAUUUUAGGUUUCAAAUAGAUUUUUAUUUUUUAAAACAUCUUACAACAAUUUUUAAAAAUUAUUUUUUAGAAUUAUUUUAAAAAACAAUUAUUAGAGAGAAACUUUAUUUUUUAAAAUAAUUUUUCUUUAAUCAAAAUCUUUUUAAGGAGAGAAACUGAGGAAGAAAGGUAGGACUUUUCUCAAUAGUACAGCAAUUUAAAAAAGUUAUGCUUAAAUUACUGUACUGGCAGAAGUUAUUACAAAUAUAGGGUAGUUUUUGCCACAUAGGAGAGAGGAGAGAGGAAAGAGGAGAGAGGAGAGAGGAGAGAGGAGAGAGGGUGAGAGAAGAGAGGAAAGAGGAGAGAGGAGAGAGGAGAGAGGGUGAGAGAGAGGAGAUAGGAGAGAGGAGAGAGGAGAGAGGGUGACUUAAAAAAAAAGCAAACUCGUCUCUUGAAGAGACGAGUUCCAUGAAAGAAGAGAGGAAAGAGGAGAGAGGAGAGAGGAGAGAGGGUGAGAGAGAGGAGAGAGGAGAGAGGAGAGAGGAGAGAGGGUGUGUAAAAAAAAGCAAACUCGUCUCUUGAAGAGACGAGUUCCAUGAAAAAAAAAAAUAUAUAAUUUUAAAAAAAUUCUAAACAAUUAUUCAAGGGAACUCGUCUCUUGAAGAGACGAGUUCCAUGUAAAAAAAUCCAAGAGACGAGUUCCAUGUAAAAAAAAAAAUAUUUUUUAUUUUAAAAAAUCCCAAAUUUAAAAAAAAAAAUUCCAAAAAAAAAAAAAUUCCAAAGGGAACUCGUCUCUUGAAGAGACGAGUUCCAUGUAAAAAAAAAUAUAUUUUUUAAAAAAUAUAAUUUUUAUUUUAAAAAAUCCCAAAUUAAAAAAAAAAAAAAUCCAAAGGGAACUCGUCUCUUCAAGAGACGAGUUCCAUGUAAAAAAAAAUANNNNNNNNNNNNNNNNNNNNNNNNNNNNNNNNNNNNNNNNNNNNNNNNNNNNNNNNNNNNNNNNNNNNNNNNNNNNNNNNNNNNNNNNNNNNNNNNNNNNNNNNNNNNNNNNNNNNNNNNNNNNNNNNNNNNNNNNNNNNNNNNNNNNNNNNNNNNNNNNNNNNNNNNNNNNNNNNNNNNNNNNNNNNNNNNNNNNNNNNNNNNNNNNNNNNNNNNNNNNNNNNNNNNNNNNNNNNNNNNNNNNNNNNNNNNNNNNNNNNNNNNNNNNNNNNNNNNNNNNNNNNNNNNNNNNNNNNNNNNNNNNNNNNNNNNNNNNNNNNNNNNNNNNNNNNNNNNNNNNNNNNNNNNNNNNNNNNNNNNNNNNNNNNNNNNNNNNNNNNNNNNNNNNNNNNNNNNNNNNNNNNNNNNNNNNNNNNNNNNNNNNNNNNNNNNNNNNNNNNNNNNNNNNNNNNNNNNNNNNNNNNNNNNNNNNNNNNNNNNNNNNNNNNNNNNNNNNNNNNNNNNNNNNNNNNNNNNNNNNNNNNNNNNNNNNNNNNNNNNNNNNNNNNNNNNNNNNNNNNNNNNNNNNNNNNNNNNNNNNNNNNNNNNNNNNNNNNNNNNNNNNNNNNNNNNNNNNNNNNNNNNNNNNNNNNNNNNNNNNNNNNNNNNNNNNNNNNNNNNNNNNNNNNNNNNNNNNNNNNNNNNNNNNNNNNNNNNNNNNNNNNNNNNNNNNNNNNNNNNNNNNNNNNNNNNNNNNNNNNNNNNNNNNNNNNNNNNNNNNNNNNNNNNNNNNNNNNNNNNNNNNNNNNNNNNNNNNNNNNNNNNNNNNNNNNNNNNNNNNNNNNNNNNNNNNNNNNNNNNNNNNNNNNNNNNNNNNNNNNNNNNNNNNNNNNNNNNNNNNNNNNNNNNNNNNNNNNNNNNNNNNNNNNNNNNNNNNNNNNNNNNNNNNNNNNNNNNNNNNNNNNNNNNNNNNNNNNNNNNNNNNNNNNNNNNNNNNNNNNNNNNNNNNNNNNNNNUCUCUUCAAGAGACGAGUUCCCUUUGGAAUUGUGUUUUUUUUUUUUUUUUUUUAAUUUGGGAUUUUUUUUUUUAAUAUAUAUAUUUUUAAAAAAAUAUUUUUUUUUUUACAUGGAACUCGUCUCUUCAAGAGACGAGUUCCCUUUGGAAUUUAUUUUUGUUUUUUUUAAAUUUGGGAUUUUUUAAAAUAAAAAAUAUAUUUUUUUAAAAAUAUUUUUUUUUUUACAUGGAACUCGUCUCUUCAAGAGACGAGUUCCUUUUGCAAUUUUUUUUUUUUUUUUUUUAAAUUUGGGAUUUUUUAAAAUAAAAAAUAUAUUUUUUAAAAAAUAUAUUUUUUUUUACAUGGAACUCGUCUCUUCAAGAGACGAGUUCCCUUUGGAAAUUUUUUUUUUUUUUUUAAAUUUGGGAUUUUUUAAUAAAAAAUAUAUUUUUUAAAAAAUAUUUUUUUUUUCCUAAAGGAACUCGUCUCUUGAAAUUUUAUAUUUAAAAAAAAAUAUUUUUUUUUAGAUGAGAACUCGUCUGUUAGGAAUUUUGAGGAAUUGUUUUUUUUUUUUAAUAUAUAUAUAUUUAAAAAAAUAUUUUUUUUUUUACAAGGGAACUCGUCUCUUCAAGAGACGAGUUCCCUUUGGAAUUAAAUUUUUUUUUUUUUUUUUUUUAAUUUGGGAUUUUUUUUUAAUAUAUAUAUAUUUUUAAAAAAAUAAUUUUUUUUUUACAUGGAACUCGUCUCUUCAAGAGACGAGUUCCCUUUGGAAUUUUUUUUUUUUUUUUUUAAUUUGGGAUUUUUUAAAAUAAAAAAUAUAUUUUUAAAAAAAUAUAUUUUUUUUUACAUGGAACUCGUCUCUUGAAGAGACGAGUUCCCUUUGGAAUUGUGGUUUUUUUUUUUUUUUUUUUUUUAAUUGGGGAUUUUUUUUUUUUAAUAUAAAAGANNNNNNNNNNNNNNNNNNNNNNNNNNNNNNNNNNNNNNNNNNNNNNNNNNNNNNNNNNNNNNNNNNNNNNNNNNNNNNNNNNNNNNNNNNNNNNNNNNNNUUUUAAAAAAAAAAAAGAUAUUUUUAAAAAAUAUAUUUUUUUUAAAAAGGAACUUGUUUUUUGAAAAGACGGGUUCCCUUUGGAAAUGGGUUUUUUUUUUUUUUUUUUUUUUUAAUUUGGGAUUUUUUUUUUUUAAAAUAAAGAGACGAGUUCCCUUUGGAAUUUAUUUAUUUUUUUUUUAAAUUUGGGAUUUUUUAAAAUAAAAAAUAUAUUUUUUUUUACAUGGAACUCGUCUCUUCACUUUGGAAUUGUGUGUGUGUUUUUUUUUUUUUUUUUAAAUUUGGGAUUUUUUAAAAUAAAAAAUAUAUUUUUUUUUACAUGGAACUCGUCUCUUCAAGAGACGAGUUCCCUUUGGAAUUGUGUGUGUGUUUUUUUUUUUUUUUAAUUUGAGAUUUUUUUUUUAAUAUAUAUAUUUUUAAAAAAAUAUUUUUUUUUUUACAUGUAACUCGUCUCUUCAAGAGACGAGUUCCCUUUGGAUUUUUUUUUUUUUUAAUUUAGGAUUUUUUUAAAAAAAAUAUUCUUUUUUACCUGGAACUCGUCUCUUGAAGAGACGAGUUCCCUUUGGAAUUUUUUUUUUUUUUAAUUUGGGAUUUUUUAAAAUAAAAAAUAUAUUUUUUAAAAAAUAUUUUUUUUUUUACAUGGAACUCGUCUCUUCAAGAGACGAGUUACCUUUGGAAUUUUUUUUUUUUUUUAAAAAAAAAUUUGGGAUUUUUUAAAAUAAAAAAUAUAUUUUUUUUUACAUGGAACUCGUCUCUUCAAGAGACGAGUUCCCUUUUUGGAAAUUUUUUUUUUUUUUUUUAAAUUUGGGUUUUUUUAAAUUAAAAAAUAUAUUUUUAAAAAAAUAUAUAUUUUUUUUACAUGGAACUCGUCUCUUCAAGAGACGAGUUCCCUUGAAUAAUUGUUUAGAAUUUUUUUAAAAUUAUAUAUAUAUUUUUUUUCAUGUAACUCGUCUCUUCAAGAGACGAGUUUGCUUUUUUUUACACACCCUCUCUCCUCUCUCCUCUCUCCUCUCUCCUCUCUCCUCUUUCCUCUCUUCUUUCAUGGAACUCGUCUCUUCAAGAGACGAGUUUGCUUUUUUUUUUACAGUCACCUUCUCUCCUCUUUCCUCUCUUCUCUCACCCUCUCUCCUCUCUCCUCUCUCCUCUUUCCUCUCUCCUCUCUCCUAUGUGGCAAAAACUACCCUAUAUUUGUAAUAACUUCUGCCAGUACAGUAAUUUAAGCAUAACUUUUUUAAAUUGCUGUACUAUUGAGAAAAGUCCAAGGUAGGUAUAUGAUUGUAAUAAAGAGAUGAUUGAUCAUUUUGGACAAUUAAAACACGGAAUUAUUUUGAAUUGGAAAAUUGUGAUUUCUUCUAAGUUAAAAUCCAUACAUUCCCUCGUAGCAAAAACAACUUAAUGAUCUCUGUGGUAUAAAUAAAAUUUAUCUAAACGAGAGCGAACAAAAGUUGGCAUGAGAUAUUUUUCUUCAUAAAAAAGAAAAAUGCAUCAAAAUAAAUAUAUUACUUGUCAUGUCCAUGUCAAAUAGCGGAGAAAGUUUUUAGUCGUAUAAAUGUACGUUUUGAUUUGUUUAGGUAGGGCCGUUACAUUACUCAUAUGGCAUUUUCAGCAACUAUUCUAAAGAAAUUUUAGGAGAAAACUCUACUCAGUAAAUAGCAACUAUACAACUAUGACUGCUGUUAGAGUUCUCCAGAAAAGGACGCUGUCCAACGUAGUUGCCUGGAGGAUCAUAGUUGCAAGUGACAAACCACCCACCCGUGUUGCACUGAACCCUAGCGCACCCAAGGUGCAAUGAGUUGCGCCAAAUAACUUUAAUAUACUGCAGGCAUUCCCCACCAACGCAUGAGUUGGAGUUGUAGUCAUAAUAAGGCUUCUCCCCCACCCACAUGUUCACUGCAUCGGUGCCUGUCAAUGAAGGGGUGCCCCAGGCAAUGUUCUCACCGUAAGGCCCACUUGAAUGCACUAAAUUGCAAUCGCCAAUCCUCUGGUUAGCAUAGUUCUGGGCGUAGGCAGCUACAGUGUCAUUCCAUGUCAUAGAUUCAACACCAACUUCUGCACGCGCGGCAUUGUGAGCAUCGAGGAAGUCUUGUGGAGAGUUUUGGGCAUAGGAGAUGUGAGCAAGGACUAACCCCAUGAAACCAACAACUAGUGAAGAUGAGAUCUUACACAACCCCAUCUUUUAGUUUCUUAAUCUGUGUAUGCAAAGUGAGAGUUGAGAAAUGAGCAUAUAUGGUUUGAAGGGAAUGAGAAGAACUUGCAAUUUGGUCAGUCAAAAGCAUCAUUAAUAAAGCUUACAAGCAAUCUUUAGGCCACCAAAACUGGGCGCCCAUGGGCUGUUACGUGUGAAGGACGUUGAGAAAAGGAAAAUUCUACGAAGUGGGUACGUACCUCCAAAAUUCCUGGCCGUUGGAUCAAAAGAUUCCAAUCAAGACCAUCCAAAUGAAAAAUAGAUUAAAAUAAAAAAUGCAAAAGAAGGGUGCAAAAGGUUGCCAGUAGAUAUGCCCCCCUUUAUCUCCCCUCUCUCAAUUUUUGUCACACAUGUCAACAUCAAUUUCAAAAUUUUAAAUUAUUAAUUCUACAUUUGUUUUAUCUAUUUAUAACAAAUAUUAUCUUAGAAAGUAAAUUUCAAUCAAUUAUUAUAUUUAAGUAAAAGUUAUUACUAUAUUUUGAUCUAUCUUACAAUGUUUUUCAAUAUAAUAGGAAAGUGUAAAUACAACUAUCCAAUUACAAAUGCCCUCCAAAAUUUAUUUAAAAUCUAUAGAUUUUUUUUAUUUUUUUAUUUUACUUUAAAUAUUAAUAAAAUUGUUAAUUCGUAUAAUUUCACUUAGAAUUCAUAAAAAAAAAUAUGAGGAAAAAAUAAAAAAUAAAAAUAUUAAAAUUCUUACCCUCACUUAAUUUUAAGAAAUUUUUUUUUCAACUUCAAAUGCCAAUUAAAUUGUUUUUUCAUACUAAUUUCAAUUAGGAUUUUUGAUAAGUAGGAGGGUACGAAGAAGUGUUAUUCGUCAUUUUUAUCAAUUGUAAGUAUAAUUAAUAUUAAUAAGCACUAUUAGUACUAUUUGAAGUAGACAAAAAUUGGUUAAAAUUAAAACAAAUAGAAAAUUUGGAGGUACAAAGAAUAUGGGGAAAAGUAUAGAGAAUGUGAGGAAUAAUAGUGUUUAUUCCUCCCAUUUUUGUACCUCUCCAAUUUUGUAAUUUUUCUACUUUUAAAUUUUUAUUUUUUUAUUUUUUUUUUGUAGUAUUCAUACCCUCUCCAAUUUGGUAGUUUUUUACUUUUAAUUUUUUUUAUUUAUAAUUUCGAUCAAAUUUAAGUAUAAUUAGUAUGAAUAAAUGCUAAGAAAAAAAAAAUCUUAAAAUUAAAACAAGCGUAAAUUUGGAGGAUACGAAGAAUGUGGGAAAAUAAUAUUCACAUUCUUCACACCCUCCAAAAUUUUCAAUUUUCUAAUUUUAAGAAUUUUUUCCACUUGAAAUAACAAUUAUAUUGUGUAUACAUACUAAUUACAUUUAAUGAUGAUAAAAAUUAUGUGCAAACAAAUUUAAAACGAAAAAUACUAAAACAUUGGGAAGGGACGUAGAAUAUGAGACCCUUUAGAUUUUUCAUUUUUUUGAAUUUUAAGAAUUUUUUAAAAAUUUAUUUUAUUUUUUAUAAUAGUUAUAAUUGUCAUUUUUUAUAUUAUUAGAAUAUAAUUCAAAUUUUUAUUAUUCAUAGCCUAAAGUUAUAUAAAAGAAAAAAGGGAUAGUAAAUUAAUAAAUGUCAAAACUCGUAUAGGUAGAAACUAUAUAAUUAAAAUUUUAAACAUAUUUCAUCAUUAAUACUGAUAGAUUACAUUAUGAUAGGAUAACAUGAAGAUUUAUUAAAAUUUUAGUAUUUCUAAUGUUAUUAAACAUAUUUAACUUAUAGUUAUUUUUUUAAAUGAGAUUUUAUUAUUUAAAGUUGUUUAAAUUUUAAUAGUUAUAUAUUUUAUCAUUUUCAAAUUUAUUAAUUGUUUAUUUAUACUAUUUUGAUGUUUAUUAUCCUAUAAUAUUUGAUAAAUUAUAAAUCUUUAUAUUUAUUUUUAAGUUAUGAAAUUAUAUUACAUAUAUUUUAAAUACAUUUAUAUACACCUGUGGACCCCGCAUUUCGGCUCAUGCGUUUCCCACUCGAUGGCGAGCUCGAUUUUAAUUUGAAAAAUUGAUCUUUAUUGAUUAAGAAAAAUUGACUUGGAGUCGCCACUUAUUUUUAUUUUAUUUUUAAAGGGUAAACAAAAUAAGAAAGAAAAACCCUAAGUGUGACUCCUUGUUUUGGAAAAGGUGGUCUGUGAAAAACCGGAUCGGGUUCGGGGGUCAGGUUACUUAUCGGGAAGGUACGGUAGAGACCGUAGCACCCCUCUAAGUCCCUAAAUUCGGGUCUCUACUAAUAAAGUGAAACUGACGUGGCAAUCGAAUAAGAAAGUCAAUGGAUACUCACAUCAAUCAUGCAUAUAUGAGAAUCAGAAUAUGUAUACUGAAUGAUCAGAAUGAGUGAAUGCGUACCUGGGCAGCAAAUAGCAAACAGCAACGCGCUAUCAUGGAAUGAGGUUAGUGAAUAAACGCAAAAUGAUUAUAUGUAUAUCAAGGAACAAAGUAAAUCGAUCACACAUGGCAAAUGAAUCGAUCAAUCAGUCAAUCAAUCAUGGAAUCUCAUAUGUGGGACCCCCACCAAAGCCCAUUCUAUUUUGCACGAAUUAGUCCCACAAAUUCCAUUAUUCUGGAAUUAUGAAAAUAGCAUUCGUGCUUAUAUAAAAUCAAGAGAAACCGAAGAUUAUUUGAAACCCGAAGAGAAUUAAAACUGUUAGAGAGAAAAUUGGAUUUUUGAAAUUUAUUUGAAAAUUGGAGUAUUGGGAAUUAAAUUUAAGAGUUGGAAUUUUAGGAUGUCAAACUUGAAAGAAAUUAGAAUUUUAGAAAUCGAAAAUUAAGUUUGGAAAUUGGGAUUCAAAAAAAUGUUUAAAAAUGGAAUUUUGAAAUAAAUAAAUGGAAUAAUAAUAAUAAUAAGGACGAAAAUAAUGAUUAAAUAAAUGAAUGGGAAUGCUGGAAUUUUUGAAAUUGGAAAUUAGAUUUGAAGGUCGGAAUUGUUUAAAGAAUGAAUUUUUGAAAUAAAAUAAAUAGAAUAAUAAUAAUGACGAAAGUGAUGAUUAAAUGAAUGAACGGAAUUUUCGGAAUUUCUUCGUAUUGGAAAUUAGAUUCGGAAGUCGGAAAAUUGGAACUGCUUCAUGAUAGAAUUUUAAAAUAAGCAAAUAAAUAAAUGGAAUAAUAAUAAUAACGAAAAAAUAAUGAUUAAAUAAAUAAACCUGAAUUUUGGAAAUUUUGAAAUUGGAAAUUAAAUUCGGAAGUCGGAAAUUUUAAAGAAAUGUUUAAAAUAGAAUUUUAGAAUGAAUAAAUAAACUAUUAGUGAUAAAUUAAUGUGAAUGUGAGAAUUUUUCGAGAUUAGGAAUUUAAUUCGAAAAUCAAAAGUUUUAAAGAAUUGAUUUAAAAUGGAGUUUUAAAAUAAAUGAAUAAAAUACUAAUGAUUACAUAAAUUAAUGGGAGUACGAGAAUUUUCGGGAUUAAGAAUUUAAUUCGGAAAUUAGAAGUUUUAAAGAAUUGAUUUAAAAUGGAAUUUUGAAAUAAAUGAAUGAAAUAUUAGUGAUUAAAUAAAUUAAUGUGAAUAUAGGAAAUUUUGGGAUUAGGAAUUUAAUGCGGAAAUCAGAAGUUUGAAAAAAAUUUGUUUAAAGAUAGAAUUUUUAAAAUAAAUAAAUAAAUGGGAUAAUAAUAAUAAUGACGAAAAUAAUAAUUAAAUAAAUGAACGUGAAUAGUGGAAUUUUUUUAAAUCGAAGAUUAAAUUUGAAAGUUGGAAUUGUUUGACGGUGGAAUUUUAAAAUAAAUGAAUGAAUAAAUAGAAUAAGAAUAAUCGCAAAAAUAAUAAUUAUUAAAUAUGUAAAUACGGGAAGACCUAAAAAGAAUCUAAAGAUGAAAUAUUAGAGAGUUGAAUUACUUAAAAACUAGAUUUUAAAAAAAAAACAAUUUUUAAAAUUGGUGGGCUUUGGAAGUGGGCCAAGCAAGGUGGCCAUGCAAAGGUGGAGGAAAUAGGGUUGAUGGGUAUUUGGAAAAUGGGUAUGUGGUGGGCUUUGGAAGUGGGCCAAGAAAGGUGGCCAUGCAAAGGUGGGUUGAUGGGUAUUUGGAAAAUGGGUAUGUGGUGUAGAGAGAUAACCGGGUAGGGAGUAGAAAAUGAAUGAGUUAGUGAGAAAAUGAGGGCUUGGUGGUAGUGGGUAUGAAGAUGGGAGGAUGAAAGACGGGUUUAAUAGGUAUGCAUGGAGAUGACUUAGAGAGAGAAAAGGGUAUGAAGAUGGGUAUGGGGGGGAUGAGAAUGGUGGUGAGUAAAAAAAAAGAUGGGUAUGGAGAUGGUUGGCAUGAUGGAUGGAUAUGAGUUGUAGGGAAGAUGGGUAUGGGGGGUGAGUGUGUUUAUGCAUGCAUGAGGGUUGGUGGUAUGGAGAAAUGAGAAGAAUGAAAGCGGGUAGCGAGAGAAACGGGAAAUGGGUUUAUAUUCUUGUACAUGGGUGGCAUGGGUGAUGAGAUAUGAGUAUGAAGGUGAUAGGAAGAUGUAUGCACGAGAUUGGUGGUAUGGAUAUAAGGGAGAAAUGGGCAUGGCAUGGCCAUGCAAGAGUGGGGAGAAAUGGGUUUGGCUGGUAUUUGGGAAAUGUCAUGAAGGGUGCAUGGUGUGGUGAUGAGAGAGAAAAGGUGGUGAGAAAAAAAAUGAAGGCUUAGAGAGAGGAAUGGGUUUAAGGGGGGUGUAGUUAAAUGAGGAUAUGUAUGGGAUGAAAAAUGAAGUAUGGAUGAUGGGCUUGGGAGGCCCGUGGUGUAGAGAGAGAGAGUGUGUGGUGAUGGGUAUAUGAAGGUUUAGGUGGGCUAUAGUGAGGGUGAACACGUUAAUGAAUGGAUAUGGAAGACAUGGGAUGAGAUAAGUGGAAUGGGUAGUGGGAUGAUGACCUUGUGCAUGAAAGAGAGGUUGAAGGGAUGGGUGAGUGACUAUGCAUGUGCAAGGAUAGGCUGCGGGUUGGUGGAGUGAGUAGGGUGGUGCAUUUCAAUGACGGUGAGCAUGGGCACGGGUAUGAAGGGCAGUGUUGACUUGUAGGAUGAGGACUCCCUUUCUAACAGCUUCCUGCAGCUUUUCAGCUAUUCCGGUUGGAGCAGAGACACUAGGGAGUUUACUUGAUGACAUAACCCAAUAAAUUGCCUUACAACAUUCAGCAUACCCACAAACAACCAUGAGCCUUCAUUAACCAACACAAGUAACUUCUCCACCAAGAUUAAUUACACCAAUGCACUGAAAAGUUUGACAAUCUCGCAUCCUCAUAGUCUCAUCUUCACUUCCAGUAUAAGGCUUAUCCAACCCAGACGGCAAAGUAAUCCCAAAUACAAAACUUCUAUUCAACUCCAUGGCCAAUAUUUUGGACUAAUAAGCUAGAGCACAUAUAUAAUCACAGAAGCCCUCCAUUGAGUUCAUGUCUCUUCACAAACUCACUUCUUCAGUCUCGGCAAUUUGGCCAUUGGUCACCUCAGUCCCACCACCAACAAGAAACAGAGCAAUACAUAGAAAGGAGAAUCAACAGGAAACGAAACAUGAUCUUUAUAUAAUCGGGUUCAGGGAUGAAACUAUACAUCAGAUACUUAAUGAGGGAGUCGAGGAAACCAAGAUAAAGUCAAACAAAGCAUAUAUGCACACAAACAGAUUCAGGAAAACAGGCCAGUAAUCCUAGAUGCCCAAACCUAUCAAUGAAUCACACCCAGGAAUAUGCAGAAAGAUUUAGCAGAAUAGUGUGAUAACAGGAAAAAGUGAAAAUCAUAGGGACGUUACCUGGAAGUUUCUUCCUCGAGCAGAGUAUGCUUGUCCUCAAGCACUCUCUCUCCCUCCAAAAUAUCUCACCCGGCCAUCCCCAGCAUCACACUUCUCCCGCUCCAAAAAAUCAUUGUAUAGAAACCUCCGAAACGUUUUUUUUUCACCCCUCUCCGGCUCGCUCUCGUCUGAAUAUCUCCCACACGGACGUCCUCUGCCUCCAGAAAAGCCCCCCGUCUCCUCUGCAGAUCUCCCCUUCUUUUCUUCCUAUCUAGCCUCUUUUUUCUUUUUUUUUUUCUCUGUUCCUGUCUUCCUGCGCAAGCCAGCCAUCCUACUGCUACACAUCCCAUCUGCCGCCCCCCAGAGCAGCCCACUCGAGAGCCGUCAGAGAAAACCGCAAAAAAAUAAUCAUAAUCCCCCGAAAGCUCUGCUCUUCGGGUGGGGGGGUCUACAACACCCUUGUCUUUUUCCCAAUAAAGACCCAAUUAAAUCCUCAUUCCUCGUCCUUCCAUGCCUUUUAAGCAGGUUCGUCGAUUGACCCUAUUAGGUGAACCGAACUAGGUUAAGGUCCGGGAUUCGGGUUUGAUCCGAUUUUUAAAAUAUAGACUGAACAAAGAAUCAAUGUUUUAAAAACCGGACCGGUCAUUGAACCGAAAAAGUUACCGGUUCACGGUUCACUGGUCGGACCGCCGGUCGAACCGCUAUCGAACCGGUGACGUCAUAAAUAUAUAUUUUAUUAUUUUUUAUAAUAUAAAAAUUAAAAAAUUAAUAAAUUCUAUGUAAAUUUUGAUAGCAUCUACUUUGUUUAUUGAGUAACUUGAGUUUUGUCACAAAAUUUUUUACCUGUAGAAGUCAUCAAUUAUCAUAUAUGAUAUUUAUAACACAAUAUAAGAUAUUAUACAUUCAUAAUGUCAAUAAACUCAAUAUUUAUCAAAUAAUCAAACCAUUACUAUCCUAUAAUAACCAAAUUAUCAAAGAGUUGUUAACUUAACACAUUGUCCAUAACAAAUAAUACAAAUGUCAAUCAUAGGUCCACAACACUUAAAUAAUUACUCAAAAUAAAAACAUAACAUGUCAAUGUUUGAAUAUUCAUGAAGAUUUUUGCAUACUAAUAAAUAUAAAAUUCAUGUCUUCAUUUAUUUUGGAAAUUGGAAUAUGGAGAUUGAAAAUGAGCAUUUGGAAAACCAAAAAAAAAAUUAAAAUAAUUUGAACCGGUUUUUUCCCUCAGAACCGGCCGGUUCGUCCGGUUCACCGGUUGGACCGCCGGUUCAAACGGUCCAAUCCCGGUUCGGUCUCCAUCCGGUCUAAUGACCGGACCGAACCGGAACGAUGACCGGUUGGCGGUCCAACCGGUCGGACCGGCCGGUCCGGUCCGGUUUUUAAAACCAUGCAAAGAAUUGUCCUUAUCCUCUUUUCCCUUUUCGGCGAAGACUUGAGUCAUUUGCCAGAUUUAAGUCGUGAAGGUCUACAGAUUCAGUCUCCUAAGAAAUUGGGCAUGAAUCGCAGCCACCAUUCUUGACUUUUUGCUUUGUUUCGCAUGAAUGCGCAUGUACUAUCUAAUCAGACUGGGGACAACACAUUUACCACCAUUUUUGCCCGGGAGACUCGGUUUGUUGGGUCAACGGUGGAAUCCAAGUCUACUGAGAAAUAAUAUAAAUAUUAUAAAUAUAAUCUGAACAAAAUAAGUACAUGGUGAUUUUUUUAUAUUUAAAAUAAAAUAUUAUAUUACAAGCAUUAAAUAAGUUUUAUUUAUUGGAUCGUUAUUAUAAGUAAAUAUAUUUUUAUAUUAAUAAGUAAUUCUGGUAUUACUUAUAAGCAUAUUAGACCGUGUUAUCACACCAUCAUAAAAAAAUAAAAAUGAAAAAUUAGACAAAGAAAAUGAAGGAAAAAAGAAGAAGAUGAAAAAUAGAAAAUAAGGGUAAUGUCACGUUGAAUAAGGGGUGUUUGUUAAAAUUUAAUAGUUAUUAAAUAAUGAUUUAAGUUGAUUUUAAGUUAAAUUAUAUUUAAAUUAUUGACUUAAAACUUAUUAUUUAAUUAUUAUUUUAAGUAUUAAGACUGUUUCAUAAAAUUAACUUAAAAUUUAUUUUAAAUCAUCAAAUUUACUCUUAUAAAUUAUAAUGAGAGCAAAGAAGAUUGAGUAACAGUGGAGAUCAUUAAGGCAAUUAAGACAAAUAAAGGUAAAAAAAUUAAAUAAAUAUGUGAACUUAAAAAUAAGUUAAUUAUUUUUAUUUAUUACUUGAAGUGGUUUUUUUACUUAAAGUCAUACCAUUAAAUUAUUUUACCAAACAUACUUAAUGAUUUAAAUUAAGUUAUUAAGUUACUUUAAGUUAUUAAGUUGAUUUAUCAUAUACCCUUUAAGUUACCGUAUGUUUAACAUUAUAUAAAAUACAUUUUUAUUUUAUGUAUGAUAUCACAUGUAAAAACACUAUACAUGUAUCCUAAAAUAUAUUGUAAUAUUACCCCUUCAUACUAAUAUAUCUCAUAACAAAUGAGGUAAAUGUCAUAUAACUUUUGGUUAUAUUCAUUUUACAAUGUUUUUUAAUUUAACCAAAAACUCAAUAUCGAGUAAUUUUUUUUAAAGAUUUUGGAUUUAUUUGGCAAUUGUUUUAUAGAUCAGAAAUCUAUUUUUGAGAAUAAAAAAAUAAGAAAACAUAUUCGAUAAUUAAAAAUUAUUUUCUAUUUUCUAUUAUGGAGAAUAAAAACAAAAUGUUUUAAGAGAACAUCUUUUAGUUAUUUUCUUUUGUUUUCAUUUGUUUUCUAAGUGUUAUUUUUUAAAAAAAAAAAUUAACAACCAUAUAAAAUGAUUAAAAAUAAAGUAUUGGAUAUAAAAAUUAUUUUUAAAACAUAUUUAAAAAUAUUAAAAAUAGGUUAAAAACAUUUUAGGUUUCCAAAAAAAAUUUUAUUUUACAAAACAUCUUAAAAUAGCUUUUAAAACCUGUUUUUUGGAACUAUUUUAAAAAACAAUUAUCAUACAAAACUUUUAUUUUUUAAAAUAGUUUUUCUUUAACCAAAAUUUUUUUAAGGAGAGAAACUGAGGAAGAAAGGUAUGUGAUUCUAACAAAGAGAUGAUUGAUCAUUUUGGACAAUUAAAACACGGAAUUAUUCUGAAUUGGAAAAUUGUGAUUUCUUCUAAGUUAAAACCCAUACAUUCCCUCUCAGCAAAAACAACUGAAUGAUCAAAAACCAAUGUUAAAUCAACAUAAAUAUGAACACUUCUGUGGUAUAAAUAAAAUUUAUCUAAACUAGUAUGAAUAAAAGUUGGCAUGAGAUAUUUUUCUUCAUAAAAAAGAAAGAAAAAAGAAAAGUGCAUAAAAAUAAAUAUAUUACUUGUGAUGUCCACGAAUAGGGGAGAAAGUUUUUAACUAUGUAAACGUAUUACUCUCCUCAGUAAAUAGCAACUAUACAACUAUGACCGUUGUUAGAGUUCUCCGUAAAAGGACGCUGUCCAACGUAGUUGCCUGGAGGAUCAUAGUUGCAAGUGACAAACCACCCGCCACUGUUGCACUGAGCCCUAGCGCACCCAAGACACAAUGAGUUGCGCCAAAUAACUUGAGUAUAGUGCCCGCAUUCCCCACCAACGCAGGAGUUGGAGUUGUAGUCAUAAUUGUUCAAAUUGAUAAAUGAUAGUUUUUUCAUUCAUAUUUUCAUUCAUUCAUGUACAGAGUAUAUAUAGAGGGUAUCACCAUUCUAAGAAUGGGGAAGAAUUAUACAAGGAAAGAAUGACAUAAGGAAAUAACAAUUAAUAUCUUAAUAUCUCAACUUUCCUAAUAUCUCAAUAUUCAUAAUAUCUCAACUUUCCUAAUAUCUAAACAUUCCUAAUAUCUCAACACUAAAUGAUAUAAGGAAAGCAUUACUAAUAUCUCAACACUCCCCCUCAAGUUGGUGCAUAGAUGUCACACAUGCCCAACUUGUCUAAAAAUUUUGAGAACACUUGACUUGAGACAACUUUGGUAAGGAUAUCGAUCAAUUGAUCUUCUGAUUGAAUCUUAGGCAAUUCCACAAUCUUAUCAUCCAACUUUUCCUUAAUGAAGAAUCUAUCCACCUCGACAUGCUUUGUACGAUCAUGUUGUAUUGGAUUAUGAGCAAUGUCACACGCGGCUUUAUUGUCACAAAACAAUCGGAUUGGUUGCCUAGAUAGGUAACCUAAAUCCUGUAAGAGGAGUCUUAGUCAUAAUGCCUCACAAAGUCCUAGAGUCAUACCUCUAAAUUCCGUUUCUACACUUGAACGAGCGACGACAUUUUGCUUCUUACUUUUCCAUGUUACAAGAUUACCACCUACAAAGGUAAAGUAACCAGAUGUAGAUCGCCUAUCAUCCACUGCACCGGCCCAAUCAGCAUCAAUAUAUACUUCUAUACUUUGAUGAUCAACAUUUUUAGCGAACAAAAUUCCCUUCCCAGGAGCAUUCUUCAAAUACCUCAAAAUACGCAUGAUUGCAUUCAUAUGUUGCUCUCCAGGAUUAUGCAUGUAUUGACUCACUACACUCAAUGCAUAAGUAAGAUCUGGUCUUGUAUGAGCUAAGUACAUUAAUCUCCCCACAAGUCUCUGGUAUCUUCCCAUAUCAGUUGAUACUUGAUUAGGCUCAACACACAAUUUCAAACCUUCUUCUAUUGGUGUAUUAACAGGUUGACAUCCCGACAUUCCAGUCUCCUGUAAAAGAUCUAAGGUAUACUUUCUUUGAGACAGAAAAAUUCCUUCACUUGAUCAAGAAACUUCAAUCCCAAGAAAGUAUUUUAGAGGACCUAGAUCUUUCAUUUCGAAUUCUCUAAAUAGAUAAUUUUGCAGAGCUUUUCUUUCUUCAGGAUCAUUUCCUGUAACUACCAUGUCAUCCACAUAUACGAUGAGUGUCGUAAUCUUACCAUGUUGCUUUUUCAGAAACAAAGUGUGAUCUGAAUUUGCUUUGACGAUAGCCAAAAGCUCUCAUUGACUUUGUGAACCUUCCAAACCAUGCUCUCGGGGAUUGCUUCAACCCAUACAAUGACUUCUUCAAUUUGCACACCUUCUGACAUUGCUUUUCUAACACCAUGCAUCCUGGUGGAAGAUCCAUAUAUACUUCUUCAGAUAACUCACCAUGCAGAAAGGCAUUUUUCACAUCAAAUUUUUGUAAUGGCCAAUCUAGGUUUGCAGCUAAAGACAGUAAUACUCGAACUGUGUUGAUCUUAGCUACAGGUGCAAAUGUCUCUGUGUAGUCAAUUCCAUAAGUUUGAGUGUACCCUUUUGCUACCAGUCUUGCUUUAAAUCGUUCAAUACUACCAUCUGCCUUGUACUUCACAGUAUAGAUCCAACGACACCCAACUGGCUUCUUUCCUGGUGGACAUUCUACGAGUUCCCAUGUUUCAUUCUUCUACAAUGAUUUCAUCUCUUCAUUCAUAGCUGUUUUCCACCUUGGAUCAGCUAAGGCUUCUUGCACACUAUUAGGAAUAGCUACAGUAGAUAAUUGAUUUACAAAUGACUUGUUUGAUUCAGACAAACGAUGGUUAGACACAUAGUUGCUUAUGGGAUAUUUGACUUUGGUAGACAAUUCAGGUUCAUAUAUGGGUUUAGGAAUACCUCUAUUAUGACGGUGUGGUAACCGUUUCAUGAAUGAAUCGGGUUCCAAAUUAAGAACACCCUCAACAGACGACGAUUGGUUUGGUAUUUCAGUGAAGACAUUUUCGGACCCAAAUUGUUGACCACUCAUAUCCAACUCACCCACUUCCUGGUUCACUAGUUCAGAUUGUCCAUAUUCAUCUUCCUCAAAUAUAUGAUAAUCAUAAUCGAGAGUCUGAAUUUCCUUAUGGUACUCCCCCUGAAGUUCAGACUCAGAUGAAAAAUACAUCGAAUCUUCAUGAAACACCACAUCCAUUGUAAUAUACAUUUGUCGAGUUGGAGGAUGGUAACAUCGAUAUCCCUUUUUGUGCAAUGCAUAUCCAACAAACACACAUUGUAAUGCAUGAGAAGUUAACUUGGUGCGUUGGUGCUUGUGUAGAUGCACAAAUGCCACGCAACCAAAAACACGAGGAGGUAGAUUUGGGACAGUUGGGGCAACUACGACAUUAGUAAGAGCUUGGAGUGGUGUUUGAAAGUUAAUUGAGCUAGAAGGUACCCGAUUGAUCAAGUAUGCAGCAGAUGUGAUUGCUUCUCCCCAAUAAGAUAUCGGUGUUUUUGCUGCUAUCAAGGAAGCACGAACAACCUCUAACAAGUGCCGAUUUUUUCGUUCAGCGACUCCAUUUUGCUGGGGUGUAUUGGAACAAGUAGUUUGAUGAAUGAUGUCAUGUCAUUCCAAAUACUUUUGAAGAUCAGAACUUUGAUAUUCUCCACCAUUAUCACUACGCAAAACCUGAACCUUUGCAUUGUACUGAGUUUCAAUCACUUUAUGAAAUUUUUGAAACAAUAAGUUCACUUCAUCUUUGGUCUUCAUCAAGCAUAACCAUGUCAUUCUAGUACAAUCAUCAAUAAAAGUAACAAACCAACGUGAGCCACUCAAAGUUGGGACUUUGGAUUGGCCCCAAACAUUAGAAUGUAUAACCAUAAAAGGAAACGAACUUUUAUUUAAAAUUAACGAAACGAAGCACAAUGACUUUUAACCAAUUCACAAAUAUCACAACGGAAACCAGAAAUAUCACUCUUUGCAAACAAACUAGGAAACAAUUUUUUUAAAUAACCAAAGGAAGCAUGUCCCAAACGUCGAUGCCAUAACCAAAUUUCAGAUUUUUUCUUCUCUCCCUCAAAUUCAUCUGCCAUCAAGGCUUGUUGCAACUUAUUUGAAUCCUUUGACUGCAAGUCUAAGUAAUAGAGUUUUCCCCGCUUAAUACCACAACCAAUCGUUUGUCUUGUUUGGAUGUCCUUAAUCACACAAAAUUCAAGCCAAAAAAUGACAAUACAAGAUAAGGUUGCAGUGAUUUGAGAAACUGACAAAAGAUUGUAAUCUAAAGAUGGAACAACUAAAACAGAAUUCAAAUUCAAAGUAUCAGUAAGAGUUAAUGAUCCUUCCCCAAUGACUGGGGUUAUGUUACCAUUGGCUGUGGAAACAAUUUUUUGUAAGGAAGGUCUAAGGGUUGAAAUGUCUAGAAUCAAAAGUCAUAUGAUCUGUAGCACCAAAAUCAAUUAUCCAUGCACUAUUAAUAACAGGUGUAAAAGUAUUUAAAAACUUACCACCAUGAUCUGUAGCGGCUACCAAUGUAGAGGCUUUCUCAGCAACAUUAACCUCUGUUUUUAUUUCGGCAAUAGUUGCAGUCGAGGUUUUCUUGGAAUCCUUCUUCCGUUGAUCACAAUUAUUAUCAUUAAUAACAAAGUGUUGAUAACCUAAACAUGAUUUAAAGGUCCAUGGUUCAAACCCUCGGUUCCUUAUUUUUUUCUUGAUUAUACCAAGAGUCGUUGCUUUGAAAUUGUGGGAUAUCCAGAUUGGUGGGAUCAGUCUUAUUGCAGUGAGUGCCUUUGAAGGUUGACUUAUCAAUAUUAGGGCUUGUCUUAGGAUGGUUGAUCGCUGUCGGACUACCAUAGUGACAAAAUAUCCAGGAUUUCAGUUUCAUGGCUCUGAUACCAUGUUCAAAUUGAUAAAUGAUAGUUUUUUCAUUCAUAUUUUCAUUCAUUCAUGUACAGAGUAUAUAUAGAGGGUAUCGCCAUUCUAAGAAUGGGAAAGAAUUAUACAAGGAAAGAAUGACAUAAGGAAAUAACAAUUAAUAUCCUAAUAUCUCAACUUUCCUAAUAUCUCAAUAUUCCUAAUAUAUCAAUAUUCAUAAUAUCUCAACUUUCCUAAUAUCUAAACAUUCCUAAUAUCUCAGCACUAAAUGAUAUAAGGAAAUAAUGAUAUAAGGAAAGCAUUCCUAAUAUCUCAACAAUAAUUAGUCUUCUCCCUCACCCACAAGUUCACUGCAUCGAUGCUUGUCGAUGAAGGGGAGCCCUAGGCAAGGUUCUCACCGUAAGGCCCACCUGAAUGCACUAGAUUGCAAUCGCCAAUCCUCUGGUUAGUAUAAUUUUGGGCGUAGGAAGCCACAGUGUUGUCCCAUGACAUAGGCCCAACACCAACUUGUGCGCGCGUGGUGUUGUUAGAUUUUUCAUUUUUUUUGAAUUUUAAGAAUUUUUUAAAAAUUUAUUUUAUUUUUUAUAAUAGUUAUAAUUGUCAAUUUUUAUAUUAUUAGAAUAUAAUUCAAUUUUUUUAUUAUUCAUAGCCUAAAGUUAUAUAAAAGAAAAAGGGGAUAGUAAAUUAAUAGAUGUCAAAACUCAUAUAGGUAGAAACUAUAUAAUUAUUAUUCAUAACCAAAAGUUAUAAAAAUAAUAAUUAAGAAAAUAAAGGCUAAUUUUAAAUGAGAAAAACACCCAAAAGGGGGGUGAAUUGGGUUUUUAAUUUUUUUUUUAAACACGACAAAUUUAAGCACAAGAGAAGCAAAUAAAAAGAGAUAGAGUUAGAAAAAUCAAACUCAAAUUUUAUAGUGGUUCGACACUUCCUUGCCUAUGUCCAGUCUCCUCAAGCUCCUAACCGAGUGAGUGUUCCACUAACUUUAAGCUACAACCAAGUUUCUAAUCACCUUUACACUUGAAUUCCGACUCCAAUGAGCUCUUACACAACCUCUUCAAGUUUCAACUCACUUGAAGGCUUUAACACUCAAUUUACAAGAAUGAAUCUCUCAACCUAGCUUAACAAUAGCUCAAAUACAACUUAAGGCUAGGAUGAAUUACAAAGGUGCACUAAAAGAUAUGUAAGUGAAGAUUUAAUACACCUAGAAAGAAAUGAGAGCUUUUAAGGCAAGAACAAGUGGGUAGACAAAUAAAUGCAGGUGUUUUCUUACUCAUAAAUGAAGUGAACCUCUUUAUUUACAGGUUUCUAACUUCGGGAGACAAGAAAAUAAAAAAGCAGCCUCAAUCGGUCGAGCUGGGGUCAACUAGUUCACUAGCCAUUGGAGCAUUAAAUGCUUUGGCAAGUUACCGUUGCUUUGACUGGACCUUGAUCGAAGGUCGACCGAGAAGGCAAAUACCUUGAUCAGGAAGGGAAGACUACUGGAAAAGAGAGGGUGCUUUCUAUACUCCUCGACCGAACCUCGACUAGGAAGAGGGAACCGGUCGACCGGUGCCUUGGCCGAUUGAACCGGUUGGCUAAUGCCUCGAUCGAUUCACCAUUUUUGACUCGAAAACCUAUAUUUUUAUGGUCUUUUCUCUUCUACCACUUAGGCAAGGUCUUUAGGUAAACUAGUAUGCCAAUUUUGAAGUAAUUUGCCUACGGUUCAUUUGAUAAAACUCGGGUUUUGAUGAAACUGCAACUUUAAAUAAUAAAUCGAGUUUUUGAGAGAUGCAUGAAAUGAUAUGUAUAACUUAAGUGCAUCCAUGCAUUCAUCUUACAUUUGUUUCCUAUGAUUAAAGGUCUUUCAAACGUCUUGAUCUUGCAUCCAUUAGAUCAUUUGAUGAAUUUCCAAAUUAAUACCUUAAAUUCUUAAUAAUUCAAACCAAUUGGUAACUUAACCAUAAUUUGUUAUCAUCAAAAUAUGAUUAGGAGAGCCCUUGGGCUAACAAUAAUAUUAAUACUUUUUUUGUACAAAUUAAAAUUAUAUAUGGUCAAAAGUUAUGUAAUUAUUAUUCAUGAUUAAAAAUUAUGAAAUAAUGAUAUUAAUAUAUUUUUGUUUUGUACUGGCCAAAAUCUCAAUCAAUUUUUUGUUCCUGAUUGAGAAGUAUUAAAUAUGAUCAUUGAUGUUUGUAACUUGAAUUAUUCUUAUUGUGACUAUAAGUAUGGAUUUUUCAUUCGAAUUUCACAAUGCCAAAAAAUUCUAGCACAAUUGGAUCAUUAUAUGAAAUCUCUUUAUUUUUAAGAAUUUAUAAUUUACAGUUUUUAAGAUUUACUUAAAUUGUGCUUCUUUUUUAAUCUUUAUAUACACUAUAAUUAUUUUAGAGUGUGUUUGAUAGUGAUUUUAUGAAACGUUUCUAAUAUUUUUAAUGCUUGAAAGAUCAAAAUUUUCAAAUAUUCGAAAAACUAAAAACACUUUCUAGAAUCCCUACCAAACACACUCUUAAUUAUCGAUAAAGUGAAGAGAGUGAAAAGAAAAUGUCUAUUUGAUGUUUUAAGUAUCCUUAAAAUAGAGAUAUACUAUUUAUAUAUUCUCUAUGCUAUUUACUAUUUAAUUCGAUUCUUUCCAUUUGAAACAUUGAAUUUUAUAUGUUUUAUUUACUAUUUAAUUCACUUCUUUCUAGUUGAAAUGAUGAAUUUUAUAUUUGGAUAAAAUAAUGAGAAUAAAUUAUCUUAUAAAGAUUAAAAAAACAAAAGAGAAGAAUUUGAAUAAGAUUGACUUUAGUUUUUAAACUCUACCAUAUUAUCCUUUUAUAAAAGGAAUUUAAUUCUAAGUAAACUCUUUCGAGUUAUUUCUUUUACUUUUUGAUAAUAAUUUAUUAAAAGACAUUAUUUUUCAAUUUUUUUUAAUCAACAUAUAAGAAGUGAAGGAGUCUCUUCUAAUUAUAUCAAGGUCAAUAUAAUAUGAGAUAAUUAUAUUUCAAGCAAUUGUGAAUUCAAUUAUAUUGCAAUUUUUUCAUACUCCUCUAUCAACACCUAUGAGAGUAGCAAAUAACAAAAAAAAAAAAAAACAAGUUUUCUAAUAUAAUUUUAUCAAUGUUUCAAAAAAUAAAUAAAUAAAUAAAACAAGGAUAAUUAUAUUGUUAAUUUAAGAAUAAUAUUAUUCAAGGAGACUUAUCAUGUCAAUUUUAAUUAUAUUAUAUAUAUCAAUAAUAUAUAUCUUUAUAAUAUUCCAAUAAUCUUGUUUCAUAAUGUGUGAUGAUUUUUAUAUUAAGGUGAUAUAUUUUUGGCAAUAAUUAUUAAAUUGAUGUUAUAAAUUUGAAAUGAUAUUUAUCUUAAAUUAAUUUAGACUCAUAAAAUUUAAUGAGGUGAUAUUGUAGUGCUAUUGGAAGAUAUAUAAUACUAUUAUUUAAACGUCUUUGCUAUGAUUCUUAUACAUUUCAUUAAUAAAAGAAUUAAAGAAAAUCGUAUUUGCACAAUCAUCAUAUUUUAUAUAUUUAUGAGAUAGUUGCAAUUCAAUAUGCAAUAAAUUUUAACCAUAAAUAAAUUUGAAUAAAUUAUUUUCAUGUGUUAUUAUUAUAUUAUUUGUGCAUUAUAAUUAUUACGUGGAUAAGUAUAUUAAAUGAUAAUGGUGUGAUUUUGAUAGAAACUUUUUAACUUUAAAAUGUAUAUGUCAAAUGAUUUAUGCAUAUACUUUUUUAAUUGAUUAAAAAAUAAGGUUACACUGUUUUGUUAUAUUUUAUAUAUAUGGCAUAAUUUGUUUAAUAUGCUAGGAUAAUUUGUUUAAUAUCAUGCAAGAAACAUGCACAUUUAUAAAUUUAAUUGUGAAUUGAGACACUUUACAUUUUAUUUUCUAUGUCAAUAUUGAGAUAAUUCCAUGUAGCAAAAUUAAAAUUUUAUAUUCAAGAUUAGUCUCUAGUAUGCUUAAUUAUGUUAGCUUAAAUGUCUUGUACCACCUAUAAAUUAGAGGAUGAAACUUUUACAUCCUCAACAAUAACUAAUCUUUUACUUUUUAAGUUUUAACUCUCCCUUUAUAAUAAGUUUUCUUAAACCCUUAAAGGGUAAGCUUUUUACAACAAGCUUUAUGGAUUGUCAUUUUGGUGAAACUCUUGUCUUAUCAUUUGUACAACAUUGGUAAUAGUUGAUGUUAAUAUCAUGUCAAAAAAUUAGAAAUUGAUUAAAAGCUCUAGAAGAAUUAACAUUAUGUUAUUAGUGACACGAUUCUAUGUGAAUAACACUUUACAUUCUAUUAGAUCUAGAAGAAUCUAACAUGACCAACUUUGUCUCUUAGGAUAAACAGUAAUGCAUCAAUUCAUUAUACAGUCACAUGGACAUAAAUUGUAAAAUUAGAAGUUUUUACUUAGUAACUAAUUUAAUAAAAUGUUGUAUAAAUUGUCUUUUUGAUGAGACAAUUUUCCCACGGUUAGGGGAGAAAAGCUAAUUCCAAAAGAAUGAUAUGAAAAUUUGGAUUCAAGAAGAAUAACAAGAAAUUUUUGGAAAUAUUUUAUUGACAAAUAUGAAAUGAUAUCUUUAAAGAACAAUUAUAUAAUAACAAUUGUUAUCUAAAACACACUUUGAAGUGUAAUAACUUGACGUUUCAAUAAGAGAAUGAGACAUGCCUAAAGCAUUGUAGACAUUUCAGUUGAAAAGAUAUAUUCUCUAAAGGUGGAAAAGGCAUAAGUUAUCCUUUAACAUCCACAAAUUGAACAAAUAGCCCUUGAAGAGAUCCAACUAAAAUAAAUAGCCCUUAAAGAGGUACAUAUUAAACAAAUAAGUCUUGAAGAGGCAUAUAUUGAUCAACAAAUAACACUUAAAGAGGUACAAAUUGAAUGAAUACUCCUUGAAAAAGCACUUAUUGAAUGAAUAGCCCCUGAAAAGGCACAUAUUGAACAAAUAGUUUGUAAACAAGCACAAAUUGAACGAAUGGUCCCUAAAGAGACAUAAAUACCUUCAUAUCUAAAAGUAAAAGAGAUUUUUAUUAGCUAUGAACCUGAUAAGAGGAAGAUGGGAUCAAAAUAAUAUUGUCAUUGACAAUGUAUCUUCUUUUUAGAUGACUUUUGAUAUCAUAAGGAAUGAUGAAGAUUCCAAAUUAUGAAUUAUGCAAGCUACGUUGACACAAAUAUUUGACCAAAAUGGAAAGAUGCAAUAUAUACAGAGUUAGACUUGUUAGCGAAAUGAGGAAUAUUUGGAGUUGUAGUCUCACGUUAAAAUACGUUGAAUCUAUUGAAUAUAAAUAGACCUAAAGUCUAAUGCUUUAAGACAUAAAGAUUGUUGAAUAUCGAUGGGUUAUUAUGCUAUAAAACAAAAAUUAUAGCAUAAGCAUUCCUACAAAUAUCACUUAGUAUCAAUUUCCUAAGCCUAAUUUCUACUUGGAAAUUAAAAGACAUCUUGAAGUUGAGCCUGCAAGUUGUGUCUUCAUUGAUAACAAGUGUUUUCCUAUAAUAUUUUCUUAAUUGAUUGAACCUAACUUGUAAAUCUUCAAUUUUGUCCUCUUAGCACAUGUGACUCUAGGUGUCUUCCUAUACUUCUCUCUUGAUUCAUUAUCAUCCCUUAGUAGUCCAUCGACACUCAUUUGACCUAAUUUUUCUGAGUCACCUUCAAGGGCUUCUUGUUUAGGGCUAAACUUAGAUCUCACUUAGAUCUUUUUAAGGAUAGGUUUCACUUAGAUGCUUCUAUAUGCCUAGAUCACUUGGUUAGUUUUUGAGUUUGAUUGCUUGAUUUUGAGUUUAAGCAAGGUUUGGCUUGAUUUAGAAAAUAACAUGAGAUUGAAGAUUCUAUUCUUUUUAAGUUGUAUGAAGUAAUAUUUUUAUUCUCUUAUGUGUCCAUGUGAUUGGUUUUGUUUACUUUCAUUUUAAAUUACAUGAUUUCUAAUUUUUAUUUUAUUUUAUUUUUGCAUGAGUUUGGUACUUCGAUUUUUUGCAUCUGUAUUAAUAAUUGAUUUUAAAUAUGCAUGUGAUUGACAUAUUAAUUUUUUUUAAUUACAUAACUUUGAUUUUUAAUUUGCAAUUGCAUGCUUUUUAUUUUAAUCUUUAUUUUGUUUUGCAUGGGACUAGAGUGCUGCAAAUUGGAGAGGAUCCCUUGGUGUACACGGCUUCCACAAAUAGGAAGGAGAUUAGGACACUUUGGAGAUAUUUUUGGAUGAAGAGAUUCAUUUGGCUUUUGUUUUUGGAAAAGAUUUUCAAUAAGCACGCAUGUAUGAAAGGAUUUUGAAUCAGCAAUGGGCAUGGGCUGGGGCUGCUAUAAAAAUGGAAGGACAGCCACACGCGUAGGGGAGGAACACUAUUGAAAAAGGAAAGAGUCAUGUCAGAGAUUGUCCAUGCAAAACCACAUCCCAUAUUCCCAUAUUCAUUCUUGGAUUUUGAUUUGAUUCUUCGGAUAUUCUCCACAACCAUAAUAUAUAUAUAAAAUUAGUCCACAUGCACUGCGGAGGAGGGGCAGAUUGCGGGGCUGUGAGAAAAGAAAAAGGGAUCCAUGGGAAACUUUGAAGAGAAUAAUAAAAGCUGCCAUAAUGGGAUUUCUAAUGAGCUUCCACAUGCGGAUUGCUAUGUUUCUUCCAUGGAUGAUGGAGAUUGCAUGUAAUACAAAUUGUGAGGGCGCACCAUGAUUCUGGCUUUGUGAGGGAUUCAGCAAGACACAAUGCACCACUCCGUGGGAAGGUAUGGCGGCCCACACGCACUCACCAUGGAGAUCUAGAGAGCCUAUACCUAUUUAUUUUAUUUUAUUAGGGGAACACACAUUAUGGCAUAUAAGGAGGGAUUCAGAUUUUGUUUUAGGCUCCGACACACACCAUCAGUCUACACCGAUCGUCAUCCAUAAAGAAAAAUCCAUCAUCACGGAAGGGAUCACACAACCAGCAGGCAUUCUGGACACGCUCCAUGGAGAUUGGGGAGCAGAUUCUUUCGCAAGAAAAUCACAGAGACACCAUUAAUUUUUUAAGGCUCCACAUGCAUAUUGGGAACGAUCAGCUCUUUUAGAGAUGAAUACAGAUCAGAUUUCUUGCAGAUGACGGCAAUAGAUUUUCUAGAAGGUGCUGAUGGUGUACACGGUUUGGUUAUGAAGAACCUCGAAUUUUAGGAGUUGCAUGAGUGAACGGUCUGUUGAUGAAGACCAUUAGAUUUUUUGGAGGUAGUGGUGCACGGUUGCAUGUGAAUAAUGAGCAUCUAAAUGCUCUAGAUGAAAGUUGAUGCUGAAUUGACGAGUACACGGUUCGGGAACUGAGUGAUGAAGAUUUUUUUUUUUUUUUUUUGUGGAGCAUGGUGUGGACAAUUGGAUAUAGAGAAACAACAUCUUGAUUUUUUUGGGGACUCCGCCAACAGGAUCAUGCACAAGCAGCCUACACAUUCCAUAGGUAACCACAUGCGGCUGCCAUCCAUUGAAAAGAAGCACACGCAUUUAUUCAUCAGUAGAGAUUCAACCUGCGCGCAUGGAGAGGCCAUGCCGCUUGAUAGGAAUUCUCCACCAAAGAGAUAUCCAGCCUGCAUGAACGGUUUUUGAACGUGUAUUAUUGACCCUCUUCUCCUAUCAAUAAAAUACAUAUACAGAAACCCCUUCAUGUGCGGUGUGUGCUUUUCCAUCAAUUACAGAAAAAUAACUCUGUGUAUUAAGGUUUGAUAAGGAGAAGAAGAAUCAAGGAUUUAAGAUCUAUAAGCUGAAGGGAAAUCUCUCAUGGCUGCGUCUUCUUCAAACGGUAUGUGAUCUAUUUGUUAAUUAAUGUUUAUUUUAUUAUUUUAUUAUCAGAGACGAGUUUGAAUCAUAAUGAUCUGGAUAAUUGCAUGUUAAUUUUCGUGUUAAAUUCUAUCAAUUGGUAUCAGAGCUUGGUUUUGAAUUUAAAUAUUCAGAUCAAUUUAUAAAAGAUUAGAUUUUUUUUUUUAAGAUUUAUCUUCCAUUAAUUCGUCUCACUAAAAUUACUAAAAUAAAAUAAAAUAAUAAUAAAAUAAUCAAAAGACCCAUUGCGUUCCUCUGUAUCCUUGAGUUCUAAGGAGACAGGAACUAUAUCUGAGCGUGAUUGACCGUUUCUAGACAUGUGGAUUGCUUAUAUAACCCAUUGCGUAACAGCUCCUAUUAGGAAAAAUAAAAUAAAGAAGAGUAGUGAUUCCAUGCGCCUAAAGGAAUAUUGAAAAUUUUAUUGUACGUGCUAUUGGGUCAGCACACAGUAGAGGAUCGUUCAAGCGCCAUUGUCGGCACCGCAGUUUCUCUAGGUUUCACGCGCCAGUUCAGGCGCGAUUUCCGGCGCCAUCGCGCUGAUUUCAGGUGCCGUUGAAGGCGCCAUUGCCGGCGCCAUUGAAGGCGUUGGUUGCAGGCACCAUUGCCAGUGCCAUUGAAGGCACCGUUUUCAGGCGCCAUCUCCUGGUUGCAGGCACCGUUGAAGGCGCCAUUGAAGGCGCUGGUUGCAGGCACCAUUGCCGGUGCCAAUGAAGGCGCCGUUUUCAGGCACCAUCUCCUGGUUGCAGGCGCCAUUAGAGGCGCUAUUUGCAGGCGCUAUUGCCGUUUGCAGUGCCGUUUGAGGUGCGGUUCAGGCACCACUUUUCAGGCUCUCCAAAAGUGCUAUUUCAGGCACUAAUUCAAAGAUAUUAAUUGAUUUAUUUUAUGAUUUGAAUCUGAACAUUUGUGAAAUUAUUAUUAUUAUAUAUGAGGAAUGCAAGUAUUAGCUUUAGUAUAUUCAAUGAAUGCAGAUUUCUUUAAUUUUAUUAUGAUUGAUUAAUGAAUCUGUUGAUUAUUAAAGAUACUAUAUUAUGAUUGAUUAUUGAAUCUGUUGAUUAUUAUGGAUACUAUUUCCUUGUUUUUUAACUCAAAUAAAAGAAUUAAUUUCAUCUUGUGAAUAUUUUAUUCAAAUGACAAUUUAUGAAUAUAAGGUUAACUAAUUUGGAUAGUUGCCAAAGUAACCUAAAUUAGUGAGCCUUGUAUUUAUUGAAUUGCAUAAAAGAAUAAAGGGAGACUUGUAAAAUUCUUAAUAAUUUUCUUUAUAAUUAGGAGAAUGAGACUAACCCAAAGGAGAGUCAAUUUCUGUUAAUUAUUAAUUAAUGUUUUUAUUUUGUGUUGCUUAGAAAAGUAAAAUGGAUACCCAAAGGUAACAUAUAAAUGACACAAAAUAGUAAAGUGUUUUAAGCUCCCUCCAAGUGAACACUGGAUAUGUUAAAAUUUACCCAAAGGAGAAUUUUAAUGAUAUCAAUAGUUCAUUGUUUUUUAUUUUAUACUUGAAGCUUAUUGUGAGCAUUAUUCUAUUUUGUACAGUUCCCACUUCAUUACACUCUCUUGCAUCUGGAAUGACUAUUUUUUAUGGGUCAAACUUUUCUGAAUGGUAUGAAAGGGUUCAAUUCUCACUGGGUGUAUUGGAUCUUGACUUGACUUUAAUAUCUGAUAAACCUCCUGAAGCUACGGAUUACAGUACUCUGGAGCAGGUGGAACAAUCAAAAGCCUGGUCAAAAUCAAACAGACUCAGUCUGAUGUUUAUGAGAAUGACUAUUGCCAAUAAUAUCAAGACCUCUCUCCCUCAAACCGAGUUUGCCUCGGAAUUUCUGAAAUCCGUUGAGGAGCGCUUCAAACGCGUUGAUAAGUCCCUUGCAGGCACAUUGAUGGCUGAAUUGACCACCAUGAAAUAUGAUGGUCAGAAAGGUAUUCAGCAACAUAUUUUAAACAUGACUGAAAAGGCUGCAAAGCUUAAGGCACUAGGUAUGGGUAUGGAUGAGUCCUUCUUGGUACAGUUUGUCCUUAACUCACUUCCAUCACAGUUUGCUCCAUUCAAAAUCCACUAUAAUACUAACAGUGAUCAGUGGAACUUGAAUGAGCUCACCAGUAAAUGUAUACAAGAGGAAGUGAGAUUAAGACAAGAAGGACAUAAUCUUGCUCUUGCUGUAACUCAUGGAGUCACGAAGAAGAAAGGAAAAUUCAAAAAAUGAAAGAACUUUCCACCUAAGAAAAGCGGACCUGGGGAAGGUAGCCAGAGUCAUGAUGGAAAAUUCACAGUAAGUUGCUACUUUUGUGGCAAGAAAGGGCAUGUGAAGAAGGACCGUAUCAAGCACAAGGCUUGGUUCGAAAAGAGAGGUAUAAAUCUUUCUUUUGUAUGUUAUGAAUCCAAUCUUGUUGAAGUUCCUUCAAAUACUUGGUGGAUUGAUUCUAGAGCCACAACUCAUGUGACUAAUUUAAUGCAUGGAUUCCUUACAACCAGGAAACCAAAGGAAAGUGAAAAGUUCCUCUAUAUGGGAAACCGUCUCAAGGUUGAAGUGGUAGUUGUUGGUACCUAUCGCUUACUAUUAGAGACAGGUCAUCAGAUGGAUCUUUUAAACACUUUUUAUGUACCUUCUAUCUCUAGGAAUUUAGUUUCCUUGUCUAAAUUAGAUGCUACUGAAUAUUCUGUUUUAUUCAGUUUUGGACAAUUAAGUUUGAUGUUAAAUUCUGUUACAGUUGGUUCUGGUAUUUUAUGUGAUGGUUUAUAUAAAAUUUCCUUGAAUCAUGAAUUUUCACAAGCUUUGAUAACCCUGCAUUCAAAUGUUGGUUCAAAAUGUGGCUUAAUUAAUGAAAAUUCUUCAAUCUUGUGGCACAGAAGACUAGGGCACAUCUCUAGGGAAAGAAUUGAGAGAUUAGUGAAGGAAGGAAUUUUACAAAAUCUUGACUUCACUGAUUUUCAUGUAUGCGUGGAUUGCAUAAAGGGAAAGCAAACUAAACAUACAAAGAAAGGUGCCACAAGAACUAAUGAGCUCCUUGAGAUAAUUCAUACAGAUAUUUGUGGACCACUCUCUGUUCCAUGUUUUACAGGAGAGAAAUAUUUUAUCACCUUUAUAGAUGAUCUAUCUCGUUAUGGUUAUGUUAAUCUAAUGCAUGAAAAGUCUCAGACCAUUGACAUCUUCGAGAUGUUCACAAUAGAGGUCGAGNNNNNNNNNNNNNNNNNNNNNNNNNNNNNNNNNNNNNNNNNNNNNNNNNNNNNNNNNNNNNNNNNNNNNNNNNNNNNNNNNNNNNNNNNNNNNNNNNNNNNNNNNNNNNNNNNNNNNNNNNNNNNNNNNNNNNNNNNNNNNNNNNNNNNNNNNNNNNNNNNNNNNNNNNNNNNNNNNNNNNNNNNNNNNNNNNNNNNNNNNNNNNNNNNNNNNNNNNNNNNNNNNNNNNNNNNNNNNNNNNNNNNNNNNNNNNNNNNNNNNNNNNNNNNNNNNNNNAAUCAGUGGGGAGUAUGACAAAGAAAAGUAGAUAUGAGGAGAUAAGAGUGGAUAUCCCACCACCUUUUUUACCUUAAGAAAUUAUUGUUCCUCAAUGAUUCGUCCCUAGCAGCGGCAUUGGCAAUGGCACCAUUUGAUUCGAGGUUUGAUCCUCGGCAACGGCGCCAUUUGAUUCAUGCCCAAUUGGUGUCUCAGCUGAUUCGUGUCCAGCUGGUGCUCCUUGAUUGAGGGAUUGAUCAACAAAAUUUAUAACCUAUUACACCAUAUACUAGGGUAGCAAAGACAAAGCUACUAUAGCAUAGUGGCUCUAGGAUCGUUCACUGGGAUGGGUUUUCACUUCACAAUUGAUAUUAAUUCAAAGAUGAAUUGGUGCCUUUUCAUUUCAAGGUUAGCUUUAAAAGAAAACAUAAAGAUGUUUAAAUGAAAAAGGUUUGGUUUUAAGCUAACUAAAAAUAGUAACUGAUUUUACUUACAAAGAAAGGUGUUUCUUGGAGUUCAGAUCACUAGGCUCGUUCCUCAUACAAAAUGGAGAGUUCCGGUCACUUGUUUAUUUUCCUCGCAUUAGAGAAUUAACAUAUAGUUCCUUCUCCAACCGGUGUUGUACAGAUGCUUCCCAUUAAUGGGUUCAAACACUAAAUCCCUCUCACUGAUGCAACUUGCAAUGGUUCAUGCCUCUCACGAGCACUUACCAUUCAAGGAGAUCUUUAACCUUGGACUUCCCUUCUCAAGCUCGCAAGAGAUAACUAAUGGAUGUCUCCUUGGAGUCCAAAAGCUUACCAAGUGUUGGCUAUUCUAGAAAAUCCUACCUUCAAGUCACCUCCCAAAGGCUCGCAAGGGGUAAACUAGUGCAUUUCCAUGGUUGGAAAUCACUUGCCUUACCAAGUGUUGGCCCAGGUGACUCUAAGGUGUUUUAAGUUAACUAAAAACAUAGAAAUCACUAACGGGUUACACUUUCUCUUCAUUAAAAACUAAAACAACAAAACUUCCAAUUUAUGCAUGUGGAAACUUACCCGGCUUUCCUCACUCCAAGAGACAAAAAGCUUAGCCUCUCAUCCUCUGUGGAAAAAUCCUCAGAGUUUGGUUGGCUAGAAAGAAAAAUAAAUGAAAAGUGAAAGAGAAGGAAAAACAGAGCAAGGCUCUGUAUAUUCUAUAUAUGAUCGAUAUUACAUAUAUGAUCCUCCUCCUUUUACAGUGGAUGCAAGGGAAUAUAUAUAGAGGAGUUUUUCCAACCUUCCCAACUAAGAAAUCUUAUGGUUGGUGGAUUACAAGGAGAAGAAUGGAAAUUUAUACAAAAAUAUCUGAAGAAAAUAUCUAGAAGAGUCGGUGCAAAAAUAUCGGGAAGCACUAAGGACAUUUCGCAGGUGAAAAUGGUGUCUGCGAGAUUUCGCAGACACUCAAGAGGGCUGCGAAAUAUUUUCGCAACAACAAGUUAAACUCGCAGGGCUGCGAAAUUGGCUUCCACCUUGAGGUUCUCAGCGUUCCAGCUUGCGGCAUGUAUCGGGUAGCUUCAGGAGGAAUUCCAUAGCACUGUACAAAAAGGCUGCGAAAUUCUCGCAACAAAAGGCUGAUUUCGCAACACUUUGGAGUGAUCUGCUUGUAAUGGCUGUAACUCCUUCGUUUCAACUCCGAAUCAUGCACCGUUUGAAGCAUUGGAUUCUUGACUUCCUGAGCUUUGAAAUGGUAUAUAGAAUGUAGAAAAUGGACUUCGGGAAGUGCUCCAAAAGUGCGCAUGAAGACUGCAGCUGCUUGUCCUCUGUUUUCUUCACUCUGUUUUUCCUUUCUCCUUGUUUCUCUCCUUGCAUACUUUGAACGACUUUGGCAAAGGGCUAUGGAGCUCCAAAGCUUUGUUCUUCAUGAAUUUGAGCUUCCAAAAUCUUUGCCAUGAACUAUAUACAAUUCUCCCUCAUUCUUGGAUUGUUUUGGUGAUCAAAUUACUAACAAAAACACCAAAACUUACACAAUUUGAUUAGAAAUGAUUGCAAGGGUCCUUAACAUGUUAAUUGGGUUAAAAGGCAAUAACUACUACUCAAAAGUGUUUAAAAGAGUUAAUUACAAGCUAUCAAAUAGCACUUUUUGAGUAGUAAUCACUCCCCCCAACCGACAUAUUGCUAGUCCCUUAGCAAUAAAGGAGAUAAAAACUAAGUAACUAUAAUAAUAUACAUAAAAGGGAUCAUGCAAAUCACUCCAAAAAAUUAUAUGAGUGGCAUGAUGGACAUCCAUGGAUCAAUAAAGAUGUGAAACUCAACCUAUAAUAAGAGUUGUCAAAGCAUUCACUUGAUCAUAGAGUACAAAGAAUGGAUAUUAUGCAAGUUUAAGCAUCAAAAGAAUUUCCACUCUCAAUAGAUCCAAAUCAAAUUCUUCCACUAAAAGCUAAGUGUUAAUGUGAUUAGCUUCCGAGUAUAGUAUGGAUAACUAUCAUCUCCCCCCAACCUAAGUCUUUCUUUAAGCUUAGCAAAAUUAACCAUUUCUUGAUAGGCUAGGAACGCACCUCUUAUUCACAAUUCUUUUUACUUACUAAACUUAACCAAUUCACCCAUGUAACAAGCAGAGGAUCGGUGACUCCCAACCAAUAAAGGCUUAGGGCACCAGGCUUUAAAGGCUUUCGCCACCCCUUCGGACCAUGCUCAGGUUUCAAGGCAAGUAAAGAAGUUUAUUCUAUAUUUUUUUUUUCUUUUUUUUUUUUUUUUUCUUUUUUUUUUCUUUCUUUUUUUUUCAAAGACUCAUUGGUCUUUAUGAGGUGUCCCAACACUAUUAAAGAGAGGUUAAAGGUGUCAAAUUAUGAUUUCUCAAGCUUAGAGGGUGAGAUAGUUUCACAUCUUAUAACCGGAAUCUAAUGUAUGUGUGUGCGAAUAGCUUAAGGUGGAAGAUAUAAGUUUGCAUGCAAUUGGAGUUUCAACAAUUCAUCAACUUUUAGAAGAGCAUAAUACAAACUCUAAGACUCAUGUAAUCAAGUUGAAACUCGACUUCUCUCAUUUAAUUUUGAGAGUUAAUCCUUAAUAUCCAUGGAGUUUAAAGCCAAAAUUUUAAAAAUUAAGCAAAAAGCAACUAAAUUACCAAAAUAACUUAGCAUUAUUAACAAUACUUACUUCCUCAACUCUCCCCCCAACCAAGCUGAACAUUGUCCUCAAUGUGACAAAAGCGAUUAAAAAAUAGGGAGGAAGUGGUACCUCAUGAGUGACAUGAAGUCUGAGUUGUAUAGGAGAAACCACAUGUUUCAAAGAAAACAUAAGAGUUAGUGAGUAGAGGAAAUAGAAAAAUGCCAAGUUUAAACAAGAAUUGAUGUCUAUGUAUGAUGUAUCAUCAGUAAUACAUCCAAUCCCAAAAUGUAAGACAUCAAAACAUGGAAUAUAAUAAGUAGAGACAAAAAAGUAAAGAGAUGAUCAAGUAGUGGUAGGAUCCUGUGGAGCUGAUGUGUCUGUGAUGGCCUCUUGAGUGGGUUGGAUCAGGACUUUGGCCUCUGUUCUGGUAGUCUCCUUAGGUGGCAUAGUCUCCUCAACUGGAGCUCUCAGCUGGAGCUAUGAGAUUUGAUGGUUUAAGGAGGUAAGAAAUGGAGUGAGAGGCUUGGUGUGUGUGAUCCCAGGGUGUGCAGGGCUCUCCUCUUCAGAUGCAUGAUCGUAGGGCUCUGUUGGCAUUUUAGCAACUUCCCUUGGCUUUGCAAAGUGUUUUUGUAAAUCACCCUCCAUUUCACAAGUCAAUUUCGCAAUUUGAAGGCCAUUUCUAAGCUUGGAGGUGAUUUCGCAACCAUUUCAAAGCUUGGAGAUCAUUUCGCAGAAAAGUGGCAUGUUCACAGACCAUUUUUUAAGCUUGGAGCAUUUUCGCAGCCAUUCUGAAGCUUGGAGAUCAUUUCGCAGCAAAGUGGCAUUUUCGCAGACCAUUUUUGAAGCUUGGAGCAUUUCCGCAGCCAUUCUGAAGCUUGGAAAUCAUUUCGCAACCAUUUCAAAGUUCAAAAGUGAUUUCGCAGGUGUAUCGCAGCUUCGAAAUGAGGGGAAUUGUGCUGCAAAUGGCACUCGUGUGCCAAAAAGUGGUUUCGCAGCUGCGAAACACCCUUCCAAAUGGCGUCUCGGCUGCGAAAUUCUCGCUCAGCUUUGCGCGCUUGUCUUCAAACGACCAUAACUUCUUCAUUUCACCUCCAAAUCGCAUACCGUUUGAAGCGCUAGACUCCUGACUUCCCAAGAUUUGAAACGAGAUAUCGUAUCCAUAAUUUGAGCUCCAGAAAGUGCUUCAAAAAUGUGUCCAACAGUAGCGAAAUUGAGGUGCGACAUUUCCGCUCAUGGUUUGUACAGUCUUCUUCAAACAGCCAUAACUUUUCCGUUUCAAAUCCAAAUCAAGUACCGUUUGAAGCUAUGGACUCCUGACUUCCCAAGAUUUCCAACGAGAUAUUGCAUGCAUAAUUUGAACUUCGGGAAGUGAUCGAAAUGUGUCCAACAAUUGCCGAAAUGGGGGUGCGGCUGUGAAAUUGGGAUUUUCACAUUUUGGAACUUCGCAGCCAUUUCGCAGCUGCGAAAUGAGGGUCACUGUGCUGCGAAAUGGCACUCGUGUGCCAAAACCGGCUUCGCAAUUGCGAAGUACCCUGCGGAAUGAGACUUUUGGUGCGAAAUCAGGCUUUACCACUUCGCAAUGCGUUUCGCAACUGCGAAAUGGAUGCUCCUGUACUGCGAAGUGGCACUCGUGUGCCAAAUUCACUUUCGCAGCUGCGAAAUACCCUGCCAAAUGGAGCUUUCCCUGCGAAAUGGAGGAUUUCAUGCUUUGGUGGUUCGCAGCCGCUUUCGCAGCUGCGAAAUGGGGGCCACUGUGCUGCGAAGUGGCACUCGUGUGCCAAAUUUGGUUUCGCAGCUGCGAAAACUUUCGCAGAGAGGGCAAUUGGGCUGCGAACUGGUUUUGCAGCAAAAUUUCAAUUUCGCAGAGGCUGCGAAAUCUCGCAGACCCCUGUUUUUCCCCUGUUUCUCCCCUGUUUUCGCUCCGUUUGACUCCGAUUUUGCUCCGAUUUUUUUUCUUCAAUUUCUUUGCAAUUCCUCUCGAUUUUGAUCAUCCAAAAACCUAUAUUACAUCAAAACAAAUUAGAAUUAAAGCAUUGAAAUCAAAAUUAAAGCAUUGAAAUCAAAAUUAAAACAAGUAAAAAAAAACAAAACAAAAAGAUAUGGACUAGCUAGUCUUUAAAAAGACUAAGUCCAUCAAAAAAUUUGAUCCUGAUUUAGCUUGCCCGGAUCCCAUAUGAAGCUUGCAUCCUUCACUUGAGACUUGAUUUGUAUGAUUUUCCCAUACAAAGCUUGGAGAAAAGGUGGAGGCAUGUGUUUCUUCAUCAAUUCUUCCUUGAUGACUAUCCUCAGUGGUUCUUCAGCUAUAUCAAAAUCAUAGUCAUCUUUCUCUAUGCUUUUCCCCUUUUUCUUUCCUUUGAUUUCCUCCCUCUUUUCUUUCUCUGUUUCAUUCUCUACCUUAUGCUCUAGCUUGCAUGUGGGCAGAUCAACCUCUUUACCACUCCUCAGAGUGAUCACUUCUUUGACUUCCUUCUCCAUUGAAGAUUCUUCCUCUUGAGCCUCCACUACAUGGAUGCCCUUGGAAUUUUGAUAAGGUUGAGAAGGAGAGUUUUCUUUCUCUUGCAUUGUGUUGAGGUUGGAAAGCCUUGAGAUUGAAUCUUGGAGAAUAUCUAACUUCUGAGAUAGAUCAUUUUGCAUUUCAUCCAUCCUUUUAUUCAAAGUACUCUCCAUUCUAUCAAUUCUUUGAUCCACUCUGUCCAUUCUUUGAUCCACUCGAGCAUUGGUGGCUUCUUGCUUUCCCACAAAAUCUCCCACGACCUUGCAAAGAUUCACCAUAGCUUGUUCAAGGUUUGAGGCUUGCUGUGGUGCUUGAGCAGGUUGCUGAUACUGAGGUGGCUGUGGUUUCCAAGAGAAAUUUGGAUGGUCCCUCCAAUUGGAAUUGUAGGUGUUGCAAUCACCUAACAUUUCCCUCUUGGCUGGAAUGGUAGGACACUCUUCCACCAAGUGCUCAUAUGAUAGACAAAUGGCACAAGGCAUAGAUUGCAAUGGUGUUUGAGAGAUGGCUUGCACUGGCUGCAUAUUUGUCAUUUCUAGCUCUUCCAAUCUCCUUUCCAUAGCUGCAAUUUCUGCCUUCAUGUUCAUACCAUCAUUCAAAAUAUACAUCUCACCCUUAGCUUUAGGUUGAGACAUCAUUCUUCCCAUAUCUCUAGCAUUUGGUUUAUCCCAUCCUCUUGAGACUUCAGCCACAUAACUUAUGAAGUUCAUGGCUUCCUCUGCUAUCUCGUAUUCAAUAUGGCAUGCACAACUAGCAAAUUGUGAAUUAAAAACAGAGAACACAAAAGAAAACAAAAGAAAAACAAUUCAAAGAAAAAAAAUUAAGGUAAACUAAAAACUAAAUAAAAGGUAUACUAAAAUAUGAACAAUAAAGAAAUAAAAAGAGUUAGUAAAAGGAAAAGAAAAGUCACCAAACUUGUGAUGAAGAUCACAAGUACUCUAGAAAGGUGAUAUCACUGUAAAGUGGCACCAUCCCCGGCAACGGCGCCAUUUGAUUCGUCCCUAGCAGCGGCAUUGGCAAUGGCACCAUUUGAUUCGAGGUUUGAUCCUCGGCAACGGCGCCAUUUGAUUCAUGCCCAAUUGGUGUCUCAGCUGAUUCGUGUCCAGCUGGUGCUCCUUGAUUGAGGGAUUGAUCAACAAAAUUUAUAACCUAUUACACCAUAUACUAGGGUAGCAAAGACAAAGCUACUAUAGCAUAGUGGCUCUAGGAUCGUUCACUGGGAUGGGUUUUCACUUCACAAUUGAUAUUAAUUCAAAGAUGAAUUGGUGCCUUUUCAUUUCAAGGUUAGCUUUAAAAGAAAACAUAAAGAUGUUUAAAUGAAAAAGGUUUGGUUUUAAGCUAACUAAAAAUAGUAACUGAUUUUACUUACAAAGAAAGGUGUUUCUUGGAGUUCAGAUCACUAGGCUCGUUCCUCAUACAAAAUGGAGAGUUCCGGUCACUUGUUUAUUUUCCUCGCAUUAGAGAAUUAACAUAUAGUUCCUUCUCCAACCGGUGUUGUACAGAUGCUUCCCAUUAAUGGGUUCAAACACUAAAUCCCUCUCACUGAUGCAACUUGCAAUGGUUCAUGCCUCUCACGAGCACUUACCAUUCAAGGAGAUCUUUAACCUUGGACUUCCCUUCUCAAGCUCGCAAGAGAUAACUAAUGGAUGUCUCCUUGGAGUCCAAAAGCUUACCAAGUGUUGGCUAUUCUAGAAAAUCCUACCUUCAAGUCACCUCCCAAAGGCUCGCAAGGGGUAAACUAGUGCAUUUCCAUGGUUGGAAAUCACUUGCCUUACCAAGUGUUGGCCCAGGUGACUCUAAGGUGUUUUAAGUUAACUAAAAACAUAGAAAUCACUAACGGGUUACACUUUCUCUUCAUUAAAAACUAAAACAACAAAACUUCCAAUUUAUGCAUGUGGAAACUUACCCGGCUUUCCUCACUCCAAGAGACAAAAAGCUUAGCCUCUCAUCCUCUGUGGAAAAAUCCUCAGAGUUUGGUUGGCUAGAAAGAAAAAUAAAUGAAAAAUGAAAGAGAAGGAAAAACAGAGCAAGGCUCUGUAUAUUCUAUAUAUGAUCGAUAUUACAUAUAUGAUCCUCCUCCUUUUACAGUGGAUGCAAGGGAAUAUAUAUAGAGGAGUUUUUCCAACCUUCCCAACUAAGAAAUCUUAUGGUUGGUGGAUUACAAGGAGAAGAAUGGAAAUUUAUACAAAAAUAUCUGAAGAAAAUAUCUAGAAGAGUCGGUGCAAAAAUAUCGGGAAGCACUAAGGACAUUUCGCAGGUGAAAAUGGUGUCUGCGAGAUUUCGCAGACACUCAAGAGGGCUGCGAAAUAUUUUCGCAACAACAAGUUAAACUCGCAGGGCUGCGAAAUUGGCUUCCACCUUGAGGUUCUCAGCGUUCCAGCUUGCGGCAUGUAUCGGGUAGCUUCAGGAGGAAUUCCAUAGCACUGUACAAAAAGGCUGCGAAAUUCUCGCAACAAAAGGCUGAUUUCGCAACACUUUGGAGUGAUCUGCUUGUAAUGGCUGUAACUCCUUCGUUUCAACUCCGAAUCAUGCACCGUUUGAAGCAUUGGAUUCUUGACUUCCUGAGCUUUGAAAUGGUAUAUAGAAUGUAGAAAAUGGACUUCGGGAAGUGCUCCAAAAGUGCGCAUGAAGACUGCAGCUGCUUGUCCUCUGUUUUCUUCACUCUGUUUUUCCUUUCUCCUUGUUUCUCUCCUUGCAUACUUUGAACGACUUUGGCAAAGGGCUAUGGAGCUCCAAAGCUUUGUUCUUCAUGAAUUUGAGCUUCCAAAAUCUUUGCCAUGAACUAUAUACAAUUCUCCCUCAUUCUUGGAUUGUUUUGGUGAUCAAAUUACUAACAAAAACACCAAAACUUACACAAUUUGAUUAGAAAUGAUUGCAAGGGUCCUUAACAUGUUAAUUGGGUUAAAAGGCAAUAACUACUACUCAAAAGUGUUUAAAAGAGUUAAUUACAAGCUAUCAAAUAGCACUUUUUGAGUAGUAAUCACUCAACCUGUUCAACAAGUUGAGGAUAAUGAGCAAAAUAAUAGAGAUGGUUUAUUACCACUAGAAAAUAUUGCCAUUGAAAAUGUUGUAGAGCCACCACAACCGGCACCUUUGAGGAGAUCUCAAAGAGAAAGGAGACCUGCCAUUACAGAUGAUUAUGUGGUGUAUCUACAGGAAUCUGAUUUUGAUAUUGGGAUAAGGAAGGAUCCGGUUUCGUUUUCACAAGCCAUGGAAAGUGAUGAUUCUAGUAAAUGGAUGGAAGCUAUGAAUGAAGAGUUGAAAUCUAUGGCCCAUAAUGGUGUCUGGGAUCUCAUCGAAUUGCCUAAUAAUUGUAAACCCGUCGGCUGUAAAUGGGUCUUUAAGACAAAGCGUGACGCUAAAGGCAAUAUCGAACGAUUUAAGGCUAGACUUGUGGCCAAAGGUUUCACUCAAAAGGAAGGUAUCGAUUACAAAGAUACCUUCUCUCCAGUUUCCAAGAAAGAUUCGCUUAGAAUCAUCAUGGCACUUGUAGCUCAUUUUGAUUUAGAGUUACAUCAAAUGGAUGUGAAAACUGCAUUCUUAAAUGGGAAUUUGGAUGAAGAUAUCUAUAUGGAACAACCUGAAGGGUUCGCAAAGAAAGGAAAUGAACACCUAGUUUGCAAAUUAAAGAAAUCCAUUUACGGUCUUAAACAAGCUUCCAGACAAUGGUAUAUUAAGUUCAAUAAUACCAUUACAUCUUUCGGAUUUAAAGAGAACAUUCUUGAUCAGUGUAUAUAUCUGAAAGUUAGUGGGAGCAAGUUUAUAUUUCUGAUACUGUAUGUGGAUGAUAUUUUGCUUGCCAGCAGUGAUCUUGGUUUAUUACGUGAAACCAAGGAAUAUCUCUCUAAAAACUUUCAUAUGGUUGAUAUGGGUGAGGCAAACUAUGUUAUUAGCAUUGAGAUCUUUAGGGAUCGAUCUCGAGGAGUGCUAGGUUUAUCUCAGAAAGGAUAUAUUGAUCGGGUUUUAGAGAGAUUUAAUAUGCAGUCAUGUUCNNNNNNNNNNNNNNNNNNNNNNNNNNNNNNNNNNNNNNNNNNNNNNNNNNNNNNNNNNNNNNNNNNNNNNNNNNNNNNNNNNNNNNNNNNNNNNNNNNNNNNNNNNNNNNNNNNNNNNNNNNNNNNNNNNNNNNNNNNNNNNNNNNNNNNNNNNNNNNNNNNNNNNNNNNNNNNNNNNNNNNNNNNNNNNNNNNNNNNNNNNNNNNNNNNNNNNNNNNNNNNNNNNNNNNNNNNNNNNNNNNNNNNNNNNNNNNNNNNNNNNNNNNNNNNNNNNNNNNNNNGUUACUCGGAUUCUGAUUAUGGUGGUUGUCUCGAUAGCUUAAAGUCAACUUCAGGAUUUGUCUUUAUGCUAGCAAAUGGGGCAAUCUCGUGGAAGAGUGAAAAACAAUCAAUUACUGCUUCAUCCACGAUGGAGGCCGAGUUUGUUGCUUGUUUUGAAGCUUCAAGUCAUGCUUUAUGGUUGCGGAAUUUUAUCUCAGGGCUUGGUGUUGUCGACUCUAUUGCUAAACCUUUGAGAAUAUAUUGUGAUAACACCGCAGCUGUUUUCUUCUCUAAGAAUGGCAAAUUUUCUAGUGGAUCGAAACACAUGGAUUUAAAGUAUUUAGUUGUUAAAGAAAGAGUCCAGAAACAACAAGUGUCAAUUGAAAAUAUUAGGACCACACUUAUGGUUGCUGAUCCAUUAACUAAAGGAUUACCUCCAAAGGCAUAUUUGGAACAUGUUAUGAGGAUGGGUCUUUUGAGUAAUCCAUAAUGUGUAUGAUGAUGAAUGGUGGUUAUGUAAUUGACAAUUUGCGCAUUAAAAUUGUUUCUGUUUAUUCUUGUUUUCAAUUAUGGGUGCACGUUUUAUUGUUUGAUAAACAAGAAUUGUCCUGACAAGACAAAUUACAGGGGCUAUUUGGCAUUAAGGACUGGGUUAGUAAGGGUUAUUGAUGUGUGGUGCAUGGAAGGAAACAUGACAUUAUGGUCAUGUGACCGCCAUGACUCGCAUUUAUGAUCUAAAUUGAUUCAGUAUUAUGGCAAAUGAUUUUAGAUGUAUUGGCUAAGUUUAUUGUAAUCGUGAUCACGUGUCAAAUUUAUUUUCCAGUAUAUAUUUUAUAUAUAAACUAAAUAUAUUAUAGUUUUCAUAAUCGGUUUAGUGGGCCAAGUGGGAGAAUGUUAUUUCCACAUUAAAUUAAGUGGGUGGCCCACUAACCUAUUAUUUAGCCAAUUAAAUAAUAUCCACUAUCUUUAAACUGUUAUAGAUAUUUACCAUUGAUGGACUGGGUAAAUUAUAAUAAUUUUAAUAUUAUUAUUUAAGAUAAUUAACAGUUAUUUCGAUUGACACGUUCAGAACGGUUUUUGAACGUGUAUUCUUGGCCCUCUUCUCCUAUCAAUAAAAUACAUAUACAGAAACCCCUUCAUGUGCGGUGUGUGCUUUUCCAUCAAUUACAGAAAAAUAACUCUGUGUAUUAAGGUUUGAUAAGGAGAAGAAGAAUCAAGGAUUUAAGAUCUAUAAGCUGAAGGGAAAUCUCUCAUGGCUGCGUCUUCUUCAAACGGUAUGUGAUCUAUUUGUUAAUUAAUGUUUAUUUUAUUAUUUUAUUAUCAGAGACGAGUUUGAAUCAUAAUGAUCUGGAUAAUUGCAUGUUAAUUUCCGUGUUAAAUUCUAUCAUAGUCUACUCGCACUUUUGGAGGACACAGAACCCACUUUGAGAGAAACAAACAUCUCAAGCUGCCACUUUGGAUGGACACUUGAAAUCUAAGCGCCACAUAUGAGGGGCCAUGGCUGCACAUGAAAAAUCAGGAGGUGGCACCCACUUUGAGGCAUCUCUAGCACGCACAAGAGAAGCAGUCACAUGUUCUCACCAUCCUUAGGCAUAGCCAUCAUUAAAUUGAUAACAUCAUUACCAAUUCUUUGAGGUAUGUGAUUGUCUUCUAUAUUAUUAUUAUUAUUAUUAUUAUUAUUAUUAUUAUUAUUAUUAUUAUUAUGUUAUAAGAUUUUCCAAAUUUCACUAACUUUAUUAUUUUAAGAAUUGUUGUUGCAUAGUGGUGAUGGAAUUUCAUAUAUGAAUAGUAUUAUGAUAUGUAAGGUUAAGUUUGUUUUAUUAUUAUUAUUAUUAUUAUAAGAGAUUCCAAAGUUCAUUAAUUUUAUUAUUUUAAGAAUUAUUGUUGCAUAGUGGCCAUGGAAUUUUAUGUAUGAAUAAAAUUAUGAUAUGUAUCAAGCAACGGUGUACUUAGCUCAUGAAUUGUAUUGUGUUAUUAUUCAAUGGGCCUAUUGUAUUUUAGAUUGAAAGCAAAUAUUUAUUUAUUAUUUAAAGUGUUCGUAGUUUGUGAGAAAAAUUUUACUUUAUUCCUCUACAUAUUUAUUUUAACAUGAAAAUAAAAGAAAUAAUUGUAAACAUUCAUUUUGAAAUUAAAAAAAAAAAAAAAAACAAAUAUGUCUUUUGUAAAAUCAUUAGUUGGUUGUUUGCUUCACAAUUUUGAUGAUCUCAAGUUAGGAUUUUCUUUAAAGAAAUAUUUAAAAGUUAGUUUCAAAUGAUUUUCUAAUGUUAUUUAAUUUCUUUGGAUUUCAUGUUCUUGUUAUUAAUAAUCUCUAGUUAGAAUUUGUUCAUAUGUGAAUAAUUUUUAUCUUAGUUAAUUUCUUUAAAUAAAUGAUCUCAAGAUAAAAAUUUUAUAUGUUAGUUUUGAAUAAAAAAAAUUUAUCGUAGUUAUUUUCUCUAAAUCUAGUUCUUAGUACUGAUGAUCCAUUUUAAUUUAUAUCGUUCUUUUAAUUAUUAGUUUUAAAUUUUGAUGAUCCAUGUUAGUUUAUGUUGUUCUUUGAAUUAUUUGAUGUUGUUUUAAUGAUCCUGAUGACAUUUAUUAUUUCUUCGAAUCUUAAUUGAUAAUUUGUGACAAUUCCAUGUUAUUAGUUUUGUUUUAAAUGUCAUUGAGACUAUCCCUUGAUUGAUUUGAUCUCAAUUCAUGUGCUUCUAGAAUUCUACUUGUUAGUUCUUGAUUAAUAUCUUUAUUAGUUUGUUUGAUCUAGGAGUCAUUGUUACCUUGGUGUUGUAUAUUAUUUGAACUUCCUAACUCUUAAUUUAAGUUGUAAUACAUCAUGUAGAAUAUGAGGUUUUGAUCAUAUUAAUUAUUACUGUUUGUAAGCUAACCUUCUUCUAGCUAUAUGCAAGCACAUUAUGAGUUGUGUAUGCUAUUUAGGUAUGUCUCUUGCACUUCUUACUUCAUUAAUUUUGUAAAUAUGCAAAUCUUUUUGUGAAUGUUCUAAUGCAUGAUAUUGUUUUGAUUGCUUUGAUUGUUUGAAUGGAUCAAAUGCAUGUUGUAUGCUAUGUUUGUUAAACUAACUUUGAUGUCUUCAUGAAAGCGCUUUGGAAUGCAAUUCAAGUACGCUCAUAUCCUUUUCCCAUGUGUUUGCUUUUUUUUUGGUAUGAUUGUUUUGUUAUGAAUAACAUGUUGCUUGGCCUUAGAUAAAAUCACAUUUGUUUCUUAGUAUUCUUGAUCUAUUAAUUGUCAUUCUUUCUUCAACUUAGUUAGUAGCAACCAAUUUUUAGGGUUUAGAAGGGUACUACCUUUUUAAGGUACCUUCCCGUUAGGUAACUUAAUGCCCGAAUUUAGAUUUAGGUUUUUCAAAAGUGUAAGUAGCCCUUUUUCUUUGGGUUUUAGUUUCUUUUUUUUCUUUUUUUAUAAAAUAAAAAUAAAUGAUGACUCCUUUUUUUUUAUAUAAUAAAAUAUAGUUUUUUUCACCUAAAAAACGAGUCUCGAGUAAAAAUGCACAUAAAAAAUACAGUUACACACAACUACAUCAGUUUCUUAACUUCAUCUUUGAAUAAGUUUUUCCCAUGUUUUAUCUUUAACUUACAUUCAAUCCCAUCAAUACCCUUUUGUAUCUCUGACCUAAAUGGUGGUCCAAAUUGAUGGAUUUUUUCUCUCGCCUCUAUGUGGUUACCUCUUUAUAUUCAAUCCGUCCUAGACCCAAUUAUAGUGUAAUCUUGUUUUUUUCCUGGUGUUUCAGUCUUGUAGCCACUAUAAUCAUUUUCCCUUUGCUCCUAUUUCAGUAAUUCAAAACAUUGUAAGUCACUCUAAUAUAUCCAUUGGAUAGAAGUCCCAAAACUUCCUUGAAAUCUUUAAAAACAUGUCAAACAACUGAUUUUCUUGUAACAAAAAUCUUCCUGUUUGAAAUAAGGAACUUGAGAACUUGAGCUACAUUAUGGAAAUUACCAAUCUUUAUUAAUGUUUACCAAUAUGAAAAAAUAUAUUUUAUUUUUUAUUUUAUAUAAAUAAAAAAUUAAAAAUUUUAAUCAAGGAAAAUAUUAGAAUCAAGAUCAAGUUUUAGUUUUAUAUAAAUAAAAAAAUUAAAUAUUUUAAUUAAGAAAAAAAAUUUAAAAACUAUAGUUAAGUCCAAAUCAUAAGCAAAAAGAUAAAACCAUGAUUAUUAAUUCUAUUUUCAUAUGAAAAUUUAAAAUUUUAAGCUAAUAUAAAAAAUAAAAUAAUAUGACCAAAAUACUUUUAUUUAAUCUAUAUGUGACAAGAUUUAUCAAAUAAAUAAAUAUUUAUUUAGCAUGAAUAUAAAAUCUUAAGUUUUAGUUUUAUAUAAAUAAAAAAAUUAAAUAUUUUAAUUAAGAAAAAAAAGUUAAAACUAUAGUUAAUUCCAAAUCAUAAGCAAAAAGAUAAAACCAUGAUUAUUAACUCUAUUUUCAUAUGAAAAUUUAAAAUUUUAAGCUAAUAUAAAAAAUAAAAUAAUAUGACCAAAAUACUUUUAUUUAAUCUAUAUGUGACAAGAUUUAUCAAAUAAAUAAAUAUUUAUUUAGCAUGAAUAUAAAAUCUUAUCUCAUCAUCCUCUAAAUUUGUUUAUUAUGUAUUUAUGUUUAUAUUAACUUUGUUCUCAUUAAUUAUUUAUUAUAUAUUAUUAUAUUGUAUUUAAACUUUCUAUGGAUAAUUAAAAUCAAUAAAUAUAAAAGGACAAAACAAUAAAUAAAAAAAAAAGAAAUUAAAAAGACUUCAUGAGAAAACAUGUAGCCAUCAUAUUGAAAAAAAAAAAAUGUCAAAGGUACACAACAUGGUUGGUUCAUCAUGUGUCAAACUUAAAAAGAUAAAAAAAAUGUUGACAAACAUAAUGAUGAACUCUCUUAAUUUGUCAUGUCAAAGUUAAAAGAAAAGAACUUAGGUUAGUUGGCUGGUAAUAAGAGAGGUGGAUUGGAGGGUAAUGUUAUAAUUUUAAUAAUGUUAUUAUUUGAGAGUAUGUAGAUAAAAUUAUUUUCUUCAAAGAACCUGUAUUUUGAAAGUUAAAAGUAAAAGUUCUCAAAAAAUGUAUUAUUUUGGGUAGCCUAUGAUUACAUGAUUUUCCUUUUAAUAAAAGGAUAAGUGCCUUAGUGUCCAUCACUUUAACGCACCCACAUCUAUAAACAAAUACAGUUGAUGUGGGUAUUUAAAUUGGUUUGUAACUCAUGUAUCAAGGUGUUGGAGAUUGGAAGUAAUGUAUGUUAAAAUUUGAUUGUAAGUCAUCUCAAGAUCACAACAUCAUAGAACAAUGGCCUAGAGAAACGAUAGAUUUCACCCAAUCCACUAGUUCACCCCCAUUUUGGGCUAAUACAUGAACCAUCACUACAACAAAUAUACUCUUUGGCUAGGAACCAUGUUGUAGCAAAAAGAAGAUAUUUUAUGGGAAAGAAAAAAAAAAAACCAGAUUUUAUGGCAAAAAAACUUUCAAUACAUUUUUGUUUUUUUUUUUUUGUGGCACCUUCAUGGGUAUAAGUUUGUGAGUAAUUAUUUUUAACCACUAAAAUAAAUUUUAUAACCAAAAAUUAUUUUUAAACACAAAAAAUAGUUUAUAAAAUAAUAAUUUUCUCAUACUAAAAAAUUUGUGGCAAAACAUCAUUUUUAAAUAAAUUUCAUUGCUAAACAUCACCUUUAGCCAUGAAAUAAAUUUAAUUAGUGCCAAAACAUCUCUUUUACUCUUAAAACAAACUUUAAAAAAAAUAAAAAAUCAUCAACUUCAAAAUUUCAAUUUUUUCUCACAUUUUUUCUAGACAACCAAUCAGAGCAUUACUAGAUUUAUGUUGAAAAAAAACGACAAAAGUGUAAAGGAUAUUGUAUAUCCUCAAAUUGAUGAAGAUAAAAUCUAACAAACUUAUAUUUAUCAUAUAUCAAUUAGUUGAUAGCAAGUAAAUGUUAUGAACAGCUCAGGGUUAUGGAUGACUUGAACAACUCAAGGUUUUGAGCUUAAGGCUCUAGAUGCUAUGAACAACUCAGGGUUAUGUUGAACAUGAACGACUCAAGGUCGUGAGCAAUAGGCUCUAGAUUUUAUGAACAGCUCAGGGCUGUGGAUGAUAUGAACUACUAUAGGUCAUGAGCUCAGGUCUCUAGAUGCUAUAGAUAGCUAUAGGAUGUGGAUGAUAUGAACUAUUCUGGGUCAUAAGCUAAGGGAUCUAGAUGCUAUGAACAGCUCAAGGUUGUGGAUGAUAUGAACGAUUCUGGGUCGUGAACUCAAGGCUCUAGAUGCUAUGAACAACUCAGGUCUAUGGAUGACAUGAACAACUUCAGCUCGUGAGCCCAGGGUUUGUUUUUUCUCUAUUUUCAAUUCAAAUCAUUGUUUCACAAUACCUUUUAUCACCCCCUUCUUUAUCAAACUUGAUUGAAGUAAUUAUUUUCUCUUGAAAUCACUGAUUAUACCUGCCAUCAAAGGUCAUAAUCUCGAUGGUUUUCUCUUUGGGACACUACCUCAUCCUCCCAAAAAUCAAGGAGAAUCAACAUAGAGUAUUAACCUUGAUUAAAUUGCAUGGGAACGACAAGACCUACUCUUAUGUUAGUUAUUAGCCUCUCUUUCUAAAACUAUUUUAGGCCAUGUGGUUAGCUGUCAAACCUCUCAUGCAGUUUAGACCACUUAAUCAUUGCCAAAUAUCAUGCAAUUUCAGUUUCAACUCCAAAAUACAAAUGAAGGAGUCUUUGAUAUUGAUGAUUAUCUUCUUAAAAGGAAAAAUAUGGUAAAUAAAUUAGCAAUAAUAGGAGAACCUAUGGAUGAGCAAAGACUGGUGUGAAACCAAGGUUUGGUUAAUCUCUAUUUUGAUGAUAACAAAACAAGGUUUAGAAUUAAUGAUUAUAUUUCAAGUGUGAUUAGGCAAGACAAUUUCCAAAGUGGCAAUCACAAAGACAAAUCAAGCCAAGGAGAAAUCAUGAAGAAGAAUACCAUCUCAAAGAGAAGUGUUUUUCAAGACCCAAGCUUCAUAAGAUCUCUUUGUAAGGUUAUUGGCACACUAGGAUUUUCAUGCAUUACAUUCGUUACUUAUGCACCAAAAUCAUCCAAGAGUUAUUUUGUUUUAAAUAUUUUAAAAUUGGAUGAUUUCAUGUUUUCAACUAAAACCUUGUGUCAAAUGUUUUUCAAACUUGUUUAAAAGGUUUUAAGUUGAAAAAGUUGGUUGUUAAGCCAAAAACGGCUCAACCGGUUGAACCAAAUGAGGAACCGAUCGACCGCCAACUCAAUCGGUUUAGGAGUAGGUCGACCCCCAGUUCAACCGAUCAAUGGUGUGAACAGUAACCGAUCGACCCGCCAGCUCAACCGAUCAAGGGGUGCAAAAAACUCUCUCUUUCUUCCAAAAUGGUUGUUCAACCGGAUAAGGAACCGGUCUACCCACGCCUCAACCGGUUGAGGUCCAACGGUCACCUGCUAAGCAUUAAAUACUAAUGGUUAGUCAACUGGUUGACCCCCAGCUCAACCGGUUGAAUCCCCAAUGGCUAGUUUGGUUGUUUUCUUCUAUAAAAAUGCUCCAAAUCUUCAUUGUUAAAGACCUCAACUUUCUCAAACCUUUCUUGAAUAUAUUUGAGCCUUAGAAGAGUGUUUUUUAGUGCACCAUUGUUCUAAAACUUGCAUAUCUUUAGUGUACCAUUCAAUCCUAGUUUUUUUGUAUCAUUUGAGCUUAAAUUUUUUCUAUUAGGAUUUUGUGAGAUCAAUUAUUUGUAUAUCUUUGAGAGUAAGAUUCUUAAGUAUGGGGUAUUUCUUGAGGAUUGUAAAGGGUGCUUGGAGCCAAAAGUCUAAGAGGGUGGAUUGGAACCAUAAUCUAAUUGUUUUGCUUGAAGGCUUGGUUUGGAAGCCAUAAAUUAGUGGAACCUCAAGCUUGGGAUUGAAGUUAGAGGAGAGUGGAUGUAGGUUGACUUGCGCCGAACCACUAUAAAAUCUUGUGUUUGCAUUCUCUCUUCCCUACUCUUUUACUUUAUAUGCAAUUGUCUUUAUAUUGUUUUAUUAUAUACUUGCAUAUAUUUGUCUCUUACAUCCACAUGGUUUAAAUUUGCAAAAAGAGACCAUCACUUUUUUCACCCCCCCUCCCCUCCCCUCUCCUCCCCUCUCCUCCCCUCCUCUAGGGUGGUUACCAUAGGUUGGACUAGCCUAAUUUUUCUAACAAUUGGUAUCAGAGCUAGGUCUCUUGUUUAAGACUUCACCGUCUAAGAGAUAAUGGCUAAUCCAUCAAGCUUAUCUCACAAUGAAACCCGACCUUCAUUUUUCACGGGAACCGAUUAUCCCUAUUGGAAAACUAAAGUGACUUGGUUUCUGCAAUCUACUAAUCUUGAUUUAUGGGAUGUCAUUAAAGAUGGUCUCCACAUUCCUUCAAAAUUAGAAAAUGGAGUGAUGGCUCUAAAACCUAAGCAAGAAUGAGAUGAACUUGAUAAAAAGAAAGUUCAAUUAAAUGCCAAAGUCGUUUAUAUCUUACAUUGUGCUAUUGAUAGAAGUGAAUUGAGUCGUGUUUGGCAAUGUAAGUCGCCUAAAGAAAUUUGGAGACUAUUAGAAAUCACUCAUGAGGGAACCAACCAAGUUAAGGAGUCUAGAAUCAACAUUCUUGGGCAUGAUUAUGAAUUAUUUUCUAUAAAGGAUUUUGAAUAUGUUGUAGAGAUGUUUUCUAGGUUCAUGGUGAUUGUGAAUGAACUUAAAGCCUUGGGAAAGACCUACACCGAAGUAGAGAAAGUCAUGAAAAUCUUAAGGUCUCUACCAAAGAAAUAGGAAACAAAAGUGACGACUAUUCAUGAAGCAAAGGAUCUCACCAAACUCUCACUUGAAGAACUCAUUAGAUCACUCAUGACUUAUGAGAUAAAUUUGAACAAUCAUCAAAGAGUUGAAGAAAAUAAGAAAAUUAUAGUUUUUAUGGCUUCAAGAAAUGAUGAUGAAAAGGAAGAAAGUGAAAGUGAAAGUGAUGAAGACUCCACGGAAGAAGAAUGCACAAAUGAGGAUGGCAACAUGUGCUUCAUGGCCUUGGAGGAACAUGAAGAAGAGGUAAAUUCCAACUCUAAUUAUAAUGAGUUUCAAGAUGUACUUCAAGAAAUAUAUUUUGAUAUUGAAAAACUUAGGUCCAAAAAUGUCUCUCUCAAGAAAAAGAUUUCUUGUCUUCAAAAUGAGUUCCAUGAGCUUAAGGAAAAAAAUUGCAAAUAUUGAGAAGACAAAAAUCUCUUUUGAAAAAUAAAAAUGAGAAGUUGAAAAAGAAAAAUGAAUGGCAAGUCAAAAGUGCAUUUUUGAUAAAAAAAAAUAAAAAAUAAAAAUAAAAAAGGGCUAGGCUACAAGCUUUUCAAAAAUAAAAAAUAUUUUAAGAAUUAUUUUGUAAAGGAAGCCUCUAGCUUUUCACCUUCAAUUAUUUGCAAUCUUUGUGUUUUUGUCCCUUAAUAAAAUCUCCUCAUGUUUUUCAAAACUCUAAAUUAUUUUGGAUUCCAAAUGGAAGAAAGUCUAACCCUCUAGGACCCAAAAAGAUAUGGGUACCAAAAGUUACUAAAUUUAUUUUGUAGGAAUCCAUGCAAAAAGGAGGAUAUGCUUACCUUGGAAAGAAUGCAUUGAUAAUAUUUGUAAUGGUAUCCCUUCUAAAGCUUAAUUUUCAAUAGCAUUUUAUCAUUUUGCUAACACUUGGUAUAAUUUUUGUUAAUAAUAUAACAUUUGGUAUCACAUGCUUGAAUUAUCAUAUUUGUUAAACCAAGGUUUGGAUUAAAAAGAAGAUUUUUUAAUAUACACCUAGGUAAAAUUGAAUGAUCAUAUGCUUGUAUGCUCUAAUAGUGUUAUUCAAUGCAUGAAUAUAUAUCUUUUUAAUGUAUAUGUUCUCCCAUAUAUUUUUUUUCCAAAUCAUGGUUUAAAUUGGGAAUGCUCUAAGGUUGAGCAUCGUUUAUUUGGAAAAUGUUCUCAAAUGAAAAAGGGGGAGAUUCAUUUUUAUGAGAAAUCAUAUCAUGCUUAUUGUUUAUUUUUUAAACUUUUGAUAACAUGUAAUUCCUCUUAUAUACUUUAUUGAGACUUUUUAUUGAUGACAAAAAGGGGGAGAAGUAAUGAGGUUGCUAACUUGGGAAGAAAUGUAAAUAUUGUUUUAGCAAUCUUAUUCAUAUUGAUGCUAUGUGCUUUAUUGGUUAUAAUUGCAUGCAUCAUAUUUAAUAAUAAUGUCUUGCCAAUUGCUAAAUUGCUCUUUAUGUUAUUUAUGUUUGAUUAUAUCAUUUUGAGCACCCUUAAUAUACUCCUUAAAGUUCUAAACUUGAAUAUUUUCUAAAUUCAAAGGAGCAUAUAUUGAGGGGGAGCUUUUUAGCAACUUUGGUUUUGUCAUUAUAAAAAAUGGAGAGAUUGUGAAACCAAGGUUUGGUUAAUCUCGGUUUUGAUGAUAACAAAACAAGGUUUCAAACUAAUGAUUAUAUUUCAAGUGUGAUUAGGCAAGAUGAUUUUCAAAGUGACAAUCAUAAAGACAAAUCAAGCCAAAGAGAAAUCAUGAAGAAGAAGACCACCUCAAAGAGAAGUGUUUUUCAAGACCUAAACUUCAUUAGAUUUCUUUGUAAGGUUAGUGGUGCACUAGGAUUUUCAUGCAUUAUAUUCUUUACUUAUGCACCAAAAUCAUCCAAGAGUUAUUUUGUUUUAAAUAUUUUAAAAUUGGAUGAUUUCAUGUUUUCAACUAAAACCUUGUGUCAAAUGUUUUUCGAACUUGUUUAAAAGGUUUUAAGUUAAAAAAGUUGGUUGUUGAGCCAAAAAUGACUCAAUCGAUUGAACCGAAUGAGGAACCAGUCUACUGUCAACUCAAUCGAUCGACCUCCAGUUCAACUAGUUAAAGGUGUGAACAGUAAUCAGUCGAUCGCCAGCUCAACCGGUCGAGCGGUGCAAAAAAUCUUCUCUUUUUUCCAGAAUGGUUGUUCAACCGGAUGAGGAACUGGUCAACCCACACCUCAAUCAGUCAAGGUCCAAUCGAGGUCCAACGAUCACCUACCAAACAUUUAUUGCUAAUGGUUAGUCAAUCGGUCGACCCCUAGCUCGACAGGUCGAACCCCCAACAGCUAGUUUGGUCAUUUUCUUAUAUAAAAAGGCUUCAAAUCUUCAUUGUUGAAGACCUCAACCUUUCCAAACCUUUCUUGAAUAUAUUUGAGCCUUGGAAGAGUGCUUUUGAGUGCACCAUUGUUCUAAAACUUGCAUAUCUUUAGUGCACCAUUCAAUCCUAGUUUUCUUGUAUCAUUUGAGCUUAAAGUUUUUGUACUAGGAUUUUGUGAGAUCAAUUAUUUAUAUAUCUUUGAGAGUAAGAUUCUUAAGUGUGGGGUAUCACUUGAGAGGUUGUUCAAGAGUGGGGUAUCUCUUGAGGAUUAUAAAGGGUGCUUGGAGCCAAAAGUCUAAGAGGGUGGAUUGGAACCAUAAUUCAAUUGUAUUACUUGAAGGUUUGGUUUGGAAGCCUUGAAUUAGUAGAACCUCAAGCUUGGGAUUGAAGCUAGAGGAAAGUGGAUGUAGGCCGGGUUGUGUCGAACCACUAUAAAAUCUUGUGUUUGCAUUCUCUUUUCCCUACUUUUUUACUUUAUAUGUAAUUGUCUUUAUAUUGUUUUAUUAUAUACUUGCAUAUAUUUGUCUCUUACAUUCAUAUAGUUUAAAUUUGCAAAAAGAGAUCAUCACCCUUUUCACCCCCCCCCCCCCCCNNNNNNNNNNNNNNNNNNNNNNNNNNNNNNNNNNNNNNNNNNNNNNNNNNNNNNNNNNNNNNNNNNNNNNNNNNNNNNNNNNNNNNNNNNNNNNNNNNNNACCGGUACUUCACAUCUUAGGUGGAAAUAGAGUUGAAUACAAUCCUUUUGUGGCAUGGUGCUUACCCAACUAGCAUCAAUAUCUCUAUAUGAAUUAUCUAAUUUACUUACCAGCUUUGACAUCCAUUCAGAGCAGCAAAAUGCAUCAACAACAUUAGAUAUUAACCGCUUUUCUGCCAACCUAGUUGCAACAUCUCCAAAGCACAUGCAAAUAUCAGCACCUAAAUAUAUGACAAUCAGCAAGGUCAUAUCCUAUUUAAUGUUAGAGAAAGGGGAAGUGGUGGUAGUGGAGGUAACAAAAUGGGUCGUGGCAAUCAUCCACGAUGCCAAGUUUAUGGAAAGCUAAGUCAUCUUGCAAUCUCAUGCUACUACCGAUUGGAUUGUAAUUUUCAACCCCUAAAUAAUCAACACCACCAAAUGCAAGCUAUGACUACCACGCCUCAAACAAUAACUGACCCGUCUUGGUAUGUCAAUUAUGGAGUAACUCAUCACCUCAACUCCAACAUUAAUAACCUUAAUGCCAAAAAUCCAUGUAAUGGUGAAGACAAAAUAACAAUUCCCAAAGGCACAAAUUUAGUCAUAAAACACACUAGUUGUAACAUCCCAAAUUUCUAGAUGGGCAAUUUUCAGUUUUGAAAAAAAUAAUAAUAAUGACAUAAAUAAAAUAACUAAAAAUCUAAUUGAAUUAAAAAUAAUUAGGAAAUUUAAAUAACUUAAAAAAUUAGAGGUAAAUAAUCUCAUCUUAUAUUUUUCCUUUUUCACUUUUUCUUUGGGUAAGUGUUGUUAGAAAUUAGUUUUUGUAUGUGUAAAUUUUUUUUUAUAUAUUUUAAACCAUUUUUUUCUUACUUCUUAGAUUGUUUGGCUACCAAGAAAGUGAAGGAAAAUAUUUUAAUUUAAUUUUGAUUGACAUAUAAAUUGUUGGAAGUGAAUGAGAAUGAUAUCCUAUGAUGUUGAUACACAAAAGGAAUUUGGUGAUACCUUUCAACCCACAAUGGGUGAAGCCAAUUUGUUCAACAUUGGAAGGACCCAAAUCAAGUUCAAACAAUCUAAUAUAAUAAAUUGAGUUGGGAGGAAAUUUCAUGAGAAAAAAAAAAUCCUAACAAUGAGGAAUACAAUACUUUUUCUUUUUUUUUUUUAAUAUUCUAACCCAUUGGUGAUUUUUGAAUUUUUGUAAAUUUUUGGUAAAGUAUUAAAAUCCAAUUAAUUUUUUCAAACAAUAUACUUGAUAAUGAGUCUAAAAAUUCAAGUAUUGUUACAUUUGAACCACGUUUGUCUCAUGAGAAAAUUUCGAAUAUAUUGAAAAUUUCAAGGGAGAGGUUCACAGGAAUAGUUUGGACUUAUUAUAUUUCUCAAUUUUUUUGGGAUUAGUCUUAAAGAAAAUUAUAGUCUAAAUUAUUUUUAUAUAAUAUUAUACUCUCUAAGGAAUCUAACCUAUAAAUUUCAUCUCAUUUGGAAAUUGAUAGCUUAUUAUAAAAAUUCUAAGGAAAUGGGUAAGAAAAUAAAGUGGUUCAACUAAGACAGUUUUGACGCACUUAGGUUUCUUAAAGUUCUAGGAUAUUUUGGCUAAUUAUCAUCAUUCUUAAUUAUUUUUAUAUAUUAUUAAAAUAAAAAAUGAAACUAUAGAGUCUAAUUGCAUUCAAUUCUAAAUUUGUUUUGCAUAGAAAAAUAACUAAGAAAAUAUUUAAUAGAUUUUCAACAAGGUAUGCUAGGACAAUUUUUAUGUUUGAGACUUUUGGUACUAUUAAAAUUUGUGUAAGGCUUAUAAAUUAUUUAAAAAAUAUUCUAGACUCAUCAUGCAUUAUAUUUGGAUAGUUUCACAAUUAUUGGGAACUUGUUUGUUUAGUAAGAAAAAUCAAGAAAAUAAGUAGUAUUGCAACAUAUAUUGUUUUGGAUAAAUCUAGAACUAAAUUAGGUUGAGGCUUAAUUGAUGGUCUUUUGAUAACCAUUUGACUUAAAAAUUAAUUUCUAAGGUUCCUAGACUCAUAUAUAUAUAUAUAUAUAUUUGGCUCAAGUUUCACUUGAAUUGGACUUCAUUUACCUAACCUUUCAUUUUUAAGAAAAUUACAUAUUUUAGGGAGAGUGUUAUCAAAUUAAGAAAAAAAAUAGGAGAACCUUAGAAUCAUAGUUCCCUUUUUAUCGAAUUUCCAAUUCUCUAAGUCCACUUAAAAUUUGUUUGAGGAGAAUUCAGACUUUGUGGAGUCAUCAUACUACAAGUAGACUCUAGUGUUGAUUGCGAGAAUUUUUGUGAGUAGUUACGAUAUGCAUGCUUUUGUUAAGCUUUUUCUAAAAUAAACAUCUCUUGCCUAUGUAUUAUCUAUCACUUGUUUCAUUUUUUUCUAAAGGCAUGAAAUAUAUAUUGAAAUUCUUAUUUGAUCAAAAUGCACAUGAUUUAUGUUGAGUUGCAAAAAUAAAUGUCACUAUACUUUGAAGAAAUUAUUUAUUUCCAUGAAUAUAUUUACAACCAAUGACAUAUUGCAUACCUUGUUGUGGAUAUAAUAAAUUGUUAGACUUUUGGAUAUUAAUAUCUUACGGGCAUGAUAAUAUGUAUACUCGUGAGGUGUUUCAUGCAAUUUUGUUCUAAGACUCCAUAUUCUCUUAUGUAGCAAGGGGAAGGCCUUAAUACGAGAUUGUGAGUCUAAUGCUAAGCUAGGGGAUAGAUCUCGAAGUGACAAAGUAUGCUCUGUUGUGCCCCUAAUGAGAUGACUAAGAGAUGAACAUUUUGGUAUUGUGAUCCAUAGUAACGAGUCACUAAAAAAUUGUGUAGAUGUGGGGAUUCAUGGAUAGUAGGCUUUUGUAUAGUCGAUUGAUUGACCAAAGAUAUGUUCAGACCUAUGAUUGCAUAUUUUACAUUUCAUAUAUUUUUUAAAUACCAUUACGAUUAUUCUAUAAUAGUUUCUAAUUACCAAAGUUAUUAUAGAUAUAUUUUAUAAUUGUAUUUUUAUGUGGACUAACUAUCCUAACACUUAUGUAUCAUAACUAUUCAUUGGACCUUGUGUUCACCCCAUAGAAUUAUUAUUAUUAUUUUUUCAAAUAAGGGCUCAUGUAUUCCUAUUAAGGAGAUAAAAUCGACUUUAAAGGGCAUCUAGCUUUAAUUCUUUUCUUGUUAAACUUAUUGGGCAUCUAGUCUAUUUCAUUAUAUAUUUUAGUUCAAUUUAGUUAUUCUCAGCCAUGUGGCUAAUCUUGUAAACCUUGCUCUCGCUAUUUUUGUAUCUAAUUGUUGUUUAUUUAAUAUUAUCUAGUUAUAUGUUAAUCUUUCAAGACUACAUUUAUUUCUUAGGAUGGUGAUUACACUUUAAAUUUGUAGUUGGAGUGGGCUCACUAUCUUCAAACAGGUCGCUAUUAGAGCAAGUCAUUCUAGUCAAUUUCUUACUUCAAAUAAAUCCAAACAUAUUUACUCUCAAAAACAUUUUGCAUGUUCCUAAAAUUACAAAGGUUCUUUCUAAGCAUUGCAAAAUUCACAUUUGACUACAAUUUUUUUUCAAAAAGAAAAAUUUAUUGUAAUUUUUUUUCUUAUCCAGGAUUAGGUUUCGUAGAAGAUUUUGCUCUAUAGCCUCCUUGACCAUGGUCUUUACAAAUUUCAUCUUUCAACUUCUUAUACUAAACAAUCAAAACUUAUGUUAAAUAUUUUCUAUUUGUUCAAUCUAGCUAGUACAGUAUUACAACCAACUUGUUUUUCUACUUUCAAUAAGCUAAUUUCCUUGACUACUUCACCUUCUUAGGUUAUUUAACAUGCUAGAUUAGGUCAUCAUUCCCUUAGGAUUUUAUCUCAAGUUCUGUCCCAUUGUAAUUUGCUUUUCAGGUUAUUACAAAUAUUGAAUGUUGUGCUUCAUAUCAAUUUAGGAGACAUAAAUGUCAUUUUUUUCAAGUUUGUUGUUCAAAAAACAACCAAACCGACUACUUUAGCUUAUUCACAUUGACAUUUAAGGGUUUCCCCUAUGAUUUCCACAAAAGGCUUUUGAGACUACAUUCAUUUUAUUGAUGAUUUUUUAGGCUACACAUGGAUAUAUCCUUCAUAAAUAAAUUUGAAGCUAUCAUCUUUCAUAAAAUUUAAACUUCUUAUUGAAAAUCAAUUAAACACAAAAAUAAAAUCUUUACAAAUUGAUGAGGGUUAAGAAUUUUCAUCUACAAUCUUCCAAUUUUUUUUAAAUCCCAUAAAUACACCACCAAUUUUCUUAUCCACACACAUCAACAAAACGAUAAAGCAAAAUGCAAACAUCAUCACAUUGUCAAAAUAAGUCUUACUUGCCUUGCUCACACAUCUUUACCUCUGAAAUUCUAGGAUUUUGCCUUUGUCUUCUCUAUUUACACCAUUAAUCAUUUUUUAACCCCAAUUCCUCAAAACAAAUCACCUUUGAAGAAAUUAUUCCAUCAUAAACCCGACUACUUUUUUCACAUAUUUGGUUGUGUGUGUUAUCCAUUUGCUCAUCCUCUCAAUAGAUAAAUAUUUCAAUUUCACUCCUUAAAGGGGAUCUUUCUUGGCUGAAGCGCAUAUCAUAAAGGCUAUUUUAAUGCCAUGCUAUUUUUAAUAAAAGCAAUUUCCUGUUUUCCUUUGAUUUUUUCAAGCCUUCUAAUUUAUUUUCUAGUUGAACAAACCUGCCAUCUCAAACCUUGCAAAUGUUUCUCCCCUUAAUAUCACAAGUCUCAUCCCCCUCUUUGCCACACCCCACAAUUCCAUAUUCUCAUAUCACAUUCCAAUUUCUAUCACACCUUAACUUUACCACAUAAUCCAUCUCAUGCCUAAACACCAUCAUAAGACCACAUCUUAAGCAGCAUGUCCCCCUUAGAAACUCCCUCAUUGGAAUACAUGAUACCCACCAAUACUAUCCCAUGCAAACUUGUUCCAAAAUUGGCAUUAUUAAAUCCAAAUCCUUGCUUUCUCUGCUUCCUUCUUUACCCUUUCAUUCCAUCCCUUUUGAACUUCAUAGCUUUGUUGAAGUUUUUAAGUUCUUGAAAUGGCAUUAGGCUAGCUAUGUGUGCUGAAUUUGCUACUCUCAUGCAUAAUUUAACUUGAUUUCUCGUUCCACCACCUUUUAUUGCCAAUGUUGUCAACUACAAAUGGGCUUAUCGCAUAAAAUAGACAUGUAAUGGCAUUGUGAUAGAUUCAAAGUUCAGUUAAUUGUGAAAGAUUUUCAUUCUACAUAUGUAUUACAAUGAAAUAUUCAACCCAGUGGUCAAACCAACCACCAUCUGAAUUGUUCUAUCAUUCACAUUCUCAUACAAUUGGCACAUCUACCAAUUAGAUGUGCAUAAUGCCUUCUUGAAUGGACUUCUUAUGGAAGACAGAUAUAUGGCUCAACCCUUUGGUGUAUUCUUUCAAAUUAUGUUUGCAGAUUAAAAAAGACAUCAUAUGGUCUCAACCACUUGUUGAACUCUUCCAAAUUACGUUUGCAGAUUAAAGAAGACAUUAUAUGGUCUCAACUUAGGCUUGAUUCCAACGUUUGCAAAACAUUUUUGUCAAAUGGAGUUUUCAAUCUUCUAUUGUUGAUUCUUCCAUAUUUCUUUUUUAGAACAAGAACCAUACUAUGAUUUUACUUGUUUAUGUUGAUGACAUCCUCCUCAUAGAUGAUAGCAUGUUUCUCAUUCAAUCCUUAAUUUCAUAUCUAAACAAGAAUUUUGCCUUGAAAAGAUUUGGGAGAUCUUCAUUAUUUUUUGGAACUGGAAACCUCUUGCCUUAAUAAUGUUCUCUAUCUCACUCAAUCAAAGUAUACCCAUGAAUUGUUGGUUUGAACAAAAAUGAAUAGUGCUAAGCCACAAUUAAGCCCAAUUAUCAUCGGUAAACAACUUUCUCUUCACAAUGUUAGGCAAGAUAAGAUCGUGAUGGGCAAUGGAACAGAUUUGAACAUUAAGCAUAUUGGAGAAUCAUAUUUUUAGUCACAAUUUGCUUCGAAAUUGAUCUAUUUAAAUCAUCUUCUUCAUGUUCUUUCUAUUACCAAAAAUUUGUUCAAUGUCUCUAAAUUUGCCAAUGUUGUGCAUUUUGAGUUCUUUCCUAACUUUUAUUAUGUCAAAGAUUAGGCUUCCAAGGAAAUUCUCAUGGCAAGGAGAGUUAAGAAUGGACUUCAUGUAUUUGAUGACUUCACACUUCUACCUUCAUCAAAGCCAUUAUCAGUUCCAUCUUCCAUAGCCUCUUAUGAAUCAUCCACCUUUUCAUUUCAUAAUCAUGCUUCUAGUCUCUUUCAAUAUAAUCAAAAAAUUCUCUUGGUUCUUUGAAUAAUUUAGAUCUAUGGCAUCACAUACUUGGACAUGCAUCCCUUAAAAUUGUAAAGUUUGCUCUGUCUAACUGCAAUAUUUUCAUUCCUAAUAAAAUGCAAUUUUUCUUUUUGCUCAGCUUGUUGUUAUGGAAAAAUUCACAAACUUCUUUUUUCUUCUUAUAACACUGUUUACACUGAACCCCUUCAACUUAUACACUCUGAUUUAUGGGGUUCCUCUCCACUUCAAUUCUCUAGUGGUUGUUGCUACUACAUUCACUUUGUUGAUGCUUACUCAAGAUUUGCUUGGAUCUAUAUGCUUAGACAUAAAUCAGAUGCAUUUCAAGCCUUUCUUAAUUUUAAAACUCAAAUUCAAUUACAACUAGGUUUUAAAAUCAAGGCCAUACAAAUAGAUUAGGGUGGAGAAUAUAGAGCUUUCACAAAUUUUUUAACUUCAAAUGGCAUUCAUCAUAGAUAUUAUUGUUCUUAUACUCAUGAACAAUAUGGCUUGGCUAAAAAGAGGCAUAAAACCAUUGUAGAACAUGGUCUCACCUUGUUAGCAUUUACUUCAAUGCUAAUAAAAUAUUGGGAUGAAGCCUUUAAUUUAGAGCUUUUGUUUAUCUCAACAAUAGAUUGCCAACUUUUUUUCUUUAUCAUAGAACUCCUCUAAAGUUUUGUUCAAAACCCUACCGAAUUAUUCUUUCUUAAAAAUAUUCGGUUGCUCUUGUUUUCCUAAUAUUCGUUCAUAUAACAAAAACAAACUUUAAUUCUAGACCACUGAAUGUAGUUUUCUGGGUUAUAGUCUUAAUCAUAUAGGCUACAAAUGUCUUGAUUCUGAUGGAAAAAUUAUUAUUUCUCGAGAUGUCAUUUUCAAUGAAUCUUCAUUUCCUUUUGCUCAUAAAAUUCAAUCAUCCUCCUCAUCUAAUUUUGUUUCACCCUCUUUUCAUACUCGAACUACUUCCUCAAUAAUUCCUUCCUUUGGUAGCUUUACUCAUCCGAAAAUUGCUCAAUAUGUUAUUAAUGUUUUAGCACCUAUUGUCUAUCCUCUUGCUACUAAUACUUAUGAUAGUGUUGUUGGUCAUGGCUUUUUUCAUAGAACCAAAUAUAAGAAGAUUUAGCCUAUUCCAAUGCAACUUUACAAAAAUACUCUUUCUAUGGCCACUCGAUCUAAAGUUGGGAUUUUUAAACUAAAGGUUUUUGCUGCCACAUGUGAACCUACUUGUGUUGAGGAAGCUUUACGUAUACAUCACUGGAAAGAAACAAUGGUUAUUGAAUUUAUGUCUCUUUUGAAGAAUAAUACAUGGUCCUUAGUCCAUUACCACCUAGAAGAACACCUAUUAGCUACAAAUGGGUAUUUAAAGUGAAAGAAAACCCUGGUGGCUCAAUUUAGAAGUACAAAGAUAGGUUAGUGGAAAAAAGGUUUCAUCAAGUUGCUAGUUUUGAUUUCACCGAAACUUUCAAUCCAAUUGUUAAACCUCCAACUGUUCGAGUUAUACUUACUAUAGUAUUGUUUAGAGGUUGCUUAAUCCAUCAAUUAUAUGUUAAUAAUGUUUUUUUGAAUGGAGUAUUGCAUGAGGAAGUUUUCAUGGAACAACCUUUUGGAUUUAUUCAGCACAACUAGUCUCAUCUUGUUUGCAAAUUACAUAAAGUUUUAUAUGGCUUAAAACAAGCACCAAGGGCCUAGUUUGAAAAGUUAAGGCAUAACCCCAUAUCCCUUUGGAUUUAUCUCUACAAAGUCAUAUCAGUCUUUGUGCAUUCAUAUGACAAAAAGUCAUUCUACCUAUAUUCUUGUGUAUGUAGAUGACAUUCUUAUCACUAGUAGUAGUGACCAAGUUGUGAUGCAUCUCAUUACCAAUUUAAAUAGAGAGUUUGCCUUAAAAGAUCUUGAAGAAGUGAACUAUUUUUGAAGGAUUGAAGUGAAGCAUACUACUGAAGGCAUUCACCCCUCUCAACGAAAAUACUUAAUUGAUCUAUUACGCAAAACCAAAAUGGAAAGUGUCAAUCCUAUUUCUACUCCUAUGACCAAUGGGCAAAAACUUUCAGGCUAUGGAAGUGAAUUAGUUCAGGAUGUGAAGUUGUACACGUCAACUAUAGGAGCUUUGUAAUAUGUAAUAGUUACUAGGCCUGAAAUUGCCUAUAGUGUCAAUAAAGUUUGCCAAUAUAUGCAAGCUCCAUUAGAAUCUCGUUGGAAAGUAGUCAAAAGAAUUCUUAGAUAUUUGAAAGGAACUCUUCAUCAUGAAUUACAUUUAAGAAAGUCUUCUACUCUUAAUCUUGUAGCAUUUCAUGGUGCUAAUUGGGCCUUUGAUCCUGAUGACCAAAGAUCAACUUGAGGAUUUUGUGUAUAUUUUGGUUCAAACUUAGUCACUUGGCAAUCAAAGAAACAAUAUACUUUAUCUAGAUCAUGUAUAGAAGCAGAAUACAAAAGCCUAGCUAGUUUGGUUGCGUAAAUCACUUGGUUACAAUCUCUUCUCUCAAAAAUUAAAAUCACUUUGCCUACACCACCAAUUAUUUGGUGUGAUAAUCUUAGCACUCUUAUGUUGGCUACUAAUUCAAUAUUACGUACUUUGACAAAACACAUUGAAUUGGAUUUAUAUUUUGUGGGAAAAGGUUUUGCAAAAAGGUUUUAGUCCAACAUGUGCCUUCCAUUGAUCAAGUAGUAGAUUUCUUGACAAAAGCUGUCUUAAGCACUCAAUCUGUAAAUCUAAGAAACAAACUCAAAGUGCAAAAUAUUUUUACCUUAAGAUUGAGGGGGAAUAUUAAGAGAUAGUUUCAUAUGAUUACAAGAUGUACACAUGUUAUAUGCUCAUUGGUUUUCUUCUAUUAUUGUUAGAGAAUUUGUUAAUUAGGUUUGCUAUAUAUAUUCAGAAUAAACAGAGAAAGAAAAAUAAAAACAGAAAAGGUCAAAAAGAUUUCUCUCACUUUACUUUCUUUAUUUCUUUUACUUUGCUUUUUAUCUUUGUUACUUUCUUUAUAAGGAUGCGGUGCCCAUUAAUUUAUAGGUACAUCUUGUAGAAAAGUAUCAUGGAAUGAGUAGGCCUUAUCUGUCAUUGAAUGACUGUAGAAGUGGAAUUGUCAAAAAGCUAAGCGACCCAUUCAGAUUGGACAAGAUGCUACUGUCCCAAUAAGAUUUACAAGAAUCAAAAUUCCAUUUUGAAUUUUGUUUUUUUUUUUGCUCUUUAUUUGAUUGAAAUGGACAAAAUAAGCCUUAAAUCACCCAAACUGACUAGCCUUAGGAUAUGUUUAUUUUGUAAAUAUUUAAAUUAGCUAGGAAACAAGUAUGUCAUACGUAUAACUCGAAAUAUUUUUUAUUUUCUUAAAUAUGUAUCCUAAGAGAAAUUUCUUGUCUAUUUUAGCUCUUAGAGUUUCAAUCCCAUUCAAAGAUACUGAACAAAAAAGGAAAAAAUAAAUUAUCUUAUUAGGUUGGUUUUCAUAAGUGAAACUAAAUUUUAUAAAUAUGUAUAUAUAUAUUUUUCAUCUACAAGAAUCCUCACCCAAUUCCCAAGCUAAUCAAGGAUGAAAAAUAAUGAAAAAUUCGAGCUCUUGAUGCUAACAAAAUAUUGAAUUGGAAGUUCAUAUUAGUUCAAUUGAAGUGAUCCAUUUCUAAAAAUAUAUUUUUAUUCCUUUUUUAAAUUAAAAGUGUGUUUAACAAUAUUUUCGGGUCUUUAACUUUUUUUUUUUUUAAGUAUUUUUAAGAGAAUCAUCCAUAAAAAAAAAAAUACUAUAAGUAAUUUUUCAGAUUUUUAAAAGUAUUUCCCAAAUUUUGCAAUACACCUUUUUUUUUAUUUUUUAUUUUUAUCAAAAUAACUUUUUAAGCUAAAAGUUAUUCCCAAAAUCACUAUCAAACAUAUACUAAACAUCCUGAUUUUGUCUUUAGAUUUUGAUUUAUCAUUUCUUCCUCCUCCACAUUUAAAAUAUAAGUAGAACCCAAAGAAAAUUAGAAGGUAGAAUUCUGAGUCUCCAAAUGAGAAAGUUAAUUCCAACUUCCCCGCUUUGCUGAAAGUUUUGUGAUUACUUGUCCGGUAGAAAGUUUAAGAAGGUAGAAUUGAUGACUUCAGUUCACAUGCAUGGAAGUCUUCAUGAUUGAGAAAUAACGUGCAGGAGAGAGAUAUGAAGGGCAGGGCCGGCAUUUGUAUCGUAGCGGGAAGACUCAUUCUCUUGACUCUUGGGUCAAUGCCGGGGGAACAUCAUCAAAGAAAGGGGCCAUGCCACCACAUGUUGCAGAAAGUGGGUUACAAUUAUCAAGAAUUUUCUUCUUCUGUCUAUCGUUUUCCCGGCCAUCACGCACCGAUCAUGUGCAUGUAGUCAGUGCAUUCUUCUCUCAAGUCCUUUUGGAUCAUUUCUCUAUUUCUAUUAAGAUUUAAAUUUGGUCCGAUUCACAAUCCACAUAGAAAGAAACACCACCUAGUUUUACCAUAAAUUUGGCAUGAAUUACAGCCAUCAUUCUCGUCUUUUCUUAAGUGCUUAUAUGAAAGGGAUAAGUGAAACCAUUUAUUACUUUUCUAAGUGAAUAAGAGUGCAUCUGACCGUAAUUAUGAGAAGUGGUUUUCAGUCUUUCUUAUACUUAAACAAUAAAAAUUUUCAAAUAUUAAAAAAACUAAACACUUUCCAAAAUUAUUGUCUAACGCAUUCUAAGAUUCUAUCAAAUUUAGUUUUUGUUUUUGUUUGUUUUUUAUUAUUAUUUUUUUCCAUUUAGUAAAAUAAUUAUCAAUGCCGAAGUGUAUGGGUUUCAACACAUGGUAUUAGGAUUAGAAGAUCAUGCAAGAAAUUUAUAAUUUUCUUAAUGAAACCAUAGCUACAAAUUAUAAUUUAAUCAAACUAUAACUCUUGACAUUCAUAGGUAAGAAUUCUUGCAAUUGGCGCAUUCAUAUACAAGUCUUUUUUAGAUUCCACGUUUUAUGGAAUCUAGUGAAUAAUGACCGAAAGAAAGUAACUAUUAGAAGGAAUUUGAAAUCAAAGAAAUAGAAAAUUUUAUUAUAGGAUUUUUGAAGGGAAGUUUAGAAAAUGUUUAUACAAUAUUAUUUCAAGUAGUAGAUUAAUCCAUAAUUUAGAAGCAAAAAUAACAAGGCAUAAGAUAUUCUAAAAAAAGUUACACAUAUUUGAUGAUUGUGUCAAGUUAGUGAAAUUGCAACUAUUAAAAGGUGAUCGAAGUCGAAUCUUCAUGACUAACCAUGAAUCAAUAUCAUAUUAUUUUGAUCUAAUAUAGACCAUUGUGAAUUAAAUAUGGGUUAAUGUCGAUAAGUUCAAUGAUGGUAUCAAUUAUAUUGUGCCUUAAAUGGCCUUGUUAUGCUCUUAUUUACGAUUUCAAUUGUUUCUAUAGGGACUAUGACAUGGAUUUUUAUGGUGUGACUAUUUCCUGGUUAAUUUGUGGUUGGUCCAUUAUGUUGAUGUUCUUUGUCUGUCCUUUGGGUUGUAUGCUUUAAUAGUGGUUGCCCUCCUAUUUUAGGGCCGGCUUAUAUCUUGGCAUGAUGAUAGUGGUGGUCUCAUCACAUUUUUUGCAUGGUAGCAUGGUGGGCCCUUUAAUGGUGUUGUGGCAACUGCUGAUUGGUUGUAGCAUGUCGCUCUUGCUUUGCCACCAUGUGGCGGCGGAUCUAUGUGUCCUAUGUGAUUUAUGGUUCCAAUUUAUGCCCAUGAUCGAUAAUAAGAUAUCUUAUAGUAUAUAGGCUGAUAACCUAGAAAGGAUUAAGAUGAAGAAAAGGACACGCUUUGAAAAAGGUACACAUUUAUUAGACUUGGAAAUCAAGGAUGUCUCAUGACAAAAGGAAAAUAAAGCAACACACCAUAUUGUUCUGACCAAUAAUACUGAUCAGUUUAUUAUACAUCACCAUGCUCUAACAGUACCCAUACUUGGUUAGAAGUAGUUCCAUGAUGUUUAAUAAGGACGUUGUCCGAUAUAGUUGCCCCGUGGAUCGUAGUUGCAUGUGACGAACCACCCUCCAUUGUUGCAUUGAACCCUAGCGCACCCAAGACGCACUGAUUUGCUCCAAACAACUUGAGUAUAGUGCCCACAUUGCCCACCAACACAUGAGUUGGAGUUGUAGUCAUAAUUAGACUUCUCCCCCACCCACAAGUUCACCGCAUCGGUGCCUGUCAAUGAAGGGCUGCCCCAGGCAAGGUUCUCACCGUAAGGCCCACCUGAAUGCACUAGAUUGCAAUCGCCAAUCCUCUGGUUAGCAUAAUUCUGGGCGUAGGCAGCCACAGUGUUGUCCCAUGACAUAGGCCCAACACCAACUUGUGCGCGCGCGGUGUUGUGAGCAUUGAGGUAGUCUUGUGGAGAGUUCUGGGCACAGCAGAUGUGAGCUAGGGCUAACCCCAUGAAACAAAGGAGUGCUAAUGGACUCCUACACAACCCCAUUUUUUGGUUUCUUUGAUGAGAAGUGAGGCUAUUGAUGAGAACUGAAGCUUGGCUUGAAGGGUACUUAUAGGGCAAAGAACUUGGAAUAUCAAUAGCAUCGUACACAAACAUUUCCACCAAACGCCCCCUUGGACCAGUUUUCACACGUAAAAGGACACUACUGAUGAAAUGGCUUCCACGGAGAGCAAUAUUUGAAAUUUCUUCUUGUUGUAACUCAUGCGGGCCAUACCAGUUUAUCAAGACAACUUAUCUUCUAAAAGGAUAAAUGAAUCAACAUUAUUUGAAAUUUCUUCUUUUUGUAACUCAUGGGGCCAUACCAGUUUUAUCAAGACUACUUUUCUUCUAAAAGGAUAAAUGAAUCAACAUUAUUUGAAUUUCAUUCUUGUGUCAGAUUCCUUUUAGACUAUGUAUGAUAUCUUUUACACCUAUAUCAUAAUGGAUAAGAAUAAAUAAUGAAAAUUAAUAUUUUGUUUCUAUUCUCAUACUUAAAGAAAGUAAAAAUAAAUUUGAUGAUUUCGAUUCUUAUCUUCAAAUGCACUAAGAAUGAAAGAUUAAAAUAAUUCUUUGUUUAUACUUGAAUAUUUUGUAAUAAUUGAAAAAUGAAUGAAAAUAAUAAAUAAAUAAAUUGAUAAUAAUAUUCUUAUAUAUAAUUUAAAUUUUUAUUUUUAUUUUAAAAGAACAUCAUUUAAACAUUUUUUUUACUAAAUAAUAAGAUUAAAAAAUUAAUGUUUACUUAAUAAAUAAAAAUUAAUCAUAAAAAUAAUAAAAAAUUAAUGAAAAUAUAGGGAUAAAUAAGCAGUUUUAAGAUAUUAUAUAUCGUUUCGAUAGCCUCCUUUACAAGAUUAAUUCAAAUUUAACUUAUAAGUGGAAUUUUAUUAUUAUAGAAAUUAUUUUUUAUUCCACUUUUAUUGUCAUUUAAAUUAUUUUUUAUCAUACAAGAAUGGAAAAAAUAAUAAAAUAUCCCUUAUUCCCUCUCGUAAAAGACAGUUGUAAAUCCAAAGCCGCCAAAACAGUAUGAUUAAGACAUGUGUAAUAAUAAAAAUUUUAUAUCUUUUCAUAUUUGAUUUGUUGGUGAGAAAGCCUGGAGUUAAAAUUUUCAAUAAAUGAUUAUUUCACUCAUUCUUAAAAACUUAAUUUGUCCCGUAUAUUUGAUAAUGAUUUUAUGAAGCGUUUUAAAUAUUUUUAAUAUUUGAAAGAUAAAAUUUUUUAAAGUAUUAAAAAUGUUAAAAAUAUUUAUUAAAAUCAUUGUCAAACGCAUUAAUCAUCUAAAAAUAUCUUCAAAUGACCUUAAUUAAUAUGAUAAUUUAUCAAUAUAAUAAUAAUAAUUGAUGUUCCAGUAUUAUCUUUGAUUUAAAACUCGUUUGAUAGUGCUUUUAAAAAACACUUGGAGUGACUUAGGAUUGAAUCUCAGUGAUUCCAGAAGGUAUUUUUAAGGAGAAAAACAAGUUGGGUGUUUAAUAAAAUUUUAAAAAACACUUGUUAAAAUCUAAAAAGUUACUUUAUAAUGUUAAAAAAUCUCUUAUGAUGUGUUUCGGAUAAACACUUGAUCGAUGAUUUUCUUAAAAACAUUUUUAUUAAAAAUAUUUUUACUAAAAACAAGAACAUAUUCUUAAUUUACUUUUCUUGUUUGUUUCAUUUAAGCAAGAAAGUUGAGACAAAUCUUAUGUCAAGGAUGGGUUGAUAAUAUCGGAUUCUUCUCAAUAAUUUCAAAAUAUAUAUAGCUUGCCAAUUGUUGCUCUUAGUAUCAAAAUUAUAUUUCUUAUUUAUUUCAUUGGGGCAUGAAGCUCCAAAAUCAGAACUCUGAUCAAGGAUAAAUUCACAGCUACUAGACUAUCAACUUUGAUGGGAUUUAAAGAGAAAAGAAACAAUAUUUUUCAAAAUUUCUUUUUAAAAUGUCAUAAUUCAAAAAAAAAUUCUAAAAUUUAUUUCUAUAGGAAAGUAUCAAAUAAAAUAUUACUUUUGAAAAUUUUAACAAUGAAAUUUUUGCUUAUUUAUAGAAAUAAAAAAAUAAUAAUUUUGCGGUGAAAAUGCAACUUCAAUAUAAUAUAAAUUUUCAAAUCUAUUAGGGUGGAAAUGAGUAAAAUAGAAAAUUAAUUUUUCAAAGAAAACUUUAGUUUAAGAGCUAAAUUUUGAGAAUUUUCUUUUAAACAAACAAUUUUAAAGUUAAAAUUUUUUACUGAAAUUGUUUUUUAAGAGAUAACAAUUUUAUUAUAAAUUUUGAAAUUUGUUUUUAUUUUAAAUUCAAUACUUAAACAAAGUUAUCUUUUCAAAAAUAAUUUUCUUUUGCUUCAAAAAGUAUUAUAGAUUUAAAAAUAGAUUUUUAAUUGACUCGGAUAGGAGUCAUAUUGGCUCUGAGUACUACAACAUGUCAUUUCAGCUUGCAAGAGUAGUACUUUUCAAAAGGUUACUCCUACGGUCCAAUAAUUCAAUCAUUCAAGUUUAGACAUAAAUCACUAAAUAUUGUUUUCAAUUUCAAGCAUAUGUAUUUGGUUUGAUUGAUUAAGGUAGAAAAAUCCUAAAUAUCAAUUGUAAAAUGAGUUUCAUUUGAACAAAUUAACUAUGAUUACUUCUAAGUUGGGGCAUGCACCCCAAAGAAUGAUAUCUUAAAUAUUAAUGUAAUUAAUUUGUUCAAUCAUCAAAAUACAUCCAAACAUGACCUUAACUCCAUCAUUAUGUUUGGCUCGUGAAAUAUAAUGAGGAAAGAAAAAUAGAUCAUUGCAUCUAUAUUAUCUUGCCCCCAUCAAACAUUUCUCCUAUUUAUGCCCCCUAAACUCCAUCCGGGCUCCGCUAUUGGAGGAAAAUUUGUAAAAUGGGUUAAAAAAAAUAUAUAAAAAUAACUUAUUAAGUUUAAACAUAUCUUUAAUUUUUCUUCACUAUUUUUUCUUUUAACUUUUUUUAUAUAUCAAACUUCACAUGAAUAUAGAUGCAUGGCAGACAAUUCAGAUAUUUACCCUAGAAAACCAAAGGUAGCGUGAUGACCAAAUGGAAAGAAAGAAAGAAUAUGAAGAAAAUUCUUGGUAAUUAUAAGUCACUUUAUGCAAGAUGUGAUGCUCUCUUUCGAUGUUUUAACAGACGUAGCAAACGACAAUAGGCUUGGAAUCUGGCAUGGACACAAAGGAAUGGCUCUCCACGCUCUUUCAUACGGAUAUUUGUCUCUCUCCAGCACGUUAUAUCUCAAUCAUGUCCUCAGCCUUUCGUCAUCUGUUUACGUAAUCGUCCGAUGGCGACAUUAUGUCACCCUCGCAAAGAUAAGGCCUCAAGACAACUCAUCCAUCUCAAUCUUAUCAUCACUCAAAAAAAUUUAAACAUGAUGGGGAUGGUUAUAAGAAAUUAUCAUAUUAGUCUUAUUCACCCGUCUAAUUCUUUUAAUUUUUCUUUCAAAUUUUUUUAAUCUAUAAUAAAUUAAAAAUAAAUAUAAUUUAUAAAUAAAAAAUAUUAUAAAUAUUUAUGAUUUAUUUUUAUAUAAAAAAUAAUAUUUUAUUUACUUUUAAAAAAUAAAAAUAAAAAAAUUAACAAAAUUGUAACCAAAUCGGCUUUCAACGAGGGUUUUUAAAACUUCUCAAACUCAAUCAUAACAUUAUUUAUGUUUAUUUCAAAGUCUUACUAUGAGAGGCAGGAUACAUAAAAAUUCACCUCAUUAUAAUCCCUAAUAAUACAUGGUUUAUAUAAUUGAAUGCAUUGAUAAAGAGGAUUUUGAAAAAAAUAUAGGAGUUUAUAUCAUUGAAUGCAUGGGUGGAGAGGAUUUUAAAAAUCUAUAGCAACACUUUUAAAAAAACUUAUCUUCAAUUUUAUUUUUUAAAAAAUCAAUUAAAAUGGUAUAAAGUUAUUUUUGAAAAAAUAAUUUUCAUAUUUAAAUCGAAAUUAUUUCUUCAAAAAAUAUCUUUUGUUAUAAAAAGUGUUCCAAAUUUGAAAUAAUUUCAAAAAUAUUAUUUUUUAAAUAAAAAAAAAUUCCUUGAAGUGAAGAUUUUGAGUGAGGUAAAUGAGUGUGAAUUGAAGCAGUGUAAAUAAGAAAGAAAUAUUUGGUUAAAAUAGAUGAAUAAUCUCCAAAUUGUAAAUUAAACAUUUUCUUACGAGAAAAUAACCAAAUUUUAACAUAAAUAUCCUUUAUAAUUUCAAGUAUUUGAUUUUAAAAGAAAUAUUAUUUUUAAAAUGACCAAUAAAAAAAGUACAGGGAUCGGUACCUUAAAUAGCAAUCACAAACUUUCAACAUUGGAAAGUCGAAAUUUAACCUUAUGACAAGAAACAACAAAAUUCUAUCUAUGGUGUAUAUUUCAUUUUGUACUAAAAAAAAAUGAAAUAUGUAUAUAUAUAUAUGCUUUAUAUCUAACAUAAACUUGGAUUAAUUCCAAAUAUAAGUUUACGGUAUAGAAACUUAGGAGGAAAAGAUCUCUACUCAAACCAAAUAUCUAAAGAUAGAACCAGGAGCAUGUUCGGCUUGUUUGCAUGUAAGCAGUUCAGGGACUUAUAUUUUUUGAAAACGAAUUUUUAUAAUUGAACAAAGGAUCCAGUGAAAAAGGGAAAAAUACAACUGCAAUUCGUUUUGUUGCAGUGGAGUUUGAUAAAUUUUCGAACACGGGAAAAAGGGAUCCGGUGAGUGAUCAUGUUGGUAUUGAUAUUAACUCCAUGGUAUCUGUCAAAAUAGAGAACUGGACCAGCAAUAUAGAGGAAGGAAAGCUAAAUCAUGUUUCCAUCCGUUAUACUUCUAGUUCACAAAAUCUGAGUGUUGUUCUAAUUACUGAGUUUUUGGACGAUCAAACAUUCAAACUACCUCCCAAAGCCUCUACUACAAAGUUGAUCUGAGGGAAUACUUGCCAGAAUUCUUUAUUAUUGGCUUCUCAGGCGUAACAGGAAAAGCAUUCCAGAUAAACAACAUUUACUCAUGGAAUUUCAGUUCAACUUUGCCACCUCCCAAUCUUGUAGAACCAGGAGAUGGAAACAAAACAGGAAUUGUGGUGGGAUUGAGUGUUUGUGUAGUUAUUGUAGUAUGUGGGUUGGGAUUGGUUUGGCAUCACUUGUGGAAGAAGAGGGAUAGUGGGGGAGAAGAAGAUGGUACUGACUCUGACCUAGCCAUGGACGAAGACUUUGAGAAGGGUACUGGACCUAGGAAGUUUUCCUUUGACGAAUUGGCUCUUGCAACUAGUAACUUUGCAGAGGAAAUCUUGGCGGGAGGGUUCGGUGGGGUCUGUAGAGGCUUCUUGAGGGAACUGAACUCUCAUGUUGCAGUUAAGAGAGUAUCAAGGGGGUGCAAACAAGGGAUAAAGGAUUAUGCAUGCAUCUGAAGUGAAGAUCAUCAGUCGAUUGAGGCAUCGGAACUUGGUGCAGUUCAUGGGCUGGUGCCAUAAAAAAAGAGAGCUCCUAUUGGUUUAUGAGCUCAUGCCAAAUGGUAACUUAAACUCCUGUCCUUUGGAAGAAAAAACCAAAGGUAGCGUGAUGACCGAAUGGAAAGAAAGAAAGAAUCUGAAGAAAAUUCUUGGUAAUUGUAAGUCACUUUAUGCAAGAUGUGAUGCUCUCUUUUGAUGUUUUUAACAGACGUAGCAAACGACAAUAGGCUUGGAAUCUGGCAUGGACACAAAGGAAUGGCUUUCCACGCUCUUUCAUACGGAUAUUUGUCUCUCUCCAGCACGUUAUUUCUCAAUCAUGUCCUCAGCCUAUCGUCAUCUGUUUACGUAAUCGUCCGAUGGCGACAUUAUGUCACCCUCGCGAAGAUAAGGCCUCAAGACAGCUCAUCCAUCUCAAUCUUUAUCUAUAUCUAUUCUUAUCAUCACUCAAAAAAUUUUAAACAUGAUAGGAUGGUUAUAAGAAAUUCUCAGUCUUAUUCACUCGUCUAAUUAUUUUAAUUUUUGUUUCAAAAUUUUUUAAUUUAUAAUAAAUAAAAUAUAAAUACAAUUUAUAAAUAAAAAAUAUUAUAAAUAUUUAUGAUUUAUUUUUAUAUAAAAAGAUAAUAUUUUAUUUAUCUUUAAAAAUUGAAAACAAUAAAAAAAAUUGACAAAAUUGUAACUAAAUCCGCUUUCAACUUGGGUUUUUAAAACUUCUCAAACUCAAUCAUAACAUUUUUUAUGUUUAUUUCAAAGUCCUCCUACGAGAGGCCACCACGGAUACCGAAAAAGCUUACCUCAUUAUCAUCUUUGAUUAUACAUUGUUUAUAUAAUUGAAUGCAUUGAUAAAAAGGAUUUUGAAAAAAAUAUAGGAGUUUAUAUGAUUGAAUGCAUGGGUGGAAAGGAUUUUAAAAAACUAUAGCAACACUUUUAAAAAAACUUAUUUUUAAUUUUAUUUUUUAAAACAUCAAUUAAAAUGGUAUAAAGUUAGUUUUGAAAAAAUAAUUUUCACAUUUAAAUUGAAAUUAUUUCUUCAAAAAAUAAUUUUUUUUAUAAAAAGUGUUCCAAAUUUGAAAUAAUUUCAAAAAUAUUAUUUUUUUAAUAAAUAAUUUUUUUUUUUAAAUUGAUGCUCCUUUUUGAAAAAAAAAAAAAUCAUCCCUGAAGUGAAGAUUUUGAGUGAGGUAAAUGGGUGUGAAUUGAAACAGUGCAAAUAAGAAAAAAAAUAUUUGGUUAAAAUAAAUAAAUAAUCCCUAAAUUGUAAAUCAAACAUUUUUCAUGUUUUUUAAAAAAAAAAAUCAAAUUUUGAUAUAAAUGUCCUUUGACAUUUCAAGUAUUUAUAUGUAGGUUUUAAAAAAUGUUAUUUUUGUAAGAAAAUGAUAAGAGUAUUUUUACCUAAAUGAGGCAAAAAAAAAAGAAAGAUUAAAUUUCAAAAUUUGGGUUUUCAAGAACAUCGAACGAAAUGACACAAUAAAAAAAGUACACGCAAUCACAAACUUUCAACAUUGGAAAUUCGAAAUUAACCUUAUGACUAGAAACAACAAGAUUCUAUCUAUGGUGUAUAUUUCAUUUUGUACUAAAAAAAAAUAAAAUAUAUAUAUGCUUUAUAUCUAACAUAAACUUGGAUUAAUUCCAAAUAUAAGUUUACGGUAUAGAAACUCAGGAGGCAGAGAUCUCUACUCAAACCAAAUAUCUAAAGAUAGAACCAGUAGCAUGUUCAGCUUGUUUUAUUUUUUUAGACUUCAACAAUUUUCACACGUAAACGAACACUACUCAUGAAAUGACUUCAAUGGAGAUUAAUAUUUGAAAUUUCUUCUUGUAACUCAUGUAGGCCAUACCAGUUUUAUCAAGACUUAUAAUCUUUCUUCUUUGAAAUUUCUUUCUUGUGUUGAUUUCUUUUAGACUAUGUAUGAUAUGUUUUACAUUGUGUAUAGUAGGUGAGAAUGAAUAAUGAAAAUGAACAUUUUGUUUUUAUUUCCAUUUCUCCUUGAAUAUAAAUGAAUUUGAUAAUUUUAAUUCUUAUAUUUGAAUGCACUAAGAAUAAAAAGUUAAAACGAUUUUUUGUUUAUAUUUUGAUGUUUGGUAAUAAUUGGAAUAUGAAUGAAAAAAAGACAUUGAUAAUUUAAUUUUUUAUUUUUUUUACUAAAUAAUAAUAUUAAAAAUAAUAAUAUUUACUUAAUAAAUACAAAUUAAUUAUAAAAAUCAUUAAAAAUUAAUGAAAAUGUAAGGAUAAAGUAGUAAUUUUAAGAAAUUAUAUAUCAUUUCCUAUAACAUCCUUUAAUAGAUUGAUUCAAAUUUGACUUACAAGUAGAAUUUCAUUAUUAUAGGAAUUUUUUAAUUUUAUUUUUAUUGUCAUUUAAAUUUUUUUUAUCGUACAAUGAUGAAUGAAAAAAAUAAUAAAAUAUCCCUCCUUAUUCCUUAUCCCCUUUCAUAAAAGACAGUUGUAAUAAUAAUAAUUUUUAUCUUUUCAUAUUUGUUUUAUUGGUAAGAAAGUCUUGACUUAAAAUUUUCAAUAAAUGAUUAUUUGAUGGGUUUUUAGAAAUUUAAUUUGUCUUGUUAUGUUUAAUAGUGAUUUUAGAAACAUUUAGAAAAAAUUAUAUUUGAAAGAUAAAAUUUUUCAAGUGUUAAAAAGUUUAGAAAUAUUUUCUAAAAUUAUUAUCAAAUGCAUUAUUAAUCAUUUACACAUAUUUACAAAUGACUUUAAUUAACUUGAUGAUUCAUUAAUAUAAUAGUAGAAGCUAAAUUACUAUCCUUGAUUUAAAACUCAUUUGACAAUACUUUUGAAAAGCGCUCAGAUCGGAGAAGGUUGAAUCUCAAUGGGUUAAAAAAAGAAUUUUUGAGAAAAAAUUAGAUAUUUUAUAAAAUUUAAGAAACAUUUUUAGAUAUUUGAAAAAAAAUCCUUUAUGUUGCUUUUUAGCUAGACACAAGCCCACAGUUCUACAACAUGUCAUUUCAGCUUCCACGAUGAGUACUUUUCAAAAGGUUAUUCCUAGGAUUCAAUAAUUCAAUCAUUUAAGUUUAAACAUAAUCACUACAUGUGUUAUUAAUUUCAAGCAUAUAUAUUUGGUUUGAUUGAUUAAGGUAGAAAAAUCCUAAAUAUCAAUUGUAAAAUGAGUUUCAUUUGAACAAAUUAACUCAUGAUUACUUCUAAAUGGCAUGAACCCUAAAAAAUGAUAUCUUAAAUAUCAAUGUAAUUAAGUUACAUGUAUAUAUCCUCAAAAUGCAUCCAAACAUGAUCUUACUUCUAAAGUUAUGUUUGAUUCUUAAAAAGUAAUAAGAAAAAAAGUGUUAAAAAAAAUUAUUUUCUCAUAUUUGGUUUCAUAAUAAGAAAUAUAAAAAAAAAAUAUAUAAUUAAAAUUAGUAAAAAUUUAAUAUAUUUCUAAAUUAUUUAAUUUUUAUAUAGAGAGAAACACUAAUAUAUUUUGCACAUGACCCUUGGAAAAUAAAAUCAAAUAGUGGAAUAGAUUCUUUCAUCUAAGGUAUAAAGGAAAAACGAGUUUUUCAUUGAACUAAAUACAACAAUCUCCCCACGUCUUGCCCAUUCUCAAAUAUUUCUUCUAUUUAUGUCCCCCAAGACUGCAUUCUAGUUCUGCCACUAAAGAAAAAUAAAGUAAAAUGAGUUAAAAAAAACAUAUAAAAAUAAUUUAUUAAAUUUAAAUUUAUUUUUUUAUUUUUUAUUUCUUCUAUUUUCUUUAUUUCCUCCCUAUUUUCCUUUUUAGGAACAAACAUAACUUUAAAAAAUCACAAGUUGAAAGGAGAAUUAUAUGACUAACCUUGUUUGUAUAGAGCAUGGAGACUCAUUUUUUGGGUCCAUACUAGAAUCCAAGGCUAUUAGCUAUACAUUUGUGUUUUUAGCAACAUUAUCAAAGAAAGGUCCAUCACAUAAUAUAUAUUAAUAAUGUUCUUAUUUUCCAAGGAAACUAAGGAGGACCAAGUGUUUAUGUUCUUUUUUUAUUUUAUUUUAUUUGGAAAAAAAAUGUUGGUUUAGGGUUACAAAUAUACAUGGUUAAGGCUUUAACAAUAUGCACAUACAUAUAUCAAACUUCACAUGAAUAUAGAUGGCAAAUAGUUCAAAUUUUUAUCGAAGAAAACCGAAGGUAGCGUGACGACCGGGCGGGGAGAAAGAAAGAAUAAGAAGAAAAUUCUUGGUAAUUAUAAGUCAAGAUGUGAUGCCCUUUUUCGAUGUUUCUAACCGAUAUAGCAAAGAUUAAUAGGCUUGGAAGCUGGCAUAUUGACCCAAAGGAAUGACCUCCGGCGCGGUAUUUCUCAAUCAUGUCCUCAGCCUAUUUCAUCUGUCUACGUAAUCGUAUGAUGGUGACAUGAUGUGACCCUCGCGACCAAAGGCAAUCCCCCCAAAUGUUUCUUGUUUGUUUAUAUCCGUUCACGUGAUCGCAAAAGAAAAUUUAAGUGAGAUAAGAUGGAUUUGAGAAAUAGUCAUAAAAGGCGGCGAUAAGAAAUGUUCGUCUGAUCCCUCAAAGAAAUUUAAAUGGAAUAACACGGUGUGGGAAAUUUUCAUACCCACUCUAUCCCACUCAUGUAAUUCUUUUAUUUCUUUUUUAAAAUUUUUUAUUUUUUAUUUUUUAAAUUUAUAUUUUAUUAAAAAUAAAUAUAAUUGUAGACCCCUUGUUGGCUGGAAACUGAAGCAAGAAAAUAUUAUUUUUUUUGAGUGGAGUGGGUGAGAUUGAGAUGAUGGAAAGGAGCGGGAAAAGGAAGAUGGAGGUGGGGGCUGUUUGGGGGGCAGCAAGGACAGGACAGCAGGCUGGUUUUUAGGCAGAGGGAGAAAAGGUAAGGAAAAGGAAGAAACCGGGCAGCAGCGUUUUUUUUUUUGGGGAGAGGGGGAGGAGAGAAAAAUAUGAUGUUAAAAAUUUGGAUAUAAUGGACAAAAGAAAUACUUUUAAACACUCACUUUGAUAUAAUAAAACUCCUAAAAAUACAAAAUAAGAACAAGAAAGGCUCAAACAAGUUCUUGGAACUUUGUCCAAAAACUCUAUUUCCUCCCACCUCUAGAAAUCUUUAGGGAACUAAUGGAAAUAGUUUUGGGAUUGAUCAUGCUUUUUCACUUUUCUGCAUAAGAUUUCAAAAAAAAGAAAAGUCAUAUAUAGCACUCUUAGGGUUGAAAAAUGGUUACAAGGACGAGAAAAAACCCAUUGUCUUCCUUAAUUUCUUCAUCUUUGUAACAUUCAAAAAUUAAAUCAUAUGUUUAAUUCACACAUUAAACAUGAUUUAAUCUCAAAUGUGUAACUCUUUUACACAUAACCUCUUAAGUUUUAUAAAGUUACAAAUAUGAGAAGACUUAUUGUCUUCCUUAACCUUUCAAGUUUUGUAACAUUUCAAAACUUAAUCAUGUAUUUAUUCAUAUAUUAAAAGUGUAAUCCUUCUUACACUUUAUUUUCAAAAGUUAUUUUUCAAAAAUGUAACUUUUCUUACACUUUAUUUUUAACCAACAAUAUAUAUACAUUUAUAUAAAUAUAACAAUCCCCCACUUGGUUAAAAUUAAACAUCAACCCUUAUAACCUCAACAGUGAAAAUGCAUAAAAUAAAAUAUCUUUCAAUUUGAAUUUUACCUUAGUGUAAUUGUCACAAAGCUCCGUUGAAAUCCCAGGUUGCUUGUAGCAUUGAACCAGUUAUUCCUUGUAACGAAACCGGUAACAACACACACACUUCCACUAACCACAUGAGUGCCUAUUAUUUUCUUGCUUAACACUUUUAUGGUCAUGUGCUCAAUCCAUUCAUGAACUUUCUUGAAAGAAAACUCCAACUCUCAUGAGAGGCGGCACCACCCCUAAGUUCACAUAGGUGAAAUUCUUCCAGCAUCCUUGUUACCUUUAAGAUGCUUAUUACACAUAGACUAAAUUUCAUUAAAAGCUUUAAGCUUAACCCUCCAACGGUAACAACCAGCAUUAAUCAUCACAGAUGGAACUCACAUGUUCUAAUGCUGCCACAACCCACUUAUCAAUAACUUGUUUUUACCUAUUGAACUUAAGACUAGUCAUUUCGUAGUAUUAAGUUGGGUUACCAUCAUUGGUGAAUUUUAUUUAAGGAGUUUUAGUCACAUCCCUCUAGAUGUUAUCCUUACUAAAUCUCUUGUAAGAGGUUUAGUAAAAGGAUCCGCCAAGUUUCCACUUGACCUCACAAAUGAGAUUGAGAUGAUUCCAUAUUGAAUCAAUUGUCUCACAUACUCAUGUCUAAUGCUUAUAUGUCUAGACUUCUCAUUGUACACUCCACUGUACGCACGAGCUAGAAUGGCUUGACUGUCACAAUGUAUCGACACUGUUGACACAUUAUUUGCAGUAAAAGGGAUGUCCAUCAUGAGAUCCCUAAGCCACUCAACUUCUUUUCCAGUUGCAGCUAGAGCUAUAAACUCUGCCUCCAUGGUUGAGUGUGAUAUACAAGUCUGUUUCUUGGAUCCCCAAGAGACAGCCCCACCACCAAUUGUAAACACUCAACCUGUGGUAUAUAAAUUAUCUCACACACUCGAUAUCCAGCUUGCAUCUGAAUACCCUUCAAGUAUAGCAGGAAACUUUGAAUAUUGGAGGCUUAGUUCUUUGGUAUUCUUUAGGUAACCAAGAACUCUACCAAUAGCUUUCCAAUGUUCCACGCUUGGAUUGCUAAUAAACCUACUUAGUUUACUAACUGCAAAUGAAAUGUCAGCCCAAGUACACUGAGCAGCAUACAUAAGACUUCCAAUUGCACUUGCAUACUCAAGUAGAGCCACCAAUCUACCAUCAUUGUUUUCAAGUUUUAUACUUGAAUCAAAUGGAGUAUUAACAUCUUUAAUCUUGAGAUGACUAAAUUUGCUAACUACUUUCUCAAUAUAGUGGGUUUGGUUCAAAGCAUAACCCCCACUAUUUCUUUUCACUUUGAUACCCAAUAUAGUAUCAACUUCUCUAAGAUCUUUCAUCUUGAAGGUUGAGGAUAGAAACUUUUUCGUUUCUAUUAUUCCUUUCAUGUCAUCACUCAAGAUUAACAUAUCAUCCACAUAUAGACACACUAUGACUAUAUAGUCAUCACAAGUCUUAGAAUAUAAGCACUUGUCCACAUUGUUGUGUCUAAAUCCAUCCGAAAGAAUAGCAAGAUCAAAUUUUUCGUGCCAUUGUUUGGGAGCUUGUUUUAAACCAUAUAAUGAUUUGACAAGCUUACACACUUUGUUUUCAUUCCCCAGUAGAACAAAACCUUCCGGUUCUUCCAUGUAGACCUUCUCAUUGAGAUCCCCAUUCAAGAAUGCCGUUUUGACAUCCAUUUGAUGAACAAAUAGAUUAUGAAUUGAUGCCAAAGCAAACAAUGUCCUAAUCGAUGUUGUUCUAGCCACCGGCGCAUAGGUAUCAAAAUAAUCAAUACCUUCUCUUUGUUUAAACCCUUUAGCUACUAAUCUAGCCUUAAAGGUUUGAAUCAUGCCAUCGGUGUGAUAUUUCCUUCGAAAUACCCACUUGCACCCUAUUGGUUUAGAUCCUGGUGGAAGAUCUACCAAUUCCCAUGUUUGGUUGGACAUAAUUGAAUCCAUUUCAUCAUUGAUAGCCUCUUUCCAAAAAGCAACAUCUCUAGAAGCCAUAGCUUCUUUGUAUGUCUUGGGAUCCUCCUCUAUUUGAAGUACUAUAGAAAAUUUUCUUAUAAUAUCUUCUCUAUUUCCUUCUACUAAGUAAAAGGAAAUUCUUUGAGAGUCAAUCUCAUCCGAUCCCAACACUUUCUCUUUUCUAGCUCUUUGGCUUUUCUGAGGCACAAUGGGUUGUUCAACAACCUUUGAAGGUGUCUCCACUAGAGACUCUCCAACACUAGUAGGUACUUGAGAAUUGCUAUCAGUCAACAAAUUCUUAAAGAACUCUACCUCUCUUGAUUCAAUUAUCACAUUAGACUCCAAGUCUAAUAGCUUAUAAGCUUUGCUAUUUGAGGCAUAGCCUACAAAUGCACACUUAAUGGCUCUUGGACCCAAUUUUGUUUUAUUUGGAUCCGUUUUCUUGCAAUAAGCAAGACACCCCCACACUUUGAAGUAACCAAUAUUAGGCUUCCUUCCUUUCCAUAACUCAUAUGGAGAUAUCUCAUUUUUUUUCAUAGGAAUUCUAUUCAAAAUAUGGCAAGCAGUCAACAAAGCUUCACCCCACAAAUUGAAAUUCAAUUUAGCAUGCAAUAAAAUAGAAUUCACCAUUUCCAAGAAUGUUCUAUUCUUUCUCUCCACUAUGCCAUUGUGUUGAGGUGUAUGGGGUGCGGUGCACUCAUGUAUUAUGUCAUAUUCUUCACAAAAAGAAUUGAAUUCACUAGAGAAAUAUUCACCACCUCUAUCACUUCUAAGCACCUUAAUAAUUUUUUCUAGUUGAUUUUCAACUUCGGCUUUGUAAACUUUAAAGGCAUUGAAAGUUUCACUUUUGUUUUUCAACAAAAACACAUAGGUAAAUCUAGAACAAUCAUCUAUGAAUGUAAGAAAAUACCUAUUUCCACCUCUUGUUAACAUGCCAUUAAGUUCACAAAGAUCACUAUGUAUUAAAUCAAGAAAAUUAGAUGAUCUCUCAACACUAUGAAAAGGCUUUUUAAUCAUCUUUGAUUUAACACAUAUUUCACACUUUUCAAAUUUCUUGGUAUCAUAAGCAAUCAAACCACAUUUCACAAUCCUUUUAAUAGUGCUUAAACCAACAUGUGCAAGCCUAUUAUGCCACAAAAAUAAAGAAUUUGAAUCACACAUAUAAGCGGAAGUAGACGCCAUUUUAUUGAUAUUGUCAUUGGUACAAAGUUUGAUCAUCCCAUCACAAGAAUACCCCUUUCCCAUAAAGUUCCCCGAUUUGGAUAAAAUUAGCUUACCGGAUUCAAACAUCGCUUUGAUACCCGGUUUGCCAAGCAAAUCCCCACUAACCAAAUUUUUAUUCAUAUCGGGGACAUACAAUACAUUUAUAAGGGUAACCUUUUUGCUGAAGGUAAAAACAACUUCAAUAGUGCCCUUGCCAAGCACCUUGGAUCUUCCUUCAUUGCCCAUUUGAACCUCUUGAUCUCCCUUUGCAUCUUCAAAGGUCUUGAAAAGAGAUUUGUCAUAGGUAACAUGAACUGUGGCACAAGUAUCAUACCACCAUCCUUGCACCUUUCCUUGGACAACGCACACAUCGCUUAGUGUUGCAAUGAUCUCCUCAUCAAUUGCAUUCACCACAACACAUUUUAGGUCCUUUCGGUACCUACACUCCUUAGCAUAAUGCUCGGGUUUUCCACACACAAAACAAGGACCUUUCUUGCCCUUAAAUUGCUCUUGAUUUUUCUUGGGGCUCAUAUAAUUUCCGGACUUCCUUUUGUCAUUGUUAUUUUUACCUCUAGGAUGAUUGACCUUUGAAACCGCAUUGGCUUUGUUAGUCCCACCAUUGGACUCUUCCACCAUUUUGUCUCUUGAUCUCGAUUCUUCCUCAAUGCGAAGAUGUUUUUGAAUCUCUUCCAAGGAGUAAUCUUCACUCUUGUGGAGAAUCCUCUUCCGGUAACCUUUCCAACUUGAUGGUAAUUUAGCCACAAUAGCACCAACUUGGAAGGCCUCCGGAAGUUUAAUUUUGAGAACUUUCAACUUAUUCACAAUUACUUGCAACUCAUGAAUUUGUGGCAAGAGAGGCUUUUCAUCAAAAAAAUUUGAAAUCUAUGUAUUGAGAAAUAAGAAACUUUUUGGUACCUUCUUUCUCGGCUUUGUACUUGUUUUCAAGAGCCUCCCAAAUCUCCCUCGCGGAAUAGGUGUUGGUGUAGAGAUCAUAUAGCCUAUCGGAUAAGGAGUUCAAAAUAUGACCCCUACAUAUAAGCUCAUCAUCCUCCCUCUUCUUCCUUGCCGCCACCACUUGAGGUGUGUCAUUUUCCUUUGGUUCCGGUAAUGGUGCCAAGGUAGGAUCAAGGAUGUAGAAAAUCUUGAGUGCUGUGAGAAUGAAUCUCACCUUGUCUUGCCACCUAGUGAAGUUGGAACCAUCAAAACGAUCCAACCUCACAAGGUCUUGGUUCAUAAUCUUGAUAGUCUCUCCUUCCAUUGAAAAAUAGAGUCUUUGAUUGAUGUUAAAAAUUUGGAUACAAUGGAGAAAAGAAACACUCUAAAACACUCACUUUGAUACAAUAAAACUCUCAAAGAUACAAAAUAAGAACAAGAAGAAGAAGAACACAAGAAAUGCUCAAACAAGUUCUUGUAACUUUGUCCAAAGACUCUAUUUCUUCCUACCUCUAGAAAUCUUUAGGAAACUAAUGGAAAUAGUCUUGGGAUUGAUUAAGUCUUUUCACUUUUCUACAUAAGAUUUCAAAAAGAAGAAAAGUCAUAUAUAGCACUCUUAGGGUUGAAAAAUGGUUACAAGGAUGAGAAAAAACCCAUUGUCUUCCUCAAUCUCUUCAUCUUUGUAACAUUCAAAAAUUAAAUCAUAUGUUUAAUUCACACAUUAAACAUGAUUUAAUCUCAAAUGUGUAACUCUUUUACACAUAACCUCUUAAGUUUUAUAAAGUUACAAAGAUGAGAAGACUCGUUGUCUUCCUUAACCUUUCAAGUUUUGUAACAUUUUAAAACUUAAUCAUGUGUUUAUUCACACAUUAAAAGUGUAACCCUUCUUACACUUUAUUUUCAAAAGUUAUUUUUCAAAAGUAUAACUUUUCUUACACUUUAUUUUUAACCAACAAUAUAUAUACAUUUAUAUAAAUAUAACAAAAUCUGGAGAGAAAGAAACAGAAAGCAGUUGGGGAAAAAAAAAAAAAAAGAGGAAACCAGCAGAGGGGGAUCGGUUUCAGAAAAAAGAAGGCAACGGGCUUCAAACAAGGCUUGGGGUUCCUUUUUUUUGGAGAAAAGCGGGAGGAGAAAAGGAGCGCCUUCAGGUAUGGAUUAUUUUUUUUAAUCUCCUCAUUAUCCUGUCCUUUGCUAUUUUUGGAGAGAUUGAAAAAGAGUGAGCUAGGUAGAAAAGCAAAGUGGUAGGAAACUGGUUUGUGAAGAGAAAAACAGAGCCAGAACGGGAGUGUGAAAAAUAACAAUAAUAAUAAUAACUCUUUUUCUUCAAGAUUUGGGAAGGAAUUAAGGGCCCAAUUCCGUCUGCCAUUUAUUUCCCUAUGCCAUCAUGCACUGAAGGCUCUCAAAGCCUUUUUUUUUUUUAUUAUUUAUUUCUUGCAUGGGAAUCAUUACCUGGGCAGUGAAGACUUUUUUUAGUGGGCCAUCCUUGAAAUAUAAUGCCAAUUUUCCUUUGGGAGAAUUAUGUUUUAAGGGUAGAUGGGCCCCCAAAUUAAUAAAAAGUUCAUGUAACUCUUCAAAUUGAGCCCAAGACCCAAUGAAAGUAUGGAAAUUGAGUUGAAGGAUAUCAUCCUUUAGUAUUUCCAAAAAUGCCCUUUGUUGAUUUUGAGAAAAAAAUUAAUAUUUUUGAAAAAUACUUUUAUUUAAUUUAAUAUUUUUUUAAAAUGCUUUUAUGUAAUUUAAUAUUUUUAAAAAUACUUUUAUUUAAUUUAAUAUUUUUUAAAAAUAAAUUUAUUUAAUUUAAUAUUUUUUAAAUACUUUAAUUUAAUUUAAUAUUUUUGAAAAAAAAAUAAUUUAAUAUUUUUGGAAAAAAAAUAAUUUAAUAUUUUUGAAAAAAAAAAUUAUUUAAUUUAAUAUUUUUGAUAACUGCUUUUAUUUAAUUUAAUAUUUUUGAAAAAAAAAUUAUUGAAAAAAAUUAUUUAACUUAAUUUUAUAAAAUAUUUUAUAUGUGUUCUUAAAGGGUAUAUUUGUCCGUUACUAUUUCAUAUCCUUCAACUCAAUUUGAAAAGUUAUAUGGACCUUUUGUUAAUUUGGGGGCCCAUCUACCCCCAAAAGAUAAUUCUCCCUUUUCCUUUUGACCUCACACGUUUCCACAAAUUGGUUCCCUAAAAUAACUAACAAAAUUUUGGAUUUUCAAUUAUUUCAAUCUUCAAAUUAAUUUUUUUUUUUUUUAAAUUCUAAGGUCCAAAAUUAUUUCUUAAAAAAAAAUUCAUUCUCAAAUAAUUUUCAAAAUCCCGAUUUCUUUCAAAUUUAAUUUCUAAAACUCAAAAUUUUAAAUUUAAUUUUCAGAAUUUCAAUUCUCACAUAAUUUUUAAAGAAUUCCAAUUUCUUUCAAAUUUAAUUUUCAAAACUCCAAUUCUUAAAUUUAAUUUUCAAAAUUCUAAUUCUCAUAAUUUUCAAAAUUCAAAUUUCUUUCAAAUUUAAUUUCUAAAAUUCCAAUUCUUAAAUUUAAUUUUCAAAACUCCAAUUUUCAAAUACUUUUCGAGACUUCAAUUUUCAAAUUUAUGUUUUUUUAAAAUAAUUUUCAUUUUACUCCAAUUUUUAAAUACUUUUUAAUUCUACGACUUUUCAUCCUUCAUUAAGGUUUUAAGUCAUUAAAAAUCUCGUUUUAAAUAAACUUGCUACCUUUCCCUUCAGGUAAACACUUUCACAAAUUUUCUUUGAUUUUAAAAUGAUUUUCACACUUUCCAUGAUUUUUAAUAAGCAAGAAUUAAACUUUGUAAUUCCAAUUAAUGGAAUUUAUGAAAUUAAUUCAUGCAAAAAUAAAUCAGGCUUUGGUGGGAGCCUACAUACGUGAUUUUAUGACUGUUUGAUUGAUUUGAUGUGACUGAUUUACACUAUUCAAUGAUACACACACGAUUAUUCUGUGUUUAAUUGCUAACACUUGUUUCCCUUGAAAUAAACCGGUUCAUCACUCAGGUACAUAAUUUGUUUUUCCUGUUCAUUAAGUUAUUUCGUUUUGGGUGAUAUUCAUUUGAUAUCCAUACUCGAUUAAUCAAUUGCCAUGAUUACUUCAUUUUAUUAGUAGAAACUCGUUUUAGGGGCUUCAAGGGGUGCUACGGUAUUUACCGUACCUUCCCGAUAAGUAACCUGACCCCCGAAUUUGAUCUGGUUUUUCACAGACCACCUUUUCCAAAAUAAAGAGUCACACUUAGGGUUUUUCUUUCUUAUUUUGUUUACCCUUUGAAAAUAAAACAAAAAUAAGUGGCGACUCUAAGUCAUUUUACAAUAAAUCAAUUUUUUAAAAUAAAAAUCGAGCUCGUCAUCGAGUGGAAGCGCAUGAGCCAAAAUGCGGGGUCCACAAUAAUUCAUAAAUAAAAAAUAUUAUAAAUAUUUAUAAUUUAUUUUUGUAAAAAAAAUAUUUUAUUUAUAUUUAAAAAAUGAAAACAAUCAAUUAAAAUUAAUAAUUUUUUUUUACACUAAACUACUCCUAAUUUGUUCUAAAAUUUUAAAAACUUCUCAAGCAUAUCUUAAACUUGUUUAUAUUUAUUUCAAGUCAUUUUCAUCUCUAAAUGGGAUAAAUAUUAAAAAAUUCUGUUUUAUUGUCAUCUCUAAUUAUACAUGGUUUAUAUCAUUGAAUACAUUUGUAGAGGGGAGAAUUUUUAAAUUAUUUUCAAUUUUAUAGCUUUUUUUAAAAAAUAGUUUCAAUUAAAAUUGUUUUAAAAAAUUUUAAAUUAUCUUUUAAAAAAUUAAUUUUCAUAUUUAAAUUGAAAUUAUCUCUUCAAAAAAUAACUUCCAUUAAUGUUAUAAAAAGUAUUUUAAAUUUGAAAAUAAUUUUAAAAAUAUUAUAUUUUAAUUUAUAUAUAUAUAUAUAUGUAAAAAAUCAUGGGUGAAGUGAAGAUUUUGAUAGAGGUAAAUGAGUGUGAAUUGGAGUGGUGGUGCAAGUAAGAAAAAGAAUUUGGGGUCAAAAUGGCCCUUUUAUUACAAAAAUUGUAACAACAUCUAGGCACUUUGUUGAAACUUAUGUUCAAAAUGACCUCUUUAGUGCCAUGUAGGAGCUAUGUCAUUAAAAAAUAUUUUUUUUCAUUAUUUUAAUUGAAGCCGUAGUUGGCAAAUGCAGCUUCAUUUUUGAAUUGAAGCCGCAUUUGCCAACUGCGGCUUCAUUUUUUAACCAAAGCCGCAUUUGCCAAUUGCGGCUUUAGUUUAAAAUUAAAGUCGCAUUUGUCAAUUGCGACUUCAAUUUAAAAAUGAAGCCUCAUUUGCCAACUACGGUUUCAAUUCAAAAAUGAAGCCUCAUUUGCUAACUACGACUUUAGUUAAUUUUUUUUUAAAAUUUAAAAUUUAAUUAAAAAUUAUUAAAUUAUAAAUUGAAAUUUAAAAAAUAUACUUAAAUAAUAAAUUAUUUAUAUUUAAACUUAAAAAUCAACUAUUACUUUCAAUAAACAUAAAUUGAUAAAUAGAAGAUAUUAUAAAUAAAUAUUUUUAUUUAUUAAUAAAUUAAUAAAUUAAAAAAAUAAUGAAGUGCUAAUAUUUUAUAACUUAAAAUUAAUUUGAUUAGAUAAAUUGUUAAUAAUUUUAAUUAUUUAAAGAAAUUGUGGCUCAACCCCCAAUUAGUUUGUUAUGGGUUUCUAAAUGAAAUUGUGGUUCAUCCAUGUUCACAUGGGGGUCCUAGAAACACUAGGAUCGAAUGUACCAAAUUUAACAUAUACAUAAUUUUAUUUAAGAUAUUAAUUUAUUUGUAUUAUGAAAAAUUUAUCUUUAUCAUAAAAGUAGUAUACUCUUAAGCCAUAGUCAUCAUACAUAGAUUUUUUGACAAAAUUAGUUAAUGAAAUUAAUUACAAAAAGUCUACUACAAAAUGUAAUUUUUAAUAGUUUAAUCAAAGUCGCAUAAAAUAUCCAGUAAACAUUAAUAUAGUGGAAAAUAAAAAACAUAUAUAAUCUCACAUGCCUCCACAAGGAGAGAACCUAUGUCUAACUGGUACUUUCUUCCUUUUUGAACGGUCCUCUAUAACUGUAGCAGGUACUACAUGUGACACAUGAAGAACAUUUGUCUGUGAUGGGAUUGGAGCUGGAAAUAGAGGUGGUGGUGGAGGUAGCAAUCUAGGUCGACGUAAGCCCCGCCUAUCCCUCGGAAUGGCUGGCGGCAAAUCUAGCUUGGUAGAUGUGUCAAUCUACAUUGAUGAUGGGUCUGAAGAGGUAGGAGGUUGUAAUGGAGGUAGGUCUAAAGAGGUAGGGGGUUGUAUUGAUGGUGGGUCUGAAGAGGUAAGGGGUUAGGCUGAUGGUGGGUCUGAAGAGGUAAGGGGUUGGGCUGAUGGUGGGCCUGAAGAAGUAGGAGUCUGAACUGAAGAUAAGUCUAAAGAAAUAGGAGGUUGUACUGAGGGUGGGUCUAAAGAGGUAGAGGUUUGCACUGAUGGUAGGUCUAAAUAAGUAGGGUGCUGCACUGAUGGUGGUUGAGCAACUGUCGACUGAGCUAGUGACCUACCUCCUCCAUGCUCUACAUGUGGGAUACGAUAAUCCUCCCGAAUAAUGCACAUAACAUCAGUGGCCCUAUGAAUAAUAUCAACAAUACCAGUGCGGCAAGCAUCACUAUCAGAGUCCUCCAAUGCAUGACCUCCUCGAGAUAUGAUAAAUGUCAUAGUCUCAAUCUGUCACAUAAAAUGUUAUAUAAUUAUUUGUUGGAAUAAAUAUUAUAAAGAAUAUGUACAUAAUAUUAAAGUGAUACAAACCAAUAAGUGGGCAAAUAAGGCAGUAGCCGAUACCGCAUAGGUUCAAAAUCAUCCAUAGGUGUAAUAAAAUGACGUAUAAUAGGAUGAUACCAUGUCAUGUACGGAGCAUGGUAGUCCAUAUGAGGCUCUAUAGCCUCCGCGGUGACAAUGUGGUCCCCUCUAGCCUCCCAAAAUGCCACGUAGUGGUCAUAAUACAACCUCCAAUCAAAUUGAGCUCGACCACGUCGAUCUAUGGAGUGAAGGUCAAAAUCUAUAAGGGGUGUCGAAGGAAUACCUUGUAUGAGUCCAAACUAUUGCAACACACGCUCAGGACGAUGCCACUUAACAAUAUAAAAAAAAAAAAAAGUGGUGACAUCGUUCGCCAAAUAUCCUGAUCAGCUAAACAAAUGUCUGAAAGCAACGCUAGUAUAUCAUCUGUGUAAGGCUGCCAUAAUACCUGACAUAUUCAAAUCUUAGUAUGUAUUUAAUAAAUUUUAAAUUAUAUUAUUAAUAUUAAUAAUCUUGUUAAAGAAUACUAAUAUUUAACCCAAACUUGAUCAGAUCGCUGUUGAUUAAACUCAUCUCUGUAUGUGACCAACACAUGAUGAGGAGUGUCUGCAUGAGAUAAGGAAACUCUCCACCUACUCCCUAGUGCAUCUUGCGGGAAUCUGUCAUUUAUAGGCACUGGUGCAUGGGCAAGUGAUCUACUAGGACGAUCAACAUGUAAUCGCUCCCAUGACCAUAGCUAAAAUUGAAAUAAAAUUAUGUUUAAAUGCACAUAAUUAUGACAAAAUUACAUAAUUAAUAAGACUUGUAGUUAUACUUGCAACAACUCUAAUGGUCUUGCAAUAGUUUCUGCAUUAUCUAAGCUAGCUCGACAUAACUCUUGAUAAAGAUGUGCUAGUGUAGCACUCCCCCAACUAUAUUGCGCAGUCUCACCAAAAUCUCUUAACAUGGGUAGAAUUGCUAAUUGGAUGUAAACCCCCUUCUUAUCUGGAAAUAGUGAACCACCAACUAACAAUAAAAGAUAGACUCUAGCAUGACGAUGUAACAUGACCUCAUCUACAACCCCUGGUGGUAAAUGGGAGAAAUGGGUAGUAAUAAAACGAACUGUAAGGGAUGCUCCACGAAUAUCAGUCUCUAUCGGUCGAACACCCAAUAACUCCUCACAAAGUGCAUGCCAAUCAAUAUCUGUAGAACCGGUGAAAGGAUAACCAUGUACACGCAAUCCAAAUAAGAUGGCUACGUCCUGCAAUGUGAUGGUCAUUUCACCACCUGGCAUGUGGAAUGUGUGCGUCUUUGGGCGCCAUCUCUCUACCAGUGCAGUAAUCAAAGGCCAAUCAACCUUAACAUGGCCCACUCAAUGAAAGACAUAAAAUCCUGACUGUAUAACGUAUGACCGAACACGAUCAUCCAAAAUCCACUCUCAACGAAACCCUUGUCGGUAACGCAAAACACUACCCAUAUCUGGAUCAACACGAAUGGUGGAUGAUCGAUGUCGAUGUUGAAGAGUAAGCACAGAUGUAUCCUCAAGGUCAGGACGAGCAGGAAACAACGGAGUAUCCAUGUCUGCAUUUACAUCAAUACAUGAUAUAAACAAAAUAUGAAUGAAUUGACAAGAAACAACAAUAUCUAACAACAUGAAUUUCAUGAUUAAAAUUGUAAAAAUAUGACCAGUAUUUUCCCUAAACAGUAGAGAUUCAAAAUUUUUCAAUGUAACCUGAUAUAAACAAAAUAUGAAUGAAUUGACCAAAAACAACAAUUUCCAACAACAUUAAUUUCAUUAUUAAAAUUUUAAAUAUUUGAACAGCAUCUCCCCUAAAUAAUAGAGAUUAAUAUUUUUUUUCAUGUAACCUUAUAUAAGGAAAAUAAGAAUGAAUUGACAAAAAAUAACAAUUUCAAACAAACAAACAUCAAUAAGAUGUUCAAUAAAAUAGUUUUUACAAAUAUCUUAAAACGAUUAAGGUCAAUACUAGUAAAUUAAAAAAAUAAAGUACAAUAAGAUGUUCAUGAAGUUCAUAAACUCCUCCUAUCAUUGGUUUCUCUAUUAGGACAAGAACGUCGAUUGUGACCUGAUUGCUUGCAAAGUCCACAUGUUUAUGGAGUUCUAGCUUCCCUUGCAUCCAUCUCAUUAUGCAAACGACUUGAUUUUGGUCGACCAGAAGUUAGCCAUUUCAUUGAGUCCGAAGGCACAAUUAUCGGCCCAUUAUAUUGAGGUCACUCCAACUCAUCAAAUAUGGGAUAAAACAAGGGAGCCCAUGUUGAUAGGUAAGCACAUGUGGUGUAAUAACCUUGUACAAAUUGUCGAAAAUCAAUUGCUCAACAAUGACAAGCAGCAAGAAUGUGCAAACAUGGGAAUCCCAACAAAAGUGUUUUGUUAAAUGUGCAAGACCCUGUUUGAAGGGUAACAUGAUAUGUGCGAGGUUUCCUAUUACUGCUUCCAACAAAGUGUCUAGUUUAACAUGAAAACGUCCCGCCACAUGAUCAUACAAAAGAACCUCAUGUGAACCCGUCUUAACAACUUUAGCUUUUAUCUUGGCAUCAAUAUGUGGAGUGAAUUCUUCACCUAAAGCGAGCCGACUUGCACCAUGCUCCCGCCUGACUGUGAAGUAACUGUUCACCCGAUAGAAAGUUAAUUGGACUAAAGCUGUUAUUGGUAAGGUACAAGCACCCUUAAGGACACAAUUAAAAACUUUAGACAUGUUAGUUAUCAUAAUCCCAUAUCUCUGCCCACCAUCAUGUGAGAGUGCCCAUUUUCCAAGAGGAAUUUGCUCCAACCAAUUUCUAGCAUCGGCAUUUAUCCGACCAAUUGUAUCCAUGUGAGAAAUAAAUUUUUUAACUUUACUCUCCAUAGCAGCCCUACACAUGAGAUCCUUUAAAGUCUUAUCUUUGAACUUGUGUUGAAGUUACUCGCUAAAUGACGCAUGCAAAAUCUAUGAUAAGCAUCUGGCUCAGUCCAUCCCGAAUAUGUGUCAUUGACAACAACUAUAAUGUCAGGAUGACGAUUAGAGAUCAGACACAAGCCUUUCCUUUGUCUCACUCCAACUCUGAUACAUGCCAAAAACCAACUCCAACUAUCUGUAUUCUCUCAUUCUAUAAUGGCAAAUGCAAGUGGAAACAAUUGGUUAUUACCAUCACAUCCUAUAGCAAUCAACAAAGUCCUUUUAUAUUUUCCAUACAAAUGUGUCCCAUCAAUACUAAGAAUUGGUCGACAGUGAGUAAACCCUUGAAUAGAUGGAGUGAAUGCCCAAAAAACACGUUGGAAAAUUUCUUCAUUUGGGUUUUUUCCAGGAACCAUUUUGGAAUACAUUAUACAUCCAGGAUUUGACUACUCCAAAGCAAGAAAGAAGCAAGACAACUCUGCAUAAGACUUGUACCAAUCACCAAAUAAUCACGUCAUUGCUUUCCUUUUUGCCUUCAUUGCUUUUUGAUAAGAAAUUUGAUAACCAAAUUGUUCGGCAACAACAACUUGAAUUGCAGCAACUGUAAUGGUCAUUUUUGCUUUCACCAAUGUUUCAAUAUACUCGGAUAUAAAGCUAGAAUCCAAUUGAGAAUGAUCUUGAUUUAUACAUGGAUCGACACAUGUAUGAGGACCUUCGUAAUUUGUGAUUCUAAACAUACUUGUAUUUUUCACUAUCAUUGCCCUUAGUCGCCAUUGACACUCUGGUGCUUUUUUACAUUUAAGAACUAACACAUUUGCAUUUGAUCUAUAAACAGUAAACUCUUGGUGCGACUUUAUGGAAAACAUCUUCACAGCAUGUUGCAAAUCUGAUUUUGAGGAAAAUAUUUGGUCAUUUGAUAACUCCCCAUCAACAUUUCCUAAAGUUGGGUUUUUCCAUGGAGUCUAAUCACUUACAACACAAUUAAUUGCCUCAUCCAUAUUUAAAAAUUGUUGUCUAGGUGGCAUAUGGUAUGAAACGGGUGCAACUAGUGAUGUGUUUUCAACCUCAAACUCAACCUCGGGAUUAUUAGACCUAUCACCAACUUCAAGGUUCACAUAUCUUGUGCUUUCACAUUCCACAACUUGUUGGACCAUCACCAAAUCAAUAUUUUCUCUUUCACAACAAUUUUCAUCAUCAUUAGGUAAAUUAAUCUCAUUUGUAUUUAUUGCAUCAUCUCUGUCAUCUUCCUCAUCUCUUUCAUUUUCGUCAUCAACAUCAGUAUCACCUGCCGACAACCAUGUCACAUGGCCCAUUUCAUUACUCAAAUGAUAGUGAUUGGGAGUUAGCUCGAUGAAUAAUUGAACUGAAGACAUUUCAUACUUUGAUGGCACCGCUAACAUACGUGCAACUGUCCGAUCAUUCCUGACCACUAAUGGUUGAAAUUUGUUAAUUUCAGUUGGAUGUCGAAAUUUCAAGACUAACUGAUACUGUCUGUCAACACCAAUGAUAUCAUAUAUCAUGUUCAACAACACCGCAAAGGUCGUAUCAAUGGGCACAUCUAUAGGCUCAAUCUCUACAUUAUUUCCAAUAUAUCUCAAAUCUGUUUCUGUCCUUAAAAUUGUUCCAUUCCAAUAACAUAACACUUCUACCGUGGAAUCAGUCAUAAUUGUCUUCAUAUAGAUAAUAACAAAUGGUUAUUAUAUAAAAAAUAAUAUUUAUUAAAAAAAAAUAAUACUUUACGGUCAAUGAUUCAUAAAAUACAAUAAUAAACCAAAUAAAUAUUGGAAUGUAACAAAGCUUCAUGUCUAAAUACCAAGUUCAACUCAAAUUAAAGUAAUUUAUAAGCAAAUAAGUAUAUAAGUAAAUAGUAAGAUGAUAUUAUGAAUUAAUAUGAUAAUAUCAAUAAAAAAAUCAUGAGUAUGUCUUUAAGAAUAAAUUUAUGUUUGAGAAUUGAAAUGAAAUUAAUAUUUUUAUAUUAAAAAUUAAAUUUUAAAAUAAAUAUAUGUUAAAUAUGUUAAUUUUUUUACAAUUAAAAAUUAUAUGUUAAAUAUAUUUUUAAAAAUAAAUAUAUGUUAAAUAUGUUUUUUUUUUAAAAAAAAAAAAUUAAAGCAUCUUGUAAAAAAAAUAAUUUCAAUAUCUCAUAAUGAUAAAAAUGCUUUCUUGGCAUUUUUUUUUAUAUUCCCUGGCAUCACACCCUACUUGAACAUCUAGACGUGUCCAAGGGCCUCACCAUUUGUAUGAUUAAAAUAUUAUUUAUUUUAAUAAUAUUUUUAUUAAAAGUAUGGGUAAUUUUGAUAUCUUUAAAAAUUAUAAUUAAAAAAAAUUAAAUUUUUGGAUAUAACCAAAUACAAAAGUCUUUUUAAAGAGAAAGUGUCUAUACUUUAAGAAUCUGUUUUUUUUUUUUUUAAGUGUUUACUCAUAAUUGAGAAGUUUUCUAAACAUGAAUUAUAAAAUAUAAGUAAUUAUUUUAUUAUCUUAUCAUAUCUUUUUUUAAUAAAUGUUUGUAUUUUCAAAAUAUAGAUAAAUUACAUUGAAAGGUAUAAGAUUUAUAUUUAAGAGUUUUAUUUAAAUAUCUUUAAAAAUUAUGUUUCUCUUUUUAACAUUCUAGAAACUUUUAUUAUCGAGAUUCAUUAACAAACACUAUCUAAUGUCAUCAAUCACCUCUAACAUAACAACAAAUAUUAUCUAAAGUCACUAAUCGCCUUUAACAUAUUGUUACUAUCAUCAAUUAUUAAGUAUUUACUUUGAUUUUUCCAAUCGAUAUAAAAAACAAACAAUAAAACAACUAUUCCAAUUCCAAAGUUUCAAAUUUCAAACCAACUAACUACCCUUUUUUGAAAUCUAAUAAUAUUGGCCUUUUUUGUACACACCCAAACCAUCAUAAUUGAAUCUCCUCCAAUUUAUUGCCUAUUGGAGCUAAUCAUAGAUUUUAGUAAUAGCAAGAAAUCCACCCUAGUCCACAAGCUAAGGAAUAAUUUUUAGAAUAUACAGAUUUUGAAUAGUGAACUCUAGUACCUCCUAACCACACAAUCAACCAUAGAUUAGGAUUCCCACAAAAUCAAAUGUGUAAUGAGAAAAAAAAAAAUCAACCAAUACGAGAACUACCUAAGAUGAAGAUACAAAUAUUCUGAAAUUUAGGUUGAGGAUAAGAAAUAAUACAAAGAAAGUGAAGCAAUGACGUGGAUGAAUUGACAAUACCUGCUAAAGAAAGGAAUUAAAUGAAAUCCUAAAUUACUCUAUAAAGUGCAUUUAUGUAAUUUUGCAGAUUUGACGUUUUUUAAUGUUAUUAGUCAAAAAUUGGUACUUGAACUGUAUUCAUAAUUUGAAAAGUUUUUUUAUUGAAAAUUUCUUCUUAAAAGAAGUGUCAAUAUUUCUAAACUUUCUAUUUUAUAAAUUAAUCUCUUUUCUCUUAAGUUUCUAGUUUGAGUCUUCAGAAUUUUGAAGUCUUUGUUAUUAGAAAUUUUAUUCGAAGGUGUUUCUAUAAAGUAGGAUGUUAAUUCUAAAAAGGGAGUUUUUGUUUUUGUUUUUUUAUUUUUUUUUUAUUUUUCAAAGAUUUAGGAGUUCUCAAAAAUGAACAAUAGUCCUAACAAGUUGCUACAUAGGUUAGGUUUGCUUUCCAUAAUUUUUUUUAGUUUUAAGGGUUCUAAAACUUCAUAAAUAAGGCUAAUGGAUGUAAAAGGGGAUGAUGAUUGAUGAUCCAAAGAUUUUUAUUUUUAUUUUUUUAUGGGUGCAACUUUUGCAAUUUUCAUGGUAGGACUUAAUUAUUUUACUUCUAAGUGAGACUCCUAGGGCCUAUGUAAGUUUGUAAGAUUGCUUCUUUAUUAUUUUUUUUUCCUAUUUUUUAUUUUAUUUUUUCCCUACUAUUAUAAUUUUAUCUUUCUUCUCCUUAAAUCUCAAAAGAUUGAAGUCCUAGUCCGCCUAUUUGAUUAUAGAAAACCAUCCUAAUGUUGUCAAAUAUCAAGCAAUCAAUUACACACAAAAUGUAAUCACAGCAUUCAAAAGAUCACCAACCAAAUCACAAAUGAAAUUUAAUGUCAAUGAAAGUACGUAUUUUCAUCUUUUGAAUGGCUCAUAAUGAUCAUGAUGAUACAAUAAGUUUCUUGAUGAACUUAACACUGUCGAAGAGUUCUAAGCAGGAUGAAAAAUAAAUAAAAAGUGAAACCAUGACUAGUUAGCAACUUAGCUUACCUCAAGUGAAUCAAGAUGUUCCAAGGUUUCAAUAGUUAUAUUUGCAAGAAUGACAGAUGAAGCUUUUGUGAACAGUCUUUGCAUGUGAAAGGCAAUUGAAUCUGGCCAAAUAGACAACAAGAAUAAAAGAAAAUUAUAUAAGUCCAUGUUGUUCAAGAAGAUGGUUGGUGUGUGCAUUACUAAAACACAAUUGGAUAUUUACUGACUCAUGUUUGUGAACUUAAAUGCUCCUUAAUAUCAAUUCAAUAUUAGAUUUAACAGUAAAAGUAUCUUCCCUGGACAACAGAAUUUAAGAAUAAAGUACUUGGCUAAUCCCAAAUAGGUGUAUUAUGUUAACAGGGAAGAAGAAUCAGAGCACCUAAUUCAUAUGAUAAAAACUUUUGUAAAGAUAUAGGAUUUAGUUAGUAAAUUGAUCUUCAUUUGAGGAAUUACUAUGAAUUUCUAUACGACGUAGCCCAAAAGGUCAUAUAAGGAAUGAUUACAGGGAGAGAGAGAGAGAGAGAGAGAGAGAGAGAAAAAGCUGGUCGUACUUCCUAAAAGUUUGAAGCAAAGGUUGCCUCUUACCAAAGUGUUCUGGUUAUUGUUUUUGGUGUUUAAAUUUAAUUGCAUUUUCUUUUGAAUUAGUCAAACCAUUCAUAUAAAAGUUAGCAAAGGGAUUCAUGCAAUUGGGCUUCAAACUAGUAACUUUUUACUUUUUCCUAUUUGCCCCUUUCAAUAUUAGCAUUAGUACUAUCAAUAUGAACAACAAUUACUGAAUUAGUUCAACAUCAGUAAUAUUAUUUGUGAGGAAGAAAUAAAUAAAAGUUGCAAACCAAUAUAACUAACUAGCAUCAUAUGCAGCAUCAUAGUAACCCCUUCCAAUCUUGAAAAUCACGGAUUUGUCAUUUUUCCCCAGAAAAUAUCAUUUUCCCCACAAAAUAUUUAUUUCCCUAGAAAUUAUUCAUUUCCCGAGAAAUUAUUAAUUUCCCCAUAAAAUUACAUUUUUCCCAGAAAAUUAUAUUUUUCCCAGAAAAUUAUAUUUUUCCCAGAAAAUUAUAUUUUCCUCAAAAAAUUUUAUUUUUCCCAGAAAAUUUCAUUUUUCCCAUAAACUUCAACAAAUGUUUGCAUCUUAAAAGGCUUUAAUCUUUGGAUCAUAACAAACCAUUUUUGCUAAAAUAGCCGUGAAGAAAAUAAUAGAGAAAACCAAAAGCAAUGGAAACAAAAAUAUUUUUCUAAAAACCAAGAUUCCGGUAUGGGAAAAAAAAUGGGAAAGUGCCAAAAACUUUACAUAAAAUAAGUCAAAUAAAAUAUUGGGACUAACCUUAAGGUUGAUGUAGCUCCAACAAUGCUCUCUCAAUGGCCCACUGGUGGGGCUAGGGUUUUGAGGGAAAAAAAAAAUCAAAGAACACCACGGGCGGGAAGAUAACUUGGUAAAGUAAAACAAAUGGUGUAAAAAAAUGGGUUUUAUGGCUUAUGUGGAUCAAAGGGGCUAUUUUGAACAAUAGUUAUAGAGAUAGCCCAGUUUUAAUAUUAAGUUUGGCCCGUGGCCCAUUUUGGCCCAAAAGUCUAUGAAAAGCCUAUGUCACAUGCAUUAGUACAUUGGAAAAGCAAUCACAAAGAUCUCAACAAAGCAACAAAGUUGGAAAGGUAGAAGCAAGGUAGAAGCACGAGCAUGUUCAACUUGUUUGCAUUUAAGCAGUUUAAAGAAUUAAGUGGUAUUUGUUUUUUUUUAUUGAAUAAAAAGACUUAAAAUAUUUUAUUUUUUUAUAUUAAAAUAAAAAUAACUUAUUAAUAUCCAUUAAUAUAAUUAAAGUGAACUUGUUAUUGAUAAAUUCACUUUAAUUAUGUUGGUUGAUAUUAACAUAUUAUUUUUAAUUGAAUAUAAAAAAUAAAAUAUUUUGAUUUUUUUAUUCAACAAAAAAAAUAAACAUCAUCUUAUAUUUUAUGAAAACGAAUUUUUUUAAUUGAAGAAAUAUGAUAAUUAUAUUUUUGAAAAUGGAUCUUUCAAAUUGAACAAGUAUGAGAGGUUCAAUAUUUUGUCAGAAUUAAAAAUAUCAGUGGAUUUUCAUCCUUGGUUGUCUUAAGGGAUUAAUUUAAAUAUAUAAAAUAACCUUGAAAUUAGUCAUGUAUUUAAUAAGAAGUCCAUCAGCAAGCCUCUGUACUCAGCCAUGGAUUGCAGCGCUGGGAUUACCCCUAUCCAAUCUCACAAACUUCUCUCAUUUCAUCUCUGCUUCAUGAUUUCCUUUUUUUUCUUCCUAAUAUUGCCUUAUGCAACCUCACUGUCUUUCAACUUCACCACCUUUAAUAUAAAUUGAAGAAUUUGAAGAAAAAUAUGAAGAAUUUGAAGACAAACUAUGGAGGAACACCUCAAUUCAUUCUGUGAUACCUUCCUUUACAAUGAAUGAAAGCAUAAAUAAAUAGCCUACAGAUAUGAGACAAUUCCGGAAUGGAAUUUCCCUUACAUGGAAAGUGAAUAAAUUCUUACAUGGGAAGUGAAUAAACUACUCUUACAUGGAAAGUGAAUAAACUACCUUGCUAGAAUUACUCCUAAGAAUAAACUCUUACAUGGGAAGUGAAUAAACUACCUUGCUAGAAUUACUCCUAAAUCAAUUAUAAUAAAGGCUGUACAUUACACUAAUUAGGGAAGUAAACAAAGGAUGCUGGCUUGAUUUCCAACACUCCCCCUCAAGCCGCGUUGUAGAUGUUGAUCAUUCCAAGUUUUUCUGUCAAAUCUUCGAAGUUAACUCGAGCAAGAGCUUUUGUGAGAAUGUCAGUCGUUUGACAGUUUGUCGGAGUGUAGCUGACUUUGAAAACUCCUUCUUCAAUCUUUUCCUUGAUAAAGUGUCGAUCUAUCUCCACGUGCUUAGUUCGAUCAUGAUGAACCGGAUUCUUAGCGAUACUGAUGGCAGCUUGAUUGUCGCAGUAUAACACCAUGGGAUGCUUUAAUGGAACCCGUAAUUCUUCUAACAGCCUGUUCAACCAGAUUCCCUCGCAGAUACCUUGUGUCAUAGCACGAAAUUCUGCCUCAGCACUGCUACGGGCUACCAUUGACUGUUUCUUGCUUCGCCAUGUAACCAAGUUCCCCCAGACAAAUGAACAAUAGCCUGAAGUUGAUCUCCGAUCAGUCAAUGAACCUGCCCAAUCUGCAUUUGAAAAAAUCUCAAUCUCUUUCUUUGUUGUUCUUUGAAAGAAGAGACCAUUUCCCGGUGUCAUCUUGAGGUAUCUCAAUAUUCUGAUCACAACAGUCAUGUGGUUUUCGGUUGGAUUAUUCAUGAAUUGACUUACCACACUAACGAAGAAGCCGAUGUCUGGCCUUGUAUGAGAAAGAUAGAUGAGUUUCCCCACAAGACGUUGAUAUCUUCCUUUAUCAACUGGCACACUUCCAUCACUUUCUUCCAGUUUGACAGUUGUAUCCAUAGGUGUUUCUGUCGGCUUGCAUCCUAGCAUUCCUGUUUCAUUCAAUAAGUCCAGAACGUAUUUGCGUUGUGAGACUGCUAUACCUUUCUUUGACCUAGCAAUCUCCAUUCCGAGAAAGUACUUGAGGUUUCCAAGAUCCUUGAUCUCAAAUUCCUUUGUCAGUAAUUUUUUAAGUAAGUCAAUUUUCUCUUCAUGAUCACCUGUCAAAAUUAUGUCGUCCACAUAUACAAUGAUAAUUGUCAGUUUCCCUUCUGGGAAGUGUUUCACAAAUAAUGUGUGAUCGGAUUGACAUUGAACAAAUCUGUACCCUUUCACUACCUUAGUGAACCGUUCAAACCAGGCCCUGGGAGAUUGUUUGAGACCAUACAAGGAUUUUCGAAGUCUGUAAACCUUGUUGAAAUUUGUUGUCGUCUCAAGUCCAGCAGGAAUGUCCAUGUAAACUUCUUCCUCUAAGUCACCAUUGAGGAAGGCAUUCUUCACAUCAAGUUGGUGAAGCGACCAAUCGAGAUUAGCUGCCAAGGAUAAAAGUACACGAACAGUAUUGAGCUUGGCAACUGGAGCAAAAGUUUCUUGAUAGUCAAUGCCAUAGGAUUGGGUGAAUCCUUUGGCGACCAACCGAGCCUUAUACCUGUCCACAUUACCAUCUGCCUUGUACUUUACUGUGAAAAUCCACUUACACCCAACUGGUUUCUUACCUCUUGGGAGGUCAGUAAUUUCCCACGUACCAUUCUUUUCCAGUGCCCGAACUUCCUCAUCGACUGCCGCCUUCCACUUAGGAUACUUGAAAGCUUCCUGAAUAUUCUGAGGAACUUGUAUCUCUGUGAUGCUAGAAGUGAAUGCACGAAACGUAGGUGAUAGCUUAUCAUAAGAAAUAAAAUUUCCAAUGGGAUGCUGAGUGCAUGAUCUAACUCCUUUCCUCUAAGCUAUGAGCAUAUUAAGAAUAUCAUUUUCUAACUCGGAAUCGACAGUACCAUCAGGAGCGUUGUUACCUGGAAGUUUGCUUGGAUUAGGACCCGGUUCUGCCUCAUGGGUUUGUUGAGAAAGUGUUCUUUCCUCCGUUUCCUCUUGGAUGUGCUCCUUAUCCCGCAAGUCAACAAUGGACUCAGGUUGAUUAAAUGACUCUGGAGGAAUGUGAUUUUCAGUGGUGAUGGGUUACUCACUGAAUGACUCAAGAUCCCAAAAUUGAUAUUCCUGAGUUGAAUUCUCCCCCUGAAUAUCGUUUUUGGGAUAGUAAGGCUGAGUUUCAAAAAAGGUGACAACCAUUGAAUUGUAGAAUUUUCUUGUGACCGGAGAGUAACACUUAUACCCUUUUUGAUUUGAAGAAUACCCAAGAAAGAUGCACUUGAGUGACCUAGGAUCAAGUUUACUUCUAUGUUGUUGAUUGAUAUGAACAAAGACAGAGCACCCGAAAAUUUUGGGUGGGACGGUGGAGAUGAGACGAGUAGUCGGAAAGGAUUUUAGGAGUGUUUGACAAGGUGUUUGGAAUUUUAGUACCCUAGACGGCAUCCUAUUGAUGAGGUAGGCUGCCGUAAGGACAGCUUGCCCCCAGAAUAAUUUUGGAACAUUCAUGGAGAACAUUAGUGAUCUAGCCACCUCUAACAAAUGCCUAUUUUUCCUUUCAGCGAUUUCGUUUUGUUGUGGGGUAUCAACACAUGAACUUAAGUGAACUAUCCCUUCUUGUGCUAGAAAUUCUCCUAGAAUGGAGUUGAAAUAAUCCCUAGCAUUAUCAGACUUUAGAAUUUGUAUUUUUGACUGGAAUUGGGUCUGAAUCAUAUUUUUAAAAUUUUUGAAAAUUUGACUCNNNNNNNNNNNNNNNNNNNNNNNNNNNNNNNNNNNNNNNNNNNNNNNNNNNNNNNNNNNNNNNNNNNNNNNNNNNNNNNNNNNNNNNNNNNNNNNNNNNNNNNNNNNNNNNNNNNNNNNNNNNNNNNNNNNNNNNNNNNNNNNNNNNNNNNNNNNNNNNNNNNNNNNNNNNNNNNNNNNNNNNNNNNNNNNNNNNNNNNNNNNNNNNNNNNNNNNNNNNNNNNNNNNNNNNNNNNNNNNNNNNNNNNNNNNNNNNNNNNNNNNNNNNNNNNNNNNNNNNNNNNNNNNNNNNNNNNNNNNNNNNNNNNNNNNNNNNNNNNNNNNNNNNNNNNNNNNNNNNNNNNNNNNNNNNNNNNNNNNNNNNNNNNNNNNNNNNNNNNNNNNNNNNNNNNNNNNNNNNNNNNNNNNNNNNNNNNNNNNNNNNNNNNNNNNNNNNNNNNNNNNNNNNNNNNNNNNNNNNNNNNNNNNNNNNNNNNNNNNNNNNNNNNNNNNNNNNNNNNNNNNNNNNNNNNNNNNNNNNNNNNNNNNNNNNNNNNNNNNNNNNNNNNNNNNNNNNNNNNNNNNNNNNNNNNNNNNNNNNNNNNNNNNNNNNNNNNNNNNNNNNNNNNNNNNNNNNNNNNNNNNNNNNNNNNNNNNNNNNNNNNNNNNNNNNNNNNNNNNNNNNNNNNNNNNNNNNNNNNNNNNNNNNNNNNNNNNNNNNNNNNNNNNNNNNNNNNNNNNNNNNNNNNNNNNNNNNNNNNNNNNNNNNNNNNNNNNNNNNNNNNNNNNNNNNNNNNNNNNNNNNNNNNNNNNNNNNNNNNNNNNNNNNNNNNNNNNNNNNNNNNNNNNNNNNNNNNNNNNNNNNNNNNNNNNNNNNNNNNNNNNNNNNNNNNNNNNNNNNNNNNNNNNNNNNNNNNNNNNNNNNNNNNNNNNNNNNNNNNNNNNNNNNNNNNNNNNNNNNNNNNNNNNNNNNNNNNNNNNNNNNNNNNNNNNNNNNNNNNNNNNNNNNNNNNNNNNNNNNNNNNNNNNNNNNNNNNNNNNNNNNNNNNNNNNNNNNNNNNNNNNNNNNNNNNNNNNNNNNNNNNNNNNNNNNNNNNNNNNNNNNNNNNNNNNNNNNNNNNNNNNNNNNNNNNNNNNNNNNNNNNNNNNNNNNNNNNNNNNNNNNNNNNNNNNNNNNNNNNNNNNNNNNNNNNNNNNNNNNNNNNNNNNNNNNNNNNNNNNNNNNNNNNNNNNNNNNNNNNNNNNNNNNNNNNNNNNNNNNNNNNNNNNNNNNNNNNNNNNNNNNNNNNNNNNNNNNNNNNNNNNNNNNNUGGUUUCUGGUGCUGCCGAAGCUCCGGUGAUGUAGUCAUCUUUCUCCUUUCCCCGUAUAAACAUUAAUAUGGACUGAGACCAUUGCAAAUAAUUUUGCCCAUUCAGUUUAUGGGCUGUGAUUGGAAGAUGAGAGGUUUCCAUCUGAUGAGAGGAUGAAGACGAUGAGAUGAUGAUAUCAAAGUAGAGGAUGAUGAGUUGGUAGCCAUUCUAAAGGCUGGACCGUAUUUAGGCAUAAAUUAGAAGAAUAGAAUUGAGUAAAAAAAAACUGACUAAAGAUGAAGACGAUGAGACAGGAUUAAACCUUCUUUGAUACCAUGAAGAAUUUGAAGAAAAAUAUGAAGAAUUUGAAGACAAACUAUGGAGGAACACCUCAAUUCAUUCUGUGAUACCUUCCUUUACAAUGAAUGAAAGCAUAAAUAAAUAGCCUACAGAUAUGAGACAAUUCCGGAAUGGAAUUUCCCUUACAUGGAAAGUGAAUAAACUCUUACAUGGGAAGUGAAUAAACUACUCUUACAUGGAAAGUGAAUAAGCUACCUUGCUAGAAUUACUCCUAAGAAUAAACUCUUACAUGGGAAGUGAAUAAACUACCUUGUUAGAAUUACUCCUAAAUCAAUUAUAAUAAAGGCUGUACAUUACACUAAUUAGGGAAGUAAACAAAGGAUGCUGGCUUGAUUUCCAACAUAAAUAAUCAUCAAGUUUACUUUGAAGGAGAUGCUCAACCUUCCUCAGGUGGAGGCAUCCAACUGACCAGAAACGAGCAGGGUAAAGGAAUGGAUUAUAGUUGGGGUCGAGCCAUCUAUGGUGAGCAGUUGUAUCUCUGGGAUCCUAACUCCAGAAAUCUAACUGAUUUAACUACCAACUUCUCCUUUGUCAUUGAUUCACUUAACAGCAGUUCAUAUGCUGAUGGCCUCACCUUCUUCCUUAACGACACCCAAUUGCCUUCACGUGUGUGGGGAGAAAACAUCGGUCUCACGGAGUUUAACGUGACAAAUACAACUGCAAUUCAUUUUGUCGUAGUGGAGUUUGAUACAUUUUCGAACACGGGAAAAAGGGAUCCGGUGAGUGAUCAUGUUGGAAUUGAUAUUAACUCCAUGAUAUCUGUCAAAACAGUGAACUGGUCCAGCAAUAUAAAGGAAGGAAAGCUAAAUCAUGUUUCCAUCUGUUAUACUUCUAGUUCACAAAAUCUGAGUGUUGUUCUAAUCACUGAGUUUAUGGGCGAUCGAACUACCUCCCAAAGCCUCUACUACAAAGUUGAUCUGAGAGAAUACUUGCCAGAAUUCGUUAAUAUUGGCUUCUCAGGAGCAACAGGAAGAGCAUUCCAGAAAAACAACAUUCACUCAUGGAAUUUCAGUUCAACUUUGCAACCUCCUAGUCCUGUAGAACCAGGAGAUGGAAAGAAUGGAAAGAAAACAGGAUUUGUGGUGGGAUUGAGUGUUUGUGCAGUUGUUGUAGUAUGUGGGUUGGGAUUGGUUUGGCAUCACUUGCGGAAGAAGAGGAAUAGUGGGGGAGAAGAUGAUACUGACUCUGACCCAACCAUGGACGAAGACUUUGAAAAGGGUAUUGGACUUGGGAAAUUUUCCUUCCAAGAAUUGGCUCUUGCAACCAGUAACUUUGCAGAGGAGGAAAAGCUUGGAGAGGGAGGGUUCGGUGGGGUCUAUAGAGGCUUCUUAAGGAAACUGAACUCUUACGUUGUAAUUAAGAGAGUAUCAAGGGGGUCCAUGAUUACUACUCAAAAAGUGCUAUUUGAUAGCCUUUAAUUAAUCCUUUUUAACACUUUUGAGUAGUAGUUUAGGCCUUUUAACUCAAUUGACAUGUUAAGGAUCCUUUAAAGCAAUUUUGAUCACUUUGUGUAAGUUUUGGUGUUUUUGUUAGUAUUUUGAUCACCAAAGCAAGUCAAGAAUGAGGAGAGCUAUGAGGAAUCUUGGGCAAAGUUUAGAAUUCAAUUGCCAAGAGUGAAUCCGGAUUGCAAGGAGAAAAAGCAAAGAGAAUCUGUCAUGAAGCCUAUUCUUGAUGACAGUCGUAGCAGCCACUUUUGGAGCACUUUCUGAAGUCUAAAUGAUGCAAGCUAUAUACCAUUUCAAAGCUCAGGAAGUCAACAAUCCAAUGCUUCAAACGGUGCGCGAUUUGGAGUUGAAACGAAGAAGUUGCAGCCAUUACAAGCCAGUCACUCUGAAGUGCUGCGGAAUCAACCUUUUGUUGCGAGAAUUUCGCAACACUUUUGUACAGUAAGGUGUUUCUCCUUCUGACGAUGCACGAACCAUGCCGCGAGAGGGAAGCUAGAAACUUCAAGAUGGAAGCCAACUUUGCAGCCUGGUGAAGAUAGCUCGGUCUUGCGAAAUAAUUUCGCAGCCCUCUUGGGUGUCUGCGAAAUUUCGCAGACACCACUUUUCUCCUGCGAAAUGGCUCCUGAAGCCUCCCGAAGCUUGCUACCGACAUUGGGAGAUAUUUUCCAUUAGAUUUUUGUUGUCUAAAUCCCAAAAUACUCCUUGUAAACCACCAAUUACAUGAUUCCUUAGUUUUUAAGUUAGUAAAAAGACCAAAUAUCUUUGUAACAAUUAGUUUUAUAUUUUGUUGAUAUAAAUACCUCUCGGGAGCCUGUUCUCGGGGAGGAGUUCCUUCUGUAACCUUUUGGUAAGCAAGUAAAGUAUUUUCUUUCUACUGCCUUACCUUCUCACUUUGUAUUUUCAUUUUAUUUCUAAGUUAUGAAUUCUUUGAGGAGUUUUCCCCAGAGAAUGAGUAACUAAACCUCCAAUUCCUUGGAGCUAAGGUUGCCGGGGAAGGUUCCAAGUGCAAAAAUGCAAAACUCUGUGGUUUUAGCUAAUAAUGAAGAGGAAGUGAAAUCCUUUAGUGAUUUCAAUGUUUUUAGUUAACUUAAAACACUUUGGAGUCACCUAGGCCAACACUUGGUAAGGCAAGUGAUUUCCAACCGUGGAAAUGCACUAGUUUACCCCUUGCGAGCCUCUGGUAGGUGACUUCAAGGUAGGAUUUUCUGGAAUUACCAACACUUGGUAAGCUUUUGGACUCCUAGGAGACAUCCAUUAGUUAUCUCUUGCGAGUUUGUGAAGGGAAGUCCAAGGUUAAAGAUCACCUUGAAUGGUAAGUGCUCGUGAGAGGCAUGAACCAUUGCAAGUUGUAUCAGUGAGAGAAUUAAAGUGAAAUCUAAUUGAAGGAGUCUCUGUACAUCACCGGUUAGAGAAUUGACUAUAAGUUGAAUCUCUAAUGCGAGGAAAUGAACCAUCUGACCGGAGCUAUGUCUUUUGCAUGAGGAACCACCCCAGUGAACCUAAAUCUCCAAGGAAUGCUUUUCUUCCUAAAUUAUUCCAAACUUCUGUUAAGUUAGUUAGUUUAAGUCUCAACCUUUACCAAUCAAAGUUUGUGUUUUAUUUCUUAAACUAACCGUGAAAUGAAACAAAACCAAUUCACUUGGAAUUGGUAUCCUUGAUUGCUUGCAAAUCAUUCCCAGUGAACGAUCCUUAGAGCCACUAUACUAUAGUAGCUUUGUAUUUGCUACCCUAGUGUAUGGUGUUAUAGGUAUAAAUUUUGUUGAUCACUUCCUCAAUCAAGGAGCACCAGCUGAACACAAAUCAGCUGAGACACCAAUUGGGCAUGAGUCAGUCCAAACAAGGGAUGAAGGAGUAUGCAUUUGAAGUGAAGAUCAUCAGUCCAUUGAGGCAUCAGAACUUGGUGCAGCUCAUGGGCUGGUGCCAUAACAAAAGAGAGCUCGUAUUGGUUUGUGAGCUCAUUCCAAAUGGCAACUUAAGCUCCUGUCUUUUGGAAGAAAAAACCCUGCUAACAUGGGCAAUGAGGUAUAAAAUUGCUCUUGGCUUGGCCUCUUCGUUGCUCUACCUACAUGAAGAAUGGGAACAAUGUGUGGCACAUAGGGAUAUCAAAUCGAGUAAUGUGAUGUUGGACUCAGAUUUCAAUGCCAAGCUUGGAGAUUUUGGACUAGCCAGGCUUGUUGAUCAUGGGAAAGGGUCACAAACCACAGUUUUAGCUGGAACAUGGGAUACAUGGCUCCUGAAUGUCUCAUGACAGGCAAGGCCAAUAAGGAAACUGAUGUCUAUACUUUUGGGAUUGUUGCCUUAGAAAUCUGCUGUGGGAGAAGUCCUGUGGAACCAAUAGCUAAAGAGAAGCAGAUCAGAUUGGUGGAAUGGGUCUGGGACCUCUAUGGAUUAGGAAAGCUUUUCGAUGACGCUGAUCUAAGACUAUCCAAUGAUUUUGAUGAAUAACAAAUGGAACGAUUGAUGAUUUUUGGGCUUUGGUGUGCUCACCCAGAUUGCGAUCUUCGACCUUCAAUAAGGCAAGCAAUUAAUGUCCUUAAUUUGGAAGCUUCACUACCAAGGCUUCCUUUAAAAAUGUUUGUGCCAAUGUAUUAUUCUCCUCUAGUGCUACAAACAAUAUCGGGUGGCGCCACCAUCUCUGAGAGCAGCCACACCCAGUUUUCCGACUUCUCAAACAACACAACCUCAUCAUCAAAGCUCUUUGAAUCUCCUAGUUCAGCCUCUACUCCAUCUGUAUCCCUUUUGCACUGUCAUGUGAAGUAAUUUUAAUUAAUUUAUUUAAAGAUAUUUUGGUUUAUUGAGUUAGUUCAAAUAACCAGUAGUGGUGGGCUAGAGAGUGGAUAACGUGAGCUAUUCUUUAGCUAGCUAUUGUUUAGUAAUUGUUGUUGUUUAAUCUCUAAUUUGUUGAGUUUGUUAAGUUAUAAAUUUCCUUAGUCUUGAGCAAUAAAAUCAUUAGAUGAAAAUUUUCCAAAAACAUGUCUUUGUUUUCUACUUUCCAAAUUCUUUCAAUUCUGCUCAUAUUUUGUCUUAGCAACAUAGCUCGAGGGCGAGGGAGGGGACGGGAUCAUGCCAUUAACUUAGAACAUGACAAAGUGGUAUCAGAGCUAGUUAUGGCUGACGAUCAACGACUCCAAAGGCAUGAAAAUCAGGUUGAGAACCUGAGUUCAGGUCGAGAACCUGAGUUCAGGUCAAGAAAGGCUCCUUAAGCAAAUGGAAGAACCAGUAGGGGCAAUGAACUCCCUAUUCAACUUGCCAGAAGAAGGGUCCAUCAAUAGGAAUUAGGGACCACAUGGACAGGGUGGUGCUGGGUAUGCAGGUGGACUAGUGGUUCCUAAGCUUGCAAAGCUUGAUUUUCCUUGCUAUGAUGGCUCGGAAGAUCCAACUCUAUGGAUUUGCCGCGCAGAACAAGUCUUUGAAUUUCAAGGGACAUCAUUGGAAGAUCAAGUCAAAUUAGCAACCUAUCACUUGGAAAAAGAUGCUCAAUUGUGGUACCAACAAUGGAAAAAUCAAGGUCACUUGGUUACUUGGAUGGAAUGAAGGCGGGAUUGCUAGAGAGGUUUGUUGUAACUGAAUAUGAAGAUUCCUUUGGAGACUUAUGCAAGCUUAAGCAGACAGGAACUAUUUUCGACUAUCAAACUCAAUUUGAAAGGCUUCUAGCAUGGGCCGACACUUUAACAAAUAGACAAGAAGCUGAGUGUUUCAUUAGUGGAUUGAACGAUGGGCUAAGGAUGAUGUAAGAGUCCAAAACCCUCAAAAUUUGUCUACUACAAUUAGGUUAGCAUGUACUUAUGAACUCAAAGCCCAAGAAGUGAGGCGCCCAACCAAUUCUCCUCUUUAGUUCGCAACUCCAACAACCAACGGAACACCUUAACCCCUAGUGGUGCGAAAGGCACCAAUCCAGAGAGAAUUUUACCAAUCCAUAAAUUAUCUUCAACCGAACUCUAAAGGCGCCGAUAGCAAGGGUUGUGCUACAACUGUGAUGAAAACUAUACAAUGGGUCAUAUAUGCAAGAAAUCGUUCUUCAUUAAACUAGAAGAAGAGAAUGAAGAAGCCAUAGAAGAAGACUAUGUAGAAGAGACACUAGUUAUCUCUUUACAUGCCUUGGCUAGAGUCAAUCUCCACAAACUAUGCGGAUCCACUCACAGAUGGGUAAGACUUCACUGACAAUUUUAAUUGAUUCUGGUUCCACUCAUAAUUUUUUGCAUCACAAAUUUGCCAAAAUCAUCGGACUUAAGUUGGAAAGGAGCUGUUUGUUUAGCUUGGUGGUUGCCAAUGAGGAGAGGUUGUCAAGUCCUGGGCGUUGUAAUGGAGUAAAAUUAUCCUUGCAAGGCAUCCCAAUUGAGGUAGAUUUUUUCUUACUUCCUUCAGAAGGUUGUGAUGUUAUUCUAGGAGUACAACAGUUAGGUACUCUUGGUCCAAUUUUGUGGGAUUUUGGAAGAAUGCAAAUGCAAUUCACUAUAGCUGGGUGAAAGGUGUUGCUACAAGGUUCAACCUCCUCAGAACUUCGGGCUCUUGAAUGUGAUACUAUUUUUAGAACAUUGAGGCAAAGUGAUGGUAGGGGAAUUAUCUUAUAGCUUUGUGCAAUCCGACAUGAGCCUACAAAUCAUAAGGAGUUACUAUCGGAUGCAAUGGCGCCAUUGCUCAUUGAGUUCAGUGAAUUGUUUAAAGCACCUACGAGAUUACCACAUCCACGCUCUCAUGACCACAGGAUUCCCCUCCAGCCAAGAGCAAGUCCAAUUUGAGUACACCCUUAUCAAUACAUGCAUUUUCAAAAACAAGAGAUUGAAUGGUUGGUGGAGGAGAUGUUAUCAUAGGGUAUAAUUCGUCCUAACCAAAGCCCAUUUUCCUCUCCGGUACUUUUGGUGUGAAAACAUGAUGGGAGUUGGAGGUUUUAUGUGGACUAUUGAGCGCUAAGCUGGGUUACGAUCAAAGAUAAGUUUCCAAUUCCGGUUAUAGAUGAAUUGUUAGAUGAGAUACAUGGUGCCAAAUGCUUCACCAAAUUGGAUCGUAGAUCUAGUUAUUUUCAAAUUCUUCACCAAACAGCCUUCUGAACUCACCACGGGCACUUUGAAUUUUUGGUAAUGCCUUUCGGCCCCUCUAACACCCCAUCUACAUUUCAAUCACUCAUGAAUGAGAUUUUUAAGGCUCAUCUAAGAAAAUUCAUUUUUGUAUUCUUUGAUGACAUUCUAAUUUAUAGUAGCACAUGGGUUGAACAUUUGAAACAUGUUAGAAUUGCAUUUUCCAUCUCAUCAUCUUGUAGUCAAGAAAGAAAAAUGUCAGUUUGGGCAUACACAAAUCAAAUAUUUGGGGCAUAUCAUUUGUCAAAAUGGUGUGAAUGUGGAUCUAGAAAAAAUAAAGGCAAUGAUGGAAUGGCCAAAACCAACAAUUAUCAAAGCUUUGAGGGGUUUUUUAGGACUAACGGGUUAUUAUCAAAAGUUUAUUGUAGGUUAUGGCAAAAUUGCAGCUCCUUUGGCUGACAUGUUGCGAAAAAAUGUUUUUUCUUAGUCUCAAAAAGCGGAAGAAGCAUUUGAAUUAUUGAAACAAACCAUGAUAUAGGCUCCAGUUUUAGCCUUGCUAAAUUUCCAGCUCUUAUUUUUGGUGGAAUGUGAUACAUCGGGGAAUGGAUUAGGAGUUGUUCUAAUGCAAGAACAAAGACCUAUUGCUUAUUUCAGCACUGUCUUGAAGGAAAAACACCUUUUGUUGUCCACUUAUGAAAAAGAACAUAUGACACUUGUUCUUGUGGUAAAAAAAAUGGCGACCUUACUUGCUUGGCCGUCAUUUUAUGGUCCGAAUUGACCAAUGCAACCUCAAAUUUAUUUGGGAGCAAGGAAUAAUGAUUGAACUGCAACAAAAAUGGUUGCUCAAAUUAAUGGGUUAUGACUUCUCCAUCGAAUUCAAGAGGGGUAAGAAUAAUAUGGCAACAGAUGCUUUAUCAAGAAAGGACACACAAGGGGAAUUCAAUGCAGUCUCUAGUCUCCUACCCCAAUGGUUGGAAUCCAUUAAGGUUGAGAAUCAAUCACACCUGGAGCUGCAACAAAUUCAUCACUUGCAUGAGCAAGGAGAGACUAUUGGACCAUGGGAAAAUCGAAAUGGCAUAAUAUUCUUUAAGAAACAUAUCUAACUUCCAUCUAACUCAAAACUCAUCCCAAUCAUUCUCCAAGAAAUUCAUGGCAUUGGGAAUGAGGGUCUUUACAAAAAUCUUCAUCGAGUGAAGGAGGUAUUUUAUUGGAGGAAAUGAGGAAGGUUACACUAGAUUACAUCAAGUAAUGUGAUGUUUGUCAAAGCCAUAAGAUAGAUCACCAAAAGCCAACAGGUCUUCCCCAACCAUUGCCUAUUCCUACAUAGGUAUGGGCAGACAUCUCUAUGGAUUUUAUUGAUGGCCUACCCCCUUAUAAGGGGAAGACAAUACUCCUUGUGGUGGUGGAUCGAUUUUCCAAAUAUGCACAUUUUAUUCCAAUGUCUCACCUUUACAUUGCACCAAAAGUGGCUCAAACAUUCUUUGAAAAUGUGUUUAAACUCCAUGGCAUGCCAAGUUCAAUAGUAUGUGAUUGGGACUCUACUUUUAUAAGUGCUUUUUGGAAAGAGCUUUUCAAAUUGCAGGGCACUAGCUUCAAUUUCAGCUCAUCUUACCACCCCCAAACAGAUGGCCAAACUGAAGCAGUGAAUUGGGCUCUUGAGAUGUACCUGUGUUGUUUUACUAGUUCAAGACCAAAGGAGUGGGUUCAAUGGGUUCCUUGGGCUGAAUUCUAUUACAACACCAAUCUAAAAGCUUCUACUCGCAAAACUCUCUUCAAAGUGGUGUAUGAAAAAGAGCCCCCCAACUUGCUUCCUAUUUUCCUAGUACAUCAAAAGUUGAAGUUGUAGAUAACAUGCUCCAAGUAAGAGAUAAAGUUGUAAAAGACUUAAGAUGUCAGCUCCAAUAAGCACAAGCUAGAAUGAAGACCCCUUAUGACCAAGGGAGAGUUGAGAGAGAAUUUGUUGUUGGUAAUUGGGUAUAUCUACGGCUACAACCUUAUCGACAAACUUCGUUGGCUUUGAGACAGUCACAUAAACUCUUCCCGCGAUUUUAUGGGCUAUACCAUGUGCUAGAACGAAUUGGUUCGGUGGCUUAUUGACUUGAUCGGGACCAGGAAGUAAGAUUCAUCUAAUUUUCCAUGUGUUGACCCUAAAAAAAUGGUAAGGUACAACUGAUAAAAUUGAUUAUCCUUUUCCAUUAGUAUCAGAAACAUUAGGUCACUUGCAACCUCAGCCUAUAGUAGUUCUAAAUUCUCUCAGCAAUGGGCAUAAACAUGAACUACUUUAUUUAGUGGCAGAGGCUCCUAACAACAGAUCCUACUUGGAAGGAUGAGUACCAACUUCGAAACAAAUUUCCAGACUUUGUGUGUCCUUGAGGACAAGGACGAUUCCAAGGAGGGAGGAAAUGUCAUGUGCAACAAUUUUAAUUUAUUUAUUUCAAAUAUUUUGGUUUAUUGAGUUAGUUCAAAUAACUAGCAGUAGUAGGGCUAGAGAGUGGUUAACAUGAGUUAUUCUUUAACUAGCUAUUUUUUAAUAAUUGUUGUUGUUUAAUCUCUAAGUUGUUGAGUUUGUUAAGUUAUAAAUUUCCUUAUUCUUGAGCAAUAAAAUCAUUAGAUAAAAAAUUUCCAAAAACUUGUCUUUGUUUUCUGAUUUCCAAAUUCUUUCAAUUCUGUUCAUAUUUUGUCUUAGUUACAUAGCUCGAGGGCAAGAUAGGGGACAAGGGAGGGGAUGGGAUUAUGCCAUUAACUUAGAAUGUGACAUGCACACAUGCUAAUUGGGUUGGAAACAUCGCCUCUAUGCUUUUGAAUUUGUAAUAUAUUUGCAAUUGUGGUCAUAUAUGAUUCCAGUUCUCUAUUUAUUUGACAUCUUGUUCAACUUUGUUAUAUACAUAAAGAAAAUCAUUUUAAGCAAUUUUUUAGGAUAUGAAAUUAAGUCUAUACUCAAGGAGGAAAAAAUCGGCGAAAUAUCGCCGAUAUAUCUCGUGUCGACGGGUGGCGACAUGACAAAUGGAGGAGAUAAGUCGGCUGGGCGAUUUUUCGCCAAAAAUCGCCAAAAAAAUCGGCGAUAAAUCGCCGAUAUAUCGACGACAUAGGAUAAAUCGGCGAUUUAUCGCCGAUUUUUUGGCGAAAAAUCGCCCCUCUCUCUCCAGUGUGAUCUGACGGCCCAGAUCACGCCCGUGUUGAUCCAACGCCCAGAUUUGAAUCCCAACAUUAACAAAGAGAUCCAACGGCCAGAUUGCUUCCAAAUUGUGAUCCAACGGCCAAAAUUAAUUUUAAACGGUAACUUAAGGUUCCAACGGCUAUUUUGGCCCAAAUUUCAUCUAUAAAUAGCCAAUUUUGCAUCAAUUUCAUCCAUCUUUGCUUUGAUUCUUCAUUUGCUCUCUUACUACUCCAAUUUUUUCCAAGAUUGCUCAAUUAUUCAAUCAUUUUAAGGUAUGUUUGUUUGAAAUUAUAAUUAAUUUUGUUUGCAAUAAUUAAUUCAUGUAUUUUUAAUUAAUUAGUAUGUUUACAUUCAAUUGUAAUUAUUUUGUAUAUUUUUAUUGAAUUAAUUUAGGUUAUGAUAUAUUUAUUUUAGAUGAUUAUUUGUGAUUUAAAUUCGUAUUUAGAAUUACAUUAAACUAAUUAACUUAGCUAAAUUGUUUAAUUAAUUUAAUUAACAUAGUAAAUUAUGUAAUUAAUUUAAUUAACAUGGUUAAAUAUGCUCAAUUUUUUAUAUUGUCGCGAUUUUUUUUUCAUAUUCAAUUAUGAUUAAUUUCAAUAUUUAGUAAAUUUGUCAUAAAAUUACAUUUAGAUUUUAAAAAUUAACUUAGGUAAUUUAUUUAAUUAGUUUAAUUAACAUGAACUACUAUAUAUGGAAUAUUAAAUAUGCUCAAUUUUUUAUAUUAUCGCGAUUUUUUUUCAUAUUCAAUUAUGAUUAAUUUCAAUAUUUAGUAAAUUUGUCAUAAAAUUACAUUUAGAUUUUAAAAAUUAACUUAGGUAAUUUAUUUAAUUAGCUAAAUUAACAUGAACUACUAUAUAUGGAAUAUUAAAUAUGCUCAAUUUUUUAUAUUAUCGCGAUUUAUUUUCAUAUUCAAUUAUAAUUAAUUUCAAUAUUUAGUAAAUUUGUCAUAAAAUUACAUUUAGAUUUUAAAAAUUAACUUAGGUAAUUUAUUUAAUUAGCUAAAUUAACAUGAACUACUAUAUAUGGAAUAUUAAAUAUGCUCAAUUUUUUAUAUUAUCGCGAUUUAUUUUCAUAUUCAAUUAUAAUUAAUUUCAAUAUUUAGUAAAUUUGUCAUAAAAUUACAUUUAGAUUUUAAAAAUUAACUUAGGUAAUUUAUUUAAUUAGCUAAAUUAACAUGAAAUACUAUAUAUGGAAUAUUAAAUAUGCUCAAUUUUUUAUAUUAUCGCGAUUUAUUUUCAUAUUCAAUUAUGAUUAAUUUCAAUAUUUAGUAAAUUUGUCAUAAAAUUACAUUUAGAUUUUAAAAAUUAACUUAGGUAAUUUAUUUAAUUUGUUUAAUUAACAUAGAUUUAAAUUUAAGCGUAUUUUUCUUGCAAUAGAUUUAGCAUGGCUAGUGAAGGUGGUUUUGCCGUGCCAGGGCGAGAUCCGGCUUGGAAGUAUUGUUUACAAAUUGAGGGUAAUCGAAAUGGAACAAUUUGUAAUUUUUGUGGGUUGGUAAUGAAAAGUGGAGGCAUCACACGAUUCAAGUCUCAUUUAAUGCAUAAGGACCCGCAUAACAACACCAAAAAGUGUCCAAGAGUACCGCCCGAAGUGAAAGAAGAGAUACGAUUGUUGGUGCAUGACAAACAAAAAGCAAAAGCAAAGAAAAAUGCUGAUAUUGAAGAAAUUUGUAGUCAAUUACGUGGCACAAUGGGGACGCAUCAUACACAUUUGGUAAACGAAGAUGAUGAUGAUGAAUAUGCUGAGGAUGAAGAUGUGUAUAUGUAUCCGACAGAUAUGCACCCAGAUGAGCGAGAUGCAUAUCGAUCUACAGUUCGUGCCUCGAAAGCAUCUAAUUGGGAACGUGAACAACAUGAGAAUAUUGUAGGAAGCAAACGCAAAUCGGGAGAGUCUUCUACUGGUAUACCAUCGACGAUGCGAAAAUCACAGAGUAUGUGACAUUCACAUGAUUCACCCCCUAUUGCCCCUUCGCUUUACAAGUCUUCUGCAGCAAAACAAAAAAAUAUCAAAGAUAUAUUCAAGGGUGGUGCAAUUAAAGAAACGAUGGGACGCUUAAUCAGCAAAUUCUUCAUUUAUGAGAGUGUCGCACCCGCAAAAGCAAAGUCUCAUCACUUCAAGAAUAUGAUUAUUGGUGCACAACAAGCAGGUAAUUACUAAUUUAUCAAAUGUUAUAUUGUGUUAUACUUUUAGUAAGUAUAGUAUUUUGUGACAUGUUUUACAUAUGAAGUGCAGGAAUGAGAAUUGAACCUCCAUCUCCAUAUGAAAUGAAGAACAAAUACUUGGAAAUGGAGUACAAAGAAAUGGAAGCUUAUGUGAACCAACAAAGGGAAAAAUGGAAGACAUAUGGGUGCACAAUAAUGUCAGAUGGAUGGACAGGGCCCACGAAAUUAAGUAUUAUUAAUUUCAUGGUUUAUUCUAAAGGGACCAUGGUGUUCCUUAAGUCAGUCGAUGCAUCGAACUAUAUCAAAGACCACAAGUAUAUAUAUGAGCUUUUGAAGACUAUUAUCAAAGAAGUCGGUAAGGAAAAUGUGGUCCAAAUUUUCACAGAUAAUGGGUCGGCAUUCAUGAAAGCAGGGAAACAAUUGAUGAAGAAGUAUAACUUAUAUUGGACUCCGUGUGCGGCACACUGCAUCGACUUAAUCUUUGAAGACAUCGGUAAAAGACCCAAUGUUAUCGAGGUGAUAAACAAUGCUCGCAAGAUAACUAACUUCAUUUACAAUCAUGGUUGGUUACUAGCACAAAUGAGAAAGUAUUGUGGUGGAGACAUUGUUCGACCAGGAGCUACAAGGUUUGCUACCAAUUAUAUUGCUCUUGACAGUCUUCUAAAAAAAAGGGCUGAUUUGAAAAAAUUGUUUAUGAGUGAUGAAUGGGCACAACACAAACUCAGUCGAACAAAACUUGGAUGAGAAUUGGAGCAAUUAUUGUUUGACCAUACGUAUUGGGACAGAUUGACAAAUAUAGUUUCAUUAUAUGAGUCAUUAUACGUGGUGCUUCGACUUGUGGAUUCUGAAGUUGUUCCCACAAUGCCAUUUGUGUACGAGCUUAUGCACGUGAUGAAAGAGAACCUUAUUCGUCAAGGAGCUGGAGAUUGGAUGUUCAAAAUAAUACAAGAUCGUUGGCAGAAAACACUAAAACAUCCACUUCAUGCAGCAGGUACUUAAAUACUAUAUAUCUUUAUAAGUUUUUACUUUGUAUUUAAGUUUCUUUUUUUUUAAAAAUACUAACUCUACUAAAUUUUAUGGUAGCAUACUUCUUGAAUCCAAGAUUUCAAUAUAGGCGUGGAGUUGGUAGUGAUCCGGAACUACUUCAAGUUGUCCAUGAUGUUUUUGCGAAAUUAGAUCCAACUACUGAAUCGCUUGGUCAAUUUGGAAAUGAGGUGAAUAAAAAAUUGUUAUUUUUGUCAAUAAAACAAUAAUUUCAUUCAUCAAUUUAUUUGAACGUUUACUAACAAAUUAAAUGUUGAAUACAUAGCUUGUACUUUUUCGAGAUGCAAAAAGAGGAUUCGGUGAUCGAGCGGCAAUUGCAUCAAGGUCAACCAUGGUGCCCGGUGAGUCUUUAUAGGAAAAAUUUGAUUAUUAUUAUUGUAAGUUCACCACAUAAGUAUUUAUAUGAUUAUCAAAUUCGUUGCAGCUGAAUGGUGGUUUAUGUAUGGGAAUCAAACACCUACAUUGAGAAAGUUAGCCAUCAAAGUUCUCUCACAAACUGCGUCAUCUUCUGCAUGUGAGAGAAAUUGGAGCACGUUUGCUCUCAUCCACACAAAGCAACGAAAUCGUUUGGCUUACUCUUGAUUGGAGCAAUUAGUGUUUUGUUACUAUAAUAUGAGGCUAAAGUUACGCGAUAUGGAGGCAGAAAAUGAUCGAGUUGCUGAAAAAGAUUACCUUGAUCUUCUUGACAUUUUAGCCGAGGUGGGUGAAGAAGAAGAUAAUCAGUUGUUCCAGUGGGUUAGGCCUAUACACUUGGAUGACGAAGUUGGAAAUCCUGAUCCAUGAAUUGCCGCUCAUGCUCGAGAAUUUGGAGUUAAUGUUGAACGUGUGUUGUCCGAAGAAGUUCACUCUGAAAGUUUUAGCAAAGAUACUGAUGAUUCCCUUCAUGCGACAUAUUCCCACCAAGAGAUUGACUCCACAAGUGCUGGCCAUAGUAGUAGACCUAGUGCUGCAGGUACUUCUGCUUCUGGUUACGAUGGUUCAAGAGGUGGAACUGAUGAUGGCGGUGAUAAUGGGGGAGGAGAUAUUGAUGAACGUCGACAUAGUCAAUAUCCAAUCAACCAAUUUACUUGUGAAAAUGAUUUCACACACUGCACACAGGAUGAAGACCAUGGCUCUAGAAGAGCUGGUCCAGGCAUAGGAGCUAUUGGGAGGCCUUAUAGAGGAAGAGAACGAAUGAUGGAACCAUAUAACGAGGAGUUACUUUCAGGGAGUUUUGAAUUUAUGAGUAUAGGGACUCAAUUUAGUGACUCCUCGAAUGAGGCUAACGUCUACCCUCCUCAUGUGAUGAGUUAUGGUCAACCUUCAAGUUCAACAGAUGAAGAGUAUGGUAUGUCGUAUUAUUCCCCUUCCAGACAAAUGCCAUACCAAAUUCCAUAUCAGAUGGAAGAAGGAUUUGGCGUUAACACAUGGGUGAACUUUGAGUAUCCUAUCCAUGUAGAAGCAGUAGGCAGGACUCAAGAGAUAUAUGCAUGGCAUGUUAGAAUUUAUAACCAAUAUUAUCGAGGCUCAUUGACUUGGUACCAAUAUUGUCUCCAACAGCAAGCCGGGGUUCCUUCAUCUAUCAAUCCCAUUGAACCACAUCGAAACUCAUUUUGGUACUAAAGGGACAUUGCAAUGUAAUGUGUACAAAUUAUUGUUAUUUAAUGAAAUGAAGUAUUUGAUGUGACUUUAUAAUGAGAACAAUUAUGAAAUUAACAUUUCUUAUAGAUCGACAUGAUAUAAUUACAUCUAAUAUCGCAAAUUAUAUCAUAUAUAUAUCAAAUUUUUCAAUAAAACAAUUUUAAAAUGUCUAUUAUACUUCUAAUUAUAUUAUUAUGAGGUUUUUCUUGCAUUUCCAUGAGUUUUUAACAAUUUUAAGCCUACCAAUAAUAUCCACCGAUAUAUCUCCGAUAUAUCCAAAAAUAUCUCCGAUAUAUCCGAUAUAUCUUUAAAAUCGAAUUACCGAUAUAUCCGUGAUUACCGAUAUUUUCAUCCUUGUCUAUACUAAUUUUGCAUGGUUGGAAAUGAUUGGUUAACUUAUCUGAAUUUGAUGAAUUGUGCUUUAAAUUGGUAGCAUAAGAAACUUGAUUCAUUAAGACUCCAGCUUGAUUACAUAUAUAACAGACUUUAAAUUUCCAAAGAGUUUAAAUGGCUUAUAUGAAAUAGGUAGGAACAAUAUAAUGCUAGUGCAAGCUUGUUUUCAUGAUCUGCUGUUCACUGCAUGUUAGCAUAUAUAUAUAUAUAUACUCAAGGUCUUCCAUUCCACUAACCUAAGAGAUGCCAAGAAAUCUCUAUUUGAAGUUCUUUUCAAAGGACUUAAUCACUCACCAUUUAAAGGAAUUGCUCACCAUGUGUCGAAAAAAUAAAAAAUAAAUAAACAAGAAAUCUCUAGUUGAAGCUUUAUCAUUGGAUGAAUUGCUCUUCAUUUGUUAAAAAAAUAACAAUAAAAAUAAAAUGUAAGUAAAAAAUAAAGCCUUGUCUGGAGUUUUUCUCUUUGGAAGGAUUUCUCAACAAUUGGGAAAUGUAGACAACGAAUAAGAAAACAUACUUUGAUGUUUAUUUGCUGCUAAUGAAAGCAACUCAGGGGAUGUUAUUAGGGCUUAGCAUAUGGAGUGAUUGACCAUUGUGAAUAGAUGUGCUAGAGUCUAACAGACUUAAUUUGAUGCUUGACAUGGUGGUCAUUUUGCAUUCGUCCUAAGGUUGAGCCUCGACUGAUGGGUUGAUGUGGACAUGUAGAGAACCUUUUUUGUACUAGGCUCAUUGUUUGCCUUGAUGGAACAAGGACUUUAAUUUUUUUUUUUUUAAAUGUAACUAUGAAGGAUGUUACAUUACUCCUAAUGCAUAAAGAAAAUGAUAAAGAAAAACGCACUAUGGUUAAGUUUACAAUACAAUUUUUACCUGAACUUAAUUAUAGUUGAGUUGCAUUAACAAAGAACUUAACUAGGUUUAAGUUCGUAGUCACAAUACUCACUUAAACUUAAUUAUAGUUAAGUUGUAUUAAUUGAGAACUUAACUAGGGUUAAGUUCUUAGUCACAUUUUUUACUUGAACUUAAUUAUGGUCGAGUUGCCUUAAUUAAGUACUUAAAUUCUAGUUAAGUUGUCAACUAAAAUGUUUAUAUGACCUUUAACUUAUGAUUGAUUUUCAUUUAGAAAGAGUUUACACAUUAAUUUAUUAAGUUUUAUGGACCUCAUACGGUUUGGAUAUUGAUUAAAUAAGUCAAUUACACAUAGGGAGUGUGGAAUUGAUGCUUGGAAAAAUCAAAAUCGAAAAAUACUAAAAAAAUUAAAUCAUCACAUUCUUUGUACCCUCCCAAAUCUCCACUUCUUUUGAUUUUUUUUUUAAAUUGGACCUCACAUGGCUUGGAUAUUGAUCAAAUAGGUUAAUUACACUUAAGGGGAGUUCAAUUGAUGCCUAGAAAAAUCGAAAUCCAAAAAUAUUAAAAAAUUAGCAAAGGUCUGAAGAAUGUGAGGAAUAGGGUAAUUCUUGGUACCCUUCAAAAUCUCCACUUCUUUGAACCUUAAAAAAAGAAAAAAAAACAAUUCCUCAUAUGACUUAGAUAUUGUUUAAAUAGGUCAAUUACACUUAGAGGGUGUGCAAUUGAUACCCGAAAAAAUUGAAAUUGAAAAAUAUUAAAAAAUUAUCAAGGGUAUGAAGAAUGUGAGGAAUCCUCACAUUCUUCGUACCCUCCAAAAUCUCCACUUCUUUGAGUUUCUUUAAAAAAAAAAAAAAAAAAAAAAAACCUCAUAUGGCUUGGAUAUUUAUUAAAUAGGUUAAUUACAUUUAAGGAAUGUGCAAUUGAUGCUUAGAAAAAUAAAAAAAAAAUUCCAAAAAUACUAAAAAUUUCCACUUCUUUGAGUUUUUUUUUUUUUUUUUUUUUUUUUUUAUAAUUUGAACCUCAUAUAGUUUGGAUAUUGAUCAAAUAGGUUAAUUACACUUAAGGGGUGUUCAAUUGAUGUCCAGGAAAAUCAAAACCGAAAACUACUAAAAAAAAAUUAAAUCCUCACACUCUUCGUAUCCUCCCAAAUCUCCACUUCUUUGAGUUUUUAUUUUUUAUUUUUUAAUUGGACCUUACAUGGGUUGGAUAUUGAUUAAAUAGGUUAAUUACAUUUAAGGAUUGUUCAAUUGAUACUCGAAAAAGUCAAAAUCCAAAAAUACUAAAAAAAAUAACAAAGGAACGAAGACAUUCUUUUUACCAUCCAAAAUCUCCAAUUCUUUAAACUUUUCAAAAAACAAAAACUUUCUAUCUCAUAUGGCUUGGAUAUUAUUUAAAAAGGUUUAUUACAUUUAGGGGUGUGGAAUUAAUACCCAAAAAAAUCAAAAUAAAAAAUACAAAAAAUUAGCAAGGGUACAAAGAAAGUGAGGUCACAUUCUUCGUAUCCUCCAAAAUCUCCAUUUCUUUGAGUUUUUUUGAAAAAAAAAUAAAAAAUGGACCCCAUAUGAAUUAGAUAUUAAUUAAAUAGGUUAAUUACACUUAGAGGGUGGUCAAUUGAUGUCCUAGAAAAUCGAAAUCCAAAAAUAUUAAAAAAUUAGCAAGAAUACGAAAAACAUGAAGAAUCCGCAAAUUCUUCCUACCAUCCAAAAUCUCCACUUCUUUAAGUUUCUUUAAAAAAAAGUUGGACCUCAUAUGACUUGGAUAUUGUUUAAAUUGGUCCAUCAUAGUAAGGGCAUAUGGAAUUGAUGCUAAAAAAAAAAUCAAAAUUGAAAAAUACUAAAAAAAAAUUAAAUUCCUACCUUCUAUGUACCCUCCCAAAUCUCUACUUCUUUGAGGUUUUUUUUUUCAAAAUAAAUAAAUAAAUAAAUUGGACCUCAUAUGCUUGAAUAUUGAUUAAAUAGGUUAAUUACAUUUACGGGUGUUCAAUUGAUGUUCAAAAAAAUUGAAAUCUAAAUAUACUAAAAAAAUUAGCAAAAGUACAAAGACAUUCUUCGUACCUUCCAAAUCUUCAUUUCUAUGAGUAAAAAAAAAAAUAUAUAUGUCUCAUAUGGAUUGGAUAUUGUUUAAAUAUGUUAAUUAUAAUUAGGGGGUGUGAAAUUGAUGUCCAAAAAAAUCGAAAUCCAAAAAUAUUAAAAAAUUAUCAAGAAUACAAAUAAUGUGAGGAAUGUCUCACAUUCUUCAUACCCUAAAAAAUCUCCACUUCUUUGAGUUGUUUAAAAAAAAAUUUGGACCUCAUAUGGCUUGUAUAUUGAUUAAAUAGGUCCAUUACACUAAGAGUGUUCGGAAUUGAUGCCCCAAAAAAUUGAAAUCGAAAAAUACUAAAAAAUUAAAUCCUUACAUUCUUCAUACCCUCCUAAAUCUCCACUUAUUUGAGUUUCUCAAAAAAAGUUUUUGACCUCAUAUGACUUGGAUAUUGAUUAAAUUGGUCCAUUACACUAAAAAAAAAAUUAAAUAAAAAAAUACUAAAAAAAUUAAAUCGAAAAAUACUAAAAAAAUUAAAUUCUUACAUUCUUCAUACCCUCCCAAAUCUUCACUUUUUAAAAUUUAUAAAAAAAAAAAAAUUAUACCUCAUAUGGCUUGGAUAUUGUUUAAAUAGGUUAAUUUUCACUUAGGGGGUGUGGAAUUAAUGCCAAAAAAAAAAUCAAAAUACUAAAAUACUAAAAAAUUAGCGAGGGUAUGAAAAAUGUGACAUCACAGUCUUUGUACCUUCCAAAAUCUUCACUUCUUUAAGUUUCUAAAAAAAAUAAAAAUUGGACCUCAUAUGGCUUGGAUACUGAUUAAAUAAGUUAAUUGCACUUAAGAGGUAUUCAAUUAAUGCCCUGAAAAAUCAAAAUCCUAAAACACUAAAAAUUAGCAAAGAUACAGAGAAUGUGAAAAAUCCCUCACAUUCUUCAUACCGUCCAAAAUCUUCACUUCUUUGACUUUAAAAUACUAAAAAAAUUAGCAAGGGUAUGAAGAAUGUGAGGAAUCCUCACCUCAUAUUCUUCAUACCCUCCAAAAUCUCCACUUCUUUGACUUACAAAAUUUUUUUUAGACCUCAUAUGACUUUAAUAUUGAUUAUAUAGGUUAAGUACACUUAGGGGGUGUUAAAUUGUUGCUUGAAAAAAUUGAAAUCUAAAAAUACUAAAAAAUUAGCAAUGUAAUGAAUAAUGUAAGGAAUUCUCACAUUCUUUGUACCCUCCCAAAAUCUCCACUUCUUUAAACUUCUUUAAAAAAAAAAAUUAUACCUCAAAUGGUUUGGAUAUUGUUUAAAUAGGUUAAUUACACUUAGGAGGUGUGAAAUUGAUGUUCAGAAAAAUCGAAAUCGAAUAAUACUGAAAAAUUUGUAAGGGUAUAGAGAAUAUGAAAAAUCCUCACAUUAUUCGUACCCUCUAAAAUUUUUAUUUUUUUUUUAGUUUAUAAAAAUAUUUUUGGAUCUCAUAUUGCUUGGAUAUUGAUUAAAUAAGUCAAUUACACUUACGGGGUAUUCAAUUGAUGCUUGGAAAAAUCCAAAUCCAAAAGUACUAAAAAAAUUAGCAAGGGUACGAAGAGUAUGAGGAAUCCUCAUGUUCUUUAUACCUUCCAAAAUCUCCACUUUUUUUAAGUUUAAAAAAAUUUCUUUGGAUCUUAUGCUAAAAUACUAAUAAAGGGUAUGAAGAAUACGUGGAAUCCUCACAUUAUUCAUAUCCUCCAAAAUCUCCACUUCUUUGAGUUUUUUUUUUUUUUUAUUUAAAAAAAUGGACCUUAUAUGGCUUAGAUAUUGAUUAAAAAGAUUAUUUACACUUAGGGCUGGUAAAAUUGAGGUCUAGAAAAAUUGAAAUCGAAAAAUACUAAAUAAUUAGUAAGGGUAUGAAGAAUGUGAGGAAUCCUCACAUUUGUAACUUCCCAAAUCUCCUCUUAUUUGUGAUUUUAAAUCAUUUUUUGACCUUAUAUGGUUUAGAUAUUGAUCAAAUAGAUUAAUUACACUUCAAGGGUGUCCAAUUGAUGUCUAAAAAAAAAAAAAAAAAAAUUCUAAAUCCAAAACUACUUAAAAAUUAGUAAGAGUGCGAAGAAUGUGAGAAAUCUUCACAUUCUUCGUACCCUCCAAAAUCUCCGCUUCCUUCAAUUUUUACAAAUUUUUUGCACCUCAAUUGGUUUGGAUAUUGAUUAAAUAGGUCAAUUAUACUUAAGGGGUAUUGAAUUGAUGUCCAAAAAUUUUGAAAUCCAAAAAUACUAAAAAAAUUGCGAAGGAUGUGGAAUUUCAUAUUGUUACUAAUUAUAUAUAUAUAUAUAUAUAUUUGGUAUUUUCAAUAUUUCAACCAAUAUUUUAUGUAAUUAAAUUCAAAUUAUAAGAAAUAGUUUAUUAAUACAAUUUUCAAUUAUUAAUUAGUACAUAACAAUUUUAUUUUUUGACAAUGUAUACUUAUUUAAAUUUAUUUUCAUAUUUUUUAAAAAGUUUAAUUAAACUUACAAUUCAUUGAAAUGAUUCAAUUUUUUUUUUCAUUUUAAAAAUCAAUUAUAUUGUUUUUCACUCUUUCAAUAUUCAUCCAAUUUUUUCCACAAAUAAUUUCAAAUUAAAAUAAAAUUAGUUAACUAAUUCUCAAUUUAUUAAUUAUAUAUAUCACCAAAUUAUAUUUUUUUUUACAAUAUAUAGUUUAUUUCAAAUUUUAUUUUAUUUUUCUUCACCUCUUAGGUUUAUUACUUUAUAUUACAAAAUAAAAUAAAUUACAAUAUCUCUUUCACAAAUUUGUUAUUUUUAAAAAAUUUUCAAUAUUUUCCAACUUUUAUAGAAUAAUUCCUAAAAUUAUAUAACUGGUUGUUGUAAAGAUUUUAAAUUUUGUGUUGCCUGGGAUUAUUUUCUUAACGGAAUAAGUUUUUUUAUUUUUUUAUUCACCUAACCUUCACAUGUGGCUAUUACCGUUGGUGGAAAAUUAUGGGUAUGGUACCAAAAAGGAGAAUUCAGACCCAUGAAUUCAUUGGUGUAAAAUGGUUUUGAGUUAAACUUAGUCCAUAUCACAAGAUUCAAGUUGAAAUUAUGACUCUCUAUAAAUGGAAUAACUCUCUUAUCAGAUUCAUUAGUAUAAAAUGAUCCCUUUUAGCAUAGAUAUUAUUCAUUCUAUAUUCGUUGUAUAUAGAUAAUAUUUGUAAUGACCUACUUCCUCUCUUAAAUAUUGUUCGGUAUAAAGUUUCAUAAUUUUAGAACAUAUCAACUUAAUCAAAAGAAACUAAUCACAUAUGAUGUAAAUAAUUUUUUUCUUAAUCAAUGUGAAAUGUGAAAUAUCGUAUAAAUAAUAUUCACACAAUCAUCCAUUUUCAUGAGUAUUUGGAAAUAAGAUCAUAUGAUCUAGAAGAUUGAAAAUUAAUUUUGAUACCCGUUCUUGUGUACGUGCUUUAAGAAGGCGGCGUUGACAAGUUCUUUGUAAUUGUUUUUCUUGUAUGCAACAUGUCAUAAUUUUUUUUUUUUCCUUUUUUCCCUCAAACAAAAGAUACAUAUAAAUAUCCAUAUAAUACGUCAAUACAUUGACUUAUAAUAGGCUAGAUCAUCACACUCUUAAGGUUGUAGAUGCUCAAUCAAAAAGCCAAAACUCCUAGUAAGGGUGCUGGCCGAUGAUGUUGCCCUGUGGGCUGUAGUUGCAGCUGACGAACCACCAGCCAUUGUUGCACUGCACUCUUGCACACCCUAGACUUACCGAAUUGCGCCAAACCACCUGAGUAUAAUGUCCACACUCUCCUCCAACACAUGAGUUAGAGUUAUAGUCAUAAUUAGACUUCUCUCCAACCCACAGGUUGGCAGCAUCCGUGGCGGUGAAAUCACCACUGCCCAUGGCGAGGUUCUCGCCAUAAGGACCAUUUGAAUGCACCAUGUUGCAGUCGCCACUCCUUUGGCUAGCAUAGUCCCUCGCAUAGGCCGCCACAUUGUCAUCCCAUGUCAUGGGCUCAACGCCAACGUCCGCCCGAGCUGCGUUGUGGACAUCGAGGUAGUCUUGUUGGGAGUUUUGGGCAUGGGAGGGAUGGACUAGGGCUAAUAUUCCAAUGAAGCAGAUGAGGGCUAAUUCUCUCUUGCACAGCCCCAUUUUGGCUUCUGUAAUACUAUUCAAUACAGGAACGAUCGACUUUUGGCAAGGAUUAAGGAUGAGGUGCCCAUUAAUUUAUAGGCACAUCUUGUAGAAAAGUAUCAUCGAAUGAGUAGGCCUUACGUACGCCUCAUCUGUCAUUGAAUGACUCUAGAAGUGGGAUUGUCAAAAAGCUAAGCAACCCAUUCAGAUUGGACAAGAUGCCACUGUCCCAAUAAGAUUUACAAAAAUCAAAAUUCCAUUUUGAAUUUUUUGCUUUUUAUUUGAUUGAAAUGAGCAAAUAUAUUUCCAACAUCUUAGGAUAUGUUUAUUUUGUAAAUAUUUAAAUUAGGAAACAAGUAUGUCAUAUGUAUAACUUGAAAUAUUUUUUAUUUUCUUAAAUAUGUAUCCUUGGCUAGGGAAAUUUCUUGCCUAUUUUAGCUGUUAUAGUUUUAGUCCCAUUCAAAGAUACUGAACCAUGAAAGGAAAAUAUAAAUUAUCUUAUUAGGUUGAUUUUUAUAUAUGAACCUACAUUUUAUAAAUAAUAUUUUCAAGGUUUUUUGUGCAUCUACAAGAAUCCUCACCCAAUUCCUAGUGCUAACAAAAUAUUGAAGAGGAAGCUCAUAUUAGUUUAAUUUAAUUUAUCUAUUUCUAAAAAUGUAUUUCUCUUCAUCUCUUAAAUUAAGAGUGUAUUUGAUAAUGAUUUUAAAAAAUAUUUUUAAUAUUUUUAAUAAUUAAAAGAUAAAAAUUUUCAAGUAUUGGAAAGAUUAGAAAUACUUCCUAAAAUCACUAUCAAACACCCUAAAAACCUAUUUGGUAGUGAUUCUAGGAAACGUUUUGAACAUUUCUAAUACUUGAAAUUUUUUAUUAUUCAAAUGUUAAAAAUGUUUCCCAAAAUCACUCCUAAACAUACUUUAAGUGUCCGUUUGACAGUAUUUUUAUUUGAAAUAUUUUUAGUGAAAAUAUUUUAUAUGAAAGUGUUUUUAAAAGAAUAACCUCUUAAAUAUUUCUUAUAAAAACAUUUUAAGUGAAUUUUUAAUAUUAUAAGUGAUUUUUCAUAUUCUUACAAGUAUUUCUUAAAUUUUAUAAUAUCUUUUUUUUUUUAAAAAACACUAUUUAAAUUAAAAAUGCUUCCUAAAAUUAAUGUAAAAUGGACACUAAACAUCCUCCUCAUUUUGUCUUUAGAUAUUUGGUUUAUCAUCUCUCCCUCCUUCACUCUUAAAUUAUAAGUAGUAAAGAAAGAAAAUGAGAAGGAAGAAUUCUGAAGCUCCAAAUGAGAAAGUUAAUUCCAACUUCCCCGCUUUGUUGAAAGUUUUGUGAUGACUUUUCCGGUGGAAAGUUUAGGAAGGUAGGAAUUCAUUACUCCAGUUCACAUGCAUGGAAGUCUUCAUGAUUGAGAAAUAACGUGCAGGUGAGAGAUGGGAAGGGGCCGGCAUUUGUAUAGUUGCAGGAAGACUCAUUCUCCAGACUCUUGGGUCAAUGGCGGGGGAUCAAAGAAAGUGGGUUGCAAUUAUUAAGAAUUUUCUUCAUCUUCUGUCUUUUUCCCGGCCAUCACGCAUCGAUCACGUUUGUCUUUCUAGGUAAAAUACCUCAAUUAUCUGCCUUAUGAUGUGAACUUUGAUACAUGCAUGUGCAUGUAGUCAGCCCAUUCUUCUCUCAAGUCUUCUUGGAUCAUUCAUCUAUUUCUUCACACUCCACAUGGAGAGAAACACCACCUAGAAUUAAUUACCACAAAUUUGGCAUGAAUUACAGCCAUCAUUCUCGCCUCUUCUUAAGUGCCCAUAUAUGUUUCUUUUAGCUAAUAAAAAAAAAAACAGUAGGAGAAAUCAUUAGUUGUGUUUUAGAUUUCCAAAAACACAAAAGAAAGGGAAAUGUUAUUAAAAAGACAAAGAUUUAUACUGUGAAAUUUUUGUAAGUGGAACCAGUUCUUACUUUUCUAAGUGAAUAAAGAUUCCAUCAAUUUUAGGUUUUAUUUUUUUAUUUUUUUAUUUAACGUUUCAUUCUCAUUUCUAUUUAACUUUAGUAAUGGUUGGCCUCCUAUUUUAAGGUGGGCCUGUAUCUUGGUAUGAUGAUGAUAGUGGUUUCAUCACAUUCAUCGAAUGAUAGCAUGGUGGCCCUUCCAUGGUGUUGUGGCAGCUGCUGAUUGGUUAUUGCAUGUAGCUCUUGCUUAGGCACCAUGUGGCGGCGGAUCUAUGUGUCCUAAUCAGCAAUCUCCUUAAUUUCUUAUCUUCUCUCCUUAGGAUAUAAUAAUUUCGUCUUUAUCUCAUAGAUAAUAAAUUCAUUCUUCACAUGCAGCAUUCAACGGUUACAAAUUUUUGAAGAACAAAAAUUUAUAAAUAAAUAAAAAAUUAAUUUAAAAAAUAUAUAUAUUAUAUCACAUUCAGUAUAAUGUGAUGAAAUGAAAUAUCAUUUGUAAUCAAUGUAAUAUUUAAAAAUAUUAUAUUUUAUUAGAAAUAAUAUCUUAUAAUAUAUUUAUCGUAUCCUCUUAUCCCGUCAACCAAACAUGAUAUUAAUGAAGAAAACUCUAAUUUUCCUUGUUAUAAAAGAACUCGAACAACUUUUUGCAACUAUGAUACGCUUUUGAGUCCUUUUUCAUCCUUAGUUCUUUUAUACGUCACUAGCUUUUGAUGUGAUUUAUGGUUCCAAUUUACACCCAUAGUGGGUUUUGAUCCUCUCAUCUUCUCCACAAUUUCUACUCCAAUAUUACCUUUUUUUCCAUUACCAAUUACCCAAAUAGCUUAGUCUCAACAUGAUCUUAGAGUUGUCUCAAAGUUUCCAUGGGAUUCACUUCGAGACUAUUCAUUUAUCUUCAAUUUAAACGAGUUUGUUCAUAAGCUGACAAAAUAUCCAACUCGAGUAUCGGUCCGGUACGGCCAUGGUCGAGGCGGAUACUACUCGACCGAGUCGUACUGUCUCAACCAAGAUUUUGAACCUUAAUCUCAUCUUGUUUAUUUAUAUUUAUUCUUAUCAUCACUCAAAAAAAAUUAAACAAGAUGAGAUAAGUAUAAGAAAUUCUUAUAAUCAUUUUAUCCACUCGUUUAAUUCUUUUAAUUCUUUUUCAAAAAAAAUUUAUUUUUAUUUUUUUUAAAUUUAAAUUUUAUUAAAAAUAAAUAUAAUUUAUAAAUAAAUAAUAUUAUAAAUGUUUAUAAUUUAUUUUUAUAGAAAAUAAUAUUUUAUUUAUGUUGAAAAAAAAAUAAAAUAUGAAAAAAAAUCAAUAAAAUCAUAGCUAAACCCACUUUAAAUUUGUUUGGGACUUUUAAAAACUUCUCAAACUCAUCCUAAACCUAUUUAUAUUUAUCAAACCCUUCUGGAUAGGACGCAUAACCGAAAAACCCACCCCAUUGUCAUCCCUAAUUAUACAUAGUUUAUAUCAUUGAAUGCAUUGAUGGAGAGAAUUUUAACAAAAAAAAUAUAACAAUUUAUAUCAUUGAAUGCGUGGGUGGGGGAGGAUUUUGAAAAAAUAUAGCAAUAUUUUUUAAAAAAGAACAUUUUUAAAUUAUUUUCAAUUCUAUAGCUUUUAAUUUAAAAAAAUCAAUUAAAAUUGUUUUUUAAAAUUUUAAAGUUAUCUUUUAAAAAAAUAAAUUUUAUAUUUAAAUUAAAAUUAUUUCUUCAAAGAAAUAACUUCCAAUUGAUGUUAUAAAAAGUAUUCUAAAUUUGAAAAUAAUUUCAAAAAUAUUAUAUUUUAAUAAAUGUUUAAAAAAAAAAAUUGAUGUACUCUAGUUUUUUUUUCUUUUUCAAAAAUUGUUGGUGAAGUGAAGAUUUUGAGCGAGGUAAAUGGGUGUGAAUUGGAGUGGUGUAAGUAAGAAAAACCCAUAUCACAGGCAUUAGUACACUAGAAAAGCAAUCACAAACUUUCAACAAAGGAAAGUCGGAAUUAACCUUAUGACUAGAAGCAACAAAAUUCUAUCUAUGGUGUAUAUUUUAUUUUCUACUUAAAAAAUGAAAUCUAUAUAUAUAUAUAGAUGCUUUAUAGCUAACAUAAACUUGGAUUAAUUCCAAAUAUAAGUUUACGAUUUACAAAUUCAGGAGGAAGAGAUCUCCACUCAAACCAAAUAUGUAAAGAUAGAAUUAGGAGCAUGUUCAGCUUGUUUGCAUUUAAGCAGUUCAGAGAAUUAUAUUUUUUUGAAAAUUUGAACAAGUAUGAGAGGUUGAAUAUUUUUGUCAAAAUUUAAAAUCUGGGUUAAUUUUCAUCCUUGGUUAUCGUAAGGGAUUAAUUUAAAUAUAUAAAAUAACCUUGAAAAUUCUAUCUAUGAAAAAUAGGUUUCUAUAUCGAUAAAUGGUAACAUAAUUACUCGUUUACUUUCUUUUUUUAUUCAGGAAUCUAAAAAUUGGACCACACACCUCAAAUUCUAAAACUAUGAUUUCAUUAUAAAACAAAUAGGUUAACUCAUAAUUUUAGAAUUUUGAAAUGUCAAUCUAAAGAAUAAUAAUAUAAUAUUUGAAAUAUAAACUCUCUAUUUAAUUUCAAACCGAGAAAUUUAGUCGUGAUGUAUAAAUAACAAUUAGAUUUUUUUUUAUAAAACAUAUAUUUUCAAAUAAUAGCAAUAACAUUUUGUAAUUUUCAAAUUUAAAAUUUUAUUUCUUUACAAAUUUGGAAUGGCAUGACCCAGUAGAGAGUUUUCCGGUAUGCCUUGUUUGUUGCCUUAGUUGUGCAUAAAUUUCACUAAGUAUGAAAAACUAGUCAUUUUCAAGAGUACUAUGUAUUCAGCUUCCAUGGCAAGAUGCCAGUUGUGCUCUCCCAUAGCUUGUUGGAAUGUUUGUGGUUCAACAGGUGAAGUUGUAAUUAAGGCUUUCUUCUUGACAAUUCCGGCCUUUGAUAUGGUAAUAUCAUGGGAUGGCAGUUGGAGGGUAGAACUGUAGAAGAGCGGAAGAAUGGUUGGAUGUGGAAAUAUCAAUAAAGGGGACUUGAAUCACAAAUUUAAUGGAGGCAUUGGAUAGACAUGGAGAAUCUGGUGGUAAGGGGCACACACUAGUAGUGGAAUUGGAAAUUUGGUUCGUUGUAGCAUGUAAUCUACAAAGAGCAAGAAAUACUUUGCACCGGUUAUGGAAUAUGUGGGGACAGGACCCCAUAAAUCAGUGUGAACGAGGGCAAGAGGAUAUUGGGCUCGAGAUGUAGAUAGUGGGAAUGAUGACUUGUGACUUUUAGCAUAUUGAUAAGCAUAGUAAAUGUGAUUUUUAUUAAGAGAAUAAGAAAUUUUACGGAAAGAAAGAAUUUGUUUCAAUAUAGGUACACAAUCAUUUUGGGUCCUAGCAGUGAGAGCUAAGUAGCUGGAUGAAGUAGAAGCUAAGGAGGAACCAGGGCUAGAGUUGGGGAAUCUAUAUAAGCCACGCUCAAGGAAUCCCUUGAAGAAGAAUCACCUUCGUAAUCUUGUAAUGUCUCGCACCUAACCAUGUAGAUAUUGUCCGCUUUGGGCCCAAGGGGCCUUCAUGGUUUUAAAACGCGUUUACUUGGUUAAGAUGAGCUUCUACAUAUAUAGCACCAGGAACAUUCUCUCCUAUCCGAUGUGGGACAUCACAAACAGCCCCCCCUCUUCCCCAUGCAGACACAACGUCCUCGUUGUGUCCCAUGGGAUUGCGGGGUCAAACAAACAAACACCCCUUACGGGGCUAAACAAACCCCUACACCAGGGUCGAGGAUCGGCUCUGAUACCAUUUGUAACAACCCAUUCCCAACUGUGUAGAUAUUGUUCGCUUUGGACCAAAGAGGCCCUCACGGCUUUAAAACACGUCUACUUGGUUAAGAUGAGUCUCUACAUAUAUAGCGCCAAGAACAUUCUCCCUUAUUCGAUGUGAAACAUUACAAAUUAUAAAUGGUAUCAGAGUCGAUCCCCGACCCUGAUGUGGGGGUUUGUUUGGCUCUGUAAGGGGUGUUUAUCUGUUUGAUCCUGCAAUCCCAUGGAACACAACGAGGACGUUGUGUCUACAUGGGGGAGUGUUUGUAAUGUCCCACAUCGGAUAGGGGAGAAUGUUCCUGCCGCUAUAUAUGUAGAGGUUCAUCUUAACCAAGUAGACGCGUUUUAAAACCAUGAGGGCCCCCUUGGGCCCAAAAACGGACAAUAUCUACAUGGUUGGGUGCGGGUCGUUACAAAUCUUGUCCUUAAUAACAAAGAAAUGAGGGUGAAACUCACAAAAUUAAUUGUUGUCAAUGCAAAAAUGAAAGACACUUAUAAGAUUUGUUGUAAGAUAAGGAACAUGAAACAUAUUUUUUAAUUGGAAAGAUUUGUGAAUAGUGUGAAAAUUUAGAACAAAUGUGAGAGAUGGAUAGCUGCUUACCAUUUCCAACCGUGACCUUGUCAUUGCCUUGAUAAGGAAUGUUGUUUGAAAGAUUUUCAGAAGUUUGGGAGUGAUGAUGGAUUGCACCUGUGUCAAGAAACCAUGAGUUGUUGCAGCUUGAGGAAGGUGAAGCCAUCACUGCUUGAAUGUUGUUGCUGGCGGGUUGUAUUAGAUGAAGGUUUGAAAGGGUUUGUAGUUAAAGAAUCUAGUCCUUGAAAGUUGAUAUCAAAUCUGUGACAACAUGAUAUCAUUAUAUUACCAAAUUUGCCACAAAGUUGGCAUUAAGGUCUGUUACCAGUGUGGUUUGUGCGAGGGUCUUGGCCACGACCACCAGUGCGUCCUUGGCGCUGAGAGUUAUUCUGUUUGUGAAAGGAAGAGUUAUGUCUUCCAUUUUGAUGGUUUCUCGGACGACCUUGGGUUGCUAUAUGUGUAGAAAUAACUUUGUCUUCUACCAUUGAUGUUUGAAGAUUGAGUUUUUGUUCAUGAGUGAGUAGGAUGCUAUGCAUUGAGUAAAUAUUUACAUCAUCUUCACAAACUGCAAGAGAAGCCACUAUAGGGUUGUAGUCAGCUCUAAGACCACUAAGAAGUUGCAAGACUUGAUCUCUUUCUGCUACCAACUCUAUAAUGGCAACAAGAUUAUUAGGUUAAAGAUAUAUUCCAUCAUGGAGAGGAAGCCUUUCUGAGUAGUCUGAAAUGCUAGUCGAAGCUGCAUUAUUUGUGCCUUGGAUGAGGUGGAAAAAAAUUUCUCUAGGGUAGUCCAUGCUACAUGAGAUGUCUGGUCCUAGAUUAUUUGUCCCAUAAUAUCUGAGAUAAAGGAAGAAUAGAUCCAACUUAGAAUCAUGUGACCAAAGCAUCACCAGUUGAUGAAAUUUUGAUUGAUUCCUCCGGUUGUGGUUGUCUUGGGAGGACAGAUUUUGAAUCCUUCAAUGUGUUCUUCAAAUCCAUUUGCAUAGAUUACAUUCUCCAUUUGAGUAUGCCAAAGGAUGUAAUUGUUCCUAUCCAGCUUAAUAGGAAGAGGAUGGUUCAACAUGUGCAUUGACUGCGCCGUGCUAGGUGACUGGAAAGAUUAUAUCUGGAGUACUGUUUUGUGGAUUCAAGUUCUGUGUUGAAAAGGCCAUGUGAUCGGUGGUUGUUCUUUGGAGAGAAGAAUGGUUGCAAUCAAAUUAGUUAGAGGAAAUGCAGGGAAGUUGUGGAUGAAGAAGAGAAGCUGAGCACUAAUACCAUGAAAGAGUUUCAGCUAUCAAGAAAAGCAACCACUGCUUCUGUUAUCUAGAGAGUUUUAUAUUCAUUACACAGGUUUGUUUCUAACUAAAGUAACAACUAACAGAUGAUGGCAACUAAUCUAAGUUAACAAUAAGGUGUUUAUUCUAUUAAGAGUGCUGAAGAUCAAUUGUUGAUCUUGAUGGCUUGUUGUAUCAUGAUGAACUUUGAUGUGCUAAAGUUGAAACAAGUUUGUACAUUUUAACAAAGAGAGGGAGGGAGCAAAUCAAUUUUUGAAUUCUUGAAUAAGUUCCUGCAUGAUUUAUUUUUCAUCCUAGCUAAGUUUUUUGUCAAUCAAUUGGUACUGUUAAUAUGGUUUAUGAUCUCCAUCUGCUUCAACAAUCUGGAUAUUAAUUUAUUAAAAUAGGCCUGCAUGCUUGUACUCUUAUUAUCUCCCUUCAUGUAAGGUAACACUAGAAAUGAAAAAAAAAAAAAAAAAAAAAAGGAAGAAGAAAUGUGCUUGUAUAUAUCACAAACAUGGAUCCACUACUUUGUGAAAAUUGAGGAUGACUCUUAAGUCUUGACAAAGGAAAAAAGGGAGAAUAAAAGAACUUCUUACUAGAAAGCUCCAUUUAUGCCUUCCUUGGUCACAUAAAAGCACAAUUUAAGUCACACAAUGCGUGAGUUUUAUUUGUACUGACCAAUGCUUAUGAUUAGCUUAUUACAUAUUAGUAUAUCACUACGAUGAUAAGAUAAUACUUGAUUAGAGGUAGUUCGAUAAUCUUCAGUAAGGAUGCUGUCUGAUGUAGUUGUUCGGUGGAUAGUAGUUGCAUAUGAUGAACCACCAUCCAUUGUUGUAAUGAGCCCUAGCAUACCCAAGACUCACUGAGUUACAGCAAACAACUUGAGUAUAGUGCCUGCAUUCCCCACCAACGCAUGAGUUGGAGUUAUAAUAAUAAUAAAUUAGGCUUUUUUGCCACCCACAAGUUCACUUUCGCAGUGCCUAUAAAUGAAUUAACCACUGCCCUUGGCAAAGUUCUCCCCAGAAGACCCAUUCGAAUGCCUGAGAUUGCAGUCCCCGAUCCAUUUGUUGGCAUAGUUCUGAGCAUAGGAGGCUAUGGUGUUGUUCCAUGUCAUAGACCGAACGCCAAAUUGUGCCUGAUUAGUAUUGUGAGCAUUGAGGUAGUCCUGUUGUGAGUUUUGGGCAUAGGAGGUGUGAACCAAGGCUAAGCCCAUGAGACAAGCAAGUGCUACUGAAAUAUUCUUACACAACCCCAUUUUCAGUUGUGAUAUUUGAUGCAGAAUAAGGAUUUCUUCGAUGGGUAUUCAUAGGAAAAAGGACUUGAAAUUAAGGUGAUCAAGGGCAUCACAAUUAAACCAACUCCAAAUGGUCAAGGACACAGAAGACUUUGUUGUCACUUGCACAUGUAAAAGGACAAUAAUUGAUAAAAUAAUUGCCACUAUGAUCAAAAUUAUUGAACUAUCGAUUUUCCUCAAAACUUAAGGUAGAUGGAUAAGAUAUACAAACCAUAGUCCUCCCCAAUAUCCAAAUUAGGGAGAAGCAACUCAAACAUAUGACUUUCUGUCAAAUCAAAUUCUGAUACCAUGUUGAACAACGAAUUUUUCUAAAAGUUUAACCUUGUAGGAUUUAGGUUUAAUAUGCAUAUCAUGUUCUUUAACAAAAAUGACUUCCAUCAUCACCUUGUUCUUAGCAUUUGAUAAACAUUAUUGAAAAAGUUUUAGUAUAUCUUCUAGGUUUUAGCCUAGGCGUCCAAACCAGUUUGAUCAAGACUAGUAAUAAGUUUCUAUUUUCAACAUAAAACCAAAUUAAUUAGAAGGAAACUAUAUAUGAUUUUACAAUUAAUAUAAAAAUUUAGCAAAAUGUGACAGUUUGGCCUUUUUGGUGACAUGUCCAAUACUGACAGAUUGGUUCUUUACUAAUUCAAUCACCCUUCUAAGAAUCAAACACAUAUUCAAAUCAAGGAUCUAAUCUACAUAUAUCCAAUGUUUUAAAAACCGGACGGGACCAGCCGGUCUAACCGGUUCAACCGUCGACCGGUGGCAUUUUCGGUCUGGUUUGCCUUAUUAAACCGGUCACGAACUACCUAAACCGACGAUCAAACCGGUGAACCGGACGGUUCUAAUCAAACCGAACAGUUCAUUUUGCUAGCAUGGAAGGUUUCCUUGUAUAAAAAACUUUGGCUAAAGCCCACACCCCACUCAACCAUAGUGUGGGCUGAGUCUUAAGCCCACCAAGGUGUGGGCUGAGUCUUGAGCCCACCAGAUGAGGUAGUGCCUUGGCCUCAAUGAGGAUAGCUUUUAGGGAGAAUUACCCAAAAGGGUGGGCUAGGCAGAACAAUUACUAGAAAGGGUGAUAUCUUUUAAUAAUUCUUAGAGAAGACUUUAAUAGGCUUAAUAUACCAAAAUUGUCCUUUAACUAAAACUUUUAAAAUUCAAAGCAUUUAAAGCACUUCACUUGAUUUGUCAAUACAUUUAUGGUACAUGGGUCCCACAUUUAUUGUAAUUAUUGAUAUUUAAAUUUUAAAUCAAAAUUUUGGGUUUAACUCUUAUAAUUAUAUAUAAUUUGUUAUUUACAUUUACUAUUUAAAACAAAAAUACUUUUAAAAAAUAUUUUCAAAAUAUCAUUUAUUGUUUUUUUACCUUUUUUAUUUUUAUUCUCAUUUUUAAUUUUAUGAAGAAAAAAAUAAGUUUUAUAAUUAUAUAAUAAAAAUGAUGAUUUUUUUCAUAUAUAUAUAUUAUAAUUUUAAAUUGAUAAAUUAUGUUUGUGUAUUAAAUUUAAGGAAGAUAAAAUGUUUAAUUUUUCAUUUAGAUUCUCUAAAAAGAAUAAGAAAAUGAUAGAGAAGGUUUAAUCAUUUUUUAUUUUUAUAAUAAAAUAAUUUUAAAAAAUUUAUAUGAUUUUUUUUCCUUUGCAUUGUGUUUUUUUUUUUUUUUUCAUAUAAAUUUUUUUUUCUCAAUGCAUCAAGUGGAUGAUGUUAAUAUAUUUGAUAUGUUGAAUAUUAAUAAGGUAUAAAAGGUGAUCCUCAAAAUUAUUACUUUUAUUAUAAAAUACAAGCACAACAAAAAUAUGUUAUAAUUACAAUAUAAAUACACUUACAUUACAAUACAUUACAAUAAAACCUAAUUAAGAAAUUUAUGAAAUUUUUUAUAAAAAUGGUAAUUUUAUAUGAUCAUACCAUAUUUUACAACAUACAUAUAUCAUAAAUAAUUUAUGAAACCAAAUGAAAUACUAAUUUGAAUUCACGUAGUUUAUAUAUAUAUAUAUAUAUAUAUACAAAGUUAUUAAAUAAUUUCAAAACACUAAAUAAAUGUUGUUAAUAUAUUGAUACGAUGUAUUAAUACCAAUAGGGUAUGAAUAAACAUUUUUAAAAUUAUUACUUUUGUAAUGAAAUAUAGAUACGACAUAAAUGUAUUAUACUUACAAUAUAAAUCCACUAUCAUUACAAUAUAUUACAACAUAAUUUAAUUUAUUUUUAUUUAAUUUUUUCACGUGCUAUAUUACCCAAUGAAUAAUUCUGAGUUAUUCCAUUUAAUAGGUGUGUGUUAAUCAAUUGAAUAUUUAUAUAUUAUUCAAUUGAUGAGUGCUCGUAAAAAAUAAUUAUUCAUUAUAUUAUGAUAACAAAGUUUUUAAUUGUAUGUUUUAUAUAUAAAACGAUAUAAUAAUUUUAGGAUAUGGUUUUUAUUUAGGAGACAUUAAAAAUUAUUUUUUUUUUACAAGGUUCUUUAAAAAAUCUCAAUUUUUUUGAAAAAAAAAAAAGCAAAUUUUUAAAUAGUCAUUUGAUUGUUCAAAAGUGAACAAUUUUUUCAAGCUGAGAAAUGUACCGUUGAUUGCCUAUCAACCUGUAUUUAUCAUCAUGUAUGGGCCCCACAUCAUUGACAAUCUCAAUUUAUUUAUAAAUUAUAUAGAAAACAUAUUCAAGGACAAAAUUGUCCUCUAAAAGAGUAAGCCUUCAUAGUCAUUAUUUUUUCCAACCUACCCUAUUCAGUAAUUCUCCCUAGCUUUUAUAGGCAUCCUUUGCAUCCUCAUUCCUCUUAGAAACCAAUAUGGGAUCGCACCCAAGAGGAUUUGAACUUGGACCCCAGAUUCAAUAGCCAUCUUAGGACACCACAUGACUACACAACUUUUGUUACCUAAUAUGCCAAACAAAAUAAUAUAUAUUGGAUUUUAAAAAUUUUUAUAAUAUUAAAUAAAAAUAAUAUAAUAUUUUUAAAAAUUAUAAAAUUAGUUUAAAUUUUCAUUUUUAAUAUAUUCACAUUUAAAUAUUUUACAUAUUUCAUUUAAUAAAAUUAAAAAUAUUAAUAUGAUUUAAUUUGAUAAUAUUAUUGAUUUUUAAUUUAUUCAUAUAUAUUUUAAAAUUUUAUAAUUAUUUUUAAUUUUAAUAAUAUAUAAAUUAUAUAUUUAUGACAUCAUGGGUUCGACCGUGGUUCGACCGUCGGUCCGACCAGUAAACCGUGAACUGAUAACUUUUUCGGUUCGAUCACCGGUCUGAUUAUGAAAACAUUACAUAUAUCACCAAAAGCAGGCACAAAAUUGAGAAGUAUAUAAUACGAUUUCAUCUGCAACUAUAAAACAUAUAUAUUUUCACUUAAGUGCAUGUCUCUUUAGUGUGUAAAGAUCUUAUUGAAUACGCAAAAAUUUAAAAUUAUGAAACUUCUUUGUCUUAGAAGCCUUUUAAUUUAUAAAAGCAUCUAGCUCCUUAGAUUCAUAAAAGGCUUGGAAGUUACUUAUAUUUUUUUAGCCCUAAUUAAACAUCUUUAGUAUGUUUAGAAACAUAGUAUAAAGUAUCUUAAUAUUAUUCAUUUCAAACACUCAAUAAGACCAAGUAUUUAGAGGAGUUUCUGAAAAACAUUUGAUAAAAAUCAAAUGCUUAUAAAUUACUUUGUGGAUCGUCUUACACAAUUCUACUCCAUAGUUGGCAAUGAAAAAUCUAGUUAAUUUAUGUCAUAAUUGAUUUAACUCUAAGGCCAUAUUUGCUACAUGGGAAUGAGGAAUGAGAAUGAAAAUUUUCUUUUCGUUUUUUUUUCUUCUUGAAUAUGAAUGAAUUUGGUGAUUCCAAUUUUUGUGAUUGGAUGUAUAUAGGAAUGUAAGUUUUUGUUCCAUUUCAAUGUUAAUUAAGUAACAACGGAAAUGAGGAUUAAAAAAGAAAUAAAUUGAUAGUAAUAUUCAUACAUCUAGUUUAACAUAAUCUUUUAUUUUCAUUUUUAAGAAAACUGUCACACUAUACAUAGUUUAAAAUAAUUUUUUAUUUUCAUUUAAAAAAGAACAUCUUUGAAAGUUCUUUUUGUUAAAUAAUAAAAAUCUAUUUGGGUUUAUGAUUUACAAAUAAAAUUAUUUUCAAAAAUUAAUAUCACUGUUUGGUUGUUGUUCUUGAAAAAUAAUUUUAAAAACAAACUAAUAAGUUUAAUAAUUAUUAAAAUAGGAUUAACAAUUUUAAUUUUAAAUUAUUAUUAUUUAUUUUUAAUAAAAUAAAUCAAUUAUACUUUUCUAAUAUGUUAAUAUCCAUAUUUUGUAAUAUUUAUAAAAAUAUAAUUUAUAAUUUUAUUAUAAUAUUAUUAUUCAUAUUCUAUUAAAAACGAUUUAUUUUUUAUUAUAUAAAUUGAAUUUACAAUUUAUUUAUUUUUAAAAAAAAUAUUCUUAAAAACAACUUAUCUAAAAAGAUUUUCGGUUUUUUAAUUUUUGAAAAGUUUUUCUAAAAUGAAUUUGCCUAAAAAAAUAAAAAUACCUCCUCCUAUGAUCUUUUAGAAUCAUUCUUGAUUUCAUUCUCAUCAUCAUUUAAAUUAUUUAGAAAAAGAAAUGAGAUUCCAAUUUUCAUUCCUCAUUUUCGUAUACCAAACACGAGAUAAUUGAAAUGGGAAAUUGAACAAAGAUACAACAAUUUGCUUUUUUAAUAUUUCUUGCUUGGUUGAAAUGUUGUGACUACUUUUCCAAUAUUAAUUCGUAAGGAAUUGGAUUUUCUUCACAAAUUUUAACCAAUCAAGUUCACAAAAUUUUCUCCGCAAAUUUUGCGGUAGUGGCUUAUUUCCUGUCAUCAAUGUCCGCUGCAAUUUGCUUGAACUGUUCUAUACAAUCAGAUCGAAAAAUCGGGACCAUCACGUGCUUCACAUGAUGGAGAAGUCCCCCGCAAUGUUUUUCAUCCAUCCUUUCUUUUCGUCUGACACCACAUUUAAACCUUUGGUCUUGUGCAUAUGGGAAUAACGUUUGAAUUAUAUUCCUUUCAUAUGUACUAUGUUCAUCUUCCUAGUCUCAAAAGUUUAAUAUGCAUCGAAGUCGUUACUGCUUCAAUCGUUUAAGGACAUGUUUGGUUUCUGAAAAGUGUUAGAAAAAGAAAAAAAAAAUAUGAAGAAAAAUGGUUUUUUUUAUAUUUGAUUUUAUUAUGAAAAAUAUAAAAAAAAAUUAAGUAUAAUUAAAAUUAUUAAGAAACUUGUAUAUUAUUAAAUUAUUUAAUUUUUAUAUAGAAGAAUUAAAUAAGUAAAAAAAAAUUAAAAUGAUAUAUAAAAAUGAUUUAUUUAAUUUAAAUCUAUUUUUAUUUUUUUUCAUUUUUUUUUUAUUUUCUUUUUCUUGCAUUUUCCUUCAAACUUUUCAUGAACCAAACAUAGUCUAAGGAUGCCUAUGGUACACACAUAAGAUUAAUGAUACUAGAUAUGAAAAUUGAAGACAACAAAAAUCAAAAUCUAGAGCUAUGAAUUUUUUUUUUAAUUCCAAUAUUGUUUCUAUUAAGAAACGAAAAUGUUGUAAUAAAUAGGAAAUGAAGUUAGAAAAUAAUUAAAAAUAAACUUGUAAAAAUAAUUAGUGGAAAAAAUCAUGCAAAUCUCUUGACUUACACAUCCAAAUAAGGCAUAUAAUUCAUUAACUUAAAUUAAGGCAUGAAUGAUGCACAAAUGCAAUAAUAAAAGAAAAAAUUUCUAAAUGUGCAUGUGAAGUCAAUUUCUCUAGAAUGGUUAUGUGCAUGCUUGUAAAGCCUGGAAAGUGAUUUCAUUCAUCCAAGGCAAGGACUAAAUAUGGCAACACCUCGACAACGCGUUUCAGCAAGUGUGAAGACUUCUUAAUUAACUUAUUUACUAUUUUUUGUGUUAAAAAAAAGAAGAAAAUGAAAAAAAUAAUUAAACUAUUUUAUAGGCUAAAAAAAUCUCAUUGGGUGGAGCAAGAAAAGAUAAGAUAAGAAGUAUGCGAAGGCAAAUUAAUUCAAAUCUAGUUAUAUAUACACUUAAGAGGAGAAGGCCUGGGGGAAGGAGUUGAGUUUUGUUUGUUGGUCUCCUCUUCAAAAUUUAAUUAAGAACAAUUAAUUAUUAAGAGAGAUAUAAAACUAAGUAUACACAAACCCAGUCUAUAGUGGUUCGGCAAUCUUGACUUUGUGAAUGAAUAAGGCAAGGUUUUUUAGACACCUAUCCUACUAUGACCUCAGUUUAUAGUGGGUGCCUAUAUAUAUAUAUAUAUUGACUUUAUGAAUGAAUUUAGUAAUUAAGAUGAGCUUGAUUGAUUGAAGUUUUGAACCCAAAUUGCAUUACACAAGUGUAAUAUUUUAUAGUUGUAAAAGUUCAGACCUUGAUUCAUGAAACUAUCUAAAAAGGAGGUGAACAGGUACUCCUUUUUCUCUUUUCUUUUUUUUUGCCUAAAAGUAAAAUUUUGAUUUGAGAAAUUAUUUGGGUCCAUCAAACAUCUUUAACCCCCUCAACAUAUCUUAAACUUAGGAUUGGUUGAAAUAGAGUUAGGAAAGCUUUAUGCAACUUUGUUGCUCCACUCUUAGUUUGUUCUAGCUUCUCAAAUGCCCCAAAAGGUUCUCAUGACCACCCUUAAUUAUUCAUCAAAAUAGUUGCAAACAUCAAGGAAUAAGGGGAAAAUAUGAGAAAGUCAAGCAUGUGUAGGUUAGCAUAG
rnacentral:lncRNA from 1 species